GGUCACUCUCUGUUGUUGAGAUUCCUGUGGUGUCCGACUUGGAAGAUGAAGAGCUGGUCGGUCGCUCACACAAUUUCCUUUCCCUGGGGAUUGAUAGUGGUUUCUGCUUGGUGACCUGUUGGAGUGUUGACGAAUCGCCGUAUCCCCCGUAUCACCGGGCGCACAUCAGGGCGAGGACGUACAGAACAGAUGAUUUUGUGGAGUCGGAGGGAAAAUGCUUAGUCGUCUCCAAGCAGUGGAUGCAGGUUUACAAGAUCCACGAUUUGAUCCGGACACUAGAUGCGCCAUGUCUGGUUGGUGUGGUCUACAUAUGAGUAAGCCCUUUUCGCAUCUGUCUGACUUCAUGGAUAAAUUAGUCUCAUCUGAUUGCAACUUUAUUUGCACCUGUAGAUUCUCAUGAAUUUAUUAGAACAAGUGCACAUAAUUCUGGAUUGUCAUGAUAAAUUUGUCACACUUUCUGUUAACUUAUUACUCUGGUCAUCUUGUUUAACAAUAUUAUUCCCUUCUUACAAUACAUUAGCAAACUACAGUAUGUUAUCAUCAUUGGUUAGUUGGGUCUGGAUGCUGGAGUUAGCUGUUAGAUAGAAAUCCUAAUGUUUAUCAUCAUCACUGGUAGUUUUUCGAAGAUGCAUGAAUGGUCCCAAAUUGUUCGUGUUUUAGCUCAUAUCUAGAUGUCCAUGAAAGGAUUGAUUUUGGACAUGUAUUUUGAAGGCAAUUAAACUGAUAAAAAUGCCACAGGAAGGCCAUAGCCUCGAAAGUGGCACCAAGUUAACGCACCUUGUGCAAUUUAGUAAAAAUAAUAAUCAUUGUGUGUACCCUUUUCCGUAUUUUCUAAAUCCGCCAUCUUUAGCUAAAAUGGAGCUACAAACACUGGUUACCAGAUUCGUGAUUUGUGCGGUUCCCUAUGAAAAUUAGAAAUAGACAUAUCCAUGCGGGCUGGGCCAGACCGAAUAGGCCCAUGAGCUGCUCUCCCAUAGGCAUCCAUCUGCGCAUUUGCCCCACUCUUGCAGUCGCUGGAAGAUGCGUUACUUCCCAGUGCUCUCGCCCUAGUCCUCUCCUGCAGCCUAAAUCGUGAUUCCAUUUCGAUUCUUGAGAUCAGCAAAUCAGGACCAAACUCUGACCGAUCUGUAGGGAAGUGGAACCCCAAUCUAGAUCGAUCAAUCUAGAUCAGGGUUCAAAGCCCGCUCCAGGGAAUCUGGUACUGCAAACCACCAUUAUUUUGUACCACUUCUCUUGAAUUAUGUCAAGAGUACUAGCUGCUUAUACUCAGCAAAUGGCAUAGCGUUGCUCCGAAUAGUCAGUAAUUUGGUCUGUAUGGUUGCAUUCUCAUAUAGGAACAAUAGCUUGAAAUAGGAGCUCACCCAUAAAUGUGUCCAGUUAGUGACAUAUGUGAUAAGCUUUCAAAUACAUCAAAAUAUCAUCACUGUAGUUUGGGAUGGUUACGUUCACAUAUAGGAAUUCGGAUGACGACAAAGCUACUAGUUUAGGUAUAUCCCAAAUUGCUUCUCCUUACCCUUUUAUUUUAGUUGGCUCAAUCAUUGCAGCAGCUCAUUUAUUGCAAGUAGGCUCGUCGUUAUAGGGAAAAUUCAUGUACUAUUAAGGACAUACCUACUUACAACCACAACAACCACAACAAAUCGUUUAGUCCCAAACAAGUUGGGGUAGGCUAGAGCUGAAACCCAUAAGAUCUCGAAACCAACUCAUGGUUCUGGCACGUGGAUAGCUAACUUCCACGCAUCUCUGUCCAUGGCUAGUUCUUUGGUGAUAUUCGAGUCCUUCAGAUCUCUUUUUACGUAUUUCUCUCCCAUGUCUGUUUGGUCUACCCCGAGUUCUCUUGACAUUAUCAAAAUGCUUUAACCAUCCGCUAUGCAUUGGAGCUUCUGGAGGCCUACGUUGUAUAUACCCAAACCAUCUCAGAUGGUGUUGCACAAGCUUCUCUUCAAUUGAUGAUACCCUUACUCUAUCACGUAUAUCGUUAUUCCGGACCCGAUCCUUUCUUGUGUGGCCACACAUCCAUCUCAACAUGCGCAUCUCUGCUACACCUAACUAUUGAACAUGUCACCUUUUAGUUGGCCAACACUCAGCUCCAUAAAGCAUUGUAGGUUGAAUGGCCGUCCUAUAGAACCCGCCUUUUAGCUUGUGUGACACUCUUUCACAAAGAACGCUAGAAGCUUGGUGCCACUUCAUCCAUCCGAUUUUGUUUCGAUGGCUCACAUCUUCAUCGAUAUCACUAUCCUUUUGCAACAUUGACCCCUAAUAUUAGAAGGUGUACUUUUGAGGUACCAGUUGCCCAUCAAGGCUAACUUUCUCCUCGUGCCUAGUAGUACUGGAACCGCACCUCAUAUACCUAGUUUUAAUCCUACUAAGCCUAUCAUCGACUAACACCACAUCAUCAUCCGCAAAGAGCAUACACCUUGGGCUUUUUCCUUCUAUAUCUCUUGUGACCUCAUCCAUCACCAAAGCAUAAAGAUAAGGGCUCAAAGCUGACCCUUGGUGCAGUACUAUUUUAACUGGGAAGUCAUUAGUGUCAAAAUCACUUGUUUGAAAACUUGUCUCAACAUUGUUGUACAUGGCCUUGAUGAGGGUAAUGUGCUUUGUUGGGACUUUGUGUUUCUCCAAGUCCCAACACAUGACAUUCUGCGAUAUCUUCUCCAAGUUAACGAACACCAUAUGCGAGUCCUUGUUUUGAUCCCUUGUUUCUUCGUAAGUUGUCAUACCAAGAAUUUGGCUUCCAUGGUCGACGUCCCAUGCAUGAAACCAAACUGAUUUUUGGUCACGCCUGUCAUUCUUGUUAAGUGGUGCUCAAUGACUCCCAUAGCUUCAUUGUAUGGCUCAUCACCUUAAUUCCAAGGUAAUUAGUACAACUUUUAACAUCCCCCUUGUUUUUGAAGAUUGGUAUUGAUAUACUCCACCUCCAUUCUUUUGGCAUCUUGUUUGCCCGAAAAAAUGAGAUUCAAAAGCCUAUUCAGCCAUACUAUCUCUAUGUCUUCGAGGCCUCUCCACACCUCAAUGGCGAUACAACCAGGGCCCAUCGUGUUGCCUCUUUUCAUCCUUUUUAAAGCCUCCUUGACCUUAAGACUUCUGGAUUUGUCGCACAAAGCACUUGCUGGUAUCUUCAAAGGAGUCAUCCAACUCAAUGUUAGAGCUCUCAUCCUCUCCAUUGAACAGCUUGCCGAAGUACCCCCGCGAUCUAUGCUUGACCUCAUUGUCCUUGUCCUUCACCAGGAGUUGGUCUGCUCCUCCUUGGUGCAUUUUACUUGGUUGACAUCUCAUGUCUUCCUCUCUUGGAUUUUGAUCAUCUUGUAGAUGCCCCUUUCGCCUUCCUUCAUGUCUUAAGUGCUAGUAGAGGUCAUCAUACGCCCGACUCCUUGAUUCACUCAAAGCUCGCUUUGCGGCUUUCUUUGCCACCUUGUACUUCUCUAUGUUGUCUGCACUCUUAUCCAAGUGCAGGUGUAUGUAACAGUCUUUCUUCUCCCUAAUAGCCUUUUGGACAUAUCGUUCCACCGCCAGGUAUCUUUAGUUUUGCUUCUACUUCUCCUGGUCACCCCAAACUACUUUGAAGCCACCUUAUGAAUGCAAAUCGUCAUCUUCAUCCACAUAUUAUUUGCAUCACCUCCUUCCUCCGCCCUCCUUAAUAACCCUCAGCUUAAGCGACUAACAUGUUCAUUACGAUGAAUUAAUUGUUUGAUGAACCAUGCUAAUUUUGUUAUUUGUAUGACAUGCUCCUUAAUUUUGUUACAACCAAGCAAUCAGAUACACUUGUUACAAUUUAGCUUCAAAUCUAGCUGAUCCCCUUAAAAUAGAUUAGUAUCUGGCCGAGUAAAGCAUUGUGCAGUAUUUUUACUCCACUAACUUUUGCUCAGACCUAGCCGGUCCCCUAAAUAUAACGGUGUAUAAUUUUUUUUCCAACUUAUGCAAUUCUAGUUUACAUUGCAACUACAUGUUAGCUCACAUAUAGAAACUAAACAUAAAUAUGAAGGUUCAAGCAAAUCAUGAAUACAAACCGAAUUAUUUAAAUUUAAACACACCGAAUGGUUGAAAUGUACUCCCUCUGUUUCAAAUUACUCGUCGUUGAAAUGGAUGUAUCUAGAACUAAAAUACAUCUAGAUACAUCCAUCCGUGCGACAAGUAAUUCGGAACGGAGGGAGUAGCAAAUAACAUGUAAAAGCACAACUAGGAAGUGAUAUGAAGUUGCCAGUGAUGCUCAACAAAAUCUUGUUGGAGCUGGUUAUGAACUUGUCGGUUCUCGAUCGUACUAUGCGCUUCAAGGAAUGCCUGGAUCCAAUUUGGAUCGUACUCUGGCUCAACAGGAGCCCGUUGGUUUUGUAUCAAAAGUUCUCAAGCAUAUUUCUCUCAUCUUCGAUGAUCAUGUUAUGCAAAAUGAUGCAAUAGUUAUGAUUUGCCAUAGAACCUUGGAGCUCCAGUACUCGGCAGGGCCAUGAACAAUCGCAAAGCGCUUCUGAAGCACACCGAAGGCUCUCUCCACAUCUUUCCUAGCUGCUUCUUGAUGUUGGGCAAAGUGAAUAUUAUUGUUACCUUUUGAACGCGGAAUUGUUUUGAUUAAUGUGGCCCAUGGGGGAUAGAUGCCAUUCGCAAGGUAGUAACCCAUCGUGUAGUUGUGCCCAUUGACUGUAUAGUUGCAAGGAGAUCAUCUCUUGAAAUCCCCUGAAAUAAGCCUAGCAAACAAUGGUGAUCUCAACGGCAUAUUCAGGUCAUUGUGAGAGCCAUAUCCAAAAAUCCUUCGAUGUGAUUGCCUCGAGAAUGAUCGUUGGAUUGUUGCAGUGGCCUUUGCACUGACCUUUUCACCCUAUAGGACAGUUCUUCCAGGUCCAGUGCAUACAGUCAAGUGAUCCGAGCAUCCCUGGCCAUCUUCUUGCUUCACACUUAGCCAUUAGCCUCUUGGUGUCUUCCUCGUUGGGUGCCCUCAAGUACUCCGGCCCAAAAACACCAAUAACUGCUUUAGUGAACCUCCGAACCGCCUCCAAGAUUGUGUCUUCACCAAUGCGGACAUAGUCGUCAACUGCAUCGGCUGAACACCCAUAUGCCAAAACUCGAAUAGACGCAAUGCACUUCAUCAGAGGGCUUGCACUUAUCUCUCCGCAUGCAUUCCUUCUAAGCUUCAAAUCAUCAUACUUCUCAACGGCUUUUGCAAUGGUGAGCAGAAGACUUGCGUGCAUCCGAAAGAGUCAACAAAGUACUUCUCCGGAUAGGUCUGACUUGAAUCAAAGUAAUCUCUCAUGAUCUUCUCAUGGCCCUCCGCUCUAUCAUGGUUGAGUUGUAUGCGGCCAAACUGCGAUCCUCUCCUCGGCCGCCGAACAUCAUCAUUGAAAAUCAUGCCAAGAACAGUUUCAAAGUCUUCAUUGUCUUCUUCCUCUUUGGAUGGCAACGAGUCCUCGAAGAUCCUCUCCCUCAACCUCUUCAUAUUCAAUCCAAACGGCUCAGUUCAAUUCGAUUGUACAAAAAAAAAACAAAAAAAAAACUCACUUGGGCAAAUCGUCGAACACUUGCAAGGCGGCGGCGGUGUACCGGCCGGCCGACAAUGUUUAGGCCAAACCAGCGGACGUCGGAAUGACUUGCAACGGUGCGUAAGCACGGUCAGAUGCGGCGGCUGCCAACAAGAAAGAAGAUUCGAGAGCAAUCCGACGAAUCAGUUAAGGCGACGACGGCGGCGUUUCACCUUGAUUCCGGUGAAGGGCUCAGACUCGGGCAGAAGGGCGGCGAGGUCCAAGGGAGACUACAAGGUAGCGGCAUGAGUGGCGAACGGUGGCUGGGAGGUCCGCUGGCGAAGCGGCAGUGGGGUUUGGGGAGGUGAGAGGUCAGAAAUGUUACUCCUGCAAUCACGACUGAGCACAUUUAGGCAUCGGAUAGGAGGCAGAGUAAAUUUUUUACUCCACUAUUCGGUUUAGGGGAUCGUCUAGGUGCCGGCUUGAUGAAUAUCAACUAUAGUUUAGGGGAUCGGCUAGAGUUGCUCUAAGUUCCUAGUCUAUUUAUAUUUUUCUAGCUUUGAAUCUCACUGCUUUACUAAUUAGCCAUGGUAUAUUUUUUUAACAAAGACACCCAAAAGAGUGUCUUAUAUUUGAUAUUCAUCAAGGAAAACAGUAGUCGGUACAAAGAAAAAGACAAUAUGACACAAUAUGUCCAUUGGAAAAUAAAAUUACACCGAAAGGCUUCCUGGCCAACAUAUUCCGUUGAUUGUUUGCCCCCCUGGAGCUUGAAGAUUACAAAGGCAGCAAGGGAAUGGGACACCUACACACAUCAUCGCAAUACAAGUCUUUGAAGACCGCAAUAACCACUUGCCACUAGCAACGAGAUCUAUAAAGCACUAAAAGAACAUCAGGUGGGGGAUCACCCCAAGUAACUCAUGCUUGCAGUUCACCACCAAUCUAGAGGGUUGGAGAAACCAUACGUUGCCGCAGAACGAAUAUAAAAUAAGAGGUUAAAGUCGCCACAUGAAAAGCCAGCCAACUGAUUCCCCUGAACGACACACCAACUGCCACAAUUCGUAGCAAACUAUCAGGUUGGUAGAACUUACCCUCACUAGAUCAUACUUCAUCGAGGCCAGGCGGAUGGAGAUACCUUAUUCCAAUGCACCAUCAUCGCCACCAUCUUGUUGAUGCCACUAAGGAACCAAAACCUACUAGGAAACUAGGACCAGAAAUAACUAAGAACUACGAAGUGGAAGAAUCCCCACACCCUGGCCGCCGGCGUGAUCGCUAGAAGGGAGAUCGCUAGAAGGGAGAGACGAGGGGGACCGAGGCAGCAAUGUGCAGGAGUCUAUUUAACCCCCAGUUAGUAGUUACAAUAGGCAGGCAAACACACAGCUUGUCAAAAUAUAUACUUCGAAAGCAUUUUUCUGAAAAUGUUGUAAAACAAGUUCAUACGUCAAUAAUUUAUAUUACAUUACAUAAGCUAACAGUAAAAUAUAUUUUUAAAAUGGUCAUCGUGUAUUUAGAAAAAUGUUCAUAUAUACACCAUAGUCAUAUUUAUAAAUGAAAAUAAAAAUAAGAUACAAAGAAAAUAAAUAAAAAGAAAAAAGGAAAAACCAGAGAACAAUAAAAACAACCGAAAAGCGAAAACCCACCCUAAACCAAAAGAAACAAGAAAAACCAAAUAAAAACAGGGGGAACGGGCAAUGGGUCUGGCCCGUCGAAGGGAGCGGCAAAGAGGAGUCACUCACAUGGGCCACGCUUACGUUUUGAGCGGCAAAUAGGAGUCACUCGCUGUCCUUGAAGCCUCGCCGGCCGACCCCGAGCUGCGUCCCCGCCAUGAACUCCGUGUCCGCUCGCCGACCACGUCCACGAGCUCCGCUAUGACUAAGGUGCAACUUUGAUACUAUGUUAUGCACCACAGAGAUUGGAAAGCAAGACGAGGCCUUCUUGGAUGUGUCUUAUGUAUGGCAGUCUGCUGUUGACUGUGUGUUUUGGGCAUUCCCCAGUUCUUGGUUGUGUGUAAUUGCACUUGAAGAGACCUGAGCUUAUAAGUAGAUUAUGCAUAUAACCUACUGAUGCUCCUGCAAAGGAUUCAGAGUCCCUGAGUAUUUAUUAGCUCUAUUUUAAAAAGAAUCGUUUGUUCUCCUAUGGGCUCUAAUAUCUUUUUUUUUUAAUUCAUAUUCUCCUCCCAGGAUGUACAUUGAGAAAAUGACAUUGAUGUCAUGACCAUGGUGGUAUAAUUGGAUGGAUGAGAGGAAAUGUGCCCAGAGAAUUGGAAAAUCAAAACAUUUGAAAAGACAGUGUUUACUUACAUUUCAGUGAAUCGGGUUUCUUUGUGUUUGUGCAACAACGAUUUAAUAUGGCUAUCUUACUCUUAUGCGUGUUCUGGUUCCAUUUUGUGUAUCAAGUAGUGCUCUUCGGAAGCAUCAUUGGUGUUGUUUGGAAGCGUUGUUACUGUUGUUCUUUGAAAGCAUCAGUGUAUUGUCUAUGUAGCCAAAAUUUCGCCGCUACUUGUUUCUGUCACUUUGUAUUUGUAGCCGUUCAGUUCUAAACAUGGUAGAUCUUCCUUGUGUUACGAUUAUGCAGGUACUAAGCCUGACCUGGGAGGUUCGUAUAUGGAGAUCCUUUAAGUGUGUUUGUGAUUCUCAAUCUGUCUCCAGUGUUGAGCUUGGGAGCCUCUGGUGUCUUUGGGAGCUGCAAACAGGCUUUUCUGAUCGUGUAUUAUAUAUUUGUGCUGAAUAUCUCAUAUGCACACAGCGCUUAAUCGAACUUCAGACUUAGAAAGGAGUUUUUUGUCGUUUAUUUCUAAUUUCCUUUUCCUUGUUUUCACCAUGCUAUCUGUAACAAUUCCAUGUAUGUCUCUUGGCUUGUGAAAACUUAACAUACAGUUUCCUUGUUUGAGUAAUAGACUAAAUUCUGAUAAUUGUGUAAAAGAAAAGGGAAAUUAACUAAAACUUCAUUAUAUUUCAUAACAUAUACAAUGCAUUGCUGUUUGAUUUUGUUGGAACAAAUAUGACUACUUAAAUUCAAGUGAACCUUUUUAACGAUGUAAUUUGAAAAGUUUAUCCUGAUGCUUUUGAUCAAAUCUAAGGCGUAUGUGCUAAACAGGCAACACUGAUAUUAUGAGUAAAAUCCAAGUUCGCUAGAAAGAAACACCUGCAAUAAAGGACAAGCUGCAUAAAGGUGGAGAGGAUUGGGGAGAAGCCAAGAGCAACUCUAGCAGAUUCCCUAAAGUUGUGGCAUUUAAAACUCUUCUACAUCGCUUAUAACUUUUCUAAAGGUGCAAAGGAAACGAGCAAACGUGGAGUUUCAAAUCUGAUAAUUUUCACUCUUGUAUUUCUUUUAUAUUUUUAUUGCGGGAAUUGUAUUUCUUUUAUACGGGUGUGCAUAUAAACUCUAUUUCAACUCCAACUUUGCAUCAAUGUAAAUCAAAAUUUCUCAUUUUGACACCACAUAAUUUAACGACACUUUCGACCAAUAAGUUCAAAUUUAGCAAUCGGCCAUUGCGAUACCCAGUCAUGUUGGGGAUAUACCCCACGGUAUGACCUGACCGGAGGUAUAACCCGGCCGCUACUUGGCGGCUCAUGAUAACCCGACCAUUAGGCUGUACAGGCGACAAGCCCCAAGAUACAAAUGACGGCUCAUGAGAAGGCCGGCUCGUGACAGGAGUCCGAUGGGCUGGCUCAUAUUGGCGGCUUAACGAUGUCCUGGUCGAUGGGCCGAAGAGAGUGGCAAGGCCCGGAAGGCGACUUACAAAAGUCCAGCUUAUGAGGGAUAAUCAUUGGGCCGGCUUGUCCAAGAAGAGGAAAGUUCCUGACAAGGAAGCAAGAUCUAGACUAGGAUUCGACUUCUAAUAGACUAGUCCUAAUCCUACCUACUAGGCCUCUACAUGUAAGCCGGCCCCUUCAACUUAUAUAAGGAGAGACAAGGCACCCCAAGGGGGACAAUUUUUAGACACACAGACAAGUCUUAGACAAGAUCAAAGUAGAUGCCCUCGAGAUGAAAGGUAGCGAAAUAGCACCCUUGUAAUCGAGAUCAUCACCAUCAUCAAUAUCAAUCAACUAGGAUGUAGGCCUUUACCUCCACAGUGAGGGGCCGAAUCUGGGUAAACUCGCAUCUCUCGAUUCUGACCAACCACAUUCAAGAAAUCACCUAGCAUCAAUGACCUCACGACUAAGUCCUUUUUUUCGAGGACAUCUACCGUGACAAAACCAUGACAGUUGGCGCUCACCGUGGGGCCAGCACACGAUGGUGUUGUGUUCUUGGCGGGAGCUCUUCAGGGAUCGAGAACAUCGCGAUUGGUUGGACGAAGAAGAGCCGGCACAGAACAAUCGCCCACAACAACCCGUCAGGGAACAACCUUGUGACGGAAGAGCAACGUGCGCCGUGGAUUCAGAUUUCGGUGGGUCCAAUCUUCAUCAACUAUAGUGGCAACUUCAUCGUCGCAUCAAACUCCAUGACUCAGACUGAAGAUAACUUCACCAGCGCAUGCGCGGGGGCUCGUCAUGUCCUACGCUCUCAAAAAAUAAUAUUUACAAGAUUGACAUCUAUCAGCAGAUGUCUCGGCAUUAUUAUCUUCAAAGUUGUGCGAUCACGGCUUGCGUGUCACCGGCGAGAUCAUGUGUGGUCUGAGUCACACGCGCAUUGGAUUCCAUCUGGACUCGGAGUUCUAAAUCGUCACGAAGUUAUAUGGAGUUAAUUAAUAGUAAUAUCCUCUGACAGCUGCACAAGGAAAUAGUUUAAAGUAACUAGCAAAAAGGUCCGUGCGUUGUAACGGGAGAAAAAAAUACACAUGCUCUUAAUUUAUAAAAAAUGUUCUACAAUCUUAGAAUUUGUAGCUACGGCCCAAACAAAGAUGGUCUGCCUACAAAAGCGCAAUUCAAGAUUCCACAUGUAUUCUAUUGCACACGGCUUGCAUAUAGAUUUAAUCAGUACAAAGAAACGGGCAAGUGAUCAUGCAUUUAUUCAUGUCAGGUGUGAAAAUGGGGUAUUGUUACGCCUGUAAAGGAAAACAACAAAAACAAACGAUGACACAUUAGCACACUACGGAGACAUAUGUGCAUAUAGGGCGAUUUCUAUUCCGGGUUUAAUGUUAGAAAAAUCAGAAGGUUUUCUAUAAAAUAGCAUGACAGAUUAAGAAUAUCUACUUCUUUUAUAGUAGGUAUGGAUACUUGUUACGUGUUGCGAUGGAAUCAAGAAUAAGCACAGAGGUCAACAACCCACUAGUUGGAUCAAGUCCCAAAGAAAAAAAAGGAGAAAGACUAGCACGACCGGCCGUCCGAUCCUGAAGUACGGAUAUCUCUUAUUUAAUUAAUGCAUCUAUAUACUUGGUAAAGGGUGAAAGGCUGGCCUUUUGCCUGGUGUUUUGUUCCACUCUUGCCGUCCUAGUGUCCGUCAUACCAGUGUUAUGUUCCUUGAUUUUGCGUCCCUAACAUGGUGAGGGUUUAUGGGCCCCUCUUGACAGUUUACUUUGAAUAAAACUCUUCUAGCAAGUCCCAACAUUGGUUUUACAUUUGCCAUAAUAAUAUUGAACUAAAUAAUUAAUUGGCAUAGGGCGUCAUGAACCGGAGGAUUCUUUUCUACAUACAUGGGGGGCCAGUGCGGAUGGUGUUGGUCCCAAACUAGAGCAUCGUGCGGGACCGCCUCUUGGCAACUUGGUGUAUCUGGUACCUGUACGCUUAGCUCAUCCGGACGUGGCCUGAGACGAGACAUGCGGCUACUAUCAGGGUGUCGGCACGCCGGGAGGUCUUGCUGGACUUGUUUUACCAUUGUCGAAAUGUCUUGUGCACCGGGAUUCUGAGUCUAAUCGGAGGGUCCCGCGCUGGAGGAUUGUCUCCGCGGAUCAUGAGCUUGUCAUGGGCUAAGUUGGGACACCCCUGCAGGGUUUAAAAUUUUGAGAGCCAUGCCCACGGUUAUGUGGCAGAUGGGAAUUUGUUAAUAUUCGGUUGUAGUGAACUUGAAGUAAACUCAAUUAAGAUACACCAACCGUGUACGUAACCGUGAUUGUCUCUUUUCGGGGAAGUUCAAGAGGAGAACAUGGUUGGGUUAUGUUUGAACAUAAGUAGUUCAGGAUCACUUAUUGAUCAUUACCAGUUUGCGACCAUUUGCGUAGUUUCUCAUCUUAUUCUUAUACUCGUAAGUUAGCCACCAUACUUGCUUAGUCGCUUGCUGCAACCUCACCACUUAUCUUUUCCAUACCCAUUAAGUCUUGAUACCCAUGGUAAUGGGAUUGCUGAGUCCUCGUGGCUCACAUAUUACUACAACAACAGUUGCAGGUACAGGUAAUGCGAUGAUCAUGACGUGAGAGCGAUGUUCAUUUGUUUUGGAGUUCUUCGUCUUCUCCAUCGAUCUUGGGUUAGGUUCCUGGUCGGCAUGCUGGGCUAGCAGGGUGGAUGUCGUUUGAGUUUCUGUUUGUGUUUCAUUCGUAGUCGGAUGUUGUUCUCAGGUAUGAUGUUUGAUGUAUUCUUGUGGCAUUUGUAUGCCCUUUGUAUGUAUCCCCGGCUAUUAUGUAAUGGUACGAUGUAAUGAUAUCCACCUUGCAAAAAAGCGUCUCCAAUAUGCGCUUCUAUCCUUGGUGGGACCGUCGAGUUCCUUUAGGAUAGGGUCGCAUAUUGGGCGUGACAUAUUGGCUCCUACAUAUUCUACUAAGAUCUUUAUCGGUCAAACCGUAAUGAAAACAUACACAAUUCCCUUUGUUCGUCGGUAUGUUACUUGCCCGAGAUUCGAUCAUCAAUAUCUCUAUACCUAGUUCAAUCUUGUUACCGGCAAGUCUCUUUACUCGUUCCGUAAUACAUCAUCCCAUGACUAACUCAUUAGUCAUUUGCUUGCAAGGCUUAUUAUGAUGUGAAUUACCGAGAGGGCCCAGAGAUACCUCUCCAAUACUCGGAGUGACAAAUCCUAAUCUCGAUCUAUGCCAACUCAACAAACACCUUCUGAGAUACCUGUAUAGAAUCUUUAUAAUCACCCAGUUACGUUGUGACGUUUGAUAGCACACAAGGUAUUCCUCCGGUAUCUGGGAGUUGCAUAAUCUCAUAGUCAAAGGAAUAUGUAUUUGACAUGAAGAAAGCAAUAGCAAUAAAACUGAACGAUCAUAAUGCUAAGCUAAUGAAUGGGCUUUGUCCAUCACAUCAUUCUCCUAAUGAUGUGAUCCCAUUAUCAAAUGACAACUCAUGUCCAUGGUUAGGAAACCUUAACCAUCUUUCAUCAACGAGCUGGUCAAGUAGAGGCUCACUAGGGAAAUAGUGUUUGUCUAUGUAUUCACAUAUGUAUUUAGGUUUCUGAUCAAUACAAUUCUAGCAUGAAUAAUAAAAAUUUAUCAUGAAUAAGGAAAUAUAAAAUAACAACUUUAUUAUUGUCUCUAGGGCAUAUUUCCUUUAAAUUUAACAGGCGCAAUGGACCAGACUUCGACGAACCCGCGCCCACUGAUGGCGGGUACUUACCCUUCGAGGUUGGGUGCUCUGCCUUCACUCGCGAGCUGCGGCAAGUCCGCUGGCCAUCUGCCCGUGUCUUCAAGCCUGAGCUACCAGAAAAGUACAAUGGAAAGCCGAACCCGAUAGAGUUCUUGAGCAUUUACAAUGGAAAGCCAAACAUCCGUGUAACCGCGAGGGUCGGCUCUGAUACCAACUUGUAACGUCCCGGACAAACCCGCCGGUGGUCGUUACUCCUGGCAGGAUUUAGACUGGCUGAGGGAGUCCUAGACUAGGGGGUGUCCGGAUAGCCGAACUAUCAUCUUUGGCCGGACUCCAAGACUAUGAAGAUACAAGAUUGAAGACUUUGUCCCGUGUCCGGGUAGGACUUUCCUUGGCGUGGAAGGCAAGCUUGGCGAUACGGAUAUGUAGAUCUCCUACCAUUGUAACCGACUCUGUGUAACCCUAGGCUUCUCCGGUGUCUAUAUAAACCGGAGGGUUUUAGUCCGUAGGACGAACAACAAUCAUACCAUAGGCUAGCUUCUAGGGUUUAGCCUCCUUGAUCUCGUGGUAGAUCUACUCUUGUACUACCCAUAUCAUCAAUAUUAAUCAAGCAGGAGUAGGGUUUUACCUCCACCGAGAGGGCCCGAACCUGGGUAAAAACAUCGUGUCCCUUGUCUCCUGUUACCAUCCGCCUAGACGCACAGUUCAGGACCCCCUACCCGAGAUCCGCCGGUUUUGACACCGACAUUGGUGCUUUCAUUGAGAGUUCCUCUGUGUCGUCACCUAUAGGCCCGAUGGCUCCUUCGAUCAUCAACAACAACGCGGUCCAGGGUGAGACUUUUCUCCCUGGACAGAUCUUCGUAUUCGGCGGCUUUGCACUGCGGGCCAAUUCACUUGGCCAUAUGGAGCAGAUCGAAAGCUACGCCCCUGGCCAUUAGGUCAGAUUUGGAAGUUUGAACUAUAUGGCCACAUCCGCGGAGACUUGAUCUUCGAUGGAUUCGAGCCACAGCCGAGCGCACCGCACUGUCACGAUGGGCAUGAUUUAGCUCUGCUUCCGGACAGAGCCCUGGAGGCCGCACAAGAGUCCGCUCCGACCCUUAGCUCGGAGCCGACUGCGCCGAUCGAGGAUGGGUGGCUGGACACCGCCUCGGGGGCUGCUACCUCUACGGCGAUAGAGCCGAAUACCGACCCUGUCCCUUGUGAAGCUCGUGACUCCAAGGUGCUGGACUCCUCUCCGAACCCCGAACCUUUCGCGCCCCUGCCAAUCGAAUCCGAUUGGGCGCCGAUCAUGGAGUUCACCGCUGCGGACAUCUUUCAGCACUCGCCUUUUGGCGACAUCCUGAAUUCGCUAAAGUGUCUCUCUUUAUCAGGAGAGCCCUGGCCGGAUUAUGGUCAGAACGGUUGGGAUGCGGACGACAAAUAAAUUCAAAGCCCACCCACCACCCACUUCGUAGCCACUGUCGAUGACUUAACCGACAUGCUAGACUUCGACUCCGAAGACAUCGACGGUAUGGACGAGGAUGCUGGAGACGACCAAGAACCAGCGCCUACAGGGCACUGGAAGGCCACCUCGUCAUACGACAUAUACAUGGUGGACAUCCCAAAGGAUGGGAAUGGCGAUGGAACAGCAGAGGACGACCCCUCCAAGAAACAGCCUAAGCGCCGGCGUCAGCGGCGCCGCUCUAAAUCCCGCCACAGCAAAAAUGGAGAUUCCGGCACUGGAGACAAUAACACCCCGGACAGUGCCGAAGACAACCCCCUCCAGCAAGAUUCAGCACAGGAGGAUGGAGAAGCCAGCCCUCAUGAGAGAGCGGCAGACAGAGAGGUAGAGGACGAUAAUUAUAUGCCUCCCUCCGGAGACGAGGCAAGCCUCGACGACGACGAAUUUGUCGUGCCUGAGGAUCCCGUCGAACAAGAGCGUUCCAAAUGCAGGCUUAUGGCCACGGCAAGCAGCCUCAAGAAAAAGCAGCAACAUCUUAGAGCUGACCAAGACUUGCUAGCCGACAGAUGGACUGAAGUCCUUGCGGCCGAAGAGUAUGAACUCGAACGCCCCUCCAAAAGCUACCCCAAACGCAAGAUGCUACCCCGAUUAGAGGAGGAAGCACAUAAACAUACAUCACCAGCGCACAAUACGGACGACCGGCCACCUCGUGGCCGUGACAGAGAGGCCUCUAGGCCCUCCACUAAAGCCGCACCCCGGCGUCGCUCGAAAAGUACAAAGCCACGGGGGAAUGCGCCGGACUUGCGAGACAUAUUGGAGGAUAAGGCAAGACAAACAAGAUCGAUCUACGGAUCGCGUGGGCGCCCCACGAUACAUGACGACAACCGUCAUGCCGGAUACAACAAUUCCGGCCGGGCCGAACACAGUAGACGAAGCUCGUUUGAGCUGCGUCGUGAUAUAGCCCAAUAUAGAGGCGCCGCACACCCACUAUGCUUCACAGACGAAGUAAUGGAUCAUCAAAUCCCCGAGGGUUUCAAACCCGUGAACACUGAAUCAUACGACGGCACAACAGAUCCUGCGGUUUGGAUUGAGGACUAUCUCCUUCACAUCCACAUGGCCCGCGGUGAUGAUCUACAUGCCAUCAAAUACCUCCCACUCAAGCUUAAAGGACCAGCUCGGCAUUGGCUCAACAGCUUGCCAGCAGAAUCAAUUGGGUGUUGGGAAGACCUGGAAGCUGCAUUCCUCGAUAACUUCCAGGGCACAUAUGUGCGACCACCAGACGCCGAUGACCUAAGCCACAUAAUUCAGCAGCCAGACGAAUCGGCCAGACAAUUCUGGACACGGUUCUUAACCAAGAAAAAUCAAAUCAUCGACUGUUCGGAUGCAGAGGCCCUUGCAGCCUUCAAACAUAACAUCCGUGACGAGUGGCUUGCCCGGCACCUAGGACAAGAAAAGCCGAAAUCCAUGGAAGCCCUCACAUCACUCAUGACCCGCUUCUGUGCAGGAGAGGACAACUGGCUAGCUCGCAGUAACAACCUGACCAAAAACUCUGGUAGUCCGGAUACCAAGGACAGCAAUGGCAGGUCGCGUCGCAAUAAGCACAAGCGCCGCAUUAACGGCGAUAAUACUGAAGAUACGACAGUCAAUGCCGGAUUCAGAGGCUCUAAACCCGGUCAGCGGAAAAAGCCAUUCAAAAGAAAUACUCCGGGCCCAUCCAAUUUGGACCGAAUACUCGAUCGCUUGUGCUAGAUACACGCCACCCCCGAAAAGCCAGCCAAUCACACCAACAAGGAUUGUUGGGUGUUCAAGCAGGCAGGCAAGUUAAUCGCCGAAAAUAAUGACAAGGGGCUGCAUAGCGAUGACGAGGAGGAGACGCGGCCGCCGAACAAUAGACGACAGAAGGGUUUCCCCCCACAAGUGCGGACGGUGAACAUGAUAUAUGCAGCCCACAUACCCAAAAGGGAGCGGAAGCGUGCACUCAGGGACGUAUACGCGAUGGAGCCAGUUGCCCCAAAGUUCAACCUAUGGUCCUCCUGCCCGAUCACUUUUGAUCGAAGGGACCACCCCACCAGCAUCCGCCAUGGCGGAUUCGCCGCAUUGGUUCUAGACCCAAUCGACGAGGGAUUUCACCUCACUAGAGUCCUGAUGGAUGGCGGCAGUAGCCUGAACCUACUUUAUCAGGAUACAGUGCACAAGAUGGGCAUAGAACCGUCAAGGAUUAAACCCACAAAAACGACCUUUAAAGGCGUCAUACCAGGUGUAGAGGCCAAUUUUACAGGCUCAGUUACACUUGAAGUGGUCUUCGGAUCCCCGGAUAACUUCCGAAGCGAGGAGUUAAUCUUCGACAUAGUCCCGUUCCGCAGCGGCUAUCAUGCACUGCUCGGGCGAACCACAUUUGCAAAGUUCAAUGCGGUUACGCACUACGCAUACCUCAAGCUCAAGAUGCCAGGCCCUCGAGGAGUCAUUACGGUCAACAAAAACACCGAACGCUCUCUCCGAACGGAGGAGCAUACAGCGGCUCUCGCGGCGGAAGUACAAAGCAGCCUCUUAAGGCAAUUCUCGAGUUCGGCUGUUAAGCGGCCGGACAUUGUCAAGCGCGCCCGGAGUAACCUACAACAAGACCACCUGGCACGUUCCGAGCACGCGUAGCAAUACGGCCCCAACCCCAGCCCUCGCGAAAUCGCGAAACCAGUGCCACGCGUACAUAACUACGCUCCGGAGAUACCAUGGGCACAGGGGAGGGGCACGACCACGGAAUGCCCAGAGUGCGGCUCAACCACACCAGGGGCUCCCAAAUGUGUCAUUCCUUUAUUUUUCUUUCUUAUUCUCAGGACUCCGUUUUCCAGAAGCCUUGUCCGGCAGUAGACUUGCCGAGCUCACGAUGCAACAGCCAGGGAAGCAGAAAAGCUACGUCUAGUAUCCAGGUGGUCUCCAUUACGAGCAUUAUACCUGUUUUACAUACCAUUCCGCAGCCUACCCCUGGAGGAGGACAUGUUAAAUAGUCCCAUCCCUUGCUUAUCGCACUAUUUAUAUCAUUCUGCUUUCAUCAUAGUAUUUUUUGAAUAAAUAAUGCAUCGCUUUUUCCCUAUCAUUGCAUUCCUUUUUUUCUAUAUAUGUUCACUUAUGACAUGUUGCACCCGUACGCUUUGGUACGGCCAAAUACACCAGGGGCUUAAGUUCCCCGAAGUAUGGUGUGAUAAGUCCGAACACUUUCACAAGUGCGGCACCCCGAACUUAUAGCAUUAUAUGCAUCGGCUCCGAAUCAUGUCUUGGGUCAAUAGUUGGGUUUGCCCGGCUCCCAUGUUUUGGUACCUUACGUUCCGUUACAUCAGCUAAGGUAGCGCUGGGAGAACCACUGCGAUUGUGCCCUGGUUGAGCUGGGUUGAGCACCUCAAUGGAGAAAGCUAAAACUGACCGUCAUGAUAAGGCGAGAGCUGGUCGCUGUUCGAGAGGUUUUUUCGAGUCCCUAAAGACUUAUGCCGCUUAGAGCGAGGAGCCGGCUUUGUCCGGCCCAGGCGUGGAUAGCGCCCCGAAUUCGGUCUUCCGAACACUAGGGGCUUCGCCGAAAUUUAAAAUUAUAGAAUUCUAUGGCUAAGUGGGAGUGUUCAAGCAUUAUAAGUCCGGUUGCCUCGUUCGUUGUGUUGAGCGCCUCCCUCGAAGGACCCAAAAAUGGGAACAAGAGCGCUCAAGUUUAUCCCGAACACCCCAGCACGCGUGGCAUGGGGGCUGAAGCCAACGACUUGCCAUCUCUCAGAUUUGAUAAACGGCCGCACAGAAGGUAAUAUUUUAAAUUAACAAGCGUUGCUUAGCGCAUAUGAACAAAGUUUUCAGCGCACAGGAUAACAAAAUGCCAGUCUAUUAAAAAAUUACAUCUUUGGAGCAUUCACCCGCUAUAAGGCGGGCACCCUUCAGGACACCCUUAUAAUACAUCUCGGGCGUGCGAUACUCCUUGCCCGGCGGUGGCGCGUCCGUCACAAGCUUCUCGGCGUCCAUCCUGCCCCAGUGCACUUUAGCACGGGCAAGGGCCCGACGGGCACCUUCAAUGCAGGCGGUGUGCUUGAUGACUUCAACCCAUGGACAGGCAUCCACCAACUGCCGCACCAAACCGAAGUAGCUCCCAGGCAUGGCUUCUUUGGGACACAACCAAACUAUGAGGCCCUUCAUGGCCUGUUCGGCCACCUUGUGGAACUCGACCAGCUGCUUCAGCUGGUCGCUCAGGGGCACCGGAUGUCCGGCCUCAGCAUACUGAGACCAGAACACCUUUUCCGUCGAGCUCCCCUCCUCGGCCUGGUAGAAUGCGGCGGCAUCGGACACACUGCGGGGCAGAUCUGCGAAUGCUCCUAGAGAGCUCCAGAUUCGGGUAAGUAACAAAUAAUUCACUUUCACGUGCUUGCUUUGCAUGAAGAAUGCCUUACCUGCCGCUAUCUUCUUUAUCGCCUCAAUUUCCUGGAGGGCUUUUUGGGCUUCGUUCUUGGCGGAUUUGGCACUCUCAAGAGCCGAGGCGAGCUCGGACUCUCGAGUCUUCGAGUCACGCUCCAAACUCUCGUGUUUCUCCACGAGAGUCUGGAGCUCUUGCCACACCUCCGCCACCCGCGUCUCCUGCUUCUCUCGCUUGGUGCGUUCCGCGGCCGCAUUGCGUUCGGCCUCAGACACCGCUUCCUUCAGGGUCGCCACCUCGUUCGUGGCCCCUGCAAUACCCACGUUAUCCCUGUCAUUUUUUGCAACCAAAUCCUUUUCUAUAAGGUAUUACUUUAAUAAGGUAUUACUUACCUUCCUUGUCCUCGAGCUGCUUCUUGGCACGGCCGAGCUCGUUCUCGGACCGCUCGACGCUCUGCUUCAAUGCAUUGACCUCCGCAGUCAGUGCGGCAGAGGUCAGCAGCGCAGUCUGCAUUCCCAUAUUGACAUAUUUGCGUUAGACUCCUGCGUAUAUCUUUUUAGAUCCUCAGUUCGGUUUUUCUUUCCGAACACCAAACUGAGCAUCAGGGGCUACUGUCUAUGCGGUACUACUUUUACAUAUCUUAAAUUACUUACCUCAAAGCCUGUUAGAAGGCUGGAGCAGGCUUCAGUCAGCCCGCUCUUAGCGGACUGAACCUUCUGAAUCACCGCACCUCAUGACAGUGCGGUGCUCCUCGUCGAUGGAAGCGCCAUUGAGCGCCUCCAGCAAACUAUCCGGCGCCUCCGGUUGGACGGAGGUCACCGGCGUCGCAGUCUCGCCCUUCUUACGAAGGGGCCGCCCGCCGGACUCCGGAACCACUAAAGGUUCCGGUGCAGAGUCCGGUCCAAAGUCCGGAAGGUUGCCCUACGGCACCUCCGGGACCUCCUCCUCCUCGUUGGGCCCCUUCUGGGACCCCACCUCAGCAUUGUCUAUGUCACGGGGGGAGGAGGCGGCCGGAAGUGAAGUGCUAUUCACAUCCGACGGACCCAGGGACCCGCUCGACGAAGCGGGGAGAUCGUCCUUGGGCGGGCUACAUGGUUGUAUUCGGUGUUAGAAGACACUAUGCGACAAAAGAGAAAUCGCGAGUUGUUAUGGAAUCCAGACACUUACGAUCUCGCCAGGGGCUUGACCCUCGAGGGCCACUCCUCUUCACCAUCGUCGGCGUUGGUGGAACAAUCCGGAAGAAGGGUGCUUCCCUUCUUGGACCCUCCGGCCUCCCCCGUUGGGGAAGCCUUCCUCUUCUUCUCACCUCCCGCUGGGGGAGAGGCCUCUUUCUUCUCCUCCUCGUCUUCGCGGGAGGAGUCCGCCUCGGAGUCAUCGGACGAUGAGUCCGAUAACACCUGGCGCCGAGAACUCCUCCGAGUUCCCGUGGCCUUCUUCUUGGCCUUCUUCUCCGGCACCACGUAAGGCGCCGGAGCCAGCAGUCCCGUUAAUCGGGCAUCCGCUGGGUCUUCUGGCAAGGGAGCCGGACAGUUAACCUGCCCGGACGUCUUCUGCCAGGCAUGUUAAAGGUAAAGGGAGUUUAGAUCCCGCAUAGAGUCAAACUAUGAAAAACAAACGCCCCGUAAAGGGUGGAAUAGCUUACCUCGCCGGCUGGACGCUGCGAGCUGAAUCCGCGAUCUUCGGUAGCGGAUGCGGGGGCCUCGGCGCCCUUAAACAGCACCUUCCAGGCAUCUUCGUACGUAAUGUCGAAGAGCUUGCUUAAGGUUUGGUGCUGUGCCGGAUCAAACUCCCACAAAUUAAAAGCCCGCUCCUGGCACGGGAGGAUCCGGCGGAUGAGCAUGACAUGGACUAUGUUGACAAGCUUGAGCUUCUUGUUCACCAAAGUUUGGACGCAGGAUUGGAGUCCGGUCAGCUCCUCCGAAUCACCCCAUGAUAGGCCCUUCUCUUUCCAAGAGGUGAGCCGUGUGGGGAUGCCAGAUCUGAAUUCGGGGGCCGCUGCCCAUUCAGGGUCACGCGGCUCGGUGAUAUAGAACCACCCCGAUUGCCACCCCUUUAUGGUCUCCACAAAGGAGCCCUCGAGCCAUAGGACAUUGGGCAUCUUGCCCACCAUGGCACCUCUGCACUCUGCUUGGCGGACGCCCACUACCUUCGGCUUGACAUUGAAGGUCUUGAGACAUAAGCCAAAGUGGGGCUGGAUGCAGAGGAAGGCCUCGCACACGACGAUGAACGCCGAGAUGUUGAGGAUGAAAUUCGGGGCCAGAUCGUGGAAAUCCAGGCCAUAGUAGAACAUGAGCCCCCGGACAAAUGGGUGAAGUGAAAAACCUAGUCCGCGGAGGAUGUGGGUGAGGAACACCACCCUCUCAUGGGGCCUGGGGGUGGGGACGAGCUGCCCCUCGUCUGGAAGCCGGUGCGUGAUAUCAUUGUGUAGGUAUCUGGCUUUCCUUAACUUUUUGAUGUGCCCCUCCGUGACGGAGGAGGCCAACCACUUGCCUCCCGCUCCGGACAUGGUUGGAGAAGGUCGAGGCAAGAUGUGCGGACUUGGGCGCUGGAGCUCGAGUGCGCGGAGAUGGAUAAGCAAAGGAGGAAGAAGGCGUAGGUAAAAAGGUGGAUCCUUAUCCCCUUAUAUAUUGGCGGACAAAGCUAUGCGUCCCCACCAGCCUGAUAAAACUCGCUUAUCUCCCAAGCGCCGCAAUCAAUGGCGUGGUUGGGUUACCCACGCCCGUAUUGAUGAGAAUCUCGGAAUAAGGGGACACGAUCUCUGCUUUGACAAGACGUGUCGAGGAAAGCGCUUCGCUAAACGUGCUGAGGUGGAACAGUAAAAACGAUUCGAGUAAAAGCUUGGCUGCGGUGUGAUGUCACGCCAUGGAAUACGUCAGCAGAUUGAACUAGUGUAAAUAUUAUUCUCUCUACGGUGGUAUGUGGAAUUUAUUUUGCAGAGCCAGACACUAUCCUGGUGUUCAAAACCUUCUAUGAUUUAUUCGGAGGAGGAACCCGCCUUGCAAUGCCGAAGACAAUGUGCGCGCCGAACUCGUCAUCAUUGAAGCCUGGUUCAGGGGCUACUGAGGGAGUCCUGGACUAGGGGGUGUCCGGAUAGCCGAACUAUCAUCUUUGGCCGGACUCCAAGACUAUGAAGAUACAAGAUUGAAGACUUCGUCCCGUGUCCGGAUGGGACUUUCCUUGGCAUGGAAGGCAAGCUUGGCGAUACGGAUAUGUAGAUCUCCUACCAUUGUAACCGACUCUGUGUAACCCUAGCCCUCUCUGGUGUCUAUAUAAACCGGAGGGUUUUAGUCCGUAGGACGAACAACAAUCAUACCAUAGGCUAGCUUCUAGUGUUUAGCCUCCUUGAUCUCGUGGUAGAUCUACUCUUGUACUACCCAUAUCAUCAAUAUAAAUCAAGCAGGAGUAGGGUUUUACCUCCACCGAGAGGGCCCGAACCUGGGUAAAAACAUUGUGUCCCUUGUCUCCUAUUACCAUCCGCCUAGACGCACAGUUCGGGACCCCCUACCCGAGAUCCGCCGGUUUUGACACCGACACUGGCCCCACAGAUCAAUACUAGUCUUUUUUGCGCACUUUUUCCUCACUCGUGCACACCCGGGAGCAACUUCCCGGUCGGUCACCCAUCCUAAAACUACUCCAAGCUGAGAACGCUUAACUUUGGAGUUCUUUCCGAAUGGGCUCCCGGAAAAGAAGGAAUUCCUUAUUGAUAUGAAUGGUCUAUCGUCCCUAAUAAGCUAGGCUAUCACACCAGCCCCUGAGCCUUCCAACUGCCUGGAUCCAUUGAAGUGAAUAGUCCAAUAUGUGCUAUCCGGCUUCUUCUCAGGCAUCUGCAGCUCAGUCCAGUCAUUGAUAAAAUCCACAAGCGCUUGAGACUUGAUAGCCGUCCGAGGCAUAUACUUCAAACCAUGGGGUCCGAGCUCAAUGGCCCAUUUGGCUACCCGACCUGUGGCUUCUCUGUUUUGAAUAAUAUCCCCAAGGGAGCAGAACUCACCAAAGUGAUGGGAUGACCAAGGAAAUACUGCUUCAACUUAAGACUAGCCAUGAACACUCCAUAUACCAGUUUCUGCCAAUGUGGAUACCUCUGCUUGGAUUCAAUGAGAACCUCACUGAUAUAAUAAACUGGCCGUUGAACUGGAUACUCCUUGCCUGACUCCUUCCGUUCCACAAAAAUCGCCACACUGACAGCUCGACUAUUAGCAGCCACAUAUAACAACAAUGGCUCCUUGUUAAUAGGAGCAGCAAGGAUCGGUGGCUCAGCUAACUGUUUCUUCAGGGCUUCCAACGCCUGAUCAGCAGCAUCACUCCAAACAAAGUGAUAUGUUUUCUUCAUCAUCUAGUAUAGAGGGAUAGCUUUUUCACCCAACCGGCUUAAGGCCGCAAUACGACCCGCCAGACGCUUAACAUCAUUAAUACACGCCGGUUUAGCCAAGGAAUUGAUAGCCUUGAUUUUCUCCGGGUUAGCUUCAAUACCCCGUUCAGAAACCAGAAAACCCAAGAGCUUGCCUGCUGGUACACCAAAAACACAUUUGGCCGGGUUAAGCAUCAUCUUGUAAACCCGGAGAUUGUCAAAGGUCUCUUUCAAAUCAUCUAUCAAAGUAUAUUUCUUCUUGAUUUCACCACAAUAUCAUCCACAUAAGUAUGAACAUUGCGCCCAAUCUGACCAUGAAGGCAAUUUUGAACACACCACUGGUAAGUCGCCUGGGCACUCUUGAGCCCAAAAGGCAUAGACACAUAGAAGAAGGCUCCAAAGGGAGUGAUGAAGGUUGUCUUCUCCUGUUCCUUAACUGCCAUCUUGAUAUGAUGAUACCCUGAAUAGGCAUCCAAGAAACUCAAACAUUCACAACCCGUCGUUGCAUCAAUAAUCUUGUCAAUACGAGGGAGAGCGAAAGGAUCGACCGGGCAUGCUUUAUUAAGGUCUGUGUAGUCCACACACAUAUGCAAGGUACCAUUUUUCUUAAGUACCAGCACCGGGUUAGCCAACCAUUUAGGAUGAAAAACUUCAACAAUGAACCCAGCUGCCAGGAGCCUAGCCACUUCUUCACCAAUGGCCUUAUGCCUCUCUUCAUUAAAGCGAUGAAGGAAUUGUUUAACCAGUUUAAACUUUGGAUCAAUAUUGAGAGUGUGCUCAGCGAGUUCUCUCGGUACACCUGGCAUGUCUAAAGGCUUCCAUGCAAAGAUGUCCUGGUUCUCACGAAUGAACUCGAUGAGAGCGCUUUCCUAUUUUGGAUCCAAAUUAGCACUGAUACAUGAACUACUUAGAUGAGUCGCCAGGAAUAAAGUCAAUCAACUUAGUGUCAUCUGCUGACUUAAACUUCAACAAGGGGUCAUGCUCUGUGGUUGGCUUCUUCAAAGGUGUCAUAUCCGCCGGGUCAACAUUAUCUUUAUAAAACUUCAACUCUUUUGUUGCACAAAUAGACUCAGCAUAAGCAGCAUCACCUUCUUCACAUUCCAAGGCUAUCUUCCUGUUGCCAUGCACAGUGAUGAUGCCCUUGUAACCCGGCAUCUUGAGCUGCAGAUAAAUAUAACAAGGCCUUGCCAUAAACUUGGCAUAAGCCAACCGCCCAAACAAGGCAUGAUAAGGGCUCUUAAUCUUAACCACUUCAAAGGUCAAUGUCUCUGCUCUGGGAUCAUGCUCAUCACCAAAAGCCACCUCCAAAGCUAUCUUUCCCAUGGGAUACGCCGACUUACUAGGCACCACUCCAUUAAAGACAGUAUUAGAUGGCUUAAGAUCCUUAUCAGUCAAGCCCAUACGACGGAAAGUAUCAUAGUAAAGGAUAUUGAUGCUGCUGCCUCCAUCCAUGAGUACUUUAGUGAACUUGUACCCUCCAACCUGAGGUGCAACCACCAAAGCCAACUAACCCGGAUUGUUAACCCGGGGCGGGUGAUCCUCACAGCUCCAAAGAAUAGGAUGUUCAGACCAUCGCAAGAAACAGGGAACCACCGGCUCAACUGCGCUCACCGCCCUUUUAUGAAUCUUCUGAUCUCGUUUGCAUAAACUCAUGGUGAACACAUGAUAUUGUCUACUAUUAAACUGCUUUAGGUUACUCUGAUAACUAGAUUGCUGCUACUGAUUCCCUUGACCAGACUGUUGAUUGAAACCACCUUGCUUUCCUUGGCCCUGGAAACCAGAACUUGAGCCGCCUCCACCAAAGCCAGGCCCGUGAGAGCCGGAUCCUGAAACGCCAUUUGGGCCAUGAUUGUUCUGGAAAAGAUUGGAAUUUCUGUACUCCCUCAUGAUGAAGCAAUCCUUCCAUAGAUGAUUGGCCGGCUUCUCGUGCGUACCAUGCUUCGGGCAAGGCUGAUUCAUCAUCGCCUCCAGGUUGAACUUUGGCCCACCAAGCCGGGGCAGCUUUCCCUUCCGACGCUGAUUAUUGUUCUGCGUAUUGGUGUAGGCCACAAAGUCUAAACCGCCCUCAGCCUUGCGUUUACCAUUGCCAUCGUGACCCGCCGUGUUAUGCCGCUGUCCCUUCGCAUUGCCACUCUUCUCCCCCUUACCAUACUUCUCCUCAUCCGAGUCGGGGUCUUUAGUGCUAUCAGAGUCGGCAUAUUUGACAAGAGCCGCCAUGAGCUCUCCCAUGUCAUUGCAAUGGUGUUUAAGCCACCCAGUUUCUGCUUAAGGGGAAGGAAACGACAAUUCUUUUCCAACAUCUGGACUACUGAACCGGCAUUAAUACUAUCCGAUGUAUGUAUGACAGCUGAGAUCCAACGCACCCAAUUGGUUGUCGACUCACCCUCGCCUUGGACACAAGAGUCUAAAUCUAGGAUUGACAUGGGUUGCUUGCAUGUGUCUUUAAAUUUUUGGAUGAAACGUGAUUUCAACUUUUCCCAUGAUCUAAUGGAGUUAGCCGGUAGCCCUUUCAACCAAGUAUGAGCCGGCCCAUCCAACAUCAUGGUGAAAUACUUAGCACAUGCAACAUCACUAACAUCCAACAUCUCCAUAGCCAUCUCAUAGCUCUCGAUCCAAGCCUCCGGGGGUUAAUCCACUAUGUAAUUAGGCACGUUUUGAGGGCCCUUGAAAUCCUUAGGCAAACGCUCGUUGCAUAGAGCCAGCACUAAACAUGGCACACCCAGGGUUCUAGAGGUCAGUCCUGCCUCCACAGACGCUGACGGAUAGACCGGGGAUUGCCGUUGAGCCGCUAGCUGAGCCACCAACUCCGCCUCCUGACGUGCCGUGCCCUAAUCAACCAAAGUCUGGGCAUCAUUUCCACCGCACGCUGGGUCAUGCCUAUGAGGCUGGUUACGGUGUUUCUCACUGCUUGAAACUGCUGGCGAGUCAAUGUGCGUGCUAUAACUCCGGCUUGGUCGAGGGGUUGAGUGAAUCUGCUCGCCACUACAAGAAUAAGCCGCCUGUUGAGCCACAGCUGUCUGAAGAAGCUCUCUGGCCCUCCGUGUCUCUAUUGAUGCUGGAGACUUGCCUUCAACUGGGAGAGCCGCCAAUCGCGUCGCCACAACAAUCAUGUUCUCCAAGGGUUUAGAAUAAUGACCCGGCGGCGUCGGAACAUGCCGAGGCGGAGUAAUAUCCAAUCGAGGCGAAUCCACAGCACGCGCCUGAACCAGCGCUCCAAUCACGGGUGCCUCAACCACCCGGUUCACCACAGACAAGUCACUGGUCCCUGCCCCAGGCAUGUUGAAGAGGUUUCUCGCAUCAUAAACCAAAGGUAAGCGACUUUGGUGUCUCCUUCUCAUGAUAGCAUUCGAAGCGUUUUGAUCCAAGGUAAGCCGGAAAGACUCUGCCUGAAUCCAUUGUGCAUGAGCGUCCAAAGCAGCUCGCUCCGUAACCAUCCUAGUGUUCUCAGCCGCCAGCUCCUCCUUUGCUUGAGCUAUAUCACCUCGUAGCUUUGCCACAUCAACCUUAUGCUAUUCCUAAGUGUCCGGGGUCACCUCCACCCCCAUCAAAGUCACCAAAGCUUCCAACAACUCUAUCAGAACUUGAGCCGUGGGCGCGCAGAGCCGCUAGCGCCAGCCGUCGCUGUAGCCGUUGAGCUGGAGGUCAUAGCCACGGCGGUCGUUGAGCCGAGCACCGGCUGUGUACCGGCCAUGAAGAUCGCAACCCUGUUCGGCGGCUCAUAGUGUCUGGAAUACUAUCGCCAUCGGAAAAGCCCCCAAGCCGGCCGUCUUGCAGUUGAUACAUUGAAUUGGUCUCACCGGUUGACGAUUCACCAUCAGAGUAGAUGGCUGCCUCACCACCAGACACAGAUCCUUCCUCAAAUUCCGCCCCAUGGAUGAAACCAACAAAGGCGUUCUUCACGGUGGGUUGAACCUUGGCGGAUCAUGCACGCUGAGCCUUCUCGAUGAUGUCAGUGCAGGUGUCUGGCUCAGGGACCGAUUCGCCGAUCUUGCCGGUGAAGAUGUGGAUUCCGCCGAAGGGGACUCGGUACCUGUACUCAAUUGAGCCGGCCUCGGGGCCCCAGCCAGCGUCGUUGAUGUAGAGCUUGCGCGACGACUCUUGGUCAUCCGGCCCACAGCGUAUCCCUUGAUCCGUGUGAAGUUGCCCUUCAAGAACUCGAAACCACCGUGCGCUGGCCCCAUGGUGUGCGCCAACUGUCGUGGACUUAACACGGCAGAUGUCCUAGCGAAAGGACUUAGUUGUGGAGCCAUUGCAACUAGGUUAGCUUAAAGGGGUCAACUGGGACAAAGGAUACAGAGAGUUUAUACUAGUUCGGCCCCUCGCGGUGGAGGUAAAGGUUUACUCCAGUUUUGGGAUUGUAUUGCUUGGGGUUCGAUUACCAGGGAGUGACUAUGCUUGACCUAGUUCUCGAUCUCUUGUUUCUUGAGUUAACCCGCCGCUGGGUCACCCCUUUAUAUACAUAGGUUGAUGCCCAGCGGCUUACAGAGUCCCGGCCGGCUCAUACACAUCAUGUCUGGCUCGGUGACUAACUAAUCUUGCCUUACAAUACAAGUUAUUCAUGUGGCGGUUCAUCCCCUCGGGCCUCAAGUCCCCUCUGGGUCUUGGACCAUUAAUGGGCUUGCUAUGACCCGCCAUAUUCAUUGAUAAGUCGCCAGUGGUAUGACCCGGCCUCUCCUGGGCGGUUCAUACCCAGUAGUUAUAUCCCCAAUAGAACUCAUCUACUGCCUCGACACCUUGCUGGAUCAAGAAGGCGAGCGAUGUCCCCGAGCUGAACGUGUACAAAACUCGGAGGUGCCGUACAUUCAGUGCUUGAUCGGUCGGAGCUAGAAGAAGUUCAACUACAUCAACCGUGUUGUCAAACGCUUCCGCUUUCGGUGUACAUGGGUACACAAACACACUCUUCCCCUCUUGUUGCUAUGCAUCUCCUAGAUAGAUCUUGCGUGAGCAUAGGAUUUUUUUUGAAAUUGCAUGCUACGUUUCUCAACAGUGGCAUCCGAGCCACAUCUACGAGUAGAUCAUAUGCACGAGUAGAACACAAAGAGUUGUGGGCGGUGAUCAUCAUACUGCUUACCACCAAUGUCUUAUUUUGAUUCGACGGUGUUGUUGGAUGAAGCGGCCCAGACCAACCUUACAUGACCACGUUCAUGAGACCGGUUCCACCCAGAGACCUGCAACUAGUUUGUCAUAAAGGUGGCUGGCGGGUGUCUGUUUCUCCUACUUUAGUUGAGUCGAAUUUGACUGCGGCCGUGUCAGAUUCUGGGUUCCGGCAAACCCUUGAGGUUCGAACUCUGGGGUGCGCACGAAGGACUCUCUCCCCCUAGCUCGCCCGCACAACAAUCUCAAGGCCUAGCUCGCCGAACCCAAGGAACAAGAGACAAGAGACACGAGAGUUUAUACUGGUCCGGGCCACCGUUGUGGUGUAAUACCCUACUCCAGUGUGGUGUGGUGGAUUGCCUUGUAGGCUGAGGAUGAACCGGUACAAGGUAUGAACAGCCUCCUGAGGAGAGGUGUUCUCGAGCUCGGUGAGCUGAUGCAUACGAGGGUUGUCUCGAUGAUCCGUCCCCUUCUAUGGUGAUGGCUAGUCCUAUUUAUAGGGGCCCUGGUCCUCUUCCCAAAUGUUAGGCGGAAAGGGAUCCUACAAUGGACAAUUUUGAAGGGAGACAACCAGUACAAGCUAUCCUGACAAAAGGUGGUCUUCGCCUGCCAAAGGCUCCGGUGGUGAUGCAGCUGUCGGCUCCACGAUGACCUCCGUCCUGCCGUCCUGCUAGUCUUGGUCUCGUUGCACCCAUAUGGAAACCUUUGCCUGAUGCCUUGGGACUCCUCGCAUGCGCUUGCCUCUUUAGCACCAAAGAGGAAACUGGUACACUGCGCCCGCUGGCGCCCGCCUGGCCUUUGUCGUCACGGCUCACGUCAUGUGAACCUCGCGAGGUGCCCCUUGCAUAUAUAUCUCCGCUCCUCAGGAGCAAGCUUGGUGAGACCAUCCCAGGGAGGUCUUGGCGUCAUCCGCCUCACGAGGCUUGGCCCCUCGCGAGGGUCUUGAGCAGUUGUUGUUGAAGCUGAGCCAUACCGGGCCGUUGGUAGAGCCACGCCGUGGGCCGUAGGCCGGCAAGUCUGGGUACCCCCAUUCCCAGGACGCCGACAGUAGUCCCCGGGCCCAAGGCGCACUCGGACUUGGCUUCGAGGCGAAGCCAAGGGGCAAGUGCGGAGCGCCGCGGGCCCCGACCGCUUGCGGCCUUGGUCGAGGCAUGGCAAUUGAUAGGUCCUGGGUGCCUCCGCUUCCCCUUGCUGCCUCAACAACUGUUCGACUUGACGAGACCCUGCUACAUGCAGAAGAAAACCAUCAUUACCUGCGAUCGUGGAGGCCAGCGGUUGGCCUCCUUCUAGAUGUAAAUGAGGAGAGGGGCGGAGCCUCGUCGCUCAUCUCCUCCUCCAUUCCGCCUGCUUUUUCUCCUCCCUCCUUGCUUUACUGCCUUGCUGCGGCACCCAUGGCGCCGACGAAGAGGUUCUCGGCCGCAGAGAAGGGGAAGGCUCGUCGGGAGGGGCCCGGUUCGCCACCGCCUAAGAGGGGGCGUGGUCGCCCCCGCAAGCACGCCGUAACCCCCGCUAUGGUCCCUCGCAGGCGCGGACGAACUUCUUCAGGGUCCGGCGCCAUCUCUGGCCGCUGCGGUGGCGUCUCCUCCUGCGGCGGGAGCCGCCCGAGACAUGGCAGUCCCGCCAACAAAGGGAGGCGCACCAAGGUCGCCCGGCCUCCCCGACCGCGCGUCCACUCAGCGGAGGUGCUGCUAGAGUUCGUUGUGUGGUCGGAGAACCCGGCCGGCACAUGGCUCCAGCUUUCGCACUCCUUUGCCGGUGAGCUGACGACCACUGGCCCUUGCGGCCUCUGGCUGCAGGCGGACGGCUACUUCAGCAAGGCCUCGUGGGUCGCGGUGGAGGUCUCUAUCAUGGGCAAUGUAGCCCUGGCCCCGGCUGGCAGACAUUUCCCCCCGCGCGCGGUCUAAGCAGGUGGUGCACCCUCCACUUCAAGUACGACGGUGCCGCGACCCUCUUCGUGAGGGUGUUCGGGGAAGACGGUCGCCGCGCUGGGUGCUGCCCUAAAGACAGUGAUAGUGACAAAGUGCUUGGCCUUGGCGAUGGCCGUGACGAGGAUGAGGGUGAACUUGCCCUCGGCGACGGCCACGACUCGUCCAGCAGCGGCGGCUUCUCCUCUGGCGAAAGCUCCAGGAGUGGCGGCUAUGACCGGCCGCCACGUCGUCGGGCUCGCUUCGAGGACGGUGGCGGGUCGUCCCGUCGCCACGCCCUAGUGAAGCACGAGGAGGGAUCCGGCUGAGUCCGGGGGGGGGGGCGCUGGGAGCCAAUCCUUGUGAGCAGUUGUGGGUGUAAAGCCGCUUUUGCCCGUCCUUUCCUUCAUGUAUUCCAAGAAACAAGUAUGGGGCCAUGCGAGGGCAUGUAAUGAACCGUAAUGCUUAUGUUGCUCAUGCUAUGUUUACUGUUUCUGGGUUGUGUUGCGGCAUCUGUGCUUCAUGUGUGCGUAGAGGGAUAACUUAGCUUGAUACAUCCGAGGUAGUUUCCACCUCGCGAGGGUGCACGCCUCCUAGCAUCUGGUGAGGCUUCCCUACUGCUGACUCGAGAGCCGCUGACCUCGGGAGACAUCUCAAAGCUGCGAAAAUUCAUUAGGAAAUCCUUAUCCCUCCUUGCACGAGGCCUCAGGCAUGGGAUGAUCAUGGCCUAGCGCACCAGGUCGCGGUACCCGUGGGGCACGGACUUAGGAUGGUGCGCCGAUCACGAGCUCAAUCGAGGGUGCCUCGCGAAGAUCAGGGGAGCCGAAGCUCUGCAGCGACAGGGCUUUGGCGAGGUGUUCCCGUGACCGAGUUAGCCUGGCGCAUGCACACACCUGCCCAGCCCCCAUGCGAGGCGCGCGAGGGAGAGCGUCGGGCAACUGCCGCCCUCCAGGGCGCAAAGCAAAGAACUGAGGCAAGAAGCAAAGAGAAGGAGGGAUUCAACCAAGCAAUCGAGAAACGCCAGAACUUCAAAUUCCAUUAAAAGGGGGGGGGGGAUAAGUCAACUACAUAAAGCAAAUGAACAGCUGCGUCCAGCACCUAGUCUAGUCUUCUCACCAGCGCGGAGCUAAGUGCUGCCACUAGGACGUGGGAGGGAUCCCCCGAGGCCCGAGGGCGGCACUCCGGAGACUCCAGGGCAUGUACAACCCACUCAUUAUUACCUGAGAGUGUCACGAGCAGAGACCUUCACAGGCACUGGGCCUUGCUUCAUGGGUAGAACUUCCGGAGGUGCUGGAUGUUCCAGGUGUUUUGGAUGGGGAUCCCAUCCUGGGUCUACAGGCACGCUGCGCUAGGCCUGGAGACGCAGGCAAUCCUAAACGGGCCCUCCCACAUGGGUGAGAGAUUAUGCAGCCCUUCCCUGGAGAGCACCCGCCUCAGGACGAGAUCGCCCACCUCGAGCGUCCUGGAGCGGACGCUGCGGGAGUGAUACCGUUGGAGCGCCUGCUGGUACCUUGCCGCUCGGAGCAAGGCUUGGUGGCGGUGUUCCUCCCCCAACACGAGGUCCAUCCCCCGCAUGGCGUUUUGACGUGCCUCGUCAAACGUCAGGACCCGCGCGGAGCGAUGCCUGACCUCGUGAGGGAGAACCGCUUCGGCUCUAUAGACAAGGAAGAACGGGGUCUCGCUUGUUGGCUUGGUGGCGGUGGUGUGGAUGGACCAUAGCACGGACUGGAGCUCGUCGUGCCAGCCCCUACCCAGGCCUCGAGCUUCUUCUUGAAGGUCCUGGUUUUGAGGCCUCUGCAAAUCUCUGCGUUGGCGCGCUCGGCUUGGCCAUUGCUCCUGGGGUGUGCCACUGAGGCGUAGCAUAUUUGCAUUCCAAGGUUAGCAGAUUAUGUCUUGAAGAGAUUGCUAGUGAACUGCGAGCCGUUGUCGGUGAUGAUAUGGUUAGGGACCCCAAACCGGCUCACGAGUCCCUUGAUGAACUUAACUGCGGACCCAGCUGGGAUGGUGCGGACGGCCUCCACCUCUGCCCAUUUGGUGAACUUGUCGAUGGCGACGUGGAGGUAGCGGUAGCCCCCAGGCGCUCGAGGGAACGGACCCAGGAUAUCCAGCCCCCAGACCGCGAACGGCCACGAGAGUGGGAUAGUUUGGAGGCCCUGGGCAGGCUAGUGGAUUUGCUUGGCAUGGAACUGGCAGGCCUCGCAGAAUCUUACCAGCUCACUUGCGUCGCUGAGUGUCGUGGGCCAGUAGAACCCGUUGCCGAACGCCUUGCCAAUGAGGGUGUGUGACAACGAGUGAUGCCCGCAAUCUCCGCCGUGUAUGUCAGCUAGCAGCUCGCUCCCCUGCUUCCUGGAGAUGCAUCGCAAGGAAAUGUCAUUUGGUCGUUUUCUGUACAGCUCACAAUCUUGGAUGCAGUAUGCCGUAGGUUGCCGAGCCACGCGCUCCAUGUCCUCCUCCUUCUCCGACAGCAUUCCUUGCAUCAAGUAUGCCCUGAACUCCUCGGUCCAGCACCCCUCCUAAGGCUCGAGCGCCAGGAGCAGGUGCGCUCUUGAGGUCGGGCCACAGGCGGGGGCUCCCGAGGCUGGUGGCGAGGGAAGUUCCUCCUAAGGCGGUGAAGGCUCUGAGGAUAGAGGGGCCGCCGAGGGCUUGAAGAGUCGCUCCUCGAAGAUGCCAGGCUCUUGGGGCUGACGCCUUGACACCCUCUUGGCGAUCUCAUCGGCUUGCUUGUUUGUGCCACGGGGCACAUGCUGCAGUUCCAGGCCCAAGAAUUGCUUCUCCAUCUUGCGCACCUGCGCGAGGUACGCCUCCAUGUGCUCAUCCCUCGGCUCGUAGACCUUGUUGGAGAAGUUGACGAGGAGCUGAGAGUCGCCCCUGAUGGUGAGACACUUCACCCCCAAAGCUGUCGCAGCCUUGAGGCCAGCGAUCAACCCCUCGUACUCCGCGAUGUUGUUCGAGACCUUCUCGCCCCGCUGGAAGCAGAGCUGCACAGUGUAGUAUAGCUUGUCUUGAGUGGGUGACAUGAGUACGGCACCAGCCCCUGCACCUUGGCGUGUGAAAGCGUUGUCAAAGUACAUGACCCAGCCGUCUGGCGCUUCGCUUCCUGGCGAGAGGGAUCAGCUCUCGCGUGCUUCAGAUUCCGGAGCGUCGGUCCAUUCCGCCACGAAGUCGGCGAGGGCGGCUCCCUUGAUGACCCUGGUUGUGCUGAACUCCAGCUGUAAUGCCUGUAGUUCGAUGUUCCACUCGGCGACUCUUCCCGCGGCGUUGGGGCUCCGGAGCAUCCUCUCUAGUGGGUAGGCUUAGACGACCUUAAUUGGGUGGCCUUGGAAGUAAUGACGUAGCUUGCGUGAGGCCACUAGGAGUGCGAGCAAAAGCUUCUAUGGCAUGGGAUAUCGUGCCCUUGCGUCCCGCAACACCGUGCUGAUGAAGUACAUCAGGUGCUCAACGAGGACGGGAGCAUCGAUGGAGCCUGAGGCCUCCAGAGGUUGGGGCGCCUCCUGAGGUGGGGGGAAUUCAGGGGCUUGGUCGCCCAUCGGGGCGUCCGUAGACCCAGAAACGCCGUCUUGUAGGGCCUGAUCAUCUGCUGGCAUCGUCAUGGCCUUAGUGGCGCUGUCUUGGUGUUGUAUCAUUCCUGCUGACGGUGCGGCAUUACGCGGCGGGCUCUUGGCCUGGCGCUCCUCCCGGACGGCCACCAACGCCGCGCUGGCGGAGUGAGGCGUGGCGGCAAGAUAGAGCACCAGAGGCUCAAGGGGAUGAGGUGCUACCAUCACUGGUGGGCUGGUCAGGUAUCUCUUGAGGUCUUGAAAUGCUAGGUUGGCCUCCGGGGUCCAUUCGAACGGGCCCUUCUUCUUCACCAGCUUGAAGAACGGCAGGGCGCGCUCCCCCCCAGCUUGGAGAUAAAUUGCCCCAGCGAGGUCACGCACACCGUGAGCUUCUGCAUUUCCUUGAGGGUCUGUGGUGGGCUCAUGUCUUCUAUCGCCUUGACCUUCUCCGGAUUCACCUCAAUCCCCCUGUGUGAUACGAGGAAACCCAACAGCUUGCCAGAGGGGACGCCGAACACACACUUCUCCGGAUUGAGCCGCAAGUCCACCCGGCGCAGGUUGGCGAAAGUCUCCUCUAGGUCCUAAAUGAGAGUCCUCGCCUCCCGAUAUUUUACCACAAUGUCAUUGACGUAGGCCUCAACAUUCCUCCCGAGCUGCUGGCCUAGGGCGAUGUGCAUCAAUCGCCGAAAAGUCGCCCCAGCGUUGCACAGUCCGAACGACAUGCAGGUGUAGCAGUAUACCCUGCACGGGGUCAAGAAGGUCGUCUUCUCCACGUCCUCCACCGCCAUCUUGAUCUGGUGAUAACCCGAGAAAGCGUCUAGGAAACACAACAGGACGCACUCGGCGGUGGAGUCGAUGAUAUGGUCGAUGCGUGGAAGUGGGAACGGGUCUUGAAGGUAGGCUUUGUUGAGGUUGGUGAAGUCGACGCACAUGCGUUCCUUCCCGCCUUUCUUGGGCACGAUGACGGGGUUCGCCAGUCACUUCGGGUACCGGACCUCGUGGAUGACGCCUGCCGCUUGUAGUUUGCGGGUUUCCUGGGCGAUGAAGGACUGCUUCUCCGUGGACUGUCGCCGCGCCUUCUGCUUCACAGGGCGCACAUAGGGGCACACCCUUAAAUGAUGCUCGAUUACACCCCUCGGGACCCCUACCAGUUGCUUGGGCUCCCAGGCGAAUACCUCCUUGUUCGCGUGCAGGAACCUCACCAAUGCCUCCUUUUGGUCCGGGUCAAGGUUGGCGCCUAUGGUGAAGGUGGCUCCCGGGGCUCCGUCCUCCUCGACCGGCACUUGCUUCUUUUUCCCUAGCGGAGCCCCCUUAGCCCCCGGAGCGAUUCCAUCAGCCGGGCAUGCUACCGCGGCGGCCCUGAAGGCGAGCUUGAGAGCCGUCAGAGCCUCCUUGGUGUCUCCAGCCACGGUGAGGACGCCGCUGCUCCCUGACAUCUUCAUGAGGUUGUAGGUCGGAUGGGUCGCUGCCAUGAACUAAGCCAGGGCUGGGUACCCGAGGAUGGCAUUGUACGGGAGGCCGAUGUGGGCGAUGUCGAAGUCGAUCAGCUCGGUGCGGUAGUUGUCACGGGUGCCUAAGGUGAUCGGGAGGCGUAUUUGCCCUAGGGGCAGGUGGAACCGCUGCCAACUCCGGAGAAAGGCUUGGUGGGGCGGAGCCGGCCGUACGGUACAUGAAGCAAGCUGAAAGCUUCCACGGAGAGCAUGUUGAGGCCAGCUCCACCGUCGAUGAGGGUCUUGGUCACUGCUACGUUGCAGAAGGUGGGUGUGCAGAGCAUUGGGAGCGCACCCGAGCCAGCAGUGGUUACGGGGUGGCCCCCCGAGUCGAAGGUGAGGUCAGCCUUGGGAGCCGCCCAUCUUGGAGGGGCUCCCUGCUGUUGGGGAACGUAGUAAUUUCAAAAAAAUUCCUACGUACACGCAGGAUCAUGGUGAUGCAUAGCAACGAGAGGGGAGAUUGUGUCCACAUACCCUCAUAGCCCGAAAGCGGAAGCGUUAGCACAACGCGGUUGAUGUAGUCGUACAUCUUCACAAUUCGACCAAUCCAAGUACCGAACUCACGACACCUCCGAGUUCAGCACACGUUCAACUCGAUGAUGUCCCGCGAGCUCUGAUCCAGCAGAGCUUCGCCAGAGAGUUUCGUCAGCACGACGGCGUGAUGACGAUGAUGAUGAUGCUACCGACGCAAGGCUUCGCCUAAGCACCGCUAUGAUAUGAUCGAGGUGGAUUAUGGUGGAGGGGGCACCACACACGGCUGGGAGAGAUCAACAGAUCAACUUGUGUGUUUAGAGGUGCCCCCUGCCCUGUAUAUAAAGGAGCAAGGGGGGAGGCCGGCCGACCCCUGUAGCCAUGCUAGGAGGAGUCCUCCUCCUAGUAGGAGUAGGACUCCCCUCUUUCCUACUCCUACUAGGAGGGGCGAAAGGAAGGGGGAGAGGGAGAAGGAAAGGGGGGCGCCGCCCCCCCUCUCCUAGUCCAAUUCGGACCAGAGGGGGAGGGGCGCGCGGCCUGCCCUAGGCCACCCCUCUCUCUCUCCACUAAGGCCCAUAAGGCCCACUAUUUCUCCCGGGGGGUUCCGGUAACCCUCUAGCACUCCAGUUUUCUCCGAAACCACCCGGAACACUUCCGGUGUCCGAAUAUAGUCAUCCAAUAACGUCUCGACCAUUUCGAGACUCCUUGUCAUGUCCGUGAUCAUAUCCGGGACUCUGAACUACCUUCGGUACAUCAAAACACAAAAACUCAUAAUACCGACCAUCACCGAACUUUAAGCGUGCGGACCCUACGGGUUUGAGAACUAUGUAGACAUGACCGAGACACGUCUCCGGUCAAUAACCGAUAGCGGAACCUGGAUGCUCAUAUUGGCUCCCACAUAUUCUACGAAGAUCUUUAUCGGCCAAACCGCAUAACAACAUACGUUGUUCCCUUUGUCAUCGGUAUGUUACUUGCCCGAGAUUCGAUCGUCGGUAUCUCAAUACCUAGUUCAAUCUCAUUACCGGCAAGUCUCUUUACUCGUUUCGUAAUACAUCAUCCCGCAACUAACUCAUUAGUUACAAUGCUUGCAAGGCUUAUAGUGAUGUGCAUUACCGAGUGGGCCCAGAGAUACCUCUCCGACAAUCGGAGUGGCAAAACGUAAUCUCGGUAUAUGCCAACUCAACAAGUACCUUUGGAGACACCUGUAGAGCACCGUUAUAAUCACCCAAUUACGUUGUGACAUUUGGUAGCACACAAAGUGUUUCUCCGGUAUUUGUGAGUUGCAUAAUCUCAUAGUCAUAGGAACAUGUAUAAGUCAUGAAGAAAGCAAUAGCAACAUACUAAAUGAUCAAAUGCUAAGCUAACGGAAUCGGUCAAGUUAAUCACAUCAUUCUCCUAAUGAUGUGAUCCCGUUUAUCAAAUGACAACUCAUUUCUAUGGUUAGGAAAAAUAACCAUCUUUGAUCAACGAGCUAGUCAAGUAGAGGCAUACUAGUGACACUCUGUUUGUCUAUGUAUUCACACAUGUAUUAUGUUUCCGGUUAAUACAAUUCUAGCAUGAAUAAUAAACAUUUAUCAUGAUAUAAGGAAAUAAAUGAUAACUUUAUUAUUGCCUCUAGGGCAUAUUUCUUUCAAUCUCCCACUUGCACUAGAGUCAAUAAUCUAGAUUACACAGUAAUGAUUCUAACACCCAUGGAGUCUUGGUGCUGAUCAUGUUUUGCUCAUGGAAGAGGCUUAGUCAACGGGUCUGCAACAUUCAGAUCCGCUGUAUCUUGCAAAUCUCUAUGUCUCCCACCUGGACUUGAUCCCGGAUGGAGUUGAAGCGUCUCUUGAUGUGCUUGGUUCUCUUGUGAAAUCUGGAUUCCUUUGCCAAGGCAAUUGCACCAGUAUUGUCACAAAAGAUUUUCAUUGGACCCAACGCACUAGGUAUAACACCUAGAUCAGAUAUGAACUCCUUCAUCCAGACUCCUUCAUUUGCUGCUUCUGAAGGAGCUAUGUAUUCCACUUCACACGUAGAUCCCGCCACGACGCUUUGUUUAGAACUGCUCCAACUGACAGCUCCACCGUUCAAUAUAAACACGUAUCCGGUUUGUGAUUUAGAAUCAUCUAGAUCAGUGUCAAAGCUUGCAUCAACGUAACCAUUUACGACAAGCUCUUUGUCACCUCCAUAAACGAGAAACAUAUCCUUAGUCCUUUUCAGGUAUUUCAGGAUGUUCUUGACCGCUGUCCAGUGAUCCACUCCUGGAUUACUUUGGUACCUCCCUUCUAAACUAAUAGCUAGGCACACAUCAGGUCUGGUACACAGCAUUGCAUACAUGAUAGAGCCUAUGGCUGAAGCAUAGGGAACAUCUUUCAUUUUCUCUCUAUCUUCUAUAGUGGUCGGGCAUUGAGUCUUACUCAACUUCACACCUUGUAAUACAGGCAAGAACCCUUUCUUUGCCUGAUCCAUUUUGAACUUCUUCAAAACUUUGUCAAGGUAUGUGCUUUGUGAAGGUACAAUUAAGCGUCUUGAUCUAUCUCUAUAGAUCUUGAUGCCCAAUAUGUAAGCAGCUUCACCGAGGUCUUUCAUUGACAACUCUUAUUCAAGUAUCCUUUUAGACUAUCCAGAUAUUCUAUAUCAUUUCCAAUCAACAAUAUGUCAUCCACAUAUAAGAUUAGAAAUGCUACAGAGCUCCCACUCACUUUCUUGUAAAUACAAGCUUCUCCAAAAGUCUAUAUAAAACCAUAUGCUUUGAUCACACUAUCAAAAUGUUUAUUCCAACUCCGAGAGGCUUGCACCAGUCCAUAAAUGGAUCACUGGAGCUUGCACACUUUGUUAGCACCCUUUGGAUUGAUAAAACCUUCAGGUUGCAUCAUAUACAACUCUUCUUCCAGAAAUCCAUUUAGGAUUUCAGUCUUUACAUCCAUUUGCCAAAUUUCAUAAUCAUAAAAUGUGGCAAAGCUAACAUGAUUCGGACGGACUUAAGCCUCGCUACGGGUGAGAAAGUCUCAUCGUAGUCAACUCCUUGAACUUGUCGAAAACUUUCGCGACAAGUCGAGCUUUGUAGACAGUAACAUUACCAUCAACGUUCGUCUUCUUCUUGAAGAUCCAUUUAUUCUCGAUGGCUUGCCGAUCAUCAGGCAAGUCAACCGAAGUCCACACUUUGUUCUCAUAUAUGGAUCCCGUCUCGGAUUUCAUGGACUCAAGCCAUUUUGCGGAAUCUGGGCUCAUCAUCGCUUCCUCAUAAUUCAUAGGUUCGUCAUGGUCUAGUAACAUGACCUCCAGAAAAAGAUUACCGUACCACUCUGGUGCGGAUGUUACUCUGGUUGACCUACGAGGUUCGGUAGUAACUUGACCUGAAGUUUCAUGAUCAUCAUCAUUAGUUUCCUCACUAAUUGGUGUAGAUGUCACAUUAACCAGUUUCUGUGAUGUACUACUUUCCAAUAAGGAGCAGGUACAGUUACCUCAUCAAGUUCUCCUUUCCUCCCACUCACUUCUUUCGAGAGAAACUCCUUUAGAAAGGAUCCAUUCUUAGCAACAAAAGUCUUGCCUUCGGAUAUGUGAUAGAAGGUGUACCCAACUGUCUCUUUUGGGUAUCCUAUGAAGACACAUUUCUCCGAUUUGGGUUCGAGCUUACCAGGUCGAAGCUUUUUCACAUAAGCAUCGCAGCCCCAAACUUUAAGAAACGACAACUUUGGUUUCUUGCCAAACCACAGUUCAUAAGGAGUCAUCUCAAUGGAUUUAGAUGGUGCCCUAUUUAACGUGAAUGCAGCCGUCUCUAAAGCAUAACCCCAAAAUGAGUGCGGUAAAUCUGUAAGAGACAUCAUAGAUCGCACCAUAUCUAGUAAAGUACAAUUACAAUGUUCGGACACACCAUUACACUGUGGUGUUCCAGGUGGCGUGAGUUGCAAAACUAUUCCGCAUUGUUUCAAAUGAAGACUAAACUCGUAACUCAAAUAUUCUCCUCCACGAUCAGAUCGUAGAAACUUUAUUUUCUUGUGACGAUGAUUUUCCACUUCACUCCAAAAUUCUUUAAACUUUUCAAAUAUUUCAGACUUAUGUUUCAUCACGUAGAUAUACCCAUAUCUGCUCAAAUCAUCUGUGAAGGUGAGAAAAUAAUGAUAUCCGCCGCGAGCCUCAACAUUCAUCGGACCACAUACAUCAGUAUGUAUGAUCUCCAACAAAUCUGUUGCUCGCUCCAUUCUUCCAGAGAAUGACAUUUUAGUCAUCUUGCCCAUGAGGCAUGGUUCGCAAGUACCAAGUGAUUCAUAAUCAAGUGAUUCCAAAAGCCCAUCAGAAUGGAGUUUCUUCAUGCGCUUUACACCAAUAUGACCUAAAUGGCAGUGUCACAAAUAAGUUGCACUAUCAUUAUCAACUCUGCAUCUUUUAGCUUCAAUACUAUGAAUAUGUGUAUCUCCACUAUCGAGAUUCAAAAAGAAUAGACCACUCUUCAAGGGUGCAUGACCAUAAAAGAUAUUACUCAUACAAAUAGAACAACCAUUAUUCUCCGAUUUAAAUGAAUAACCAUCUCGCAUCAAACAAGAUCCAGAUAUAAUGUUCAUGCUUAACGCUGGCACCAAAUAACAAUUAUUCAGGUCUAAUACUAAUCCCGAGGGUAGAUGUAGAGGUAGCGUGCCGACCGCGAUCACAUCGACUUUGGAACCAUUUCCCACGCGCAUCGUCACCUUGUCCUUUGCCAAUCUUUGCUUAAUCCGUAGUCCCUGUUUCGAGUUGCAAAUAUUAGCAACAGAACCAGUAUCAAAUACCCAGGCACUAAUGCGAGAAUUAGUAAGGUACACAUCAAUAACAUGUAUAUCACAUAUACGUUUGUUCACCUUGCCAUCCUUCUUAUCCGCCAAAUACUUGGGGCAGUUCCACUUCUAGUGACCAGUUUGCUUGCAAUAGAAGCACCCAGUCUCAGGCUUGGGUCUAGACUUAGGUUUCUUCUCCUAAACAACAACUUGUUUCCCGUUCUUCUUGAAGUUCCCCUUCUUCUUCCCUUUGCCCUUUUUCUUGAAACUGGUGGUCUUGUUGACCAUCAACACUUGAUGCUCCUUCUUGAUUUCUACCUCCGCAGCCUUUAGCAUUGCGAAAAGCUCGAGAAUCGUCUUAUCCAUCCCUUGCAUGUUAUAGUUCAUCAUGAAGCUCUUGUAGCUUGGUGGCAGUGAUUGAAGAAUUCUGUCAAUAACACUAUCAUCCGGAAGAUUAACUCCCAGUUGAAUUAAGUGAUUGUUAUACCCAGACAUUCUGAGUAUAUGCUCACUGACAGAACUAUUCUCCUCCAUCUUGCAGCUGUAGAACUUAUUGGAGACUUCAUAUCUCUCAAUUCGGGCAUUUGCUUGAAAUAUUAACUUAAACUCCUGGAACAUCUCAUAUGCUCCAUGCCGUUCAAAACAUCGAUGAAGUCCCUGUUCUAAGCCGUAAAGCAUGACACACUGAACUAUCAAGUAGUCAUCAGCUUUGCUCUACCAGACGUUCAUAACAUCUGGUGUUGCUCCUGCAGCAGGUUUGGCACCUAGCGGUGCUUCCAGGACGUAAUUCUUUUGUGCAGCAAUGAGGAUAAUCCUCAAGUUACGGACCCAGUCCGUGUAAUUGCUACCAUCAUCUUUCAACUUUGCUUUCUCAAGGAACGCAUUAAAAUUCAACGGAACAACAACACGGGCCAUCUAUCUACAACAACAUAGACAUGCAAAAUACUAUCAGGUACUAAGUUCAUGAUAAAUUAAAGUUCAGUUAAUCAAAUUAUUAAAGAACUCCCACUUAGAUAGACAUCCCUCUAAUCAUCUAAGUGAUCACGUAAUCCAUAUCAACUAAACCAUGUCCAAUCAUCAUGUGAGAUGGAGUAGUUUUCAAUGGUGAACAUCACUAUGUUGAUCAUAUCUACUAUAUGAUUCACGCUCGACCUUUCUGCCUCCAGUGUUCCGAGGCCAUAUCUGCAUAUGCUAGGCUCAUCAAGUUUAACCCGAGUAUUCUGCAUGUGCAAAACUGGCUUGCACCCGUUGUAUGUGAACAUAGAGCUUAUCACACCCGAUCAUCACGCGGUGUCUCGGCACAACGAACUUUCACAACGGUGCAUACUCAGGGAGAACACUUGUACCUUGAAAUUUAGUGAGAGAUCAUCUUAUCAUGCUACCAUCAAUCUAAGCAAAAUAAGAUGCAUAAAAGAUAAACAUCACAUGCAAUCAAUAUAAGUGAUAUGAUAUGGCCAUCAUCAUCUUGUGCUUGUGAUCUCCAUCUCCGAAGCACCGUCAUGAUCACCAUCGUCACCGGCACGACACCUUGAUCUCCAUCAUAGCAUCAUUGUCGCCUCGCCAACUAUUGAUUCUACGACUAUCGCUACCGCUUACUGAUAAAGUAAAGCAAUUACAGGGCGAUUGCAUUGCAUACAAUAAUGCGACAACCAUAUGGCUCCUGCCAGUUGCCAAUAACUCGGUUACAAAACAUGAUCAUCUCAUACACUAAAAUAUAGCAUAAUGUAUUGACCAUAUCACAUCACAACAUGCCCUGCAAAAACAAGUUAGACGUCCUCUACUUUGUUGUUGCAAGUUUUACGUGGUUGCUACGGGCUGAGCAAGAACCUUUCUUACCUACGCAUCAAAACCACAAUGAUAGUUUGUCAAGUUAAGUGUUGUUUUAACCUUCUCAAGGACCGGGUGUAGCCGCACUCGAUUCAACUAAAGUUGGAGAAACUGACACCCGCUUGUCACCUGUAUGAAAAGCACGGCGGUAAAACCAGUCUCACGUAAGCGUACGCAUAAUGUCGGUCUGGGCCGCUUCAUCCAACAAUACCGCCGAACCAAAGUGUGACAUGCUGGUAAGCAAUAUGACAUGUAUCGCCCACAACUCACUUGUGUUCUACUCGUGCAUAUAACAUCUACGCAUAAAACCAGGCUCUGAUGCCACUGUUGGGGAAUAUAGUAAUUUUAAAAAAAUUCCUACGACACGUAGGAUCAUGGUGAUGCAUAGCAACGAGAGGGGAGAUUGUGUCCAUGUACCCUCGUAGACCGAAAGUGUAAGUGUUAGCACAACGCGGUUGAUGUAGUCGUACGUCUUCACGAUCCGACCGAUCCAGGUACCAAACGCACGACACCUCCGAGUUCAGCACGCGUUCAACUCGAUGACGUCCCGCGAGCUCCGAUCCAGCAGAGCUUCGCCGAAGAGUUUCGUUAGCACGAUGGUGUGAUGAUGGUGAUGAUGAUGCUACCGACGCAGAGCUUCGCCUAAGCACCACUACGAUAUGAUCGAGGUGGAUUAUGGUGGAGGGGGGCACCGCACACGGCUGGGAGAGAUCAACAGAUCAACUUGUGUGUUUAGAGGUGCCCCUUGCCCCCGUAUAUAAAGGAGCAAGGGGGAGGCCGACUGGCCCCUGUAGGUGCGCCAGGAGGAGGAGUCCUCCUCCUAGUAGGAGUAGGACUCCCCUCUUUCCUACUCCUACUAGGAGGGGGAAAGGAAGGGGGAGAGGGAGAAGGAAAGGGGGGCGCCGCCCCCCUCUCCUAGUCCAAUUUGGACCAAAGGGGGAGGGGCGCGCGGCCUGCCCUAGGCCAGCCCUCUCUCCCUCCACUAAGGCCCAUAAGGCCCACUAUUUCUCCGGGGGGGUCCGGUAACCCUCCGGCACUCCGGUUUUCUCCGAAACCACCCGGAACACUUCCAUUGUCUGAAUAUAGUUGUCCAAUAUAUCGAUCUUUACGUAUCGACCAUUUCGAGACUCCUCGUCAUGUCCGUGAUCAUAUCUGGGACUCCGAACUACCUUCUGUACAUCAAAACACAAAAACUCAUAAUAUCGAUCGUCACCGAACUUUAAGCGUGCGGACCCUAUGGGUUCGAGAACUAUGUAGACAUGACUGAGACAUGCCUCCGACGAAUAACAAAGAGCGGAACCUGGAUGCUCAUAUUGGCUCCCACAUAUUCUAUGAAGAUCUUUAUCGGUCAAACCGCAUAACAACAUAUGUUGUUCCCUUUGUCACUGGUAUGUUACUUGCCCGAGACUCGAUCGUCGGUAUCUCAAUACCUAGUUCAAUGUCGUUACCGGCAAGUCUCUUUACUCGUUCCGUAAUACAUCAUCCCGCAACUAACUCAUUAGUUACAAUGCUUGUAAGGCUUAUAGUGAUGUGCAUUACCGAGUGGGCCCAGAGAUACCUCUCCGACAAUCGGAGUGACAAAUCCUAAUCUGGAUAUAUGCCAACUCAACAAGUACCUUUGGAGACACCUGUAGAGCACCUUUAUAAUCACCCAGUUACGUUAUGACGUUUGGUAGCACACAAAGUGUUCCUCUAGUAUUCGGGAGUUGCAUAAUCUCAUAGUCAUAGGAACAUGUAUAAGUCAUGAAGAAAGCAAUAGCAACAUACUAAACGAUCAAGUGCUAAGCUAACGGAAUGGGUCAAGUCAAUCACAUCAUUCUCCUAAUGAUGUGAUCCCGUUUAUCAAAUGACAAUUCAUGUCUAUGGUUAGGAAACAUAACCAUCUUUGAUCAACGAGCUUGUCAAGUAGAGGCAUACUAGUGACACUCUGUUUGUCUAUGUAUUCACACAUGUAUCAUGUUUCCGAUUAAUAUAAUUCUAGCAUGAAUAAUAAACAUUUAUCAUGAUAUAAGGAAAUAAAUAAUAACUUUAUUAUUGCCUCUAGGGCAUAUUUCCUUCACCUGCUGCAUAGAGGCGGCGCCAAUCUGGCGAAAGAACUGCUUGACGUGGCGGUCCGAGGGUGGUGCCUGCGAGCCGCCGAGGAGGGCCGCAACGGUGAGGGGCGCUGGCACCGUGAAGCGUGUGAUGAAAAGGCUGCGCAGCUCCUCCCAAGAGGCCAUAAAAGAUCCUGGCAACUUGAGCAGCCAGGCACGCGGCACGCCAGCGAGGGCCAGGGGGAACCAGUUGGCCAUGACCUUGUCGUCGCCUCUCAUACGUCUCCAUCGUAUCUACUUUUCCAAACACUUUUGCCCAUGUUUUGGACUCUAACUUGCAUGAUUUGAAUGGAACUAACCCGGACUGACGCUGUUUUCAGCAGAAUUGCCAUGGUGUUUUUUUGUGCAGAAAUAACAGUUCUCAGAAUGACCUGAAACUUCACGGAGAAUAUUUUUGGAAUAAAGAAAAAUACAGGUGAAAGAAUCAACACCAGGGGGCCCACACCCUGUCCAUGAGGGUGGAGGGCGCGCCCCCUUGCCUCAUGGGCCUCCUGAGGCUCCACCAACGUCAACUCCAACUCUAUAUAUUCAGUUCAGGGAGAAAAAAAUCAGAGAGAAGGAUUCAUCGUGUUUUAUGAUACGGAGCCGCCUCCAAGCCCUAAUCUCUCUCGGGAGGGCUGAUCUGGAGUCUGUUCGGGGCUUCAGAGAGGGGAAUCCAUCGCCGUCGUCAUCAUCAACCUUCCUCCAUCACCAAUUUCAUCAUGCUCACCGCCGUGCGUGAGUAAUUCCAUCGCAGGCUUGCUGGACGGUGAUGGGUUGGAUGAGAUUUACCAUGUAAUUGAGUUAGUUCUGUUAGGGUUUGAUCCCUAGUAUCCAUUAUGUUCUAAGAUUGAUGUUGCUAUGACUUUGCUAUGCUUAAUGCUUGUCACUAGGGCCCGAGUGCCAUGAUUUCAGAUCUAUACCUAUUAUGUUUUCAUGAAUAUAUGUGAGUUCUUGAUCCUAUCUUGCAAGUGAAUAGCUACCAACUACGUGUUAUGAUCCGGAAACCCCGAAGUGACAAUAAUCGGGACCACUCCUGUUGAUGACCGUAGUUUAGGAGUUCAUGUAUUCACUAAGUGUUAAUGCUUUGGUUCGGUACUCUAUUAAAAGGAGGCCUUAAUAUCCCUUAGUUUCCAAUAGGACCCCGCUGCCACGGGAGGGUAGGACAAAAGAUGCCAUGCAAGUUAUUUUCCAUAAGCACGUAUGACUAUAUUCGGAAUACAUGCAUACAUUACAUUGAUGAAUUGGAGCUAGUUCUGUGCCACCCUAUGUUAUAACUGUUGCAUGCACUACAAAAAAAAUACACUUCCGUGAUGAUACGUGUUUGUCACAGUAGGUCACGUUUUCUGUCAUGCAUGUACAUCCAUGCCAAAUUUAUGACAGAAUCAAGAUAGUCAUACCUGUGCUGUCAUAGAAGUGUUCCAUGACAUUACCAAAAUUAUCAUCACGGAAGUAUCCACUUCCAUGAUGAUAAAUCGCGCGUCACAGAAGUGCUUUCACCAAGGGUGACCGACACGUGGCAUCCACCAUAACGGAACGCCGUUAAGCUAUCGGGUCCAGUUUUGGAUCCGAUAACCCGUUAACAGCCCCGACCAAUGGGGAUUUUCCACGUGUAAAAUCAUCAUUGGCUGAAGGUAACACGUGUCGGCUCGCCGUUGGGAUAGAUGCCAUCCACUCAUUGGACCCAAAGCGCCUAUGAUACGUCGACACGUGGCACGACCCAACAGAGGCCCAUUCGUGUGAAAAGGCCGGUCCAUUUGACUUGGUCAAAAGGUGGCAGGCCGGCCCACGACAAGCGUGUUAACGGCAUGUUCGCAUAUAGCCCAUUUAUAGCCCAAUAACCCAGGGCCCGUUUACGUCCUAUCCGAAUUUGGCCCAGUAGCGUCAUCUGGGCCAUCCAAUAUAAUUCCAGCCCGUUUUAACUCCCGGCCCAUGUAUGGCCCAUGACGUCUUUCGGCCCAUAUGAGGCCCUUAGUAACCCUCGGCCCAUUAACGGCCCGUGGUAAAACUGGCCCGUAAUGAGCAGUGUAUCACUUUAUACCCAUUAAUGGCCCAUUAUACCGUUGGACCGUUUCCAGCCCAUGUUAUCUUUCGGCCUUCUCAGGGCCCAUUUAUUCUUGGGCUAAUUUCCAGCAUUCAUUUACUUUCGGCCCGUUACUGUCAUUCUCUGCUUGUGGGCCAAAUUCAGCCCGUGGUUACAAUCAGACCGUUUGUGGACCGUUAAUACGUUGGGCCGUUUUCAUAGCGUCAUCAAAUACGGCCGAUUAACGACGACCCAUUAUGGUUGGCCCGUUAUGGUCGGCCCAUGAACGGACGAUUUCAACUCUAGCCCAUUUACGACCAUAAUGUGGUCUGUUAUUGGCCCAUGUUUGGCCAACCGAUCAUACGACCCAUAGAAGGCCCAUUGAUGAUAUGGCCCGUAGAAGGCCCAUUGUGUCUACGACCCAUAUAAGGCCCAUUGUUUCUACAUCCCGUAGAAGGCCCAUUGUUUCUACGGCCCUUAGAAGGCCCAUUGUUUCUAUGGCCCGUAGGAGGCUCAUGUUAACUACAGUAAAUAUGUAGCCCAUGGUUAAUGUGGCCUAGUUUUAAAAAAUAGGCUAUUGCGGCCACUAGCAAACCGCGGAAAAAGAACUGCACUGACUACAAGAAAACAAAUAAACAAGACAGUAAGGAAAUAAAUAGGCAAGCAACUUACGCUAGGCUAUCACGGCUAUUACACAUAUUACAUCCACUGGGCAUCAAAGUUUGCCACCAGUGCAAAUAUAGGGAACAAAGUAGCAUAUAAACGCUGCAGCAAAACAAGUCCAGAACUGAAACCACUUUAGAAGAGCUCAAGAAACAAUAUCUUGGGUACCCAUAAUGCUGGCAAGAUGCUUAGCAAGCUUAUUAGCUUUCUCUUGUUUGGCACUUAAAUCCUCCAGCACUUGCUGUUGCACCACAAAGUAUGCAUCUGAAUUCUCCAGGGACUUCCUCAGUCCUUCGGCUUCCUGUUGCAUAUAUGGUAAUUAGACACUAAACAGGUGGCGUUCACACAAAGCAUGUCUAAACUAAGCAAAUGACAUAGCAAUGCAAGAUACCAUACGCACGAUAUGAGCAUCAUAACCCUGCCAAGUUAGAGCAUGCACCUUGGGGGGGGGGGGUAGGACUGGUCAUCUGUCUAUGAAUUCUCCUCUGAGGAGCUGUCUGUAACUAGCGAGACAUGCGCUUAGUUAGAUAGCAUUGUUUGCUCUGAAGACCUUGUUUCCACUCCAGAUUUUUCCAUGACCGUGCCGAAUGGCUGAUGCAUAGGAAGAGUAAUUGAAUGUACUAAAAUUAUUGAAAAAUUUAACACGUAAUAAAAAAUGAUGUCAUGAUAUAAUUCACAUAUAAGAUGACUGGCUAACCAGGGUGGCAUUGCAAAAUUCACAUAUAUGAUGCCUGGCUAAACAAGAUGGCAUUGCAUGAUUUGCAUAUACGAUAAAGAAACUAAAUAGAUGGCAUUGACACAAAGCAUGUCUAAACUAAGCAGAUGCCAUCUUUGAUGUAUACAGUAAGCAAUGCAAGGCACCAUAUGCAUGAUAUUACCAACAUCAGCAUGCCAAGUUAGAGCGAAGACCUCAUGGGGUAAAUAGGAGUGGUCUUCUUCUUCUGAAUCCCCCUCAGAACAGUUAUCUUCCUCUUGAUUACGAUCCGAAAUGGGUGGAGGGGGGGGGGGCUGCCUUUGCGCCCACCAUGGAGCGACGUCUGCAUGAAAUUUUAUUGCUAUGCAAGGCUCGUCUCUUUUGCUCUACAUGUUCAGUUCCAUUGUGUACAAUAACUGACAUGCAUAGGAAUAAAACAUAGUGAGAUUAUGUAAGGAGUGCAUGCACAAAUCCAGAGUGAUGGUAGCAAACUGUGGAUAGACCCAAAACAAAUGAUAGCAGGCAGAUAAUAGCUUUAGUUAAAAAAUACAGAUAAUGGCUCCUUUAAUGUUUGUUUGCACCCAAGAUGAAACUCAUAGUAGACACCCGAGAUUAACAAGAAAGUAGACAUAUAGUACUGAUUGCUGCCCCAAUAUGUACCCCACAACCAUUUAAAAACUCAAGUUUCAGCAUAAGUUUGGACCUGAGUCGGAGUCUAAUAGGUGAACACGAUGAUAAAGUAGCAUGUCAUCAUAUUAAGCGAUGCAAAACAUAAGCAGACACGGAAGAGUGCGACCUCUCUUGCGGACCCGUGUAGUCCUCAAGGUCAUCUGCUCAGUUGAUGAUGGUAAUGUAGUUGUCGUGGCUGUCGGCGGUGGGGAAGAAGAUCAGAGGCGGCGAAAGAUAGUCUAGAGAGCGGAUCCCUGUUGUGGUGAACCCUUCCGUCGUUGGAGCAGCUGAGCUGGGGUGGAACACAACACCGCAGCAGCAAGACAAACCACACAAGGUUUUCUUUGACACAUGUCUGUAACAGAAGUAAUUGUGUAAGGGCUUGUUUGAAUUUGAGGAUUCUAACAAUGCAGGGAUAGGAAAUAGAUAGGAAUAGGAUAAGAAUGCACGUGCAAAACAGAGAAUUUAAAAACACAGGAUUUUUGCCAAUCUGGGUGUUUGGUUCACAAGAAUUGGAAGAUCACAGGAUGCAAAGAAGCAUGGUGAGACUAAGUCAAACCACAAGAAGUGUACAACCUCUUUGGCGGAGCCAUGUCGAUCUCAGUGUGAUUGGGUUGGCCGGUGAGGAUGCUCCGGCUGACUUGGCUGUCGGAGGAGGGGAAGAAGAUCUUAGGCGUCUGGAGAUGGAGCCCGAGGUACUCUCCAUUGUGAUGGAGGGUUUCAUCGUUGGAGCAGCUCCGGUGAGUUGUACGAUGCCGAGGCAGAAGCAGGACAAGAGAGACAAUGUUAACUUGAGUGGAAUUCUAAUAGCAUCUCCAAUAGAUGACGUAAAAUACAUAACCACAAAGUGCUAGAUGUAUAUAUCAGCCGCUCAUCUCUGAACUUAACUGUCGAAACUGAAUUUAACUGUCGAAACUGAACUUAACUAUCGAAACUGAAUUUUGCUGUCAAAACUGAAUUUUACUGUCGAAACUGAACGCACUAGAGGUGAGGCUACAAGUCAGUCGACUGACUUUUCAUCUCUAGUCAGUCGAUUUUGCAGCCGUUGGAUACGAAAUCAAGAGCCUCCCGUUCAUCUCCAACCUCCACCCCCUUGAGCCGCCAACCACCACCGACCAAACAGCCGCCCCCGCCGCCUGCGGCCGGCGGUGCACCGCCCUGCCCGCCCCAAAAAGACUCCCCACCGCCGGUCCGCCGCCACCCCGGCUGUAACGCACCGGAUCCGAUGCGCCAGGUGUCUGUCAGUUUUUCGCCGUCGUUGCCAUGUAAUUUUCUUGCAUGUUGCAUUUUAUCAUGUCAUCAUGUGCAUUUCAUUUUGCAUACGUGUUCGCUUCUUGCAUCCGAGCCUUUUCCCCGUUGUCCGUUUUGCAAUCCGGCACUCCUAUGUCCUCUGGCAUCCUUCUCUUCUCUCUUUUCGUGAGCGGGUGUUAAACGUUCUCGGAAUGGACCGAGGCUUGUCAAGUGGCCUUGGUAUAGCACCAGUAGACCGCCUGUCAAGUUUCGUGCCAUUUGGAGGUCGUUUGGUACUCCAACGGUUAACCGGGUAACCGUAAAGCCUCCUUCUCUUUGCAGCCCAACACCCCCUCCAAACUGGCCCAAAACCCACCUAACUCCCCUCCAUGCUCUCGGUCAUUCGAUCACGAUCGUGUGGCCGAAAACCGCUCUCAUUUGGACUCUCCUAGCUCCCUCUAGCUAUAAAAACGUCCUCCCUCUUCAUUUUCGCGGAUGAUUCCUCCUGAAACCCUAAAAAUCCCCUCUCCGCGCGCCGGACAUGUCCGAUCUGGGCCGGACAUGUCCGCCGCCGCCCCCUCGUCCAACCGGCGUCCGCCACAUGGGCGCUCCGCUGCCCCGCGCCGCCGGCCCGUAGCAGGCCCCCNNNNNNNNNNNNNNNNNNNNNNNNNNNNNNNNNNNNNNNNNNNNNNNNNNNNNNNNNNNNNNNNNNNNNNNNNNNNNNNNNNNNNNNNNNNNNNNNNNNNNNNNNNNNNNNNNNNNNNNNNNNNNNNNNNNNNNNNNNNNNNNNNNNNNNNNNNNNNNNNNNNNNNNNNNNNNNNNNNNNNNNNNNNNNNNNNNNNNNNNNNNNNNNNNNNNNNNNNNNNNNNNNNNNNNNNNNNNNNNNNNNNNNNNNNNNNNNNNNNNNNNNNNNNNNNNNNNNNNNNNNNNNNNNNNNNNNNNNNNNNNNNNNNNNNNNNNNNNNNNNNNNNNNNNNNNNNNNNNNNNNNNNNNNNNNNNNNNNNNNNNNNNNNNNNNNNNNNNNNNNNNNNNNNNNNNNNNNNNNNNNNNNNNNNNNNNNNNNNNNNNNNNNNNNNNNNNNNNNNNNNNNNNNNNNNNNNNNNNNNNNNNNNNNNNNNNNNNNNNNNNNNNNNNNNNNNNNNNNNNNNNNNNNNNNNNNNNNNNUCCGCCGCGCCGCCGCGCCCUCCGUCCCGCGCCGCCGCGCCUCGCCGCCUUCGCCGGCGUCUCGGCCCGACCGCGCCCUGCCGUGCGCCCCCGCGCCUCCUCUCCUCCGCCCCGGCCAGAUCCGGCCGCGGGAGGGCUGGAUCCGGCAAACCGCGCUUCUCCGGCGAGACCACGAGCUCCGGCCGCCGUCUGCUUCUUCUCACGCGAACCACUCCGGCGAUCCUCGUAAACCGUGCAAAUCCAGAGGUUGACCCCGAAUCCACUAAGUCCCAGAUUUUUGUUAGUUUCAUGCCAUGAUUGAUAUGUGCAUCCUAUGAGGUUGAUGUCUUCAUGUGUUUUGAUCUAUGCCAUGUCUUCUUUCCAGAGGUGCUUACCAUAUAUUUUUGUAAUCAAUGUGGUGACUAGCACAAGCAUGCAAACUAGGCAUCGUGAUGUUGCUGAUUUUAGUCCCUGUUCUGCUGUUAUUUUGAUGCCAUGUAAACAUGAUGCUACAGAGAGAUCCAUGCAUAUUUUGAGAUACUUCAGUAAGGGUGUUUUGAACAUGUGGUUGUUUCCUAUCCAUUCAUGCCCUUUGUUGCAAUUAUGGAGUAGUCUAGCAUGUCAUUUUCGUGCUCUACUUUUGCUUCAAAAUGUUUCCUGGCAGAUUGUUUACUUGUUAUUCAAUUUGGCCAAGGUUGCUAUAGUUGAUGCUUGCAUGCUAUGGACUUGUUCUUGAUUUGGUUUGUUUCACAAACAUGUCUUCUUGAUGAUGCUAUGCUUAUCUUGUCAUGCAAUGACUUGUGGUGAGUGUAUCGAGCUUGUUAAGUAGUGUUCAUGAUGUUGCUGUUUUGCUAGGCUGAAUCUGUUAUUUCGUGAUGCCUUAUAAACAUGUUGCUACUAAUCAUUCUAUGCAUAACCUGGAGAUGUUCUAUAAAUAUGUUUUGAUCUAUAUGUCUUGCUCUAUCCAUUCAUGCUCCAGUUUGCAUUUAUAGUUUGUUGUAGCUUGUUCAUAUCUUGCUCCAAAGUUGCGUCAUAAUGUUGCUGUCAGCCUGUUAACAUUAAGUUCACUUGUUCCCAUGUGUUUUUCUAGUGUUCCAUGAACUCUAUGACCUUGCUAUUGCCAUGCUUAGCUUCACAAAUAUGUCUUCUUGCUGUUGGGUGCCUUGACAUGCCAUGUAUUGCUCUGUAGUGAGUUGCAUAAGCUCAUCUACAUGCCUUCAUAAUUAUGUUCCUGCCAUGUAUGAAUCUGUAAUAUAACUUCCUAUGUUUACGUGGGUGCCAUCAUAUUUUCUGAUCCUUUUUGGCUUAUGGUCAGUAAGGGACUUUUGAUCUAUGCAAUUAGUAGAUUCAUGACGUGCCUUUGUUUGCCAUAAUAAGUUCCUGUAACAUGUUGUUUGAUAGCUCUAAACGUUGCAUCGUGAUGUUAUUUUCUGCAAAGUCUGAAUUGUUAUUACUUGCAAUCUUACCAUGUGCGUUUGAGUUUGUUCUAGUGAUUUCUAGAGAUAGCUCAGUGUUCAUGUUUUGUAAUGCUUUACCUGUACAUCAUGCCCAUGCCUUUUGUUAUUAUGUUGGGAUGCUGUAGCAUGUUGUUUUGAUGCUUGCAAUAUGCCUAGUUGCUGUUUUGGACAGCUUGUCCUUUAAACUUGUUUCAUGUGUGUGUGUUGAACCGUUGCUCCGUUUUGAGUGUGCUCUAUAUGAAACUUGCUUGAUUUCGCAUAUAGUUUCAUAUUAUCAUGUUGCAUACUUGUUUUGGUGUGUUUGCUUGAUGUUUGUAUGCAUUUUGCAUCAGUGCCAUGUUUAACUUGUUUUGCUCAUAUCUUCUAGGUCGUAGCUCCGAACUAAAUGAACUUUAUAUGUAACUUGACUAGAAUCUCGUGUAGAUCAUCUUUGUGCAUCUUAACUUGUUGUUUAACAACUUGAACAUAAGGUUUAUUCAGAUCUGGACCAAUUUCGAAAUAUGCAUAUGAGGACUUACCGGAAUUGUUAUAUGUUGUUCCCGGCCUCAUUUAAACUUGCCUUGAUGUGUUGCUCUUGUUUGCAUUAUCUCUUGUCAUGAGUAGCUCCAUAUAGCUUUGUCAUGCAUCAUGCUUGUUGUGCAUCAUGCCUUGUUCAUGUGUGGUGUGUUUACCUAUGUUGUGUGCUUCUUCUUGUUAGUUCCUGUUUUGUUGCGAUCGUGAGGAUUCGUUCGUCUACACUUGGUUCGGCUUCAUCUGUUUGUCUUCUUCAUGGACUCGUUCUUCUUCCUUGCGGGAUUUCAGGCAAGAUGACCGCUACCCUGGAUCUCACUACUAUCAUUGCUAUGCUAGUUGUUUCGUUCUAUCGCUAUGCUACGCUACCUAUCACUUGUUCUUCAAGCCUUCCCAAAUUGCCAUGUCAGCCUCUAACCUUUGACACCUUUCCUAUGCAAACCGUUGUUUGGCUAUGUUACCGCUUUGCUCAGCCCCUCUUAUAGCAUUGUUAGUUGCAGGUGAAGUUGAAGAUUUCUCCAUGGUGGACAGGAUUUUUGUUGGGAUAUCACAAUAUCUCUUAUAUUAUUAAUGCAUCUAUAUACUUGGUAAAGGGUGGAAGACUCGGCCUUUUGCCUAGUGUUUUGUUCCACUCUUGACGCCCUAGUUUCCGUCAUACCGGUGUUAUGUUCCCGGAUUUUGCGUUCCUUACGCGGUUGGGUGAUUUAUGGGACCCCCUUGACAGUUCGCUUUGAAUAAAACUCCUCCAGCAAGGCCCAACCUUGGUUUUACCAUUUGCCUCACCACCACCUACCCUUUCGCUUGGGUCGGCCAACCCAAGGGUCAUCUUUAUUUUAGCCCCCCAGGGCCAGUGCUUGUCUAAGUGUUGGUCCGAACCGAGCCGCCUGCGGGGCCCCCUCGGGGCAACUCGAGGUCUGGUUUUACUCGUAGCCUAUCUCAUCCGGUGUUGCCCUGAGAACGAGAUAUGUGCAGCUCCUAUCGGGAUUUGUCGGUGCAUCGGGCGGCUUUGCUGGUCUUGUUUUACCAUUGUCGAAAUGUCUUGUAAACCGGGAUUCCGAGUCUGAUCGGGUCUUCCUGGGAGAAGGUAUAUUCCUUCGUUGAUCGCGAGAGCUUGUCAUGGGCUAAGUUGGGACACCCCUGCAGGGUAUAAUCUUUCGAAAGCCGUGCCUGCGGUUAUAGGCAGAUGGGAAUUUGUUAAUGUCCGGUUGUAGAUAACUUGACACCAGAUCUGAAUUAAAAUGCAUUAACAGUGUGUGUAGCCAUGAUGGUCUCUUUUCGGCGGAGUCCGGAAAGUGAACACGGUUUCUGGGUUAUGUUUGACGUAAGUAGGAGUUCAAGAUCACUUCUUGAUCAUCACUAGUUGACGACCGUUCUGCUUGCUCUCUUCUCGCUCUUAUUUGCGUAUGUUAGCCACCACAUAUGCUUAGUCGCUGCUGCAGCCUCACUACUUUACCCCUUCCUUUCCCUUUAAGCUUUGCUAGUCUUGAUACCCAUGGUAAUGGGAUUGCUGAGUCCUCGUGGCUCACAGAUUACUACAACAACCGUUGCAGGUACAGGUUGUGCGAUGAUCAUGACGCGAGAGCGAUGCUUGCUUGCGUUGAGUUCUUCUUCUGCUUCUUCGAUCAGGGGAUAGGUUCCAGGUCGGCAGCCUGGGCUAGCAGGGUGGAUGUCGUUUGAGUUUCUGUUUGUGUUUCAUCCAUAGUCGGAUGAUGCUCUGAUGUAUUGUGAUGUUGUAUUCGUGUGGCAUUGUAUGCCUCUUGUAUGUAUCCCCAUCUAUUAUGUAAUGUUAAAGUAAUGAUAUCCACCUUGCAAAAGCGUUUCAAUAUGCGGGUCUAUCCUUGGUGGGACCUUCGAGUUCCUUUUGGAUAGGGUCGCAUAUUGGGCGUGGCAAGUUGGUACCAGAGCCUCGACCAACCCUAGGAGCCCCCUUGAUUGAUUAUGUAGUUUGGUCGUUGUUGAGUCUAGAAGAAAACUUUUUCUGAGCCUAGUUAUAUCAUAGAGUAGGAAUUCUUUUUACUCCUCAUCCCCUUCGUCGCUCUGGUCAGGAAUCUUGACGUAGGUGUCUUGAAUUACCCCUCUUCCCCUUCAAAUUUUUCUUUAGGAUCGCGCAGUUGGUUUUCCAGUAGUUGUUCCUCAGCUCUUUUUAUCCGGUGCAUUUCUCCUCAAGUUGACUCGAGCCUCUUCAUCUUUGAGUUCAAUCCUCAGUUGUUUUCUUUCCCACCCGCCCUCCCCUUUUCCUUCUCGGAACCGGAGUCUGUAAUCGAGUAUCCAUGCUACUCGUACGAAGUUUUUGCUCUCUCUCCUCAAUGAUUUCAACUGGUGUUUUCUCUUCAAGAUAUUAGUCAUUUCCCCUUCCAAGUUGUCUUUGUUUUCCCGCCCUCCCACCCUCUUCUUCCCAGAGUCUGAGUCUCUCUCGACCAUCUAUCUCAGUCGUGUGGAGCCUCUUCAGUCUUUCGUAAAUUAAUUCAACCGGUGAAUUCUCGUCUUGUUCGUCAUUUUUCAUCCCUUUCUUUUUCCGAUGGAUUCAAUUCAUGUUUUUUUGGUUUGAUCACAUUCUUCUCCUCGGCUCAAGUGUUCUCCUUGCUUGUUUGCCUCUCGCCAUUCAAUCAUUCCGGAGUUCAGAAGAAAUCUCAGGAGAUUCGUUCGUGUUCGAAUUAAUUCGAGGUUGUCACCUCAUUCAAAUAUUUCAAUUUUUCCGGUGCAUCAUCUAUCUAUUCAACAAUCCUUUUCAACGGUGUUUUCUCUUCACUGGGCCCUAACCCACAGGUCUUUUCCAGGAUCUUACCUGACUCUUCUAAUUUCCCCGGAGUUAUUCUCAAUUCUUUUCAGAGUGUGACGUAAGUAUGAAUUUCAUCAGUCACAUGCUUUUUCCAAGAUCGAUUUCAAAUCAUUUCAUUGUUGGCUCAACCUCUCUGCUUUUCAUUCUCCCGGAGUACCUCAUUUAUCUUGGUGUUGUUUCUCGUCGACAUUUGAAGAUCGAAGAAGAGUUUUUCAUAUCAUCCUCUCGAAUUAUUUCAGUUUGUCAGAUAUUCUUUCUUACCAUCCGGAGUAUGUCAGGAGUUGUUUUUCCAUUUCUUUUCACCGGAGGCCAUCAUUCCAGUUAUCAUUCUCUAUUUAUCCCGGCGAUUCGUGCAAGUGUUCUUUAAUCAGCUCGUUAUCUCUUUAUUCUUUUGCAUCUAAUCCCUUCUAACAUAUUUGUUCUUCUAAUUCUUCCUGGUGAUUCAGUCUCGUUCGUCAUUCAAUUUUCGAAUUCUUACGGUGGUUCGUUCAAGAUUCUUUUUCCUUGAGUAUCAUAUUAAUUCAUUCGUUCUUUCCAAUCCUACUGGUGGUUCAUGAAGACCUUCUCAAGUUUGCGACAUAUCCCUUAUCAAUCCUUUCAAGAAGAAUAAGUAGUAUGAAAAAUCCAUUGCUUGUCAUCUAUUUAAUUUGAUGAAGGAUAAGCAUACAAUAAAUCUUAUUCUUAUUCUAUUCAGGUGAUUAAUCCCUUCCUUCAGAGUUUGUUCUUGUUGAAUAAAUUCUAGUUCCAAGUGUUUUCAUCUUUUCUUUUCCGGAGUUCAAAUUUCCUCAGUCAUCUCGUCGGAAACCCCAAUCUAAAUCAUCGCAAGGCUCGUCUUAUUCUUUCUUCCUUCAUUCUAUCUCGUCAUCCUUUUUGUUACCGGAGUUCUCCAUGGUGGUUCUUUAUGAUUUAAUUCAUUCUUUCAAGAGUUCAUCAAGAUUUUGUUGGAGGAGUUCAAGUAUCUUUUCUUCUCGCAUCUCGAAGUGUCAUUAAUUCUCCGUAUUCUUUUGGAAGUGGAGCUUUGCAUGUCUUCGUUCUUCUCAGCUAUCCACUCAUUUCCGUUUGUGGCUGGUUAUCACCUCAUAAUUUUGAGAUGUUUUCCAUAAGUCCACAACAAGCUUAUUCUUUCGUUGUUGAUUUUCUCAAAAACUUCGUUCAACCCUUCCUUCUAAAUUCUUUCCAUUCCAUUCUUUCAAUUCUUUCCGGAGGUUUUGUGUCAUGUCUUCAUCAAGUAUCAUUCCAUCCUCUCCAGUUCUUCUUCUAUUCUUUCCUUGUUCAACCGGAGUGCUGCCUAAAUCCUUUCAGUCUUAUUCGUUUCUUAUCUCGUUCUAACCGGAGUGGUUUCAUAGUCUAUCUGAUUCCGUGAGCUUUCGAUUCUCGUUGUUCUCGUCGUUCCUCUCUUAUUCUCGAGUGCUCUCGAUUCUUUGCUUCUUCUCUUGAGUUCUUGCUUCACCUCGUCCUCUUCCCUUCCGUCUCGGUCGUAAGAUCUCGGGACGAGAUCUCUUGUUAGUGGAGGAGUGUUGUAAUGCCCCGGAUCCGAUGCGCCAGGUGUCUGUUAGUUUUUCGCCGUCGUUGCCAUGUCAUUUGCUUGCGUGUUGCAUUUUAUCAUGUCAUCAUGUGCAUUUCAUUUUGCAUACGUGUUCGCUUCUUGCAUCCGAGCCUUUUCCCCGUUGUCCGUUUUGCAGUCUGGCACUCCUAUGUCCUCCGACGUCCCUCUCUUCUCUCUUUUCGUGAGCGGGUGUUAAACGUUCUCGGAAUGGACCGAGGCUUGUCAAGUGGCCUUGCUAUAGCACCGGUAGACCGCCUGUCAAGUUUCGUGCCAUUUGGAGGUCGUUUGGUACUCCAACGGUUAACCGGGUAACCGUAAAGCCUCCUUCUCUUUGCAGCCCAACACCCGCUCCAAACUGGCCCAAAACCCACCUAACUCCCCUCCAUGCUCUCGGUCAUUCGAUCACGAUCGUGUGGCCGAAAACCGCUCCUCAUUUGGACUCUCCUAGCUCCCUCUAGCUAUAAAAACGUCCUCCCUCUUCAUUUUCGCGGAUGAUUCCUCCCGAAACCCUAAAAAUCCCCUCUCCGCGCGCCGGACAUGUCCGAUCUGGGCCGGACAUGUCCGCCGCCGCCCCUCGUCCAACCGGCGUCCGCCACGUGGGCGCGCCGCUGCCCCGCGCCGCCGGCCCGCAGCGGGCCCCCCCGAGGCCCGNNNNNNNNNNNNNNNNNNNNNNNNNNNNNNNNNNNNNNNNNNNNNNNNNNNNNNNNNNNNNNNNNNNNNNNNNNNNNNNNNNNNNNNNNNNNNNNNNNNNNNNNNNNNNNNNNNNNNNNNNNNNNNNNNNNNNNNNNNNNNNNNNNNNNNNNNNNNNNNNNNNNNNNNNNNNNNNNNNNNNNNNNNNNNNNNNNNNNNNNNNNNNNNNNNNNNNNNNNNNNNNNNNNNNNNNNNNNNNNNNNNNNNNNNNNNNNNNNNNNNNNNNNNNNNNNNNNNNNNNNNNNNNNNNNNNNNNNNNNNNNNNNNNNNNNNNNNNNNNNNNNNNNNNNNNNNNNNNNNNNNNNNNNNNNNNNNNNNNNNNNNNNNNNNNNNNNNNNNNNNNNNNNNNNNNNNNNNNNNNNNNNNNNNNNNNNNNNNNNNNNNNNNNNNNNNNNNNNNNNNNNNNNNNNNNNNNNNNNNNNNNNNNNNNNNNNNNNNNNNNNNNNNNNNNNNNNNNNNNNNNNNNNNNNNNNNNNNNNNNNNNNNNNNNNNNNNNNNNNNNNNNNNNNNCCGCGCCCUGCCGCGCGCCCCCGCGCCUCCUCUCCUCCGCCCCGGACAGAUCCAGCCGCGGGAGGGCCGGAUCCGGCGAACCGCGCUUCUCCGGCGAGCCCACGAGCUCCGGCCGCCGUCUGCUUCUUCUCAGGCGAACCACUCCGGCGAUCCUCGUAAACUGUGCAGAUCCAGAGGUUGACCCCGAAUCCACCAAGUCCCAGAUUUUUGUCAGUUUCAUGCCAUGUUCAUCGCAUCGUAACUCUGCAUCCGUAGCUCCGUUUCGUGCGUGUAAUAUGUCAAAUUGUUCGCCUCGACGAGUACAUCAUUUCAUUCCAUUGCAUCAUAUUCAUUUGAGGUAAUCUAGAUGCCUGAAUCAUCGUUGUAAGAGUGCUUCAUGAUGUUUUCUGCUGUCUGUUAUCGGAACGAGCUCUUUUGUCAUUUUUGCCAUGAUUGAUAUGUGCAUCCUAUGAGGUUGAUGUCUUCAUGUGUUUUGAUCUAUGCCAUGUCUUCUUUACAGAGGUGCUUACCAUGUAUUUUUGUGAUCAAUGUGGUGACUAGCACAAGCAUGCAAACUAGGCAUCGUGAUGUUGCUGAUUUUAGUCCCUGCUCUGCUGUUAUUUUGAUGCCAUGUAAACAUGAUGCUACAGAGAGAUCCAUGCAUAUUUUGAGAUACUUUAGUAAGGGUGUUUUGAACAUGUGGUUGUUGCCUAUCCAUUCAUGCCCUUUGUUACAAUUAUGGAGUAGUCUAGCAUGUCAUUUUCGUGCUCUUUUUUUGCUUCAAAAUGUUUCCUGACAGAUUGUUUACUUGUUAUUCAAUUUGGCCAAGGUUGCUAUAGUUGAUGCUUGCAUGCUAUGGACUUGUUCUUGAUUUGGUUUGUUUCACAAACAUGUCUUCUUGAUGAUGCUAUGCUUAUCUUGUCAUGCAAUGACUUGUGGUGAGUGUAUCGAGCUUGUUAAGUAGUGUUCAUGAUGUUGUUGUUUUGCUAGGCUGAAUCUGUUAUUUCGUGAUGCCUUAUAAACAUAUUGCUACUAAUCAUUCUAUGCAUAAUCUGGAGAUGUUCUAUAAAUAUGUUUUGAUCUACAUGUCUUUAUCUAUCCAUUCAUGCUCCUGGUUGCAUUUAUAUCUUGCUAUAGCUUGUCCAUAUCUUGCUCCAAAGUUGCUUCAUAAUGUUGUUGUCAGCCUGUUAACAUUAAGUUCACUUGUUCCCAUGUGUUUUUCUAGUGUUCCAUGAACCCUAUGACCUUUCUAUUGCCAUGCUUAGCUUCAAAAAUAUUUCUUCUUACUGUUGGGUGCCUUUCCAUUCCAUGUAUUGCUCUAUAGUGAGUUGCACAAGCUCAUCUACAUGCCUUCAUAAUUAUGUUCCUGCCAUGUAUGAAUCUGUAAUGUAACUUGCUAUGUUUACGUGGGUGCCAUCAUAUUUUCUGAUCCUUUUUGGCUUAUGGUCAGUAAGGGACUUUUGAUCUAUGCAAUUAGUAGAUUCAUGACGUGCCUUUGUUUGCCAUAAUAAGUUCCUGUAACAUGUUGUUUGAUAGCUCUAAACGUUGCAUCGUGAUGUUAUUUUCUGCAAAGUCUGAAUUGUUAUUACUUGCAAUCUUACCAUGUGUGUUUGAGUUUGUUCUAGUGAUUUCUAGAGAUAGCUCAGUGUUCAUGUUUUGUAAUGCUUUACCUGUACAUCAUGCCCAUGCCUUUUGUUAUUAUGUUGGGAUGUUGUAGCAUGUUGUUUUGAUGCUUGCAAUAUGCCUAGUUGCUGUUUUGGACAACUUGUCCUUUAAACUUGUUUCAUGUGUGUGUGUGUUGAACCGUUGCUCCGUUUUGAGUGUGCUCUAUAUGAAACUUGCUUGAUUUCGCAUAUAGUUUCAUAUUAUCAUGUUGCAUCCUUGUUUUGGUGUGUUUGCUUGAUGUUUGUAUGCAUUUUGCAUCAGUGCCAUGAUUAACUUGUUUUGCUCAUAUCUUCUAGGUCGUAGCUCCGAACUAAAUGAACUUUAUAUGUAACUUGACUAGAAUCUCGUGUAGAUCAUCUUUGUGCAUAUUAACUUGUUGUUUAACAACUUGAACAUAAGGUUUAUUCAGAUCUGGACCAAUUUCGAAAUAUGCAUAUGAGGACUUACCGGAAUUGUUAUAUGUUGUUCCCGGCCUCAUUUAAACUUGCCUUGAUGUGUUGCUCUUGUUUGCAUUAUCUCUUGUCAUGAGUAGCUCCAUAUAGCUUUGUCAUGCAUCAUGCUUGUUGUGCAUCAUGCCUUGUUCAUGUGUGGUGUGUUUACCUAUGUUGUGUGCUUCUUCUUAUUAGUUCCCGUUUCAUUGCGAUCGUGAGGAUUCGUUCGUCUACGCUUGGUUCGGCUUCAUCCGUUCGUCUUCUUCAUGGACUCGUUCUUCUUCCUUGCGGGAUUUCAGGCAAGAUGACCGCUACCCUGGAUCUCACUACUAUCAUUGCUAUGCUAGUUGUUUCGUUCUAUCGCUAUGCUGCGCUACCUAUCACUUGUUCUUCAAGCCUUCCCAAAUUGCCAUGUCAGCCUCUAACCUUUGACACCUUUCCUAUGCAAACCGUUGUUUGGCUAUGUUACCGCUUUGCUCAGCCCCUCUUAUAGCGUUGUUAGUUGCAGGUGAAGUUGAAGAUUUCUCCAUGGUGGACAGGAUUUUUGUUGGGAUAUCACAAUAUCUCUUAUAUUAUUAAUGCAUCUAUAUACUUGGUAAGGGGUGGAAGACUCCGCAUUUUGCCUAGUGUUUUGUUCCACUCUUGCCGCCCUAGUUUCCGUCAUACCGGUGUUAUGUUCCCGGAUUUUGCGUUCCUUACGCGGUCGGGUGAUUUAUGGGACCCCCUUGACAGUUCGCUUUGAAUAAAACUCCUCCAGCAAGGCCCAACCUUGGUUUUACCAUUUGCCUCAUCACCACCUACCCUUUCCCUUGGGUCGACCAACCCAAGGGUCAUCUUUAUUUUAGCCCCCCCAGGCCAGUGCUUGUCUAAGUGUUGGUCCGAACCGAGCCGCCUGCGGGGCCCCCUCGGUGCAACUCGAGGUCUGGUUUUACUCGUAGCCUGUCUCAUCCGGUGUUGCCCUGAGAACGAGAUAUGUGCAGCUCCUAUCGGGAUUUGUCGGUGCAUCGGGCGGCUUUGCUGGUCUUGUUUUACCAUUGUCGAAAUGUCUUGUAAACCGGGAUUCCGAGUCUGGUCGGGUCUUCCUGGGAGAAGGUCUAUUCCUUCGUUGAUCGCGAGAGCUUGUCAUGGGCUAAGUUGGGACACCCCUGCAGGGUAUAAUAUUUCGAAAGCCAUGCCUGCGGUUAUAGGCAGAUGGGAAUUUGUUAAUGUCCGGUUGUAGAUAACUUGACACCAGAUCCGAAUUAAAACGCAUCAACAGUGUGUGUAGCCGUGAUGGUAUCUUUUCGACGGAGUCCGAAAAGUGAACACGGUUUCUGGGUUAUGUUUGACGUAAGUAGGAGUUCAGGAUCACUUCUUGAUCAUCACUAGUUGAUGACCGUUCUGCUUGCUCUCUUCUCGCUCUUAUUUGCGUAUGUUAGCCACCACAUAUGCUUAGUCGCUGCCGCAGCCUCACCACUUUACCCCUUCCUUUCCCUUUAAGCUUUGCUAGUCUUGAUACCCAUGGUAAUGGGAUUGCUGAGUCCUCAUGGCUCACAGAUUACUACAACAACAGUUGCAGGUACAGGUUAUGCGAUGAUCAUGACGCGAGAGCGAUGCUUGCUUGCGUUGAGUUCUUCUUCUGCUUCUUCGAUCAGGGGAUAGGUUCCAGGUCAGCAGCCUGGGCUAGCAGGGUGGAUGUCGUUUGAGUUUCUGUUUGUGUUUCAUCCGUAGUCGGAUGAUGCUCUGAUGUAUUGUGAUGCUAUAUUCGUGUGGCAUUGUAUGCCUCUUGUAUGUAUCCCCGUCUAUUAUGUAAUGUUGAUGUAAUGAUAUCCACCUUGCAAAAGUGUUUCAAUAUGCGGGUCUAUCCUUGGUGGGACCUUCGAGUUCCUUUUGGAUAGGUUUGCAUAUUGGGCGUGGCACCGGCCAUCCCUGUAGGCCUCCCAUGCCGAGCUUUUUCUCCGGCGAUCCCCACGCCACCGCCCCACCACCGCCGGCAACCACCGCCCCCACCCUGAACCCUAAGAUAGAUAGUGGGGUACCUCUCUGGUGAGCCCCCCCUCCCCGCUGCGGCUGGUUCUUCCUUCACUCCAGCGAGCCCCCCACCCCCUGAAAAUUGAUUGACCCAAAAGUUGAUUUAGUCGACUGAAGUGUAGCUAAAUCGUAGUAGCAUUGCAAGCAAGAGCAAGAGUGAGAGCAGCAGCAUGAGCAACAGGAAGACCAACAGCAUACCAGGCAGGGGACCAAGAGCAAGAGCAGAGCAGCAGCGCGAGCGAGAGCUAAAGCAGCAGUAGCUCCUACUGAUGUGGACAUUGAUGCCGAGGGAGCGACGCCGCCGUGGAUGGAGCCGUGCCGUGUCGGCUCGGGACCGAGCGCCGGCAGCAUCGUGAGACCGAAUCAAGAAGAAAAUGCGGCGAUUAGUGUACAAUCUCUUUGGUGGCGCCGAUUAGGCUGCAGCUUCAUCCAAGGAAACGGUGAUGAUGAUGCUCUUUCGGUGGUGCAGGUGAAGACGGUGGUGUGGGAAUGGAGGUGGCGCAAAAGAUGAGGAGAACGUCGGGGCAACUCCUUGGAGGUGGAGGACGGGGUGGCUGAACCGGCAGGAUGACCAGAUCAACGACGGAUCCUCAUCCGGUACGAUGGAUGAGGGACGUCGAGGUGUUGUUGUGGACGACAUCAUCGGGGAAGAGGCUCCGGCUGGGUGGCGGAUGGAGGAGGAUGUGGGGCUUCGCGGGUUUUGCCGGCCUCGGUGUGCGAAUGGGUGGGUGGAUGGGAUGGGAGUGGGGAACCAUGGCUUAGGGACACGCUUGUUCGAAAUGUGGGGUAAGUUACAAAAGUACCCCCACCAAUUUGAGGAGGUUCUUUCGGUUCAGGGGUAUCACGGGCAUUUCGUGUGUCGGGAUUUCACAAGAGGUGGGAGUUUCCGCGCACGUUGUAAUUUUGGAAUAGCAAGGCACGGGUUGAGAUGGAGGGAGUUGUCGGAGCACAACGAGACAAAGAUAUAUCUUAAAUAUUUCGGGCUAACAAGGCGCGGGUUGAUGAGGCGGGAGUUUCGCAGCAUGAUAGACAGAGACGCUAGCUUGAAAUUUUGGCAUAAUAAGGCACAACUUGAAAUUUCGGGAGAACAAGCUUAACGUGUACAAAAAAAGACAAUUUAGACUAGUAUGAUAUACUAUGUACAACGUGUUUAACACGCACAACACACACAGAGACACCAUUUAGACUAGUAAGAUACACGUGCAUGGCACGCAUGAGAUUUGGCAACCAAAUUAUGAAUAAAUACCACAUUAUAGCAUGUAAGCUUUGAGUCAUAUAUGCAUGAUGUAGAUGUUCGUUUAAUUCUUAUAGUUCAUUUCAUUCAAAAUCAUCUAGUUUUUAUAAGAAAGCUAAUCUAUUUUAAGAUUCAUGGAAUUGUGCGUUGUAAGGCAUAAAGUAAAAAACAAAUCAUGUAGAAAAACAUUUGGGCUAUUCUGAUACGGAAGAUUCUAGAACAAAGAAGAAGUGCUUGUGUUUUGAGGUUUGUGCAUUAUGCUUAAGUUCAACCAUAGAGUCUUCUAGAUUGUACAUGUGGCAAAAUCUGGUGGAAUCUAGAUGAUAUCCAACGGCCAGUAGUGCUCAAAUUUUUCAGCUCUACACCAUCGGAUUGGUCUCAUCCAACGACCAUCUUUCAAAGUUAAAGUUAUCCGCACACUAUAUAAAAAAAUAUAAUAUAAUAUAUAUAGGGGUAUAUAUAUAUAUAUAGAUAUGUGAUGCGAAAGCCACCCAUCAUCUCCAAUUAGAAUAGUGUGUCCAUGCACGGAUGCAAUGUGGCCAAACAAUGUCUACCAUCGGUAUCUCUAAUUCAAACCAAUCUGACCUUGUUCAAUGUGUAUACAUUGCAACAUGCUCGUUUCCAAACCACACCACGCAGAUCUCCAUUAUAUUCAUGCAUGCAUGGGUUUCAAACAUCACGAUCUCUUAUUAAAAUAUUUGAAUUCAACUUUACAUUGAUUAUGACCUCACCUAGUCUUUUACACCCACACAUUGGUCUUCUCUUUAUAAUUGUACCACUAACUUUCUCUCGUGCAUGCAUGCACACACUCUACUAGUCGACAUUAUCCAUCGCACACAUGCAAUCUUUUUCUUCGGGUCGGUCUCCCAUGAAGGCGCGCGCGCACACACACACACACACACACACACACACAUCCCCCUCUCCAUCAUAUCGGGCAUUCUUUAUCUCUCACGUGCAUGCGCAACGAUCGAUGUUCCUCUAUAUAUAUGUGUGUGUGUGUGUGUAUAGCUAGGUCUUUCAUAGUUUUCCACAUAAACCGAUCAAUCUAUAUAUCUAGUGAGGUCUCAUCCUCCUUCCCACGCCCACAUCGAUCAAUCUAUACCUCUCUAUAUAGGAUUACAUAUAUAGCUACUACACCCACAUUAAUUAUAUAUAUAUCCAACGCCCCCCUCUCAUCAUCCAUGCCUUCCGCUUCAUCUCUCAGACACACGCACAAUGGCGAAGACAGGGGGCAGCAAGCCCCCCCUAACAUCACUAUAUAUCGAGGCUAAUAUGAAUGUGAUCAUUAGACAAUUGCUGGUAAAAAUGGUUUAAGUUGAUGAAUUGGCCCUCCUCGUAAAGGAUUAUCAAUGCUUGGCCCCCUAGCUCAUGGGACAUUUUUCAUGGCUCCGCCAGUGCGCGCAACAACGCACAUUCUCGCCCCCUCUCUCUAAAUAUCAAUCUCGCAGUUGUGCAAUCCUUCAUAGUAUCCCUCCACUCGGCCCCUCGCACCAUCUUCUAGCCCCCACCGGAUUUUGCCACAUGUACAAUCUAGCAGACUCCAUGGUUGAACUUAAGCAUAAUGCACAAAUCUCAAAACAACAGUGGUUCUCCUUUGUUCUAGAAUCUUCCAUAUCAUAACUGCCCAAACUUUUUUUCUAGUUGAAUUGCCAUUAUUUGUUUUUUACUUUAUGCUUUACAACGCACAAUUCCAUGAAUCAUAAAAUAGAUUAAGGGCUUCUUUGAUUCGAAGGAUUCUCGAAGGAAUUUUGGAGGAUUCUAAUCCUUGGGAAUUUUUCCUAUCUUGGUUGUUUGAUUCGUAGGAUUGUAAACCAUAGUAAUUUUUUCCAUAUGAUUCAUUUGCACUAGAUUUCAUAGGAAACAUCCCAUCCACUCAAACCUCUUUGAAAGAAUUCUGCAUUUUUUCUAUGCACAAUCAAACACUUGUACCAUCCUGUAGGAUUCAAGAUGACAUUCCACUCUAAUCCCAUGUUCUUCCUAUUCCCGCAUUUUGGAAAUCCUACGAAUCAAAGAGGCCCUAGGUUUUUAUAAAAACUAAUUGAUUUUGAAUGAGAUGAACUAUAAGAACUAAACGAAGGUCUACAUCAGGCAUAUAUGACUCAGAGCUUACAUGCUACAGUGUGGUAUUUAUUCAUAAUUUGGUUGCAAAAUCUGACGCGUGCAAUGCACAUGUACCUUACUAGUACAUUGAGUACGUGCAAAACACAAUGGCACGCUACACAGUGUCUAUGAAAGCACAUGUGCUCCCUGGGUGGUUUUGGUAAUUAAUGUCAACAUAUCUCUUGUUGGACUAACACUUUUACCUAGUAUGUUUUAGAUGAGUUCAAAAAAUGAAGUGGCAUGUACUAGAGGAUGUGGAACCCCUUCAAGAUGCUAAGGACAAAGGAUUGGCUCAAGCUCCAAGAACAAGACUCUACAUUUUAUAUUUUAGUGAUCCAAGAUCACAUUGAGUCUAUAGGAAAAGCCAAUACUAUCAAGAAGGGAUGAGGUGGUGCUUAAUGGCUUGCUUGCUCAAAGUGCUUAGUCAUAUGCUCCAAAGCCCUCAACUACUUUCUCACAUCCACAUAUGUCCUAAACCAAAAAGUCUAACUCGGCCCCACCGAUUCUUUCUAUCCGGCACCACCGAGUUCAGAUGUCUUAGCCACUGCCACAAACCCUAGGCAAAUCGGUUUCACCGAUAGGGAUCUCGGUCUCACCGAGAUGGGAUUGUAAUCUCUUUGUGUAUUUCCAUUACCAAAAUCGGUCUCACCGAGUUUGAGCAAUCGGUACUACCGAGAUUACAAUGCAAACUCUCUGGUUAGCUUAUUACCAAAAUUGGUCCCACCGAGUUUGUGUAAUCGGUCUCACCGAGUUUGCCUGACCAACUCUCUGAUUAACUUAUUACCAAGAUCGGUCCCACCGAGUUUGCAUAACCGGUCUCACCGAGAUUACGUUAUGCCCUAACCCUAACCAUAUCGGUCCUACCAAGUUGCAUGUCGGUCCCACUGAAAAUCUUAACGGUCACUAAAUUUGCUAAAUCGGUCCGACCAAGUUUCUCAAUUCGGUCCCACCAAGAUUGGUAAGUUGUGUGUAACAGUUAGAUUUUGUGUGGAGGCUAUAUAUACCCCUCCACCCACUCUUCAUUCGUGGAGAGAGCCAUCAGAACGAACCUACACUUCCAACUUGCAUUUUCUGAGAGAGAACCACCUACACUUGUGUUGAGGCCAAGAUACUCCAUUCCUACCAUAUGAAUCUUGAUCUCUAGCCUUCCCCAAGUUGCUUUCCACUCAAAUCUUCUUUCCACCAACUCCAAAUCCUGUGAGAGAGAGUUGAGUGUUGGGGAGACUAUCAUUUGAAGCACAAGAGCAAGGAGUUCAUCAUCAACACACCAUUUGUUACUUCUUGGAGAGUGGUGUCUCCUAGAUUGGCUAGGUUUCACUUGGGAGCCUCCGACAAGAUUGUGGAGUUGAACCAAGGAGUUUGUAAGGGCAAGGAGAUCGCCUACUUCGUGAAGAUCUACCGCUAGUGAGGUAAGUCCUUCGUGGGCGACGACCAUGGUGGGAUAGACAAGGUUGCUUCUUCGUGGACCCUUCGUGGGUGGAGCCCUCCAUGGACUCGCGCAACUGUUACCCUUCGUGGGUUGAAGUCUCCAUCAACGUGGAUGUACGAUAGCACCACCUAUCGGAACCACGACAAAAACAUACGUGUCUCCAAUUGCGUUUGAAUUCUCCAGUCCCUUCCCUUUACAUUCUUGCAAGUUGCAUGCUUUAUUUUCCGCUGCUCAUAUACUCUUUGCAUGCUUGCUUGUUAUGUAUUGUGAUUGUUAAACUUGUGCCUAAAGUCCACUUAAACUUAAAAGAAGUUAAAAACUGCAACUUUUAGUACUUAGUGUCUAAUCACCCCCCCUCUAGACACCUCUUCUCGAUCCUUUCAGUCUCUCUUACAAUUCAUGAAGCCACGUGGCACAUGUGGAGGCAUUGUCGCGACAUCCUUGUGUGGAUUGAUCACAGUGACGUGCUGCUGGUUCCAGAAGAAUGUACUCGUCCUCCCUGAGCCGCACUGGCGGUACAUGCACGAAGCGAAGAUGUGCACGCAUGCCAUGCACACACUCAUUCCCUCGCACGCACACGCGGGUACACGGGCGGACGCAAUUUUGUACCAAGAUCCACCCCAUGUGACAAUUUGACGUGUAAAGUCCUUCACUUCAUUGAUGGUCAAUUAAUACAACGCAUGCAAAUUGAGUGGAUGUGAGGGCGGAAGAAAGACAUUAAUACUCCACUGCGCGCACGCGAGUCGUUAAAUCAUGGGUUGCUAGUAGUACUUCCAUUGGUCUCCUUCAUAUUUUGUGCCAAUUUUUGACAGUAACAUAAUAUUUACGCAUCUGAGCAGUGUACUCUACUUGAAAUUUAUGUUCCACUACACUCAUCGGGAGCUGUUUCGGGCCUCGAAACCAAAAACCAUCAUUUAAUCUUUACCUUGUUCCCAUCACAUUCGAAAGUACUAGUGCGACAAUUAAGUGCAAGCCUGCUCACACCUACCAGUACGUACCAAAUCUGAACGUGUUCCCACAAUGCAGGUUUUAGUACUAGUGCUAGUACUUAGGUUAUAAAAAGGGGAACUACCUAACCAAAAGUUACUCUACCUUCCUCCUCAUAAGUCCUCCUUCUUCGUCCGUCCUUGCCAUGGCCGGUGUGCAGAUCUCUAGGUCGAGAACUACUCGUAACAAGGGAGCGGCAACUAAGGCCACGGAAAAAAAAGAGAGGGCUCGCCGCCAUGCAAAGACCUCGAAAGAUCUCUCACGGGCAGGCGAUGGCUCCGAGGAGCGCCCUAGACGCGGAGGCGAACAUGCCGAGCUGGCGGCGCUGGAGUCGUUAUCCCUCGACGGCAUGCCCGAUCAGCUCAAUAAGCACCUCAAUAAGUAGAAGGAGUUCAUCCACGGCUUGGUGGAGCUGCUGAAGGAGAGCCUCGACGACAUACCCACUGAGCUCAAUGAGCAGGGGGAGUUGACCGCCGGCUUGGUGAUGGUGCUGAAGAAGAGCAUUGCUUCAGAGAAGAAGGCGACCAGCGAAAUCCUGCAACUUCAGGAGGACAAGGCGAAGCUCUGCCACGAGCUCGACCUGCUGAAGGAGGAGAACACCGGCUGGAAGAAGCUACAUGAGAAUAGUAGUUCCUCGAUGAAGAUGUUGCAGGCCCUCAUCAUGGAACAGAAGGAGGAGUUGGCGAAGCUCCGCAUCGAGCACCCGGCUGCUGUCAAGGUACGUAAUGCGGCCGUGGAACAGAUGAUGAAGGCUCGCGUCGAGAAAUCCCGCAUCAUGGACACAAUGAUGAAGAUGGCGGAGGAGACGUGCAAGGAGAUGGAGGUCGUGGAGGCGAUGAAGAAGCAGUUACGACUCCAUGGCCAGCAACCCUUCAUGUAGUGAGAGCAGCGCCCCAUACUUGUGUGUGUGCAUCUUCCUUCUUUUUUGGGGGUGAUAAUCCUCCUUCUUCUUUUGCUCCUGUGUUUCUUAUUUUGCAUCGGGUGUUUUGCCACACCUGUCACCUUCUCUGCGAGGCAUGAAUAAAACAAUGCUAAAAAUGAGAUGACUAGCAAAUUAAAUCAUUCUUUAUCGCCAAUAGAACAAUGCCUCUUGCUAGUAAUAUAUAAUAAGAGUAGAGAGUAGAGGAUAUGUCUCUGGGCUGCCGUGUUUCGUGCUCCUCCGUCGUACUCCAGGGGAAAACUUGGGUAUACCACACGGUUCUUUGCUCCACCUCAGGUCGUCGACACAUUUAUACGAGCAGUCAAAUCACAAGGCCCCGCCUUCCAGCAGUAAUGAGCCAUCAAAUCACAAAGGCCCUCGCCUCUCGUGAAAAGGACCAAGCUAGACUGGCCCACCCUCUAGCCUUUUAAAAAAUGUAUACAUUUGUAUAGUAGUAGUAUCAAUGGAUUGCGCCAUGGAGCAAAACUAUGCAUAUACUAUAUGACACUACCCACUAUGAAGGUACUAGUAACAUAGACUAGUAACUGGUCUAUGUUACUCUCCACUAUGACCAGCCAAAGUCGAGGCGCGGAUACCAAUGAGGGCCUGGUUGUGUCUAUACUUGGACAACUCACCCGAUUGCAUGCGCACCAGGUAGAUGAAGCUCGUGUCGUGUUGGUGCCGUGUGCGGCCCGCACAUUAACCAAAACCUCGCGCCUCCAUCUUAGCCUCCGUGUUUAAAACAUCUCAAUCUCAAGGCCAAGGAGCAACGUGAAACCUAUGAUAGAGCCAAUCGGAUGGUUGAGAACACUACAAUUCGUAGCUGCAGAUGCGUGUGUGAGAGAGGAGCAGUGAUGGUGCGUGCGAGAAGUCCCGAGAGAUAGGUGUAAUGCGUCUGAAAAAAGACUAGUCUAUAGCUCGCCACGAGGCUAUUCCUGUCGAACGCCAAGCGUAAGAUAUGUAUCCGACGGUGCUAGUUUUUGCAUGUACACAACAGUAGAAAAAGAACUAGUACCAUGGCAUAUGCUACACCACGGCCAAGAAAACGUGCCGACGUUACGCCAUCCAGGAAUAGUGCCGCACUUCGAAACUAGAACCGUCAAUAAAUUUUGAGCACGUCUCGUCACAUUCCAAAUUACUACUACUACCACGCUAUAUUUAAUUGCAAACCUGUUCACACUGAUCACAACCUAAAUGGUUUCCCACUUAGGAGCGUAUUAGUAGUACUCGGUUAUAAAUAGUACUAUGCUAAGAUGACUCCACAUUCCUCCUCAACUCCUCAUCCACAAAAAACAAUCAAGUCAAUCAAGCCAUAGCCAGCGUGGGUUCUGGGUCGAGAGAUUUCCACCAGGGAGAGGUGAGCAUGGAAGAGGAAGCACGAGAGAUGUCCCACCUCGCCGCGAAAGCAGCCGACAUGUCGAGCCGCGCAGCAGUAGCAACACAGAGGUCCCGCCGCGCCGCCGAAGCAGCACGAAGGUCCCGCCACACCGUCGAUGUAGCAGACUGGUCCGGCCACACCGUGGAAGUAGCAGAGAUGUCCCGCCGCGCCGUUGAAGCAGCAGGGAGGUCCCGCCACGCUGCGGCGGCCUGGGAAAAUUUCUCGCGGGCAGGCGAGGACUCUUACAGGCGCAUGCAUGCGAUAGUCCAUAGCUAGAUGGAUCAGAUCUCCGGCUGGACGAGGAUGCAGGACGAGGCUACCGGCGUCAUCCGGCAACUGGGGGAGGGCAAUGCGAAGCUCCGGGGAGAGCGUGACCUGCUAAGCGCGUAGAUCACCGGAAGGGCGAAGCAGGAGGAGGAAACCGCUACCGUGUUGCAGAGGACGGGCGUCAUCAUCAAGAAACUUAUGGACGAGAAUGCCAUGCUCCGCAUCGAGUGCAACAGGCUGGAGGAGGAAUCCAUGGAUGCUGCCAAGCAGCGUAUUAAGGACAUGAAACUGAUGAAAGAGACCAUCGCCCACCACGAGAACUAGUCUCCGCGACCUGCAGUGCAUAAAGAAAGUAGAGAUCAGCGAGCCAGAUCAUUGUAUGCGUCUUCCUUCUUCUUUUGCCCUUGUGUAUUUCAGGCGUAGCCGCAUGUGGCUGUUUUAAUUAUCUUCCUAAUUAUGUAAGACAAUUAUUAUCCACUCUCGUCGUCCUUAUAUAUAUUCACUAGUCUUGCUAUAAGUCGCAGUAGAUGCUAUAUAGGUCUGUCAGAUCUUACAUCAAGAUCCGUGCAAAAUUUUCUUUUCAGAGUUUCUUUUUUCUCUCUUAAAUCUCGGUUGAGUGAGACAUUGCCACGCCAUUAAACAGAGGCUCGGGCGCCAUUAAUGGAGACCUUGGGAGAGAGGUGGACUGCAGAUGAAGGUCAAAGGGCUCUCCUCCCGAUAAGCACGCGCAGGGGUCUGAUCGCACGCAUCCCGUACUCAAAUAGCUACCCUGCACGACGCCUCUGAGGGAGUCCUGGAUUAGGGGGUAUCCAGACAGCCGGCCUCUAUACUUCGUCUGGACUAUUGGGGUGUGAAGAUACAAGACUCAAGACUCUGUCCCGUGUCCGGAUGGGACUCUCCUUUGCGUGUAAGACAAGCUUGGCGAUAUGGAUAUUAUGUUUCCUUCUUUGUAACCGACUCCAUGUAAACCCUAGUCCUCUCCGGUGUCUAUAUAAACCGGAGAGGUUGGUCCUUAGAAGGACAAUCACAAUCAUAAUCAUCAUAGGCUAGCUUCUAGGGUUUAGCCUCUAUGAUCUCGUGGUAGAUCUACUCUUGUACUACUCAUAUCAUCAAUAUCAAUCAAGCAGGAGUAGGGUUUUACCUCCAUCGAGAGGGCCCGAACCUGGGUAAACAUUGUGUCCCUUGCUUCCUGUUACCAUCAGCCUAAGAUGCACAGAUCGGGACCCCCUACCCGAGAUCCGCCAGUUUUGACACCGACAUUGGUUCUUUCAUUGAGAGUUCCUUUGUGUCGUUGCUACAAGGCCCGAUGGCUUUCAACAACGCAGUCUAGGGUGAGACUUUCCUCCCCGGGCAGAUCUUCGUGUUCGGCGGCUUCACACUGCGGGCCAAUUCGCUUGGCCAACUGGAGCAGAUCGACAGCUACGCCCCUGGCCACCAGGUCAGGUUCGAAAACCUGAACUACAUGGCUGAUAUCCGCGGAGACUUGAUCUUCAACGGAUUCGGGCCUGUGCCAGGAGCGCCGGACGGUCAUGAUGAGCACGGCUUAGACCUGCUGUCAGAGAAUGCUCGGGAUGUCAUCCCUGCAGUAGACCUGGACCUAAAUCCGGAGCAGACCGCGUUGCCUAAGGACAGAUGGAUGGACUCCAUCUCACAGGCCGCACAAUCAUCGGCUGUAGAACCGAACACAGGCCUCGCCCCCAAAGAAGCAUGUGACACCGGACCCCCGGACUCAUAUCCGGCUGUAGGUUCCAGUCCGCGCUCUCCCGAGCCCGCCGAACCUGGUUGGGCUCCUGUAAUGGAGUUCACCGCUGCGGACAUCUUCCAGCACUCGCCCUUUGGCGACGUGCUGAACUCGUUGAAGUCUCUCUUUUUGUCAGGAAACUCUCAGCCGAACUAUGUUUGGCUCGAGUGGGAAGCAGGCGACGAAGGAGUUCGUUGCCCACCCACCACCCACUUUGUCGCCACGAUCGAUGAUUUAACCGACGUGCUUGACUUCGACUCCGAAGACAUCGACGGUAUGGACGACGAUGCAGGAGAAGAACAGGAACCACCGCCCACGGGGCGGUGGACGGCCACCCCGUCAUACGACAUAUACAUGGUGGACAUGCCUAAGGAGGAUGAUGGCGACAAUCCAGAAGAUAAAACCCCCGGGCAAAAGCCAAAACGACGGUGCAGACGCCGUUCCAAGACCAGCAUUAGUAAAAAUAGCGACAAGAGCACCAGAAAGAUCGACACCCCAGUCAACUCCGAAGGCAAUAACGACCAUAUGGACCCAGCGAUGGAGCAGGAGGAGCCAGGUCACGCCGAACACAGUUCGGAGCAGACGCCCGAUCACAAUGGUCCAGAGGGACGAGUUCACCAAACCGCCCCGGGACAAGAACACAGUCCGGAUGACGAUGCAUUCAUCAUCCCAGAAACACGCUUGGAACAAGAUAACCUCCACAGAAGGCGUAUGGCCACUACGAGAAGUCUAAAGAAGCAGAAGCAACGGCUAAAGGCCGCAUAGGAAACACUCAAUCGCAGAUGGAAUAAAGUGCUAGACACUGAAGAAAAGUACGGCGGCGACCGCCAUACAAAGAGCUAUGCAAAAUGCAAGCUGCUGCCAGAAUUCGACGACGAGGCUGUUCCACCAAAGAAAAACACGGCCAGGAGGCCGGACGAACCACUUCAUAACCGCAACAGAGCAGCUACCGACGCCGCGCACGAUUUAUGCGAGCUCCUGGAUAAGAAAGCCGGCGCGGCUUAGUCCAUCUACGGAUCAAGAGGACACACCCCGGCGCGGGACUAUGGUCCCCAAAACGAUCAUACCGAUCGGAUACCAAUUUGAAAUCAACACCGGACACAACAACAGCCGACGGCAUGCCACAGCACGUCCAGACACAGAGGGGCUGCUCACCCCCUAUGCUUCACUGAAGAAGUACUGGACCAUGAAUUCCCACAGGGUUUCAAACCUGUGAACAUAGAGGCAUACGACGGAACGACAGACCCAGGGGUCUGGAUCGAGGAUUUUAUCCUGCAUAUACACAUGGAUCAUGGGGAUGACCUCCACGCCAUCAAAUACCUCCCCCUCAAGCUGAAGGGGCCAGCUCGACACUGGUUGAAAGGCCUCCCCGAAAACUCAAUUGGAAGUUGGGAGGAACUCGAGGACGCUUUCAGGGCCAAUUUUCAAGGGACUUAUGUCCGGCCUCCGGAUGCGGACGAUUUAAGUCACAUAAUCCAACAGCCCGGAGAGUCCGCCCGCAAGCUUCGGAACAGAUUCCUCACUAAGAAGAAUCAAAUUGUCGAUUGCCCGGAUGCUGAGGCCUUAGCAGCGUUCAAACAUAGCAUCCGAGAUGAGUGGCUCGCCAGACACCUCGGCCAAGAAAAGCCAAGGACAAUGGCAGCCUUAACAAGCCUUAUGACUCGCUUUUGCGCGGGUGAAGAUAGCUGGUUGGCCUAUAAAGGCACCAGCGACCCAAGCACAUCCGAAAUAAGGGAUGGCAACGGGAAGCCACGGCGCAAUAAAAACAAACACCAAAAUAAGGAAGAGAGCCCAGACAACACAAUGGUCAAUGCCGGAUUCAGGGGCUCUCGACCCGGUCAUCAAAAGAAGCCAGUUAAAGGCAGCAAAGAAGGACCAUCCAGUCUGAACAGAGUCCUGGACAGACUGUGCCAAAUUCAUGGCACCCCCGACAAACCUGCGAACCACACUCACAGAGAAUGCUGGGUCUUCAAGCAGGCCGGCAAAUUAAAUGCCGAACACAAGGGAAGGGAAACACCAAGUGAAGACGAGGAUGAGCCUCGCCAGCCGAACACUGGGGGACAGAAAAAAUUCCCACCAGAGGUAAAAACAGUAAACAUGAUCCACGUGACUCACACACCCACAAGAAGGCACGAAUGCAUGCUCAGAGACACAUACGCUAUAGAGCCCGUCGUACCCACGCCUAACCACUGGUCGGCUUGUCCGAUCACUUUCAAUCACAUGGACUACCUGACUUGUAUUCGGUGCAGAGGAUCAGAUGCCUUAGUGCUCGACCCAAUAAUCGACGGAUACCAUCUUACUCGCGUCCUCAUGGACGGCGGCAGUAGUCUCAAUAUAAUAUACCAGGACACUAUUCGCAGGAUGGGGAUAGACUCAUCCAGAAUUAGCUAAAGCAACACCACCUUUCAAGGGGUGAUACCAGGCGCCGAAGCUUGCGGCAGGGGCUCCGUUGUACUGAAGGUAACAUUCGGCUCCCCAGGCAACUCCAGAAGCGAGGAACUACUCUUCACCAUCGCCCCCCUUCCAAGGUGGCUAUCACGCAUUGCUUGGGAGAACGGCCUUCACCUGCUUCAACGCAGUACCGCAUUAUGCCUACCUUACACUCAAGAUGCCUGAUCCACAUGGCGUCAUCACCAUUAACGAAAACCCAAAGCGCUCUUCACGCACGGAGGAACACGCGACGACUCCAGCGGCCGGACUCUAAGCGGCCUCCAAUACCAGAAAGCAUGAUUGGUCGUUAAGACCACGGACACGGUUAGACGAGUCCGGCAGCCCGGAUAAAAAUGAACCAGGGCGCCGUAUAUGUAAACCCCGUAGAGGACACCAGGAGCUAUAAACAUUUAAUAAAGCCCCAAUGUUGGCCUAACCCUAUUUAUAGGCCAAUGUUUUACACUUUUACUAUCCAUCGCACGCUCACGUUAUGCUCUUCUACAUGAGUUUUUCUUUUUUACAGACAACAUUCAUGCGAUACCCUUCCAGGACAAGGCACAACGGAGACAAAGGCGCAGACGUGCAGCAGGGCCCUGCUCAAAGGUUUCUUUUUAGAUUAAGCCCCUGUGUAAACCUUUUUAUUGCCUCUUGUUGCUUACAUAUCCCAUGGGUACUACACCCACAUAGGGUACUGCCGUUAUUGGCAUUUCGCCACGACAGACUAAUGCACGUACCUGGAAAUACAGGGUUCAUAAUGAAAGGGUGUUUUCAGCCCAUUUUAUGUUAUAAAGUCCGAAUACCUUCGGGAGUGUUUGGCGUCACGAGUUUGGCCUUAUAUGCAUCAGCUCCGAAUCAUGUCUUUGGUCAAAUAUUGGGUUUGCCCGGCUCCUGGGUUUGCCGCCUUACGUUCCGUUCUUAUCGGCUAAGGCGGCCAAAGGAGAACUACUGCGAUUGUGCCCUGGUUAUUUCGGAUGAGCACCUCAGUAGAGAAAAGCCGAAAACUGACUGUCAUGAUACAGCGAGAGACUAUUCAACCACUCGAAGACUUACCGGAAUAUUUAGGAUUCCUCCGCAUUAACGAAGGGCCGUUUCCCGGCCAUGUACACACACGCCCGUAUUCGGAUGCACGCAAAAGUACUAGGGGCUACAUAGUAGCCCCACCGUCAAACUCCUAUGGCUAACUGAAAGUGUUACAGCUAUAUAGUCCGGUUGCCUAGUUCGACUCCUUAUUGGACCAAGACGUUGGAUCAAGUGUGACUAUGCAUAUUUUUCGCGAACACCCCCACAUUGUAUGCGUGGGGGCUGAAGCCAACGACUGCUAACUUUUAGAAUUACACGUAUACAUAAAAACGGCCGCACAGGAGGCACAAUAAUACUUUCGGGCACAAAGUAUAAAUAUAGCCUCAUAAUCAAAAUUACAUUGUUUUUACAACGAAGCGACUUGUCACUCGAACAUGACAUUCUUCGAGCACUGAGCCUCUAUUAAGUGAGCACCUUCUCUUACUUUCCCCAAGUAGUGCUCGGCCGGAUCCUGGCCUCCCGCCGGAUUCUGGGUCGCAAUGAUGGUGGCCUCCAUAUCUGUCCAAUAUGCUUUAACACGGGCAAGUGCCAUCCGUGCACCCUCUAUACACCUCAUGGCAUCGAUCUGCGAUACGGCACCGAGGAAUUGUUGCACCAAACCAAAAUAACUGUCCGGUUUAGGCCCCCUCGGCCAAAGAUGGUCUAUUACAGACCGCAUGGCAAGCCCGGACAACCUAUGAAGCUCCGCCAAAGCAGCCAUCUUCUCACUCAACGGCAAUGGAUGCGCAGGAGCAUUGAAUUGGGACCAGAACAACAUCUCCACUUCUUUAUCACCUUGAUCUUCAAAAAACUUGGCGGCAUCAGCUGUACUCUUUGCCAAGUCUGCAUAAGCGUCUGCAGGACUCCAGCGCCGAUCCAGGAGAGCAUACUUCGGAUCCAAAAACCUCAUCCGCAACAAGUAGGGGCUCCCAGCCGUGAUUUUUCUGGCCCGUCGAAGCUCCUCCCGCACAUCGCUGAUUUCGGUCCGCAUCUCCUUGGCUGCAUUAAGUGCCUUGUUCAGGUCGGCCGAAUUAACCUGAUUCUCCUUUUCAAGGAUCUCAUACCGGUCGACGGCAUUUUUCAACACAACAGCCAUUUCGGCUAUCUUGUCUUCGCUUCGGCGAUGAGCAACCUGUUCGGCUCUCAACUCUUCGGCCGCCUUUAGGGCAGCCGCAUUGCUAGCACGAGCUUGUUCCUUGGCCUGGGCAAGUUCUGCCCUCAGGGCUUCCACGACAGCAGCACCGUCUACAAUCCACGCAUGUCGCAUUAAUAUUAUGCCCCUCUCAUAUUUUCCUAUACAACAUAAUAAGGAAAGCAGAGCACAUACCUUGUGACUCGUUCAGCCGCUCGUUCACCAGCGUGAUAUCGGCAUCAAUAGAUCCAAUCUGCCUCCUUAGUUCGGCAACUUCAAUGGACUGGUCGGCUGGCGGAUCCUUAGAUACCUGCGCAUAUGUACAUCGCAAUCAUUACUUACACAAUAUGAUCCUCCGUUUGCUGCCUAGGGCGGGCAACCAGAGUCUAAGGGGCUACUAUCCAUAUGGAGCACACCUAGCGCAUGCCUCACAGCAAAAUAAUUGUGUAUUUUUCACUACAUACCUCAAAGCCUCUGAGCAGGCUCGUAAAUGCUUCAUUCAAACCGCUUGUGGCGGAUGAAAUCUUCUUGAGCACCAUGCUCAUUAAUGAGCGGUGCUCCUCCGAGAGCGCAGCUCACUCCAAAAGGCCCGUCAGUAUGUCCGGACGGACACCGAACUGUGCCAGACCCUUCUCAUCGCCCCCUGUGGGAGCCGAACGCUCCGGGCUUAGGGCGGCUGAUGGAUUAGCUUUUGGCUUUGGCAAAUUCGGACUCCUCCGUGAUGACACUUCGGUGUCACCCACCUCAUGAGGCGGAGAGGCUGGUGGGGUCUCACUCUCCAUCAUCUCCGGAGGAAGAUCCCCCGAAGACGAACUUGAAAGGACCACGAUGUCGCCUAGAGGGGGGGUGCAUAGGCGUUUUAAAAUCUUUUACGGAUUUGGUUAUAUCCUAAUGCGGAAAUAAACUAAGUGGAUACUUUUCAAGCACAAAUCCUAAGUAUACUAGGCUCACUAAGUGCACCAACAACUUAGCAUAAACAAGAUGAGAACAACAGGAUAUGAGUAAGCACAAGUAAGUCACACAAACUUACUCAGUGUAUAUCACGAGGUAUGGAAAUGAAUAAUACACACAACCACAAGUAAGCAAUACAAGCUUACACAAAUUGUAUCACAAUAUAUGGAAGUUAAUGAUACAAGCAAACUCAAGUAAGUUACACAAACUUACUUGAGCAAUAUCACAAUAUAUGGAAGUUUAUAACACAAGUUAGCAAUUCACACUAAUCACAAUGUAUAUCAAUAGUAGCAAGUAUGAAUUGCGGAAUAUGAAGUGUAGGCCUAAAUAAUCUCUACAAGGAAAUGGCCAACACAAUAUAAUCAACCACCACAAUAUAAUGAGGACAACAAGAUAUAGUGAAUGCACGGUCAAAUGACCAAAGUAAACCACAAGUAAGGAGUUAGGGUUAGGGAUAACCAAAGUCACGGAGACGAGGAUGUAUCCCGAUGUUCACUUCCUUGGAGGGAAGCUAGUCACCGUUAGAGAGGUGGAUGUUACCACGAAGGCACACCAACGCCACGAAGGCUCACCCUAUUCUCCUUGAGAUAUCACCACGAAGGCAAUUCUCAACCACUAGUGGUAGACCUUAAGGCGGCCUCCAAACCUUCACAAACUUUCCGGGGGACAAAUCACAAGUUUAUUCCUCACCGGAGCACUCCUACCGCCUAGGAGUCUCCAACCUCCAAGAGUAACAAGAUCAAGGGGGAAAUGCUCAAGACUUGCUCAAAUCACGAAUUGCUUUGGUCACAAGAGGGAGAGGGAGAGGAUCUAUCUUUUGAUUGGAACAACUCUCAAGAACACUCACUAAUCUCUCCGGGAUCUAAGAUUUGGUGUAGGAGAAGUGAGAGGGAGCCACUUGUGUUCUUGGGACGAUUUGGGAUGAAGUGCUCAACCCUCCCCCAGAGUGGGAGAGGGAUAUUUAUACCCCCAAAGAAAAUAGAGCCGUGUCCCGCAGUUGUUGACCUGCCCAGAUGAUCUGGACGCAUACCCGGAUGAUCCGGGCAAUGCCCGGAUGAUCCGGGAAGGUCAAUAUACAAUGUGGUGAAGUAGAUACCCGGAUGUCCGGGGACAUAGCCGGAUGAUCCGGGCAAUUCCCGGAUGAUCUGGGUGGGUAGCCGGAUGAUUCGGCUAGCGGAAUAAGCUUCUGUGAUGAAUUUUACGAAUAACCCGGAUGAUCCGGGCAGGAACCCGGAUGAUCCGGGCAAAGCCCGGAUGAUAUGGGAGAGGGCCCGGAUGAUCCGGCCAAACCAAACUACUACAGCCUAGAAACUGAAACAGGCACAACUUUUACAUCCGGACUCCGAUUUUGAUGAUCUUGGGCUCGUUUUGAAGCUAUGAAAAAAACCCAGGUCCUCACAUAGAGAACCACCCAAGAUGAACCAAAAUGGAGGAUGCAAAAUAUGCAAAGGUUUUAUCAUGUAUUUGGGUAACCUAUUUGGCUUUGGAUUUUCUUUGGUAUAUAGGAUAUGAGUGGAAUUGUGUAGAGAAGAUGUUGACUUGAGAAAAUCUAUCACGAACCCCUUUGAUCCCCUCUUAAUAGUGCGGGAUCCCUAUAACUCAAGAAUCAUAAAAGGUUUACACUACAUAGCUAUCAAUAAUCCAUUCUUGAGUGUAUGUGUUCCUUCGGUGUUCAUCACUCCACAACACUAACGUCGAAGGAACUAAUACCUUUGACUUGAGCCUUUCACUUGAGCUUGAAGUUGAAGUUUCUUCUUGGAUCAAGUUGAAUGGCAAGACAUUGGUGAAGUCUUCAAGUAGCUCCCCCAUACACAAUGUGGGAAGCUUUGCUUUGUAUUUAUCUUCAUGUGUCCAUCAUGUGAUCAUCCACAAGCUUCAAGCAUGUAAUCCUUCGGGAUAGUUAUCUUGAACUUGCCCUUGUCAACCAUGAUCAUCAACACUUGAUGUCAUACUCUCAUAGACACUUGAAAUAUCUCUCUCGAUGCGAGCCCAUGAGAAUCUCCUCUCAAAAACAUAGGCAACACAUUGUAUGGGUUAGUACACAAAGCGCAAUUGACAAAUUCUUACCAUACCACAAGAUCUCACGUGGCACAUGAUUUGCGCUUGUGUGUUGACCAUCUUUGAAUUCAAUCUUCGAUCUUCAUCUUGGUCAACCUUAAUCUUUGCUCCAUGAUUAAUCUUGAUGCACAACUACAUGUAUAUGGCAUUCAUUCCGAAUCCAUUCAAUAUCCUUCUUGCAUCACCCAUGGAACAAACCUUCCUAUAUAACUUGAUGUCAUUGUUUCUUCAUAGGAAUUGUCAUUCAUUAUCAAGUCUCAAUGCAUAUAUAGAUGUUGAUGGAUUUCAUCCACCAAUUCAUCCAAUAUUCUUCAUGCAUUGCAAAUGGAACUUUCCUUUAAAUGUAUAUCUCAGUGCAAACAUUAGUCCAUUAGGGUUGUCAUUUAAUUACCAAAACCACACAUGGGGACUACAUGUACUUUCAAUCUCCCCCAUUUUGGUAAUUGAUGACAAUCUCCACAAGAGGGUUUAUAUAAUGAAUUUUUAAACAAGCAUGAAAUUUGUCCAAGGAUAAAUUGUAUACUUGGGAUGGUUGUAGUAUCAUCAAUACACUACAGAAGCAUUUGAUGAUAGUACACCCAUAUCAUAUAGAGCAAACUCCCCCAUAAUAUAUGAAUUUGUGAAUGAACUUUGAAUGUCAUUGCAUAUAUUGGUUGACAUAAACUAGGAGAAGAUUUCUCUAUAUACAAGACUCAUCCAUGCAAUAAGAAUAUAUAACAAGGGUAGAUAUGCAUGAGUGACAACAAGAACUAGAAAAGAUAUUUAUAUUAAACCCUCUAAACUUCUCCCCCAUUGGCAACAAAUGCCAAAAUGGAAGACAAAACAUCUAGCAGACCAAUAUAGUAUGAGUUCCUCCUUGAUGUGUGCAUAUAACAAAAUGUGAGUGAAAACAAAUGCACAUAUUCAAUGAUGAACAAUUAAAGGAGCUCGAAAUCUAUAGAAUGCAACCAGAUACGAAGAUAUGAACUUUUUCAUGUAUAAAAAUUGCUAAGUGGCCUAUAAUAAUCAUGAUAUGUAUCCACAAAGAAACUCGUAUACACAAAAAGAAAGGUUGCAAUUGAUAAGAACAUGAUAUCAACAAGUGAAUCCACUAUUAUACAACUUGAGCCUAGUCAUAAUAGCAAGGCACAUGGCACAAAGCACAUGGCACAAAUUGAUCUCAUUUGCAUAACACAAAGUGAAGCAAGCAAUCAAAAGAUCCGAUGAGCCAAAAGAAUAAAAGAAUAUUACGAUUUAGGUAAAGGAGUGUUCUAAGGAAAAUAGAGAAGCUCCCCAUGAUUUGUGCACAAUUGAAUUUUUUUAUUUGGAUACAAGUGCACAAAAUAGGAUCAUCACUCCCCCAAAAUAAAUAGGAACACACAACAAUUGCAAGCAAACAUAGAUAAGAAAAGAAGCCUAGCAUUUGCAACAAACAUAUGGUUGAGCAACAUGUACAUGAGGCAACCUAAGAAUAGGCACAACCAAAAUUAUGUGUGUGAGACAUGUCAAAGCACUUGAGAAGACUAGUAUAAGGAUGGGAAUUAAGCAUCAACAUAGCCUUGAGUAAAUGAGAUACAAGGUGCAAGACAUGUCCUUCCCACACACAUGAAGUUAAGAAGGUCACACACACAUCAAGAAAAUGGGUUCACAAGCUCACUAAUAGCAAAUUAAAAAUCAUAGCUUGUGACAACCCAUGAUGAAGAUAGGAAAUAAUAGGCUUGUCAAGACAAGCAUGAGGACAACAAUCUUCACCAAACAUGAGUGCACUAAGAUGGAAAGAGGUAAGACAUGCACUCAUUCAACAAAUGCUUCCAUGGAGCCACCAAAAAGAUAUAAAAAGUGAAUGAAAUGGUGGACAUGAAAGAAUAGUGAUAUCAACUAGAGAUGUAACUUCUCUCACGUGUAUAAGAUACUAGGUAGAUGAUAUCUACAAAGAAGGAUGUACACAUAAAAUAGUUACAAAAGGAAGGAAUAAGAUAUCAAAACGGGAGUCAUAAAAUAUACCAAUGAGAUCUUUGCUUGAAAGCAUGGCACAUGGCUUAAUAUAAUCUUAUUGUAUAUUAAUGAAAUCCAAACACACAACCAUCAAAGACAUCACAACUAGCAACAAGAGAUCAUUGUUGGGAUGCUUUGAGAAAGGAAACAAGUAUCACAGGAACGAGUCAAGAAAUUCAUGCCAUGAUGGAACCUACACAAGGUUGACCCCAUUUCUAUAUAUAUGCAUGAAGUAAAUACUUGUUACCGAGAUAGCAUUGGUAUGAAGUUGUAGAUCAAUAAAAUGUCCAAGCUUGGCUCUAAUUUCCUCAUAGUGACACCACCUUCAUGAAUAAGCCAAGCACCCAAUGCUUCUCAAAUGUACCUAAAACAUUUUAAGUACAAUAUGGUCCCCAAACUUAUUGGGUCCAACGUAGUUAGCAUAACUACAACACAUAGGGUAAAACCACUUAAAUAUGUGCCUAUUGAUAUGAAUUUCAAUUUCAUGCACAUCAUAGCCAUUAAGAAUUUAAUGGAUUUACCAUAUAUAUAUUGGAUCAAAUAAGGCAAACAAGGCAUGUGAAUUUACACAUAGUAAAUAUGCAUGCAUAAGCCUACCAAAAUCCAGGGAGAUAUAAAUUGGACAAAUGACCACAUAACUGUUAAUACUUCCAAUAACAACACUAGUCAUUCAUGUCCAAAAUUAAUCAAAGUGACAAAUCAACAUAUGAUAGCACACAAAGUUCAACAUAUGAACCCAGGAAAAAAACAAUGAGCAUAUAAGAUAUGCAUUGCACACAUACUCAUAGGAAUAUCCCACUCAAGUAGAUAUAGGACACUAUAAACAAUGAGAUAACAAACUCUCAUAUAGAGCAAUAAGAUGAAUUCGGACAAAAUGGUAUUUCGGGUUAUCGUUGGGUGUAGAAACCAAAUAAGUACAUGAUCAUCUAUACUAACAUAAGCAUAACAUGAGAGUUUAGGAAUAACCACAAUGCUUGGAUAGCAUAAUAUUAACAUUUCGACUAGAUAGAUAAUCAUGAAAAGCAAUAAUUGGAAUAGCUUUAAUCAAAUGAUUUUCCAAAUAUGGUUUUAAAGAUAACCAUGGGCAAAACCGCACAAGAAUGCCAUACGUAAACAAGACAUUGCAUGCCACGAAGAUAUAAGAUAAUCUCAAAUAUAAAUUCUAGGUGGCAUCCCUCAAUUGUUCAUAUUAACAAGGAUUGUGAUAUGCACAAAGCAUAUCACUCCCCCAUAAUAUGAUGAUCCAUGUAUUAUCCACAAGAAGCAAAUGAAACCCAACUAAGGAUAAUUAAUGGAUGAGAAUUUGAGUUUCAAAUGAGCUUUACAUACCACAUAGUACCUUGAUAAUAUUGCACUAACAAUACUAGGUGGUAUCCCACAUACAUACACCUUUAAGGUUUGUGAUAUUCGUAAAACAUAGCACUCCCCCAUAAUGUGAUGAUCCAGCCAAGGAAGAUUCAACUAAUGAAGCAAUAAAGGCUUGAAACCACACACGCACAAAUAUAUGAAGUGCAUUGUGACCUACACAUGCUAGAUAACACAAAUCAAGCAUACUAGGAAGCACAACUAUAAAAGCACAUGCUAGGUACAAAACCUAAACAUGCAAGGGACACAGUAACUUUCAAUGUAAACAAUGCAAGUACAAGUUACUGCAAAGAGGAGCAUUAGAUUGAUAGAUAUGAUGAUAAUCCACUUGACUUGGCAUUAACCAUAACAUAUGGUGAAAAUAGUUUUUCUUCAUGAAGUAGCCAAGUCUCCAAUGCCCUCCACACACCUAUUGAUCAAGUUUGAGCUUGAUGGUCCCCAACCAAGUUGGGUGCUAAGAAGUUAGUAACAAUAGGCUUGGCAACCCAAAUGGUCUUGUCCACUUUCAAACUUCUCUGGGAAUCCACAAACUUGGCAAACACAUUGCCAACAAUAUCCUUCUUUAGCGAAUAAUGAUUAUUGACUAUAGGAGGCUUAGAUAUGUUACCGUUGGAACAAGAUGAAGCUAUGUGUCCCUUCUUACGGCAAAUAUAGCAACAUGUGCUCCCCUUUCUCUUCUUCUUUACCUUUUCAACUUGGAGAGCAUUAUCUUGGUUAGGCAUGGAAGAGGCCUUUCAUUAUCUUGAUAUUGAACUUGAGGCCACUUCCCUUGAUGCUUCACACUUGAAGCCUUCUUCUUCAAUGGACAAGAUCUCACAUGGUGUCCAACAUUCUUGCACUUGAAGCAAAUAAUGUUGGCCGAAUUCUUGACUUGAUCUCGUCCCUUCUUCUUGUUCUUGGACUUCUUCUUGUUGGAGAUGAAAUCAAGUCCAAUUUUGUCUUGAGGGUCCUUUUGCACACUCAAGAUAUUAUCACAAUAUUUUUCCAAGUCUUUCUUCAAACUGGUGACUUGGGCCUUGAGCUCUUUAUUUUCCUCUACAAGGUUAGUAUUAACAAAAGAACUAGAGGAAGUAGAAACUUCAUUGUUAGAGCAACAAGGCAUGGUGAGCAAUUCAUCACAAGAUGUACCAAUAUCAUGUAGAGAGGAAUUGCAAGGACUAGCACAUGGUAAUAAGGCAUUUCGAGUAGAAGAUGUGCUAAUAUCCACAUGAGACUCACACGAUUUUACCUUGGUCCACAUAGCCUUAUGAACUAACUUUAGCCCAUCACCCAUCAUGAGAGAUUAUAAGAUCAUCAUGAGUGCCCGAGAGCUUUUCAUAACUUUCUUCCAAUUUCCCAUAGUUGCUAGUUAGCAAAUCAAGUUGAGUCCUUAGGUCAACAUUUUAUUUUAAUAUCGAUGCUUCACACAAGAUAGAGUUAGUAGCACAAGCAUCAUUAUCAAUAUGAGAAGAGCAUGUAGAAGCUAGAGACUCCGCAUGAGUAGCUUGAAGUUCCUCAUGAGACUUAGAGAGUUUGAUGAGCUCUCCUUUGAACUUCUUGUAGUCAAGGUCAAGGGGCUCAAAAUCCUCUUUAAGUUUACAAUGUGUAACUUCAAUCUCUUAUUUUAAAGACCUCAAGUCACUAAGACAUUGAUGAGCCAUAGCAAGUUCAUGUUCAAGUUGUUCACUUUUUGCUUGCUCGUAAAGAAAUAAGUCAUUACGUUUUUGAAAGCAAGCAAGAACAUCUUGGAACCUUUUAUAAGUGUUAUUUUUAGCUCUACGAAGAGUUUUCCCAAUCUCAUAGAGAUUUUGAGUCAAGACUUCAUCAUCUUCCUCAUUACAACUAUCAUCAUUGUCACUAAGAGAAGAUGAUACCUCAUCAUUACCUCUUGCCAUGAGGCACAUGUGAACACAAGGGGUUGAUGAUGAUUCUUUUGGAGAAGAGGGUUCUUCAUCAACCACGCAUGCCUCAUUUUUCUUGAUUUCCUCUACAUGGUUAUUUUCACAAAUAGAACUAUAGGGAAUCACGAUAUUUCUAUCAUGGCAACAUGGGAGAUCAAGCAUAUCAUCACAAAUGAACUUAACACCAUCAUUACAAGAUAUUUCUUCACUCACCAUGUCAUUACCUUGUGGUAUGCCACAUGUUGGUGAAGUGAAAGAUUUUGGGGUAUGCAAGUAAUCAGAGUUGGAAGCAAUAGAGAGCUCUUCAUGAUUUAAAAAUGUGGAGAACUCCUCCAUUAACUCCCCAAAAAGAAUAUUGUCUUCAUGAAGAUUGGACCCACCAUAUAUAUCUUCAAUUUUGGUCCAAGCAUCAUGAGCCAACGAACAAGACGAGAUUGACUUGAACACCUCGAAGGUUAUAGCUUGGUGAAUGAAACUUAAAGCUUCACAAUCAAGAUGCAUAUCAUCAAGUGAUGGAGAUUGUCCAUCCUUUAGAUUUGAAUUCCCUACAACCACAAUCCGCAAAGCAUUUGGACCCAUGGCCCGAAAGUGACAAAGCAUGCGUAAUCUCCACAUAAUGUAAUUUGUGCCAUUAAAACAAAAUGUGUCAUCGUGCACUAGUUCACUAGUCGACAUCGUUACUCUCUAGGCGGUUAAGCCUAAUAAGGAGAGACCUAGGUCUGAUACCAAUUGAAAGGACCACGAUGUCGCCUAGAGGGGGGUGAAUAGGCGUUUUAAAAUCUUUUACGGAUUUGGUUAUAUCCUAAUGCGGAAAUAAACUAAGUGGAUACUUUUCAAGCACAAAUCCUAAAUAUACUAGGCUCACUAAGUGCACCAACAACUUAGCAUAAACAAGAUGAGAACAACAGGAUAUGAGUAAGCACAAGUAAGUCACACAAACUUACUCAGUGUAUAUCACGAGGUAUGGAAAUGAAUAAUACACACAACCACAAGUAAGCAAUACAAGCUUACACAAAUUGUAUCACAAUAUAUGGAAUUUAAUGAUACAAGCAAACUCAAGUAAGUUACACAAACUUACUUGAGCAAUAUCAUAAUAUAUGGAAGUUUAUAACACAAGUUAGCAAUUCACACUAAUCACAAUGUAUAUCAAUAGUAGCAAGUAUGAAUUGCGGAAUAUGAAGUGUAGGCCUAAAUAAUCUCUACAAGGAAAUGGCCAACACAAUAUAAUCAACCACCACAAUAUAAUGAGGACAACAAGAUAUAGCGAAUGCACGGUCAAAUGACCAAAGUAAACCACAAGUAAGGAGUUAGGGUUAGGGAUAACCAAAGUCACGGAGACGAGGAUGUAUCCCGAUGUUCACUUCCUUGGAGGGAAGCUAGUCACCGUUAGAGAGGUGGAUGUUACCAGAAGGCACACCAACACCACGAAGGCUCACCCUAUUCUCCUUGAGAUAUCACCACGAAGGCAAUUCUCAACCACUAGUGGUAGACCUUGAGGCGGCCUCCAAACCUUCACAAACUUUCCGAGGGACAAAUCACAAGUUGAUUCCUCACCGGAGCACUCCUAACGCCUAGGAGUCUCCAACCUCCAAGAGUAACAAUAUCAAGGGGGAAAUGCUCAAGACUUGCUCAAAUCACGAAUUGCUUUGGUCACAAGAGGGAGAGGGAGAGGAUCUAUCUUUUGAUUGGAACAACUCUCAAGAACACUCACUAAUCUCUCCGGGAUCUAAGAUUUGGUGUAGGAGAAGUGAGAGGGAGCCACUUGUGUUCUUGGGACGAUUUGGGAUGAAGUGCUCAACCCUCCCCCGGAGUGGGAGAGGGAUAUUUAUACCCCCAAAGAAAAUAGAGCCGUUUCCCGCAGUUGUUGACCUGCCCGGAUGAUCUGGACGCAUACCCGGAUGAUCCGGGCAAUGCCCGGAUGAUCCAGGAAGGUCAAUAUACAAUGUGGUGAAGUAGAUACCCGGAUGUCCGGGGACAUAGCCGGAUGAUCCGGGCAAUUCCCGGAUGAUCCGGGUGGGUAGCCGGAUGAUCCGGCUAGCGGAAUAAGCUUCUGUGAUGAAUUUUACGAAUAACCCGGAUGAUCCGGGCAGGAACCCGGAUGAUCCGGCCAAACCAAACUGCUGCAGCCUAGAAACUGAAACAUGCACAACUUUUACAUCCGGACUCCGAUUUUGAUGAUCUUGGGCUCGUUUUGAAGCUAUGAAAAAAACACAGGUCAUCACAUAGAGAACCACCCAAGAUGAACCAAAAUGGAGGAUGCAAAAUAUGCAAAGGUUUUAUCAUGUAUUUGGGUAACCUAUUUGGCUUUGGAUUUUCUUUGGUAUAUAGGAUAUGAGUGGAAUUGUGUAGAGAAGAUGUUGACUUGAGCAAAUCUAUCACGAACCCCUUUGAUCCCCUCUUAAUAGUGCGGGAUCCCUAUAACUCAAGAAUCAUAAAAGGUCUACACUACAUAGCUAUCAAUAAUCCAUUCUUGAGUGUAUGUGUUCCUUCGGUGUUCAUCACUCCACAACACUAACGUCGAAGGAACUAAUACCUUUGACUCGAGCCCUUCACUUGAGCUUGAAGUUGAAGUUUCUUCUUGGAUCAAGUUGAAUGGCAAUACAUUGGUGAAGUCUUCAAGUAGCUCCCCCAUACACAAUGUGGGAAGCUUUGCUUUGUAUUUAUCUUCAUGUGUCCAUCAUGUGAUCAUCCACAAGCUUCAAGCAUGUAAUCCUUCGGGAUAGUUAUCUUGAACUUGCCCUUGUCAACCAUGAUCAUCAACACUUGAUGUCAUCCUCUCAUAGACACUUGAAAUAUCUCUCUCGAUGCGAGCCCAUGAGAAUCUCCUCUCAAAAACAUAGGCAACACAUAGUAUGGGUUAGUACACAAAGCGCAAUUGACAAAUUCUUACCAUACCACAAGAUCUCACGUGGCACAUGAUUUGCGCUUGUGUGUUGACCAUAUUUGAAUUCAAUCUUCGAUCUUCAUCUUGUUCAACCUUAAUCUUUGCUCCAUGAUUAAUCUUGAUGCACAACUACAUGUAUAUGGCAUUCAUUCCGAAUCCAUUCAAUAUCCUUCUUGCAUCACCCAUGGAACAAACCUUCCUAUAUAACUUGAUGUCAUUGUUUCUUCAUAGGAAUUGUCAUUCAUUAUCAAGUCUCAAUGCAUAUAUAGAUGUUGAUGGAUUUCAUCCACCAAUUCAUCCAAUAUUCUUCAUGCAUUGCAAAUGGAACUUUCCUUUAAAUGUAUAUCUCAGUGCAAACAUUAGUCCAUUAGGAUUGUCAUUUAAUUACCAAAACCACACAUGGGGACUACAUGUACUUUCAGAACUCUGUUGAGAAGAGCUGCUAGCCGGACUGCAAAGAAUGGAUCAUGGUUAGUGUACUCGGAGAAAAGUAGUACCUUCGAAUUUACGGUUAACUUACAGCUCGGUGGGGGGCUGGCCCGUUGGCAGGCAUGACGCGGUGAGGGUGCCCGUCGGGGCAGAGCCCCCUGGUGAUACCUUUUUCCCUUGCUUGGGCAUCUCCAUCUCCAAGUCUUUGGAGGCGGCCCUUUUCUUCCCACGCGGGGAGGAGGCUUUAGACUCCCCUUCCCGACUAUCUUCCUCAGGGAAGGUAACAGUUCCCCCGGUUUGGAUGCGCAACGUGUGAGGUUCGGCUUAUCUGUUCUUCCCUUCGUCUUUCCCUGAGGGCAUUUUGCUGAGCACCCGGUCAAGCAUCCCGGCAAUGGUUGGACUAGGCGAGCCUUCGGGAAGUGGCGCCGGACACCUGAUUCUCUCCGCCUUGUUGAGCCAUUCCUGGCCACGGAGGAUUUUCAGAAUAAUGACUAUGACAAAUAUAAACAAAGUGUCCGGUGUCAAGGUUACUUACUUGGGUAUCUAGGCGAUUGCAGCUUAGGCCCGCAUCCUCGGUGGUGUCCGGACACUUUACUUGUGGUCCGAAGAAUAAUUUACACAUCCCUUCGAGCUUCAGGCCAAAGAAGUGCUUAAUAGUCUGCGGACCCUCUGGAUUGAACUCCCACAUCCGGAGAGGCCAGCGUUUGCAUGGCAGCAUCCGUCGGAUUAGCAUUACUUGAAUUAUGCUGACAAGGUUAAUGUACCUCUCAAGAAGCUCCCGGAUACGGCUCUGCAGUAUUGGUACAUCACUAGCGGGCCCCCAAUUCCAUCCUACGUGGGUCCAUGACGCCAGUUGUGAUGGAGGGCCUGAGCGGAAGUCGGGGGCGGCCACCCACGUUGUGCCUCUGGGAGCCGUGACGUAAAACCACCUCUGCUGCCACACACCGGAUACUUCUGGGAAAGAACCCUCUGGCCAUGGGGCAUCGGCGUUCCUGCUUAUUAUGGCACCUCCGCACUCUGCAUGUCGCCCCUCGAUCAUCUUCGGCUUCACAUUGAAGGUCUUGAGCCAUAAGCCAAAGUGUGGAGUGACGUGGAGAAAAGCCUCACACACAACGAUGAACGACGAGAUAUGGAGGAUAACGUCCGGGGCUAGAUCGCGAAAAUCGAACCCGUAAUAGAACAUGAGCCCCCUCACAAAAGGAUCAAGGGUGAGGCCCAAGCCGCGGAGGAAGUGAGGAACAAAUACGACACUCUAGUUAGGCUCGGGAGUCGGGAUGACCUGCCCUGGAGCAGGAAGCCUGUGCUGGGUAUCGGCAGUCAGAUAUCCGACCUCCCUAAGCCUCGCAAUGUCCUCCUCUUUGAUCGAGGAGGCCACCCACCGGCCUUGAGGGUUGGAUCCGGACAUAUUGGAGGAUCUGGGGUGUUUGCGCUUGGGUCUCGGGUGUUAGAACUCGAGAUGUGAAAAGGCGCAAGGGUGGUGGAAAAGAGGCAUAGGCCUCGGCCCCUUUAUAAGGGAGGUGAAUAUCAAGAGUCCUCAGCUUGACCGCUUGAGAAUUAUCCAAAAACACACGGAGUCAUGCCAAUAGUCGUCGUGGGGUUGCGCACGCCCGUAUUGAUGGAAGAUCCCAUAAUAAGGGGAACACGAUCUCUGCUCCGGCAGGGCGAGCCAAUAAAACCGCCUCGCAGCGCGAGUCGAGGUGGGCCAAGGAACGCCGGUUCACGUUGGGCCAAGCCACGAUGCAAGGGCACAACGUACGAAGACUGCCAGCGGAUCAGAUUUAGGCUAUGCUCCCUACGGUGGUAUGUGAAGAUCAUCUUGCAGAUCCGGACACGGUCUAAGUGUUCGAUAAUUACUUUGGAGUAUUCGGAGAUGGAACCCGCCUUGCAAUGCCGAAGACAAGACUGCGCGCCGGACUCAUCGUCAUUGAAGCCUAGUUCAGGGGCUACUGAGGGAGUCCUGGAUUAGGGGGUAUCCGGACAGCCGGCCUCUAUACUUCGUCCGAACUAUUGGGGCGUGAAGAUACAAGACUCAAGACUCCGUCCCAUGUCCGGAUGGGACUCUCCUUUGCGUGGAAGACAAGCUUGCUGAUCCGGAUAUUAUGUUUCCUUCUUUGUAACCGACUCCAUGUAAACCCUAGCCCUCUCCGGUGUCUAUAUAAACCGGAGAGGUUGGUCCUUAGAAGGACGAUCACAAUCAUAAUCAUCAUAGGCUAGCUUCUAGGGUUUAGCCUCUAUGAUCUCGUGGUAGAUCUACUCUUGUACUACUCAUAUCAUCAAUAUCAAUCAAGGAGGAAGUAGGGUUUAACUCCAUCGAGAGGGCCCGAACCUGGGUAAACAUUGUGUCCCUUGCUUCCUGUUACCAUCAGCCUAAGACGCACAGAUCGGGACCCCCUACCCGAGAUCCGCCGGUUUUGACACCGACAGCCUCCUAGCUAAUAAAAAAAGGGGACGCGUGGCAGCACAUAAAUGGUAAAUAGAACGCCGACGGUUUCAAUAAUACUUGUGUUUCCGAUUGUAAUGUGAUAGCACUUGUUCCAAAAUGACUUUGUUGGUUGUUAAUGUGUGCGCCUUUGCAAAUUGGACAGCAAAUUACCACAACUUGUUGGUGCCGUGUCAUGGCACCAUGCCAGGUUUCAUGAUUUUCAUGCGUGUUUUGGAUUUACAGGAAUUAAAAAACCAAGUUUCUCAAUGUUUCCAGCCGAGCCAUGACGCCCAGAUGUUUGAAUUUCAUUCCCAUUUCUGGCAUGGGACCUAGAAAUUUACCCAAGGACACACAUGUGAUUUUUCAACCAGAUUUGGUGCACUGGAGAAUGUGCUUGUAUUUAAAAUUUGAAUUAUGCACACAAAGGUGACACGUUCCCUCUCAGAACCACGAGCCUUCUUGAGAGAAGCUCUGGUUUGCAAGAAACUUAUACCAAAACUUAUUCCUAUUCUGCAGUUUUUUUACGACAGCAUGGUGAUGACCCACAAGUAUAGGGGAUCUAUCGUAGUCCUUUCAAUAAGUAAGAGUGUCAAACCCAACGAGGAGCAGAAGGAAAUGAUAAGCGGUUUUCAGCAAGGUAUUCUCUGCAAGUACUGAAAUAAGUGUUAACGGAUAGUUUUGUGAUAAGAUAAAAGGUAACGAGCAACAAGUAACAAAAGUAAAUAAAGUGCAGCAAGGUGGCCCAAUCCUUUUUGUAGCAAAGGACAAGCCUGGACAAACUCUUAUAAUAGGAAAAGCGCUCCCGAGGACACAUGGGAAUAUCGUCAAGCUAGUUUUCAUCACGCUCAUAUGAUUCGCGUUCGGUACUCUGAUAAUUUGAUAUGUGGGUGGACCGGUGCUUGGGUGCUGUUCUUACUUGAACAAGAAUCCCACUUAUGAUUAACCUCUAUCGCAAGCAUCCGCAACUACAACAAAAGUAUUAAGGUAAACCUAACCAUAGCAUGAAACAUGUGGAUCCAAAUCAGCCCCUUACGAAGCAACGCAUAAACUAGGGUUUAAGCUUCUGUCACUCUAGCAACCCAUCAUCUACUUAUUACUUCCCAAUGCCUUCCUCUAGGCCCAAAUAAUGGUGAAGUGUUAUGUAUUCGACGUUCACAUAACACCACUAGAGGUUAGACAACAUACAUCUUAUCAAAAUAUCGAACGAAUACCAAAUUCACAUGACUACUAAUAGCAAGACUUCUCCCUUGUCCUCAGGAACAAACGUAACUACUCACAAAGCAUAUUCAUGUUCAUAAUCAGAGGGGUAAUAAUAUGCAUAAAGGAUCUGAACAUAUGAUCUUCCACCAAAUAAACCAACUAGCAUCAACUACAAGGAGUAAUCAACACUACUAGCAACCUACUAGCACCAAUCCCAGACUUGGAGACAAGAAUUGGAUACAAGAGAUGAACUAGGGUUUGGAGAUGAGAUGGUGCUGGUGAAGAUGUUGAUGGAGAUUGCCCUCUCCCGAUGAGAGGAGCGUGGGUGAUGAUCAUGGUGAUGAUUUCCCCCUCCCGGAGGGAAGUGUCCCCGGCAGAACAGCUCUGCCGGAUCCCUAGAUUGGUUCCGCCAAGGUUCCACCUCGUGGCGGCGGAGUCUCGUCCCGAAAGGUUGCUUCUUAUUUUUUUCUCAUCAAAAGACUUCAUAUAGGAGAAGAUGGGCAUCGGAGAGCCACCAGGGGGCCCACGAGGUAGGGGCGUGCCCAGGGGGGAGGGGCGCGCCCAGGGGGGAGGGGCGCGCCCCCCACCCUCGUGAGCAGGGUGUGGGACCCCUGGCCUUCAUCUUUGGCGAUGAUUUUUCUUUAUUUAUUUUAAGAUAUUCCGUGGAAUUUCAGGACUUUUGGAGUUGCGCAGAAUAGGUCUCCAAUAUUUGCUCCUUUUCCAGCCAGAAUUCCAACUGUCGGCAUUCCCCCUCUUCAUGGUAAACCUUGUAAAAUAAGAGAGAAUAGCCAUAAGUAUUGUGACAUAACGUGAAAUAACAGCCCAUAAUGCAAUAAAUAUCGAUAUAAAAGCAUGAUGCAAAAUGGACGUAUCAACUCCCCCAAGCUUAGACCUCGCUUGUCCUCAAGCGAAAAGUCGAUAACAAUAAAUAUGUCCUCAUGUUUAGAAGUAGAGGCGUCGAUUAAAAUAAAAUACGGACAUGAAGGCAUCAUGAUUAUUUUCAUAACAACAACAUAUAUAGAUUUGUCAUAUGAUUACUUAUGUUCAAGUGAUGAUCUUUUCACAAAGCCAAAGUAUGAAUCAUAAACCUUAUUGAGCACCAACAAAUUAUACCCUCAGUCAUUGAAGCAAUUGCAAUUUAUCAUAACAUCGGAAAGAGUCUAUUUCAGAGCUUAAAAGCAAGUCCACAUACUCAACUAUCACUUAGUCCUUCAUAAUUGCUAACACUCACGCAAUACUUGUGGUUACGGAGUUUUAACCGGACAUAGAGAAAGAUAGGGGCUUGUAGGUUUGCCCCACAACCUUUUACCUCAAGGGUAAUGUCAACAAUAAUAAUUCAUGCUCCCCCACAUCCAAUUAGAUAUAUAUAUCAUGUUAUUUCCAACAUGCUGAGCUUGCCAAAGGAUAAAAUGAAAAAGGAAAGGUGAAGAUCACCAUGACUCUUGCAUAAAGUAGAGGAUAAUAAUAAAAGAUAGGCCCUUCGCAGAGGGAAGCAGAGGUUGCCAUGCGCUUUUAUGGUUGGAUGCACAAAAUCUUAAUGCAAAAGAACGUCACUUUAUAUUGCCCCUUGUAUGUGAACCUUUAUUAUGCAGUCCGUCGCUUUUAUUGCGUCCACAACAAGUUUGUACAAAGCUUAUUUCUCUGCACUAAUAAGUCAUGCAUAUUUAAAGAGCAAUUUUUAUUGCUUGCACCGAUGACAACUUACUUGAAGGAUCUUACUCAAUCCAUAGGUAGAUAUGGUGGACUCUCAUGGCUAAACUGGUUUAAGGGUAUUUGGAAGCACAAGUAGUAUCUCUACUUGGUGCUAAGAAUUUGGCUAGCAUGAGGGGGAAAGGAAAGCUCAACAUGUUAGAGGAACCAUGACAACAUACUUUAUCUCAGAUGUAAGAAAACAUAACUCAUUAUGUUGUAUUCCUUGUCCAAUAUCAACUCUUUAGCAUGUCAUAUUUUAAUGAGUGCUCCCAAUCAUAAAAGAUGUCAAUGAUAAUAUAUCUAUAUGUGAAACCUCUCUCUCCUUAUUACUUCCUAUUAAUUGCGACGAUGACCAAAGCUAUAUUUGCCAACUCCCAACAACUUUUAAUCAUCAUACUCUUUCUAUGUGGAGUCAUUACUUUCACUAAGAUCAAUAUAAACUCUUUGUUUCUUUUUAUUCUUUUCUUUAUCCACCCAAGAUCAUGGCAAAGUAAUCAAGCCCUUGACUCAACACUAAUCUUUAUUAUAUAUAGCUCACGGACUCGAUGGCAUAGAGGGAUCAUAAAGCAAAACUCAAAACUAGAUCGUGCCAUGACUUUAUUCUACUAAAUCAAGAUACUACUAAUAGGGUCGAACUAAGAAAAAUGGUAAAGAUAGGAGUUGUGAUGGUGAUACAAUACCGGGGCACCUCCCCCAAGCUUGGCAGUUGCCAAGGGGAGUGCCCAUACCCAUGUGAUUAUAUCUCCUUCUUUGUAGUUGGCGGUGGAGGUGUUGUUGAUGAUGGAAGCUUGUCGUCCACCUUCCAUGGCAUAGGCUCACCCUCAUAGAAGGAUGACCGAGUCUCCGGAAUCCUCAAAUCUGCAACGGAAACAGCUCGAAAUGAAAACAGAGGAUAUUUGCAUGAUACGGUCGUCAAAACCUUCGGGAGAAUAUAUAAUGAAUUUUUACCGACCAAAAUACGUAUCAUGCAAGAAAACGGAGUCCGGAGGGCACACGAGGUGCUCACGAGGUAGGGGGGUGCGCCCAGGGGAGUAGGGCGCGCCCUCCACCCUCGUGGAGGCCUCGUGUCCUCCCCGGACUACUACUUAUUUUUCUAUUUUUCUAAAUAUUCCAAAAUGGAGAAAUAUUGCUUUAAAAUUGUUUUGGGGUCGGUUUACUUACCGUACCACAUACCUAUUCCUUUUCGGAGUUUGGAACGUUCUGGAAAGUGUCCCUUAUGUAUUCCUCCGGGGUUAUGGUUUCAAUAAUAUUGGUUUCAACAUUUAUGGGAUUACCUGAGACAUAAUGUUUGAUUCUUUGACCGUUUACCACCUUCGGAUUUGUGCCUGCGAAGUUGUUGAUUUUAAUGGCACCGGAACGAUAGACCUCCUCGAUAACGUAAGGACCUUCCCAUUUGGAGAGAAGUUUUCCUGCAAAAAAAUUUUAAACGAGAGUUGUAUAGUAAUACAUAAUCACCUACAUUAAACUCACACUUUUGUAUCCUUUUGUCAUGCCAUCUUUUAACUUUUUCUUUAAAUAACUUGGCAUUUUCAUAGGCUUGGGUUCUCCAUUCAUCAAGAGAGCUAAUAUCAAAUAACCUCUUCUCACCAGCAAGUUUGAAAUCAUAGUUGAGCUCUUUAAUAGCCCAAUAUGCCUUAUGUUCUAAUUCAAGAGGUAAAUGACAUGCUUUUCCAUAAACCAUUUUAUACGGAGACAUACCCAUAGGAUUUUUGUAUGCAGUUCUAUAGGCCCAUAAUGCAUCAUUUAGUUUUUUGGACCAAUUCUUUCUAGACCUAUUGAUAGUCUUUUGCAAAAUUAAUUUGAGCUCUCUAUUGCUCAACUCUACCUGACCACUAGACUGCGGGUGAUAAGGAGAUGCAAUUCCAUGAUUAACAUCGAAUUUAGCAAGCAUCUUACGGAAAGCACCAUGAAUAAAGUGUGAACCACCAUUAGUCAUUAAGUAUCUAGGGACUUUAAGCCUUGGAAAAAUAACUUCCUUAAGCAUUCUAAUAGAAGUGUUAUGAUCAGCACUACUAGUUGGAAUAGCUUCUACCCACUUAGUAACAUAAUCAACAGCAACUAAAAUAUGAGUGUAACCAUUAGAGGCAGGAAAAGGUCCCAUAUAAUCAAAGCCCCAAACAUCAAAUGGCUCAAUAACAAGUGAAUAAUUCAUAGGCAUUUCUUGACGUCUACUGAUAUUACCAAUUCUUUGACAUUCAUCGCAAGAUAAAACAAACUUACGGGCAUCCUUUAAGAGAGUAGGCCAAUAAAAACCAGAUUGCAAUACCUUAUGUGCAGUUCUAUCUCCAGCGUGAUGUCCUCCAUAAGCUUCGGAGUGACACUUGCGUAGGAUCUGUUCCUGUUCAUGCUCAGGUACACAAUGUCUAAUAACACCAUCUACUCCUUCUUUAUAAAGAUGUGGGUCAUCCCAAAAGUAAUGUCUCAAAUCACAAAAGAACUUUUUCUUUUGUUGAUAUGUGAAGCUAGGUGGUAUAAAUUUAGCAACAAUAUAAUUAGCAUAAUCAGCAUACCACGGAGUGCUACGAGAAGUACUUAUGACAUUUAGUUGCUCAUCAAGAAAGCUAUCAUCAAUAGGUAGUGGGUCAUCAAGAACAUUCUCUAGCCUAGACAAGUUGUCUGCAACGGGGUUCUCAGCUCCUUUUCUAUCAACAAUAUGUAAAUCAAAUUCUUGGAGCAAGAGAACCCAUCUAAUGAGUCUAGGUUUAGCAUCCUUCUUUUCCAUAAGAUAUUUAAUAGCAGCAUGAUCGGUGUGAAUAGUUACUUUAGAAUCAACAAUAUAGGGUCUGAAUUUAUCACAGGCAAACACAACUGCUAAGAGUUCCUUUUCAGUAGUAGCAUAAUUUCUUUGAGCAUUGUCUAGAGUCUUACUAGCAUAAUGGAUAACAUUUAAUUUCUUAUCAACUCUUUGCCCUAGAACAACACCUACAUCGUAAUCACUAGCAUCACACAUAAUUUCAAAGGGUAAAUUCCAAUCAGGUGGCUGAAUAAUAGAUGCAGAGACUAAUGCUUUCUUAAGUAUUUCAAAUGCUUCUACACAAUCAUCAUCAAAGACAAAUGGUACAUCUUUUUGUAAUAAAUUAGUCUGAGACGUGAAAUUUUCGAGAAGUCCUUAAUGCACCUCCUAUAAAAUCCAGCGUGACCAAGGAAACUUCUUAUACCUUUGAUGUCCUUGGGACAUGGCAUAUUUUCAAUAGCAUCAACCUUGGCUUUAUCAACUUCAAUACCUCUUUCAGAAACUUUGUGCCCCAAGACAAUACCUUCAUUAACCAUAAAGUGGCACUUUUCCCAAUUCAAGACAAGAUUAGUUUCUUCACGUCUCUGCAAAACUCGAGCAAGAUUGCUCAAGCAAUCAUCAAAAGAGGAACCAUAGACGGAAAAGUCGUCGAUGAAAACCUCACAAAUUUUCUCAUAAAAGUCAGAGAAUAUAGCCAUCAUGCAUAUUUUAAAGGUAGCAGGUGCAUUACAUAAACCAAAAGGCGUACGUCUAUAAGCAAAAGUACCAAAAGGGCAUGUAAAAGUAGUAUUUGAUUGAUCUUUAGCCGACACAGGUAUUUGAGAGAAACCAGAGUAACCAUCUAGAAAGCAAUAAUGUGUAUGUUUGCAUAAUCUUUCUAGCAUUUGAUCAAUAAAAGGUAAGGGGUAAUGAUCUUUCUUAGUAGCUUUAUUUAACUUGCGGAAAUCAAUUACCAUCCUAUAACCUGUGAUAAUUCUUUUCGGGAUCAAUUCAUCUUUAUCAUUAGGGACAACAGUAAUACCUCCCUUCUUAGGGACACAAUGGACAGGACUUAUCCACUGACUAUCAGCAACGGGGUAAAUUAUACCUGCCUCCAGAAGCUUGAGUAUUUCUUUUCCUACCACUUCUUUCAUUUUAGGAUUCAAACAUCGUUGAGGAUCACGAACUGGUUUGGCAUCAGCUUCCAAAUUUAUUUUAUGUUGACAUAGAGUGGGACUGAUGCCCUUAAGAUCAUCCAGAGUAUAUCCAAUAGCGGCACGGUGCUUUUUCAGAGUUUUCAAUAAUCUUUAUUCUUCAUGCUCUGAAAGUUUAGCACUAAUAAUAACAGGAUAUAUUUUCUUUUCAUCAAGAUAAGCAUACUUAAGAUUAUCAGGCAACGGUUUAAGCUCAAACACGGGAUCACCCUUGGGUGGAGGAGGAUUCCCUAGGAUUUCAACAGGCAAAUUAUGUUUCAGAAUAGGUUUCUGUUCAAAGAAUACUUCAUCUAUUUCCCUUCUUUCAUUCAUGAACAUCUCAUUUUCAUGGUCUAGCAAAUAGUGUUCUAAAGGAUCACUAGGAGGUACAGCAAUAGAAGCAAGACCAAUAAUUUCAUCCUUACUAGGCAAUUCUUCCUCAUGAUGUUGUUUACUAAAUUUAGAGAAAUUAAACUCAUGAACCAUAUUAUCCAAGCCAAUAGUAACAACAUCCUUUUUGCAGUCUAUCUUAGCAUUAACAGUAUUCAAGAAGGGUCUACCAAAUAUAAUGGGGCAAAAGCUAUCUUGUGGAGAACUAAGAACAAGAAAAUCAGCGGGAUAUUUAGUUUUCCCACACAAGACUUCAACAUCUCUAACAAUUCCCACUGGUGAAAUAGUAUCUCUAUUGGCAACUUUAAUUGUAACAUCAAUAUCUUCUAACUCAGCAGGUGCAAUCUCAUGCUUAAUUUCUUUAUAUAAAUCAUAAGGUAUAACACUAGCACUAGCACCCAUAUCACAUAAGCCAUGAUAACAAUGAUCUCCUAUUUUAACAGAAAUAACAGGCACGCCUACCACAGGUUUAUGUUUAUCUCUAUCACAGGGUUUAGCAAUUCUAGCAGUUUCACCAAAGAAUUCAAUGACAUGCCCAUCAAUAUUAUCGGACAAGAGAUCUUUAACAAUAGCAAUAUUAGGUUCUACUUUGACUUGCUCAGGAGGUGUAUAAGUUCUAGUAUUGCUUUUAUGAACAACAGUUGAAGCUUUAGCAUGAUCCUUUACUCUAGCAGGGAAAGGUGGUUUCUCAACAUAAGAGGUAGGAACAAUAGGAUCAUUAUAAGUGAUGGUUUCUUCUUCAACUUUAAUAGGUGCAGCUACUUUUACUUCUAUGGGAGGAUGAUAUUUAAACCAGUUCUCCUUGGGGAGAUCAACAUAAGUAGCAAAAGAUUCACAGAAAGAGGCUACUAUCUCAGAGUCAAGUCCAUAUUUAGUGCUAAACUUACGGAAAAUAUCGGUAUCCAUAAAAGAUUUAACACAAUCAAACUUAGGUGUCAUACCUGACUCCUUACCUUUGUCGAGGUCCCAAUCUUCAGAGUUGCGUUUAUUUCUAUCCAAUAAAUUCCAUCUGAAUUCAAUAGGCUUCAUCAUAAAAGAGCGAGCACAAGAAGUAUCGAGCAUGGUUUUAUUAUUAUCAGAGAGCCGAGCAUAAAAAUUCUGAAGAAUUGUCAAUUUUGAGAGCUCAUGAUUGGGGCAUGAAUAUAACAUGGAUUUAAGCCUCCCCCAAGCUUGGGCGAUGCUUUCUCCUUCACGAGGCCAAAAGUUAUAUAUAUAAUUGUGAUCACGAUGAACAAGAUGCAUAGGGUAAUACUUUUGAUGAAAUUCCAAAUUCAUUCUUUUAUAGUUCCAUGAUCUCGUAUCAUCACAUAGCCUAUACCAUGUCGAUGCGUCUCCCUUCAAAGAUAAAGGGAAAGCCUUCUUCUUAACAACAUCAUCGGGCAUACCUGCAAGCUUAAAUAAUCCACAAAUAUCAUCCAAAUAGCGUAGAUGCUCAUCGGGAUGCUUUGUCCCAUCUCCUGUAAAAGUAUUAGCCAGCAGUUUUUCCAUAAUACCUGAAGGAAAUUCAAAAGGAGUUUCAUUUUCAAUACGUUCAGUAGGUUGAGGAGCAACUCUUUGCUCUACUGGACGGGGUGAAGAUACCCCGAACAAGCCCCUCAGAGAUUCACUUUCCAUAGUAACAAGUGACAGAAAAUUUCAGCACACUAUAUAAAUUUUUCCUUACCAAAUUCCACUUACCAAAGGCGCUACACUCCCCGGCAACGGCGCCAGAAAAGAGUCUUGAUGACCCACAAGUAUAGGGGAUCUAUCGUAGUCCUUUCGAUAAGUAAGAGUGUCGAACCCAACGAGGAGCAGAAGGAAAUGAUAAGCGGUUUUCAGUAAGGUAUUCUCUGCAAGUACUGAAAUAAGUGGUAACGGAUAGUUUUGUGAUAAGAUAAAAGGUAACGAACAACAAGUAACAAAAGUAAAUAAAGUGCAGAAAGGUGGCCCAAUCCUUUUUGUAGCAAAGGACAAGCCUGGACAAACUCUUAUAAUAGGAAAAGCGCUCCCGAGGACACAUGGGAAUAUCGUCAAGCUAGUUUUCAUCACGCUCAUAUGAUUCGCGUUCGGUACUUUGAUAAUUUGAUAUGUGGGUGGACCGGUGCUUGGGUGCUGUUCUUACUUGAACAAGCAUCCCACUUAUGAUUAACCUCUAUUGCAAGCAUCCUCAACUACAACAAAAUUAUUAAGGUAAACCUAACCAUAGCAUGAAACAUGUGGAUCCAAAUAAGCCCCUUACGAAGCAACGCAUAAACUAGGAUUUAAGCUUCUGUCACUCUAUCAACCCAUCAUCUACUUAUUACUUCCCAAUGCCUUCCUCUAGACCCAAAUAAUGGUGAAGUUUUAUGUAGUCGACGUUCACAUAACACCACUAGAGGUUAGACAACAUACAUCUUAUCAAAAUAUCGAACGAAUACCAAAUUCACAUGACUACUAAUAGCAAGACUUCUCCCUUGUCCUCAGGAACAAACGUAACUACUCACAAAGCAUAUUCAUGUUCAUAAUCAGAGGGGUAAUGAUAUGCAUAAAGGAUCUGAACAUAUGAUCUUCCACCAAAUAAACCAACUAGCAUCAACUACAAGGAGUAAUCAACACUACUAGCAACCUACUAGCACAAAUCCCGGACUUGGAGACAAGAAUUGGAUACAAGAUAUGAACUAGGGUUUGGAGAUGAGAUGGUGCUAGUGAAGAUGUUGAUGGAGAUUGCCCUCUCCCGAUGAGAGGAGCGUGGGUGAUGACGAUGGUGAUGAUUUCCCCCUCCUGGAGGGAAGUGUCCCCGGCAGAACAGCUCUGCCGGAGCCCUAGAUUGGUUCCGCCAAGGUUCCGCCUCGUGGCGGCAGAGUCUCGUCCCGAAAGGUUGCUUCUUAUUUUUUUCUCAUCGAAAGACUUCAUAUAGGAGAAGAUGGGCGUCGAAGAGCUACCAGGGGGCCCACAAGGUAGGGGGCGCGCCCAGGGGGGAGGGGCGCGCCCCCCACCCUCGUGAGCAGGGUGUGGGCCCCCUAGCCUUCAUCUUUGGCGACGAAUUUUCUUUAUUUAUUUUAAGAUAUUCCAUGGAGUUUCAGGACUUUUGGAGUUGCGCAGAAUAGGUCUCCAAUAUUUGCUCCUUUUCCAGCCAUAAUUCCAGCUGCCGGCAUUCCCCCUCUUCAUGGUAAACCUUGUAAAAUAAGAGAGAAUAGCCAUAAGUAUUGUGACAUAACGUGAAAUAACAGCCCAUAAUGCAAUAAAUAUCGAUAUAAAAUCAUGAUGGAAAAUGGACGUAUCACAUGGUAGUACCAUGACAUGACACCAUGCCAAGUUUCAUGAUUUUGAGGUGUGUUUUGGAUUUACAAGAAUUUUAAAACCAAGCUUCUCAAUGUUCCCGGCCGAACCACGAUGCCCAGAUGUUUGAAUUUCAUUCCCAUUUCUUGCAUGGGACUUAGAAAUUCACCCGAGGACACACAUGUGAUUUUUCAGCCAACUUUGGUGCACGGGAGCAUGUGCUUGUAGUUCAAAUUUGAAUUAUGCACAUUAAAUGACCAGAAACUCAAUUAAUGUAUAAAAAAGGCCAAACGAACCCGGAAUAAUUCCAAAAUUUAACAGGGCACUCAUAUAGUUCUAUGUUGCCUCUGUAAAGAAAAUCUGGCGGGAGGCAGCGUAUAUUGUUUCGCACACAAAGGUAUAAAGAAAUAAAGAAAUUAGCCCUAUUUAAUUAUUGGGUUCUUAUUAUUUAUGCCACUAGUUGUGUAUCACUACUCAGUUUUGACAUUAGAAGUUACAACUACUCAAAAAAUGACAUCGAUCCGUGAGAUGCCUGCUCAAAAAUGCAAUUAGAUAUCUAAAAAAUGCCAUCGUUAAGUUAGAUGUUUGCUCAGAAAUGCCAUUAGACAUUGUUAUUUUCACGUCAAACCCCGUUGACCAUGUUACAUGACAAAAAUAAGCCGAUUCUCACAAUGAUAAGUUAAUGGUGUCCAGCACAACACACCCCUCAAAUAAAACUAAGCACCCUGGAAUUCUUUGACAAAACUAAGCACCCUGAAAUUCUUUGACAACUAAACUGCUGGCUAUAUGAUGUUGGCCAUAUAUGUUGUACGUAUAUAAUGUCAAGAAACGAGUGGUAGUACUAUACCAACUAAAAGAUGAAAUGUACGAAAUAUAACGAGAAGAAACAUAACAUAGUUCUGUUCGGGGCUCAGCACAACACACCCCUCAAAUAAAACUAAGCACACCAGAAAUUAAACUAAGCAACUAAUCCGGUAGACACUGCAUAGGACCACCAUGAGCAACAACACUGCCACCUUACUCGGACUCCUCAUCCACGUCCUCGACUUCGUCCUUGUCCCUCUUCCUCUUGGGCGAUACUUAUUUGCUUGAACCGCACACUUGGCUCUUGCUCUUCAUCCAACCCUUGUAGAUAUUGAAACAAAGGUAGCCAUCCAUUGCAGCGUAGUGGAUGUGGUCUAUAUCUAGUACAUUCCACUGCCAUGCAUGACGAUGAAACGUGUACAGAGGUUUCUCUAGUUUACCGUAUGAAGAAUGAACCAUGGCUCCUGCCAGGGUCAGCAUUGAAGGCUGAUCAAGGGAGGGCACCAGCCCUUCCUUCUGGAGGUCGAAGGGGUCGCCUACAACGAGGACUAUCUGACCUAGGAUUUCCUUGUCAUUCCUAAAGUCUAUAGUAACGAAUUUGACUCGACCGCCCUUGAGGAGUUCUUAAAUUCCUCGCACUCAACGUCAGCAUGGCAUAUAUGGUAGACCAAGCAUAAGUCUUGCACGCAAACCUGGAUGACGGCGGGCUUCUUCUUCUCUGCCUCCUUUAGUUCAUUCUCGCUUCCCAGGAAUGUGGUGCACUCAACAUCUAGCCCAGCGACCCACUCAUCAUUUGAGUUUUCAAACAUGCGUUUCAAGCGAGCAAGGCAUUCUUUCACCAUUGCGGAAGAACGGGUGUAGAUGACGUCGAACUCAUCGUCGGUGAUGGUUCUAACCUUGUACUCACCGCCGAUCAUGGAGAUUUGGGACGCCAUGGAUUUGGGAGGAGGGUUAGGAUUAGUGAAACUACCGUAAUGUGAAAGGACGGGACGACUAGGAGCGGUUUAUCGAUUGUAAAAAUGGCGAGUGGGGGGGCGUGCGAAUGGCAGGGUAGUGGCUUGCCUGGUGGAUAAAUGGAUUCAUGCACAGUACUAUGGGGGCCCAAUUAGAUGUCAUGUCUACUCGACGCCCAAUUAAAUGGCUUUCAAUGUCAUGUCAAGCGUCGGGAAAAUUACAGGUGAUACGAAGCUUUCUAUUCUCCCAUGAUACGGGCUUCUGAGAGCCCUUGGAUCUGAGAUCGAACGGUUGCAUGGCGUGAUUCUAGACCUAUGGGUGAAUAUCCUAUCCUGGAGGGUUAUUCUGUAAAUUUUCAGCAACUUAGCAUGCGACCGUUCGAUCUCAGAUCCAAGGGCUGCCAGCAGCCCGUAUCAUGGUCGCGCCUACCACGACCAUUGCCUCACUCGCGUGGUCGCGCCCUUGGAGAUUUAACACGAUGCGUUAGACUAUCUGAUGUUGGCAUGACAUACAUAGUCAUCACUUAGUCACUCAUACAACAAGGUUAGCUAUAAGGUUGGCUAUAGGAGUAUUUUUUGUUUACUUCUCUCUAUCUAUAUCUUCGUAGUAUUUAUUGCAUUUGCCAAGGAGUGACCUCUUCCAAUGAAAUGGUGCUUAGAUGAGGUGCUAUGGGCAUUAAAUGGCUUAGCAACUCAAGUCCCCAAUGCAUAGGUGCUUAGUUUUUUGUUGCUAAGUUUGCUUCAUCUAGGUACACGCGCUUAGCAUCGUUUCUUCCUGGGGUCACCAAACUAGUCUCUCUCUUCUUAAUUAACUUGCCACAUCAAACUUUAUGCCUAUGUGGCAGGCUUAGCACUUGUAGGAUCAAGUACAAUAGUGGGCUAUAAGCCCGCUUUACAUGGCAUUUUUGCAUAUGUGGGGGAAAGAGGCAAGGAAAAAGUGGAGGAGUGGGCUCUCAAGCAAGAGCCAGCCUCUACAUGGUGGAGCAUCGGGAGAGUCACCUGUAUGGAGGUGGUCAGGAAUCGGGAGACUCAAGCCGGUCGUAGCGCCGCAGUUAAAAUGAUAAUGGCAAGUCAAAUCACCGGGCCCCACCUGUCCGAAAGUAACUAACUGUCAAAUCACACAGCCCUAUGUUUGCAGCAGCCUACUCCCUCAUCUUCUCGCGUCUCUGUCGAACCGACUAGGCGGAACUACCUCGCCUACCGCGCGGGAAAAGCCUCGCCCUCGUCUUUUAAAUAGUACAGUAUACUAAUUUUGUAUCCAUGGAUUGCGCCAUGGAGCAAAGCCUCAAGAAAACGGUGGUACACAUGUAUGGAGUAUAUAGCACGCCCGUCGCGUUCACGUCGCACCCCACACGGUCGGUUGGUCUGGCACGCUGCUCUCCGAAUGGAACGCGCGUCAUAUUGCGUUUGCACACACAUGUGGGACCGCAAUUGAGAACCGACCAUAGGCACACUCCCCGGCAUCGCAAGUCGGAUGAGUUAAUAGAAGUACAUACUCCACCUUGGUACCUGGACGAUCCCUGCAAGACACGGAAGAUCAGUUCGUCCAUGCAUGUGACUAGACUCCAGCAGACACACCUAGAUUGGCUAUCGUCUACAUAUCGUGUAGGCUGUGUUGUACAGGGCUGUAGUUAUGGUGAGAAAACUAAAAAAAGGUUUCUUGUCAUCUCGCAAAAUUAGGUGUCAUGUGCUUUGAAUCACUGCGAGGGUUAAACAGCAACAACUGAGUUGGGCUAGCCAUUGGGGGCACAUGCACGAAGACUACUCGACUGCCAUCUAGGUCAAGCCGGCUAUGUUAAUUAGGACAUCUAUCGACGGACCCCUUUUCUACGAGUUUAUCUUUAAUUUGAGCUUUGAUCCUCGUCUAGUUUGUCCGUCAGGAUUCAUAUUGUCUCCUUUGGGAAGUGAGGUUAUGAUUUCUUUUCAUGUGGCAUUUUUUCGUGUUAUAUGUUAUAAUCCGGUGCUUCAGAUCAAAAUGACGACAACUGCGCCUCCGGGGCACGUGCAUGAAGACUUCUUGACAGUCAUUGUCGAGGUCAAGCCGGCUCUGGCCGGUAGACAAAAGAAAACUAGUACUCCACCAUAUAGGUAGGAGCCUCCGCGCUUGCUUGCUAGUGUUGCUCUAUUCACACUGUCUCGUCCUCUCCAGAUCUAAACACGAUAGUGGUGGCCACUCUCUCUCUCUCUCUCUACUCACUGCUGGUCAUAGAUCCAGCCGGAUCUUCUCCGCCGGGGAAGGUGAGAAGGUGCAACGUUCACGCGGUCGUCCUCGGCGAUGGCCCUUACCCACUGCCGGCGUGUCCUGAUCAGCGUGCCUUGCCGUUCUCUCCUAAGCAUCGCUGGCGAGGGAGGGCCUCCCACCCCUUCUUCCUCGCUGCCGUGGUGUGGGCAGAUCCGGCCUCCCGCCGCCCACCUAGCGACAUCCCGACGACCCUCAGGUAUAACUUCCUUCGAAGCCGACCUUUCUCUACUUCCCGAGCUCCUGACGUUGAUGCAUUUGUAUCUUUUACUAUUUCUUAGGCCCCAUUGUGUAGAUAGGAUCGAUCGGCUGUUCGAAAACCACCUAAUUUUUUACUGUUAAGAGGUAAAACUAGUUCAUGCACUCGAAUCUAGUAGUACUUGGUUCAAACAAGGAAGAAAGGGGGUGGGGGUGGGGGAAGAUUUGUUACCUGAAUCUAGGACUUGGUCGAAAGAGGAAAUAAUGGGGGCGAAAAGUAGCAGAGACUGGCUAUCCAACUGGUCUCUAGGUCUAAUAGGGAAAUAAAGGGAACGCGGUACAAAAUCAAUAUAAACCCAAUGUAUUGGUUGAAAAAGGAAAGAAAGUGGGGACUGGGGGACAAGUCAACAGAGUAAGUCCAGCACUAGAUUUGCUAGCCUCACACAGUAUAAGGUGGCUAUAUACCAAACAAAAAUGGGACCAACCCAGAUAUCCUCUUCUGAUGUUUGUUGCCCCGAGCCGCUCUUAUGUAAUGCCACUGGUAAAAUGUAGAAGUCGCACUAUUAAAAGUAAGGACACAUUAAACCAAUGUUGUUUUCAAUGUAAUGCCUCUAGUAAUAUGAAUCAAUGGCACUUUUUUUUCAUGUCCUGCUAAAUUUCCCAUUAAGAUAAGUUGCUUCUUUUUGUUAGAGAUGCAACUGUCCUAGUUCGCCUACUCUCCAGGAGCUUCACGACCAACCUUGAUGUUGCUCAAUUUUAUUGCAACUAAUGAAGAAGCUCUGUGGGUUUCGUUUUCUGAUGGAAAUGGAACCGGAGUUGGAGCUCUUUUCUUAAAAAAGAAGAAGAAGAAGCUGCUAGCUCAUGGGACAUUGCUUCAUUUUAGGUGAACUGCACCAAAAGGUCCCAUGAAUUGAAUCAGCCAUGUUGGUGACUGGUGUCAUCCCUUCUACGAUGGCGUUGACUGCAGAUAUGGUUCCCAUCACGAGGUAUGUUCCUUUUUGAUCUGACCGUUUGCCAAAGAUCCUGCAUGUUGAUCCUGCUCUUGUGCUACUGUUUUGGCACUGCCAUGAUAAAGCAGUAAUGUUAUUAUUUUGCACCUUAAUCUAGUGGCACUAUUAAUUUGAGGCAAUGUUUUGGCACCGCUAGUGCCACUAUUUUUUUAUAUAUCAAAAGAGGGGAUUCCCUCCGAUUUCAUUAAAGAAAUCCAACCAUAGAGAACCAUUAUCCGACAACAUCUCAGUGUAAACGGGCAGUUAUGCAACUACUACUAGAACGGACUGAGUACUACCAGGAGACAAGUUCGCCACAUAAGCUAGGCAAGUAGGGGGACGCAGCACCAGCUCGACCAAGUUUGAAUUACAACCCAAAUGCUACCACAGAAACAUCAAGGGGGGGAUAGGGACUGAAAGAGCCAGCUUCAGCAUCCCAGUCUAAGCACCCCCGACCUUCAUCCUUGAGACGCAUGGUACACCUUGUUUGCCACCUACUCGACCCUAGUGUCACUGAUAAAAUGAAGUAAUAAUAUAGUUAAAAUAGAGCGAGGGUCCUCUCUAUCAUUUCAUUUCCAAUGUAGAUAAAGAAAGUGCUUCUCUUUGUUAAUGUAUGUUUCAUCAACUAGUCCCAUUGUUAAUGUUUAAGUGUUUCUGCAAAGUGGGGUGCUUAAUUUUAGUUGAUCUACACAAAAAUAGAGAUUUGAAUGUCUCAAGGCCCCUCCUUGUACUACCGCUGUACACUGAUGUUCAUCACUGGCAGAAGGUGUAUCGAGGAGACUUCGGUUGAUUUCUGGUAUGGUGUAAUAUUUUCUUCUAUUUAUUAGUGUAUGUUUCAUCAACUAGUGCCACUAUAAUCUAAUCACGCCUUUUCAUUAUCUGUGCAAACAGGAUUAUUCGGCUGCAUUUUGGUGGAACUGCACAAAUGUAUGGAUGGAACUGGCAUAUAUGCAGAGUGCGAGGUGCCAAGCAAAAAUUACCGACAUCAACCCUGCUCCAUCUAAGCAUUGGCAUCCACCACCAUCAGUGGGAUGUGUGGCGCUCACUGUGGACGGAUCUUUCUCGGCAGCAAAUCCUCUAAGCAAAUACUAGUAGCUUAGACUUAAAAAAUACUAGUAGCUUAUAUUUGCAGUUUUCUAGGGGUGUACUCUUUUCUGAAAGAAGCACCAAUCUAUUUUUCUUUAUUUGUACACAGUGUCACAACUUUGACCCAAAGGUCCAGAGCUAUUUUAGGGUGAUUGGCGUAGUACUCGGAGACUGAUUGUAAGCAUGAUUUUUAUUAGUUGUCACACUGAUUGUAAGCAUGAGCAGAUGGAAGAUUAGGUUAGUGCAAAGCUUCCCUUAAACCCUACCGACGCCGUUGAAACGAGGCAAGCGUCGAGGGAACCAUGGAGAACGGCGGGGAAGCGACAUCGCGCCAUCCGGCCUCCUCUUGCGGUGGGAGAACGAAUACUCCUAUGGCUCCGGGUGGCUCUGCACCCUCACGAACGGCACACCUUACUCGAUCGAUUCGUUAUCCUCUGGGUGCUCGACCUUCGACCUGUACGCCCACCACCUCCGCCUGAAUUUCGCCUCGGGCGAAUCUGUCUGCUCCAUUGCUCAGAGGAGAUACUCGAUGAACUCGAAGGACUGCAGUGUGACUGCUGCCGAGGAGUACAUCGACGCCCUCAUCGCCAUUGUCUCGCUCUUUCGCAUACAUUGCCACAUGGCUCUCACCGUCCUCGAAAUCUCCCACUCAUUGUCAAACCAAGUAAGGAUCUCCUUCAACCUGGCUAACUUUGGCUGGUCGCCGCCGGCGAUCUGCUUGAUUUGCUGCUACAUCCCCUCCAUAGAUGUCCUUCUGAGUGGUCCGGUGCUAGCUUUGGAAGAUGGGAGGAGAGACAGUGGUCUUGCAAUAGAGAAGAGGGAGAGGCGAGACAGUGGUUUUGGAAUGGAGAUGAUGGAGAGGAGAGGUUCCCCUACCUUUCGGUCGCUGACAGGUGGGCCCCGUGCUUGGUAGGACCCAUGUGUCGUGUCUCAAUGGCAGGAUGGGCUACGUUAGGGGAUCCUCAUCCGAGGAGAGAGGAGGUGGUUUUACAAUGGAGAAGAGGGAGAGGCGAUACGGUGGUUUUGGAAUGGAGAUGAUGGAGAGGAGAGGAGGUGGUUUUGCAGUGGGGAAGAGGGAGAGGAGCGUGCGGCAGCGAUUUAGGAUUGGAUGAGAGGGCUGGCACGCUGUGACUGGAUCAAAAUCAAAAUCAAUUUACCCUUCAAUUAGGAAAGCGACCCCACAUUAACUAGUCUCCCUUUUAUUCUGGGUCAUAAUUGACCAUGAUUUUCGCAAAUAAAAUAUAUGUUAUACGUUGCAAAAAUAAUAUAAUUUGAAAGUACAUUCAGAUAUGAACCAAACGAUACAAUUUUGGUGAAAUGCAUUCACAUUUUGCUUGUCAAAUACAGUACGUGGUCAAACUUUGACCCAAAAUACGCAAAACAAAAAAAAUACUUCCAAGACCACCACCGCUCUUCCGCUUCUCUUCUCCUCUUAAACCACCGCCGCUCCUCUCCUGCUCCAAUCUAAAUCCAGCGCCGCUCCUCUCCUCUUCCAUUUCAAAACCACCGCCCCUCCUCUCCUGUUCCAAUCCAAAACCAGCGUCGCUCCUCUCCCGUUCUAAAAAAAACCAGCGCUGCUCCUCUCCUCUUCCAUUCAAAAACCACCGCCGAUGAGUGAAGGUGCUGUGGAGAAGUAGAUUGAUGGAGGAGUACAACCGAUACAUGAGGAUCACAGACGGCGACCCUGUGAAGCUAGCUAGGAUGUUGGAGAUACAGUCUUGGUUUGACAACAAGGACCAACAAGCGGCGACGGCGACAUCCAUGGCCAAAUAUCUGCAACAGAACGAAAAGGCGGCGAUACUCCCGGAGGGAGUCACGCGGGAGUACAUAGAGCUGCUCCUCUGGGCCAUGGAGCAAACAGAUUCACCGAAUCCGAUCGUGAGGGAGUGGUGGUCGGAGUAUCAAUCCCAGAUGGAGCAUCCACCAGAGAUUGAAGGAUCGAGCAUCUACAGGGUGCCGUUUGUGAGGGUGUCGUGCCAGAGCGAGCCGGUGGAGUCUUCGUCGACCGAACCCAAAUGCAAGAGGAGAAAAAUAGUUGCCUGAUGAUGCUUCCCCACCAUCCUCUCCCUCGCCGUUCACAUCAUUUCACGGGGCGGCUGUCUGCCGCCGAGGAAUAGGAGGGAUUUGCCCCCCGCCCCCAGACCAAUAGUCGGGCAGGUUGUGAAUUGUCAGGAGGAGCUUAGGGUUGUUAGUAUUUGCAGGUUGUGAAUUGUGUUUUGUGUUGUGUAUUUUGAGAGUACUUUCAGAUAUGAAUGUCUUUUGAAUUUCAGAUUUGCAGUAUUGAGCAUAUGAAGUAUUUUAUGAAUUCUAGAGAUCUAUUUUUAGCACUUAAAAAAUGUAGUUUCAUAGGAGUAUAAAAGUGCAGACAAUGUGAUUCUCAGAGAAGAAACUGCAAGUUUCAGUUUCAGAUAAGAAACUCCAAGUUCAGUUUCAGAUAAGAAACUGAAACUUUCAGAGGCAGAGCAUUUUUAUUAACACGGCCUUUUCAAACAGUGUUAACAUCAUGCUGGAAGUUUUAUUCAUGGUCGAAACUGGAACUACCAGCCAGUUAACAUCAUGCUGAUCAACAUUCAUGCAUAGCACAUCUUCAUAUGAUGCACAGUCAAAAAGAUAUGCUAUUUUCAAAAUUCCCACAAAAUGUCGAGUGUGCCAAAAAUAGAGAAAACGAGGGGCGAAGUUUUGGCAAGUGUAGGACAUGGUGUGCGUAGAUGACAAUUGGGACCGACAUCUCAAUAAAGGCAAAGGCAAAAAAUUUGGAGAUAUUUUCUCUACACAGGUAGAAUCGAACCCGGGCGGAACAGCUGUCGGGUAGUGUCACUCGGCCACUGGGCUAGUUCAGUUGUUUCGUUACUAAUAAGGCACUUCCUCAAGUGGUCGGAUCUCCUCCUACGCCUUUGUGCGCUCGCCGCGACGCCGCUGUCUGCCAUUGUGAACAUGCUAAACAAACGAGAGGAAUAUGUAGAGGACUGUACAUGGAGAGGUGGACAGUCAAGACGCACCAGGUCUAUAGCCGUACGCAAGCAAGUGCCUCAUCGGAAAAAAACUUCCUCCCAAUGCUAUACUGACAUUGGGGCACACGGGUUUGUCAACAUAGUUACAUUUUUUAGGUGCUUCAACCUAGUUACUAUAGGAGAUAAAUUCACAACGAAGCCGGGGAGCUGGCAGGUAUCAUUUAUUAUCACCGGGGCAGCAAGUAUCAGCUGGGUUUUGGGCUGCCCUGUCUAGGCUUUCUUUUUUAACAUGCAUAGCCCACGACCUCGGAUGGGAGGUCCAUAAGGUUUUUUGUAUUUUCUUGAGGGCUGUCAUGUUUCGACCGGCCUAUGGACCUCCCAUCCAAGGUUUUAUUUUUCCUGAAACAUCGGCAACCCAAUUUAUGUUUUUUUUGAAGAAAACAGAGAGGUCUGUUCUAUUUUUCUAUGUAAGAAUAGGAACGCCUGGUCCAACUUGUGUUUCCCUUCUAACUAUAUUAUAUAUAUUUAAAUUAUUUUAUAUGUUAUUAUAUAUUAUUGUUAUUGUCAUCGUAUAUUUAAUACUUACAUAUGUAAGAAAACAAUAUCCCACAUCUUGUUAACUUAUAAAAAUAAUUUCUUAACAAUAAAAUCCUGGAUUUUUUUGGCAACGAAAAUCCUGGUGAUUGUGUACAAAAGCUUGGUAAGAUUUAAGGACCAAUGUAAUAACAAAUCACUUAUUAUAUAUAUAUAUAACAAAAUCCUUAGGCCCUAUUUAUUUUUUGAUAACAUUGAUGCACCCACCCCAACAUUAUAAUUAGAAUCAGACCAGCAAAAUCGUGUAUUUCAAGAAAGUGCAAAUGGCCUGUAAUUUUUUAGGAAAAACAUAAAUCGGUCGCAUGGACGCUACAUUAUUUGUUCACCCAGCCCAGCUAAUGGACUGUAAUUCAAAAAAAAAGAGAUCAAAUGGACUGUAAAUUCUACCCCACAAAAAAAAGAUUGUAAAUUCUGAAAAAAUGGGUUGAAUAUGUGCCACAUUUUUGGAGGCUGAAAUGUGGGCCAAUAGGCUGAAGCCAAUGCAAGUCGUUGUCAACUUAGUCAACAAAUGAUUCUGACAUCGUUAGCCGUUGGAUUUACAUCCAACGACCGGCAUACAUCUUUAAUCUCUCGUCUUCUUCCUCCAGCGCCGCCGGGACCACCUGCUCCCGCCUCCUGCUGCUAGCAGCUCAGCUUAGCAAGCUUCACUGUGAAGCGCUACUCCACCGUUGGCCAGGCCAUCCCUCCACCCCUCCACACCUCCUGUUCUUCUCCACCGACUGCCGAACCACACCGCACCAGAACCAGUUAACCCUCGUACACCUCUCCAUCUGCGACUCGAUUCCCGCGUCUUCCCAUCUUUGGCUCAUUGCUGUCCGGGGCCUCGCCGUCGUCCACCACCUUGGAAGCGCUCGGUGCGGAGUGGUCAACAUGGUCAACGAACAACACCAUCAGAAGUAGACUAUGCGUGGAGAGGCUGACAGCUGGGUCCAUGGCCGCACGCAAGGAAAUGCCUCCUUAUUACACACAAAUUAAUGAUUCCUCCACCUGACAGCUGGGACCCACCGGAAGGGCCUCUGUAUCUCAUGAAAAAAACAUUUCCAUCGCUGACAGGUCGGACCCACCAGCUAUAUCUUCGCACGCAAGGAAGUGCCUCCUUAUUACGCACAAAAAAUGAAUACUCCCCCUGCUAGUUGGGACCCACCUUGGUGGGAGGCUGACUUAUGGGCCUACUAAGUUGACGGGGACGGAGUGCUUUGUCAACUUAGUCAAUAUGAACGAUUCUAGCUCUAGUGAUCGUACAAUGUCCAUCCAACGGACGUAGUGCUUCUUCAACCUCUGGUCUUGUUGCUCCAACCGCCCAAAGCAGCGUCGGUCGUGCCGCAUGCUCCUGCCUCCCGUGGCCGGCUGUGCUGCCGCGCAGGCCUCACCGCCCCCUACUAUUACCACCGAUGGCCAGGCCAUCCCUCUACUCACCCACACCCCCUAUUAUUCUGCAGCGACGGCAGCCUCACAUCGCAACGAACCAGUGAACCCUCGUACUCCUCUACGCGUGGGCAUCCACUGCCGCGUCUUCAUCGGCUCCGCGUCGUCCCCUUCCUAGGCCUCGCCGUCGUCCACCGCCCUGGUGCUCUUGGCACGGCGUGAUCAACGUGGUCAAGGAACGGCUUCCAUCGGACGUUGACUGUACGUGGAGAGGCUGACAGCUGGGUCCACGGCCGCAGCAAGGAAGUGCCUCCUUAUUACGCGCAAAAUAAUUAGAUGUCGGUGGGAAACGACACCUAUGGGAUCACUGGAAUCCCUUCUACGGUUGCGGGACGCGGAGAUCAUGAGGAGAGCGGGACUAGUAGACAACACAAGGGGGAUUUACCCAGGUUCGGGCCGCAAAGGUGCAUAAAACCCUAUGAUCCUGCUUUGGUGGAUGUAUUAGUGUUCUUGAGCUCUCGAACUAGCUCUAGGUGCUGUGAGGUUCGAAAGAGCCGAAUCCUUUCUCCGUGUGCCAUGGGCCUCCUUUUAUAGACAAAAGGGGCUGCCACAGUGGCACGCAGGAGCUGGAAAGUGCUACAGCGUUGUGAGCUUAUCGCUCGUAUUACAGGACAAGACGCAUUUAAUGCGAGGCUUAGGUGUCCCUUCGCUUUAUCGGGGACGGGGGCGAGGCCCGUCCCGUCUGUCGCCGCUCCUCUUCGCUUUGACACGCUAAUACAUCUCCAACAUAUCUACUUUUUCAAACACUUUUGCCCUUGUUUUGGACUCUAACUUGCAUGAUUUCAAUGAAACUAACCCGGACUGACGUUGUUUUCAGCAGAACUGCCAUGAUGUUGUUUUAUGUGUAGAAAAGAAAAGUUCUCAGAAUGUCCUGAAAAUCCACGGAAGGACUUUUUGGAAAAUAUAAAAAAUACUGGCAAAAGAAUCAAGACCAGGGGGCCCACACCCUGUCCACGAGGGUGGAGGGCGCGCCCCCUCCCCCUGGGCGCGCCCCCCCUAUCUCGUGGGCCCCCUGGACCUCCAACGACCUCAACUCCAACUCCAUAUAUUCACGUUCGGGGAGAAAAAAUCAGAGAGAAAGUUUCAUCGCGUUUUACGACACGGAGCCGCCGCCAAGCCCUAAUCUCUCUCGGGAGGGCUGAUCUGGAGUCCGUUCGGGGCUCCGGAGAGGGGGAUUUGUCGUCGUCGUCGUCAUCAACCAUCCUCCAUCACCAAUUUCAUGAUGCUCACCGUCGUGCGUGAGUAAUUCCAUCGUAGGCUUGCUAGACGGUGAUGUGUUGGAUGAGAUUUACCAUGUAAUCAAGUUAGUUUUGUUAGGGUUUGAUACCUAGUAUCCACUAUGUUCUGAGAUUGAUGUUGCUAUGACCUUGCUAUGCUUAAUGCUUGUCACUAGGGCCCGAGUGCCAUGAUUUCAGAUCUGAACCUAUUAUGUUUUCAUGAAUAUAUGUGUGUUCUUGAUCCUAUCUUGCAAGUCUAUAUUCACCUAUUAUGUGUUAUGAUCUGACAACCCCGAAGUGACAAUAAUCGGGAUACUUCUCGGUGAUGACCGUAGUUUGAGGAGUUCAUGUAUUCACUAUGUGCUAAUGCUUUGUUCCAGUUCUUUAUUAAAAGGAGGCCUUAAUAUCCCUUAGUUUCCGCUAGGACCCCGCUGCCAUGGGAGGGUAGGACAAAAGAUGUCAUGCAAGUUCUUUUCCAUAAGCACGUAUGACUAUUUACGGAAUACAUGCCUACAUUACAUUGAUGAACUGGAGCUAGUUCUAUGUCACCCUAUGUUAUAGCUAUUACAUGAGGAAUCGCAUCCGGCAUAAUUAUCCAUCACUGAUCCAAUGCCUAUGAGCUUUUCACAUCUUGUGCUUUGCUUAUUUACUUUUCCAUUGCUACUGUUACAACUACUACAAAAGCCCAAAAACUAUUAUCUUUACUUUUGCCACCUUUACCUUUAUUAUCAUACUACUCUGCUACUAAAUACUUUGCUGCAGAUACUAAGUUAUCCAGGUGUGGUUGAAUUGACAACUCAACUGCUAAUACUCAAGAAUAUUCUUUGACUCCCCUUGUGUCGAACCAAUAAAUUUGGGUUGAAUACUUUACCCUCAAAAGUUGUUGCGAUCCCCUACACUUGUGGGUUAUCAAGACUAAUUUCUGGCGCCAUUGCCGGGGAGCAUAGCUCUAUUCUCUGAGUCACUUGGGAUUUAUAUCUGUUGAUCACUAUGAAGAACUUGAAAGACGACAGAACUACCAUUUUUCCCUCAACUACGAGGGGAGGUAAGGAACUGCCAUCUAGCUCUGCACUAGAUUCUCCUUCUGUUUUGAGUAAGCUUGCGACACCUAAACCUUCUACUGCUAUGAAUUCUGAUAUGUCACAUGUUAUUGAUGAUGCCACUUCUGCUAUGCAUUAUACUUAUGAUGAAACUACUUCUGUGCGUGAUACUACUUUGCCAUUAGGUGAAUUUCUUGAUGAACAACUUGCUAGAGUUAGGGGGAAUGAAAUUAUUGAAGAUGCUAUUAUUGAUGAUAGUGAUGAUGAAAAUUCUCCCAAUGAUUAUGAAUUACCUAUUGUUCCUGAGGGUUAUGUUAUGAAUGAAGAAGCUGCUAGAGCUAUCUUUGCUUGCAAUGAUAGGUAUGAUCUUAAGAAAUUAUUAGCUAAAUUGAAGCAGCAGUCUCUUAAUGCUAGAAUGAAACCUGACCCUGCUUUUGCUAUUUCACCUAUCUGUGUUACUCAUAAGGAUUAUGAAUUCUAUGUUGAUCCUGAGAUUAUUACUUUAGUUGAAUCUGAUCCUUUUUAUGGCCUUGAAUCUGAAACUGUUGUGGCACAUCUUACCAAGUUGAAUGAUAUAGCCACCCUGUUCACUCAUGAUGAUAAAUCUCAAUAUUUUUAUAUCCUUAAGAUAUUUCCGUUCUUGUUAAAGGGUGAUGCUAAGACUUGGUAUAAUUCUCUUGCUCCUGGUUGUGUGCGUAGUCCCCAGGAUAUGAUUUAUUACUUCUCUGCUAAAUAUUUCCCUGCUCAUAAGAAACAAGCUGCCUUGCGGGGAAUAUAUAAUUUUGUGCAAAUCAAAGAAGAGAGUCUCCCACAAGCUUGGGGGAGGCUUCUCCGAUUACUUAAUGCUUUGCCUGAUCAUCCUCUCAAGAAAAAUGAAAUACUUGAUAUUUUUUAUAAUGGACUAACCGAUGCUUCCAAGGACUACUUGGAUAGUUGUGUUGGUUGUGUUUUCAGGGAAAGAGUAGUCGACGAAGCUGAAUUACUAUUGAAUAAUAUGUUGACUAAUGAAAAUAAUUGGACUCUUCCUGAGCCAAUUUCCUGAGGCAAUUCCUGAACCAAUUGAGCCAACUCCUGAGCCUAGUCCUAAACCCACUCCUAAGAAGAGAGCUGUUUUAUUUCUCAGUCCCAAAGAUAUGCAAGAGGCAAAGAAAUCAAUGAAAGAAAAAGGUAUUAAAGCUGAAGAUGUUAAGAAUUUACCCCCUAUUGAAGAAAUACAUGGUCUUAAUAUACCGCCUAUUGAAGAACCACAUUGUCUUGAUAACCCGACACAGGUAGUAAAGGUAAAUUCUCUCUAUAGAUAUGAUAAAGUUGAAAUCCCCUCUACUAAAUUUCAUAGCCCAUGCUUAGAUGAAUUUGAUGACUUUAUGGCUAGACAAGAAAGUUUUAAUGCUUAUAUUGGUAGAGAGUUAAAGAAUAAUGCUUUCGAGGUAGGACGCGUGAGCGAUAAUAUGGCUAGAGUUAAAGGUGACCUCAAACUCAUUAGCAAAUAUACUUCUAUGGUUGCUACUCAAGCUGAGCAAGUACUCAAAGCUCAAAAUGAUUUGCUUGAUGAAUUAAAUAAUAAAAAUGACUUUGUUGUUAGAGUGGCUACCAGAACUGGUAGAAUGACUCAGGAACCUUUGUAUCUUGAAGGCCACCCUAAGAGAAUCGAGCAAGAUUCUCAGAGAAAUAAUUUAGAGGCACCUAGUUCUUCUAAAAAGAAGAAGAAAAACGAUAGAACUUUGCAUGCUUCUAGUGAACCUACUGUAGACACACCUGAGAAUCCCAAUGAUAUCUCUAUCUCUGAUGCUAAAACACAAUCAGGUGAUGAACAUGAACCUAGUGAUAAUGCUAAUAAUAAUGUUCAUGUUGAUGCUAAACCUAGCAAAAACAAUGAAGUAGAGAUUGAACCUGUUGUUGAUCUUGAUAACCCACAAUCAAAGAAUCAACGUUAUGAUAAGAGAGAUUUUGUUGCUAGGAAGCACGGUAAAGAAAGAGAACCAUGGGUUCAGAAACCCAUGCCCUUUCCUCCUAAACCAUCCAAGACAAAGGAUGAUGAGGAUUUUGAGCGCCUUGCUGAAAUGAUUAGACCUAUCUUCUUACGUAUGCGCUUAACUGAUAUGCUCAAAGUAAAUCCUUAUGCUAAGUAUAUGAAGGAUAUCAUCACAAAUAAAAGAAAGAUACUGGAAGCUAAAAUUUCCACCAUGCUUGCUAAUUAAACUUUUAAGGGUGGAAUACCAAAGAAACUUGGAGAUCCGGGGGUACCAACUAUACCAUGCUCCAUUAAAAGAAAUUAUGUUAGAACUACUUUAUGUGAUCUUGGAGCCGGUGUUAGUGUUAUGCCUCUCUCUUUAUAUCGUAGACUUGAAUUGAAUAAGUUGACACCUAUUGAAAUAUCUUUGCAAAUGGCUGAUAAAUCAACUGCUAUACCUGCCGGUAUUUGUGAGGAUGUGCCUAUUGUGGUUGCAAAUGUCACUAUCUUGACGGACUUGUUAUUCUUGAUAUUCCCGAGGACGAUAGUAUGUCAAUUAUCCUUGGUAGACCUUUUUUGAAUACUGCAGGGGCUGUUAUUGAUUGCAACAAAGGCAAUGUCACUUUUCAUGUUAAUGGUAAUGAGCAUACGGUACACUUUCCGAGGAAACAAUCUCAAGUUCAUAGCAUCAAUUCUAUUGGAAAAGUUCCAACUAUUAUUAUUGGAGUUUUGAAUUUCCUCUCCCUACUGUCAAGAAAAAGUAUGAUAUUCUUAUUGUUGGGGAUUUUCAUAUCCCCGAUGAGGUAACUUAGUGUUAUUCGAAAUUUCUUCGGUUCCGUGUUAUUCAGAAUGAGUUUGUUAACAAGACUUGAUCAACCUUGUUAGUAGAUUCAUUUUGAUGAUCAUGAGAUGGAUGAAACUAGAAGGCACAACCUUCUGUACCCUCUUUUUACUUUCUGUUAUUUAGAAUAAAUAAAGAAAAAAUAGUAUUACCUAUCUGUUUUCUGAAUUACCCGUGCAUUAAAAAAUAUCCCGAAAAUAAAAGUGCUCCAAAUGCCCUGCAAAUUUAGUAUGAUUUUUUAUGGAAUAUUUGAGGAUUUUAGGCACUGAAAACACUGCAGGAGGGGCAAGCACCAUGCCACGAGAGUGGAGGGCGCACCCCCUCCCCCUGGGCAUGCCCCCCUAUCUCGUGGGCCCCUGGUGGCCCCCUCCACUUAUACGAGCACCCACACACUCCAUCUUCUACCCCCAAAAAAUCCCCAUCCAGCUCAAGCACGAGUUCUAGCUCAUUUUGCUGCGAUUUUCGAUCUCCUUGCUCAAAGCUCCUUUCACAAAACUGCUUUGGGAGAUUGUUGCUUGGUAUGUGACUCCUCCAUUGGUCCAAUUAGUUUUUGUUCUAGUGCUUUAUUCAUUGCAAAUUUUUGCUGCAUAGGUGACCAUGUUCUUGAGCUUGCAUGUUAAAUUUAUGAGGUCCCAAGCAAUUCUAAUGCAUGAUAUAGGCUCUAGGCACUUGUAGGAGUAGUUGCUACCAAUCUUGUUUAGUUUUAUUCACUUUUAUUUUGAAGUUACUAAAAUUCCAGAUAUUUUCAGAAAAUGUUAAGGAAACUUUUGAGCGGCUCUUCUAGCCAAGGCUCUCAGGAAAAACAAGCCAAAGAGAAGGAAAAAGCCAAGUACAAUCUUCCUCGUUUAGCGGAAGUGCGGUCGUGUGAAUGGGCGUGCGAUGAUUUCUUGAAAGAAGCUGGAAUUCAUGAAGAUUUUUAUUCUUUGAUUGAGAAUGCAGGCCUCACCGGUUUCAUCAACGACCGGAUCGAUCAGUAUCUCUUACUCACCAAUACUUUCGUGCAAAAAUUUUAUUAUUAUCCUAAGAAGUCACCACCUGCAGUAUCAUUUCAUUUAUAUGAUGAAUUCAGAGAAAUAUCUCUACGUAAUUUUUGCGCACUGUGUAGGAUACCUUAUGAGGGAGAAUUAGAGGAACCCCAUCGUAAAGAUGUGGAUGACUUUGUUAACACUAUUGUUGUAGAGGAGCCAAAGAAGGGUUCCGAAGCGAAAAUCUCUAGCAUACACUUUCCUGUUUUACGCUACUUUGCCAUAUUUGCUAGUAGAUGCUUUAUUGGUCGAGGAAAUAGUGGAAACUUUAGUGUUCCUGAUAUUAUCAUUCUUCAACAUGCCUUGCUUGGAGACAAUAGUUUUAGUAUGGGUGUUGUCUUUGCUAAACGGCUAGCCCUGAAUCGUACAAAAGGCCCCAUAUUUGGAGGUAUCUAUGCUUCACGUCUUGCUAGACAUUUUCAGAUACCUAUUAGGCACCAUGAGAAAGAGGAGACAAAAUUGCCUCCUCACAUUUUAGAUUACAAGAGCAUGGUAGCCCACAAGUUUAUCAUUGACAACGAAGAAAGGAUGCUCUUGUAUAACCUUAGAUUUAAUAAGAAACACAAUGAGAUUAUUAUUUUGCCUACGCCUCUGUUGUUUGAUUUGACUACAGAUAAUUUUCUUGUUACACCUGAAGUGGUGUACACUCAUCGAGCCCAAGCUUUAACUCCAGAACAUGAACCUGAGCCGGAACCUGAAAUGAACCCUUAUCAUGCAUCAUCUGUCCAGUGGGAUCCGGAGAUGACCAGCCAGUGGUAUCCUGAUUACACCUCCCAGUACACCGGGGAGAGUAGAGGCGGUCCUUGGUAUUAGACCAACUUAGGCCAAAAUCCUAAGCUUGGGGGAGUACGUAUUUCUCACCGACUUUACAUUCAUGUUCACACACUAGUCGUCGGUGCUCAUACUCUUUCAUUGCAUUAUCCAUGCUAGUUUCAUUUCCUUUUUCUAGCUUUCUUCUUGUGUGUUUGAUAAACCUUAAGAAAAAACAAAAAAAAAUAGUUAGAUUUACAUGCUUGUAGUAGAAUUAAAAUGAAAACCCAAAAAGAUUUCUAGUUCUUCUUCUUACUUGUUGGGAGCUUUCCCGUGUAAAUAGUUAUUUUCUUUUCUUUCCUUUGGGGGUCGAGAGUAGAAGACCAUAUUGAAAUUGUUUAGUGGCUCUCAUAUGCAUGAUUGUUUAUUUAACUUAGAGCCCAUAUUACUUGUCUUCUCUCUUGAGUUGAAUGCUUGCAGAUUCCAGCUUAGUCCAAUGCACGUGCACUAUUAUUAUUAUACACAUCGUUCGGUCGUGCAAGUGAAAGGCAAUAAUGACGAUAUAUGAUGGACUUAUUGAGAUGAGAAAAGCUGGUAUGAACUCGACCUCUCUUGAUUUUGUAAAUAUGAUGAGUUCAUCAUUUCUGAUUCAGCUUAUUAUGAGGUAAACAUAUUUGCAAUGACAUUUAGAGAUUAUAGUUGCUUGUGCCAUGCUUGAUUAGCUAUGAGUUAUAAUGGUUUACCUUGCGUGCCAACAUGCUAUUAGAAUGAUUAUGAUGUGGUAUGAUGGGAUGGUAUCCUCCUUUGCAUGAAUUAAGUGACUCGACUUGGCACAUGUUCACGCAUGUAGUUGAAACAAAUCAACAUAGCCUUCAUGAUAUUUAUGUUCAUGGUAGAUUAUAUCCUACUCAUGCUUGUACUCGGUGUAAUCUCUCAGUUGGUCGCUUCCCAGUCUUUUGCUAGCCUUCACCUGUACUAAGCGGGAAUAAUGCUUGUGCAUCCAAACUCCAUAAACCCCAAAGUUGUUCCAUAUGAGUCCACUAUACCUGCCUAUAUGCGGUAUUUACCUGCCGUUCCAAGUAAAUUUGUAUGUGCCAAACUCCAAACCGUCAAAUGAAAUUCUAUUUUCUAUGCUCGAGUAGCUCAUGUUACAACUAGGGCUACCUAUAUCUUCCAUGCUAGGUGGGUUACUCUCAAGAGGAGUGGACUCCGCUCCUCAUUCACGAGAAAGGGCCGGUAACCGGGAUGCCCAGUCCCAUGAUCCAAAAAGAUCAAAGCAAAUCAAAAUAAUUAAACAAAACUCCCCCAGGGCUGUUGUUAGUUGGAGGCACUCGUUGUUUCGAGCAAGCCAUGGAUUGAUGCUUGUUGGUGGUUGGGGAGUAUAAACCUUUACCAUUCUGUUUGGGAACCGCCUAUAAUGCAUGUAGUAUGGAAGAUACAGCCAUCUCAUAGUUGUUGCGUUGACAGCAAAAGUAUGCCGCUCAAAAUGUUAUUCAAUCUCUAUUUUAAAAUCAAGCUCUGGCACCUCUACAAAUCCCUGCUUCCCUCUGCGAAGGGCCUAUCUAUUUACUUUUAUGUUGAGUCAUCACCCUUCUUAUUAAAAAACACUCGCUGGAGAGCACGCUGUCAUUUGCAUUCAUUACUAUUGGUUUAUAUUGGGUAUGACUUGACUGGAUCUCUUUUACCAUGAAUUACAACGUUUAGUCAGUCCUUCAUCUUUAAAGGUGCUCUGCAUUUAUGUUUUGCGGUCUCAGAAAGGGCUAGCGAUAUACCAUUUUGUUAUAUCAUGUUAUGAUUGUUUUGAGAAAGUGUUGUCAUCCGAGUUCUAUUGUUAUGGCUCGCUAGCUGAUUAUGCUAUUGAUAUGAGUAAUUGUGAACCUGGGUGUUAUUAUGAGUAUGGUUAGUUCAUAAUAUUUGCUGAAACCUGAAUGAUGGCUUUUCAUGUUUAUAACAACAAGAGCAAAUAGAGUUUGUAAAAGUUUUUCUUUAUCACUUUCAGUUUAUCAACUGAAUUGCUUGAGGACAAGCAAAGGUUUAAGCUUGGGGGAGUUGAUACGUCUCCAACGUAUCUACUUUUCCAAACACUUUUGCCCUUGUUUUGGACUCUAACUUGCAUGAUUUGAAUGGAACUAACCCGGACUGACGUUGUUUUCAACAGAACUGCCAUGAUGUUGUUUUAUGUGUAGAAAAGAAAAGUUCUCGGAAUGUCCUAAAAAUCCACGGAGGGACUUUUUGGAAAAUAUAAAAAAUACUGGUGAAAGAAUCAAGACCAGGGGGCCCACACCCUGUCCACGAGGGUGGGGGGGCACCCCCUCCCCUUGGGCGUGCCCCCCUAUCUCGUGGCCCCCCUGGACGUCCACCGAACUCAACUCCAGCUCCAUAUAUUCAUGUUCGGGGAGGAAAAAAUCAGAGAGAAAGUUUCAUCACGUUUUACGACACAGAGCUGCCGCCAAGCCCUAAUCUCUCUCGGGAGGGCUGAUCUGGAGUCCGUUUGGGGCUCCAGAGAGGGGGAUUUGUCGCUGUCGUCACCAUCAACCAUCCUCCAUCACCAAUUUCAUGAUGCUCACCGCCGUGCGUGAGUAGUUCCAUCAUAGGCUUGCUGGACGAUGAAGGGUUGGAUGUGAUUUACCAUGUAAUCUUGUUAGUUUUGUUAGGGUUUGAUCCCUAGUAUCCACUAUGUUCUGAGAUUGAUGUUGCUAUGACUUUGCUAUGCUUAAUGCUUGUCACUAGGGCGCGAGUGCCAUGAUUUCAGAUCUGAACCUAUUAUGUUUUCAUGAAUAUAUGUGUGUUCUUGAUCUUAUCUUUCAAGUCUAUAGUCACCUAUUAUAUGUUAUGAUCCGACAACCCCGAAGUGACAAUAAUCGGGAUACUUCUCGGUGAUGAUCGUAGUUUGAGGAGUUCAUGUGUUCACUAUGUGCUAAUGCUUUGUUCCGGUUCUCUAUUAAAAGGAGGCCUUAAUAUCCCUUAGUUUCCGCGACCCCGCUGCCACGGGAGGGUAGGACAAAAGAUGUCAUGCAAGUUCUUUUCCAUAAGCACGUAUGACUAUUUACGGAAUACAUGCCUACAUUACAUUGAUGAACUGGAGCUAGUUCUAUGUCACCCUAUGUUAUAGCUAUUACAUGAGGAAUCGCGUCCGGCAUAAUUAUCCAUCACUGAUCCAAUGCCUACGAGCUUUUCACAUCUUGUGCUUCGCUUAUUUACUUUUCCGUUGCUACUGUUACAACUACUACAAAAGCCCAAAAACUAUUAUCUUUACUUUUGCCACCUUUACCUUUAUUAUCAUACUACUCUGCUACUAAAUACUUUGCUGCAGAUACUAAGUUAUCCAGGUGUGGUUGAAUUGACAACUCAACUGCUAAUACUCAAGAAUAUUCUUUGGCUCCCCUCGUGUCGAACCAAUAAAUUUGGGUUGAAUACUUUACCCUCGAAAGUUCUUGCGAUCCCCUACACUUGUGGGUUAUCACACGCGCCCUGGCCAGCGAUGCAUGCGGUGCCAUGUAGGCAGGCAUGCAGCUAAGGUGGCAUGGUGGUGGAGCCUCCACGAAGAGCUGCAUGUUGCCACGCAGGUGCAUGCCCAGCUGGCUGGGUCGGCAGCUGUAUGUUCCCACGCAGGUGCCUGCCCAGCUGGCUGGGUCGGCAGCUGCAUGCGAACGGCGGUGAAGACUUGGCUGGCUCAGGCCUGGCAGUGGCCCUGCCGGUGCGCUUGGCGAGGGUCUUGCCGGGUGGCCCAGCAAGGGUCUUGCUGGGUGGCCCGGCAAGGGUCUUGCCGUGGCGCGCUGGCUCCCCCGGCAAGGAUCUUGCCGGGGGUCUUGUGGGUUCCUUCGGUGAGGAUAGUUGCCUUCCUAUCCUCUUUUGAUCUUGAGCAUUUUAUGUCUUCACAAAGAUCUGCAUGCCACCACGGAGUUGCCUCCCGAGCCCUAUCCCAACGCAUUCGCCCUGCGUUGGUGGGCUAAAGGGUGGCUCACUUCGGCUGGCGUGGGCGGGCUGCCUCGGCAAGGGUCUUGUCAGGGCUGCUGAGGCUGCCCCGGCAAGGGUCCUUGCCGGGGGAACCUGCUACGCCUAUCUGAUCUUUGUGGCCUUGGUCCUUGUUGUUGCUUCGAUUGUCCUUGUGGCUUCGGCUUUCCUCCGGCUUCCCUUUCCUGCCCUGUUACGUGUGGCCGUGGCGGGAGGCUCUGACUGCCCGUGCACAAGUAAAGGGGUCAAAAGCAGAACCCCUACUUUUGUGCACCAAUAGGAGCCCCGGGGCCUGGGCCACACAUAAGCGUAGCACGUUGUUGGGCCAGGCCCAGAAUGUUGUGCGGGCAGUUGGGGCGGAUUUUCACCACGGCCACUGUUCCGUCCGCUGUGCUUCCCCACGACCCGUGUUGAACGCGUGAUGUGGGGGUCGUGUGCGUGUGUGACGUGGGAGGCAUGUGUGGGACAGCGCUCGCACGCAUGCGUUGCAUCGUAGUUAAUGGGAAAGGAGGCGGCCCGUGCCUUCCCCAUAAAAAGGAAUAGCCGUGGGCGCGCUGCUCACUUUGCCCCUUCCCUGUGCCUUCCUCCAAUCUCAGAACCGCUGCCCCCUUCUUCUCGAGCCUCUCUGCCUUCGCCCAUCGCCGUCGUGCUUCCUCCAUCCCCUGCCUUUCUGCUUCCCGCAGCCACCAUGGCGCCUAAGUCCACCAAGAGCAAGGGAGCGGCGAAGGAUGCCAGCGUGUCGGAGUAGCCGGAGAGCGAGCUGGUGGCGCGGCGGGCGCAGUCCGCCUACUUCCCCUUGACGGUUGGCGUGCCCGAGCAUCGGGAGAUGUUCAAGUGUUUGUGGGGCAUGAAGACGGGGGGGAGAAGAUGGGGCAUCCGGCCACGACCGUCGUCCCUGCCAGCGCUGGGCCCUCCCCGCAUCGAUACCCCUUCUUCGUCGAUUAUUUCUCAUGCGGGCUCCGUCCUCUCCCCCUUCUCUGAUUUCUUCAAGGACAUCAUGCACACCUAUGGCUUCCGCCUCUUGGAUUUUACUCUGAAUGUCGUGGCGUGCAUGGCCCUCUUCGCCCAUCUCUGCGAGGGCUUCGUCGGGGUGCAUCCCAGCAUGGCGCUCUUCCACCAUUACUUCUCCCCUUGGAUCCAAAAAGGGGGCGCCAUUGCUGGUUGCAUCGCGUGGAUCCCGAGGGCCAAGGGGGCAUACCCGGAUGGCGCCAUGAAGGAGAGGUGGGAAGAAUGGCGGGGCCGGUGGUGCUGGAUUGAGGAGAAGGACCCGCCAGCAUUCAGCGAGGUUCGCCAGAAGCCGUCGGUCCGUGGCGGCGAUUCGAGCGACGUCGACGCCGAUGACGCGAAGCUCAUGAUCGCCACCACCAGGAUUCUUUGACUCACGCAGGCCGGGCUCACCCUCAAGAUGAUCGGGGCGGACUUCAUCUGCCGCCGGAUUGCUCCUCUACAUGACAAGGGGAGGUCGGCCUAGCUCUUUGUGAACGCCGCCGACAUCAUGAGGCUCCGUCCCGGCCUCGACAACAACCUGACAGUGCUGCAGCACACCCAUCUUUGCCAGCGAAUCUUCCAGCUCGAGGUCGACGACGAGGGCGAGGUCGAGCGGUCCGGCAAGCUUGCCAGGGCCACCGCGAAGGCCGGCAAGGUCGAUAAGGAGCCUGUCUUCAAGCUGCCGGCAGGAGUGGUCCUGCUGAGCAACAACUCUCACCGGAACGAGAUCAUCAUUAUGAUGCCGCUCUUCAAUGCGCAUGGCCUCGACCCGAACUGGGUCGAUCCGUACGAGCUUGUGGUGCAGAAGUUCUUCGACACUCUGUACGAGAUAUACAUCACCGACGAGCCGCGGCUUAUCCAGGACACCUCCCCGGCGGAGCUGGACUAUAUCUGUCACGCCCAAUAUGCGACCCUAUCCAAAAGGAACUCGAAGGUCCCACCAACGAUAGACCCGCAUAUUGAAACGCUUUUGCAAGGUGGAUAUCAUUACAUCAACAUUACAUAAUAUUUGGGGAUACAUACAAGAGGCAUACAAUGCCACACGAAUACAACAUCACAAUACAUCAGAGCAUCAUCCGACUACGGAUGAAUCACAAACAGAAACUCAAACGACAUCCACCCUGCUAGCCCAGGCUGCCGACCUGGAACCUAUCCCCUGAUCGAAGAAGCAGAAGAAGAACUCAACGCAAGCAUGCAUAGCUCUCGCGUCAUGAUCAUUGCAUAACCUGUACCUGCAACUGUUGUUGUAGUAAUCCGUGAGCCACGAGGACUCAGCAAUCCCAUUACCAUGGGUAUCAAGACUAGCAAAGCUUAAAGGGAAAGGAAGGGGUAAAGUGGUGAGGCUGCAACGGCGACUAAGCAAGUAUGGUGGCUAACAUACGCAAAUAAGAGCGAGAAGAGAGCAAGCAGAACGGUCGUCAACUAGCAAUGAUCAAGAGGUGAUCCUGAACUCCUACUUACGUCAAACAUAACCCAAAGACCGUGUUCACUUCCCGGACUCCGCCGAAAAGAGACCAUCGCGGCUACACACACGAUUGAUGCGUUUUAAUUCGGAUCUGGUGUCAAGUUAUCUACAACCAGACAUUAACAAAUUCCCAUCUGCCUAUAACCGCAGGCACGGCUUUCGAAAGAUUAUACCCUGCAGGGGUGUCCCAACUUAGCCCAUGAUAAGCUCUCACGAUCAACGAAGGAUAUACCUUCUCCCAGGAAGACCCGAUCAGACUCAGAAUCCCGGUUUACAAGACAUUUCGACGAUGGUAAAACAAGACCAGCAAAGCCGCCCGAUGUGCCGACAAUCCUGAUAGGAGCUGCACAUAUCUCGUUCUCAGGGCAACACCGGAUGAGAUAUCCUACGAGUAAAACCAAACCUCGAGUUUCCCCGAGGGUCCCUGCAGUCUACUCAGUUCGGACCAACACUUAGACAAGCACUGGCCCGGGGGGGGGCUAAAAUAAAGAUGACCCUCGGGUUGGCCGACCCAAGGGAAAGGUAGGCGGUGGUGAGGCAAAUGGUAAAACCAAGGUUGGACCUUGCUGGAGGAGUUUUACUGAAAGCGAACUGUCAAGGGGGUCCUAUAAAUCACCCGACCGCGUAAGGAACGCAAAAUCCGGGAACAUAACACCGGUAUGACGGAAACUAGGGCGGCAAGAGUGGAACAAAACACUAGGCAAAAGGCCGAGUCUUCCACCCUUUACCAAGUAUAUAGAUGCAUUAAUAAUAUAAGAGAUAUUGUGAUAUCCCAACCAAAAUCAUGUCCACCAUGGAGAAAUCUUCAACUUCACCUGCAACUAGCAACACUAUAAGAGAGACUGAGCAAAGCGGUAACAUAGCCAAACAAUGGUUUGCAUAGGAAAUGUGUCAAAGGUUAGAGGUUCAUGGCAAUAUGGGAGGCUUGAUGAGCAAAAGAUAGGUAACGCAGCAAAGCGAUAGAACGAAGCAACUAGCAUAGCAAUGAUAGUAGUGAGAUCCAGGGUAGCGGUCAUCUUGCCUGAAAUCCCGCUAGGAAGAAGAACGAGUCCAUGAAGAAGAUGAAUGGAUGAAGCCACGAAGACGAACCAAGCGUAGACGAACGAAUCCUCACGAUCGCAACAAAACAGGAACUAACAAGAAGAAGCACACAACAUAGUAAACACACCCCACAUAUACAAGACAUGAUGCACAACAAGCAUGAUGCAUGACAAAGCUACAUGAAGCUAUUCAUGACAAGGGAUGAUGCAUACAAGAGCAACACAUCAAGGCAAGUUUAAAUGAGGUCGGGAACAACAUAUAAGAAUUCCGGUAAGUCCUCAUAUGCAAAUUUCGAAAUUGGUCCAGAUCUGAAUAAACCUUAUGUUCAAUUUGUUAAACAGCAAGUUAAGAUGCACGAAGAUGAUCUACAUGAGAUUCUAGUCAAGUUACAUAUAAAGUUCAUUUAGUUCAGAGCUACGACCUAGAAGAUAUGAGCAAAAUAAGUUAAACAUGGCAUUGAUGCAAAAUGCACCCAAACAUCAAGCAAACACCUCAAAACAUGAAUGCAACAUGAUAAUAUGAAACUAAAUGCAAUUCUAAGCAAGUUUCAUAUAGAGCACACUCAAAACGGAGCAACGGUUCAACACACACACAUGAAACAAGUUAUAGCAACAAUCUGUCCAAAACAGCAACUAGGCAUAUUGCAAGCAUCAAAACAACAUGCUACAGCAUCCCAACAUGAAAACAAAAAGCAUGGACAUGAUUUACAGGUAAAGCAUAACAAAACAUGAACACUGAGCUAUCUCCAGAAAUCACUAGAACAUGCUCAAACACACAUGGUAAGAUUGCAAAUAAUAAUAAUUUCAGACUUUGCAGAAAUAACAUCAGGUUGCAAUGUUUAGAGCUAUCAAACAACAUGUUACAGGAACUUAUCAUGGCAAAGAAAUGCAUGGCAUGAACCUACUCAAAGCAUAGAUCAAAAGUCCCUUACUGACCAUAAGCCAAAAAGGAUCAGAAAAUAUGAUGGCACCCACGUAAACAUGGCAAGUUAUAAUACAGAUUCAAACAUGGCAGAAACAGAAUUAUGAAGGCAUGUAGAUGAGCUUGUGCAACUCACUACAGACCAAAACAUGGCAUGGCAAGGCAACCAACAGUAAGAAGACAUAUUUUUGAAGCUAAGCAUGGCAAGAGCAAGUUCAUAGGGUACAUGGAACACUAGCAAAACACAUGGCAACAACUGAACAUAAUGUUAACAGGCUGACAGCAACAUUAUGAAGCAAAUUUGGAGCAAUAUAUGAACAAGCUACAGCAAGCUAUAAAUGCAACCAGGGGCAUGGAUGGAUAUAGCAUGAUAUGUAGAACAAAACAUAUUUAGUGAUCAUCUCCAGAUUAUGCAUAGAAUGAUUAGUAGCAACAUGUUUAUAUAGCAUCGCGAAAUAACAGAUUCAGCCUAGCAAAACAGCAACAUCAAGUGCACUACUUAACAAGCUCGAUACACUCACCACAAGUCAUUGCAUGACAAGAUAAGCAUAGCAUCAGCAAGAAGACAUGUUUGUGAAACAAACCAAGUCAAGAACAAGUUCAUAGCAUGCAAGGAUCAACUAUAGCAACCUUGGCAAAAUUGAAUAACACGUAAGCAAUCUGCCAGGAAACAUUUUGAAGCAAAAGUAGAGCACGAAAAUGACAUGCUAGGCUACUCAAUAAUUGCAAACAAGGGCAUUAAUGGAUAGACAAUAACCACAUGUUUAAAACACCCUUACUGAAGUAUCUCAAAAUAUGCAUGGAUCUCUCUGUAGCAUCAAGUUUACAUGGCAUCAAGAUAACAGCAGAACAGGGACUAAAAUCAGCAACAUCACGAUGCCUAGUUUACAUGCUUGUGCUAGUCACCACAUUGAUCAAAAAAUACGUGGUAAGCACCUCUGUAAAGAAGACAUGGCAUAGUUCAAAACACAUGUAGACAUCAACCUCAUAGGAUGCACACAUCAAACAUGGCAAAAAUGACAAAUGAGCUCGUUCUGUUAACAAACAGCAGAUAACAUUAUGAAGCACUCUUGCAAUGAUGAUUCAGGCAUCAAGAUGAGCUCAAAUGAAUAUGAUGCAAUAGAAUGAAAUGAUGUACUCAUUGAGAGAACAAUUUGACAUAUUACACGCACGAAACGGAGCUACGGAUGCAGAGAUACGGCAUGAUGAACAUGGCAUGAUUAUGAUAGAAAACAGGGAGUUGGCAGUUUUCGGGGAAGGGGGAAAAGUCAACCUCGUUGCACGGACGGCGAGGUUCACCGGAGUUCGUCGCCGGAGACGGGGAGGAAGAGGCCUGAGAGGUCGAGGAGGCCAGGGAAGGGGCUCUCCGGGGCGGAUCUGGCCGGAUCCGGCCGGAUCCCGGCAGGGCGGCGGCGGGGCGACGCAAGGGCAGCGCCGGAGCGCUCCCGGCCGACGGCGGCGCAGGGCGGGACGUCGGGUGGCUGCCAGAGGAGGCCGGGGCGGAGCCGAAGCACNNNNNNNNNNNNNNNNNNNNNNNNNNNNNNNNNNNNNNNNNNNNNNNNNNNNNNNNNNNNNNNNNNNNNNNNNNNNNNNNNNNNNNNNNNNNNNNNNNNNNNNNNNNNNNNNNNNNNNNNNNNNNNNNNNNNNNNNNNNNNNNNNNNNNNNNNNNNNNNNNNNNNNNNNNNNNNNNNNNNNNNNNNNNNNNNNNNNNNNNNNNNNNNNNNNNNNNNNNNNNNNNNNNNNNNNNNNNNNNNNNNNNNNNNNNNNNNNNNNNNNNNNNNNNNNNNNNNNNNNNNNNNNNNNNNNNNNNNNNNNNNNNNNNNNNNNNNNNNNNNNNNNNNNNNNNNNNNNNNNNNNNNNNNNNNNNNNNNNNNNNNNNNNNNNNNNNNNNNNNNNNNNNNNNNNNNNNNNNNNNNNNNNNNNNNNNNNNNNNNNNNNNNNNNNNNNNNNNNNNNNNNNNNNCAGCCACGGGCCCGGGCAGGCCGGCGGCGCGGGGCGGCGGCGGCUGCCACGUGGCGCCCACGGGUUGGAUGGGGGUGACGGGCGGACAUGUCCGGCGGGGUGCGGACGUGUCCGGCUGUGGGAUGAGGACGAAGAUAGGGUUAGGGGUGGAUUCAUCCGUGAAUUUCGGGGGAGGGGGCUAUUUUAUAGGUAGAGGGAGCUAGGAGAGUCCAAAUGAGAAGCGGUUUUUGCCCACACGAUCAUGAUCGAACGACCGAGAGCAUGGAGGGGAGUUAGAUGGGUUUUGGGCCAGUUUGGAAGAGGUGUUGGGCUGCAAAGAGAAGGGGGGGUUUCGGGCUACGCGGUUAACCGUUGGAGUAUCAAAUGGACUCCAAAUGGCACGAAACUUGACAGGCGGUCUACCGGUGCUAUACCAAGGCCGCUUGGCAAACCUCGAUUCAUUCCGAGAAAGUUUAACACCCACUCACAACGAGAGACAAAAGGGGAACGCCGGAGGGCAUAGGAGCGCCGGAUUGCAAAACGGGCAACGGGUAAAAAGCUCGGAUGCAUGAGACGAACACGUAUGCAAAAUGAGAUGCACAUGAUGACAUGAUAAAAUGCAACACGCAAGCAAAUGACAUGGCAACUACGGCGAAUAACUGGCAGACACCUGGCGCAUCGGAUCUGGGGCGUUACAAUAUCGCCGCCAGGGUGGAGGAGGCGAGGCUUGCCGAGGAGGAGGCGAAGCUCCUCAAGGAGGCCAGCAGCGCCGGCGGUGUAAUGGACAAGGCUGCGGUGGAGGCGGAGGAGGGGGAGCUCGCCCGGUGAGCAGCAGCCCCUGGGGAGGCCAGCAGCGCCGACACCGGGGCUCCCCUCGUCGAAGACGCCGUCGACGGGUCAUCGGAGGAGGAGGGAGAGGAGGGGAGGACCGCGACCACCGAUUCCCCGAUCACUGGAAAGAGGCGGGUCCUGCGGCGGGCCUCCUCUGGCGAGCCGGUCCGCCUCGACCGGGCCGUGCAGCUGCGGCAAGACCAAGAAGCGCCCGUGCGCCAGACGAGGGCAGUGGCGAUGAAGAAAACGGUGAAAGCCGUGGCGUCGAAGAAGAGGACAUCUGCUUCGUCAUUGUCGAAGCGCGCCCGGACGCCAUGACCUCCCCCCUCGCCGGCAAACAUUGGCGCGGGGAUUGGGCAUGAUUUGUUUGACUUCGGGCCUCUCAGUCCGGAGAGAGAGCUCAGGCCUCUCAGCCCGGAGCGGAAGAGGAAAGCAACGGAGGAGGAGGAGGAAGAGAACGAAGAGUAAGCCUCUGCUUUUCUCCCCCAUUCCUUACACUCCCCCCCCCCAAUGGUGUUGCUUACCUGUCUUCAUCUUGCAGGGAUGUGGAGACGCUGGCCCAAAGGAUCAAGAGGGCCAGGAUUUCGGCGAGUGGCCAGCCCCCAGCAGGCACCUCCAGUACACCACUGGUGGUGUCGAGCAGCCCGGACAGUAGCCCCCAGCCCAGCCCCCAGCGUAAGUCCACCAUCCGCCCUCUAUCAACGUGCGUCAUGGUCGAUGCUUCAGUGUAAACCGUGCCAUGGAUGCAGGAGAGGAGCAGCACCAAAGGGAGCCACAAAGGGCUUCUCCGAUCGUGCCGCCCCCGUCGACUACACUGCCCCAAGGGGCGUCCCUGGCAAGGACACCAAGCACCGAGGCCAUGCACACGGAGGAGGGGGAGGAGAAUGCAGGUGCUGGCGGCUUUGCCUCGACGCCAGACCUUGGCGGAGAAGGGGCUUCCGCCUCUCGGCCCGGCACAGGUAAGCUACUCGCUCUUCUCUUCUGCUUGCAUUCUCCUUUUCCUCUUUUCCUCAUUGGCUUUCGAUCUUGGCUUCGCCCCGUCUUUUUCUUGGCGUCUAGACCCCUCCUCGGAGGAGGUCGACACCACCAUCAAGGACGUCGCCGCGGAGGCUGCGACGGAGGUGGAGAAGAUCUCUACCGAGGAGGGCGCCAGGGGCGCCGCCGAGGAUGCCGCAAAGGGGCCCACAGAAGAGCCCGGCAAGGGGCCUCCCGGGGACGCCGGCAAGGACAUUGCCGAGGAGGUGGUGUUUGACGACCUGCCCUCCUCCUCUGCUGCCUCUGGCUCCGGCAGGUACCUGAGGGUUAGCGACGACCUCUUCGUCCAUCUCCUUGGCGCGUCGAGCACCAGGGCUCCCUUUGAGGGAGAGGUGUUCGACGAGGAGGCGCUUGCCACUGCCGGGCUCGAGGUUGUUGAUGAGCCGGGCGCUGGAGGCGCCGGCUCCCAGGAGGAGCAGCUGCUCCAAUCCAUGGGCGCCAGCUUCCGGAAGCUCCAGGCACUCCACCGCGCUCGCCUGGACAAGGCCAAGUAUAGGACGGCGGUGGUGGAGAAGAUGGAGGAGGAAUUUGGGGGGUGCAUCGCCGAGGCGCAGGACUGGUUCCGCCAGGCUCAGGACGAGCUGAAGGCCGCCCAGGGUGAGCUGGCCAACCGUGAGGUCGAGCUCGCCCUGAAGCUGGCCGACAUCGAGAAGGCCCAAGAGACGGCGAAGAGGUUGGCCGAUGAAGCCGAAGCCGUCCGGUCCCAGCACGAGGCCGCCCUGAAGACCCAGGAGGAGGACCUUGCCGAGCGCGAGGAGAAGCUUGCCGCCACGCUCCGCGGCAAGGACGAGGAGGUGGACAAGCUCGUCCUGCAGCGGACCCAGGAGCUAGAGAGGAGGCAUCAAGAGGUACUCAACGCCCUGGCUCAGGCCCAUGCCGGCAAGGUGAAGGAGCUGGAGGAGCAAGCUCUGAAGCUGGCCCAGGAGAAGCACACGCUCAAUGGUGCUCUGACAGUGGCGCAGGGCGAGGUCAUCAGCAAGUCUGGAGAGCUCUCCGAGGCCAACAUCUCCAUCAAAUAUCUCAAGCUGAAGCUGGGAGAGCUCGAGGAGACAAUGUCAGGGGCCAUGACCCAGGAGGGGAUCCUGGCCAAGGAGCUGGAGACGGAGAGGCAGCUGCUGAAGAACGAGACCGCCAACCUCAACGACCACAAGGCGGGCGAGAAACGCUGGCUCGGGCGCCUUGCCGCUGUUGGAAACUCGGUCGCCAAUGAGCUGGCCAUUAUGGGGAUGCCGUAGAUGGGUAUGCCCCAGAAGCGAGCCUGAGCCCCAACGCCAACCUGAUCAUAUAUUUUGAGAAGGUCAUCGGCGCCCUGAAGCGGCUUCACUCCAACCGGGCGGCCUCCCUGGCCAAGGAAUCCCGGAUACUCUACCGGGGACCAUGACCAGGGUGCUCACCAAGAUCGCGCACUGGCACCCAGACCUCGACUUUGGAGAUAUGCUGAAGAGCUUGCCGGAGGGUACCGACAUCGUGGUGCUCAAUGAGCGUAUCCAGCCCAUCCUCAGCCGCAUCGACAAAAUCAAGAGGGUGGAGGGCUAGCGCCGGGACUAGGCAUCCCGUUCUCCGUCGCCGCUGCAGGUUCAUGACCAAGACAAUACUAUCUUUAGUUAGAAUCGUGGUGGCAAUUUGUGUAAUAUAACUCUGUGAUGCCCCUGAACUAUGCAUGUUAUUUUCCUAUUCGACUUUCCUUUGUAUGUCCACCCUACGUCAACUGGGUAAGCUUGCCGGCACAUAAACCCAGGGCGGCGCCUUGAGGAUGGAUCCUCAUUAGCCUGCCGGGUGUGCUUGUUGCCGAGCAAAGCACCUUGCCGCCCUUGGUGCGGCCGCUCGAUCUGUCAAGCUUGACUCGAGUCAGAACCGAGAGCAUUGCCGAUGGCGAAAGGCUACCCUGCUGCUCUCGGCGCGGCCGCUUGAACUGUUGAGCGGACUCGAAAUAGAACAAGGGCGUUGCCGAUUGCAGAAGGGCCCCUCUGCGUUCAGGCUUCCCAUACAUAGGCCGAACCGUCGAGGAUAAUAACCUUAUAUUUAAGGAGAAAAACUUAAAAUUCAACAUGACUUAGCUCUCUCAUCGCCGCCUUGGCGUCCUUCGGCCAAUGGGUAGCGCCGCCUUCUUGGCCGGAACCAUGGCGAUGAAGAACAGCUAGGUUGACUGCUAGGUCAGAUCCUCAUGAUUACCGCCCCUACCUGGCGCGCCAAAGAUGUCGGUGGGAAACGACAGCCAUGGGAUCACUGGAAUCCCUUCUAUGGUUGCGGGACGCGGAGAUCAUGAGGAGAGCGGGACUAGUAGACAACACAAGGGGGAUUUACCUAGGUUCAGACCAUAAAGGCGUGUAAAACCCUACGAUCCUGCUUUGGUGGAUGUAUUAGUGUUCUUGAGCUCUUGAACUAGCUCUAGGUGCUGUGAGGUUCGAAAGAGCUGAAUCCUUUCUCCGUGUGCCAUGGGCCUCCUUUUAUAGACAAAAGGGGCUGCCACAGUGGCACACAGGAGGUGGAAAGUGCUACAGCGUUGCGAGCUUAUCGCUCGUAUUACAGGACAAGACGCAUUUAAUGCGAGGCUUAGGUGCCCCUUCGCUUUAUCGGGGACAGGGCGAGGCCCGUCCCAUCCGUCGCCGCUCCUCUUCGCUUUGACACGCGCCCUGGCCAGCGAUGCAUGCGGUGCCAUGUAGGCAGGCAGGCAGCUGAGGUGGCACGGUGGUGGAGCCUCCAUGAAGAGCUGCAUGUUGCCACGCAGGUGCCUGCCCAGCUGGCUGGGUCGGUAGCUACAUGCGAACGGUGGCAAAGACUUGGCUGGCUCGGGCUUGGCAGUGGCCCUGCCGGUGCGCUUGGCGAGGGUCUUGCCGGGUGGCCCGGCAAGGGUCUUGCCGUGGCGCGCUGGCUCCCCCGGCAAGGAUCUUGCCGGGGGUCUUGUGGGUUCCUUCGGUGAGCAUAGUUGCCUUCCUAUCCUCUUUUGAUCUUGAGCAUUUUAUGUCUUCACAAAGAUUUGCAUGCCACCAUGGAGGUGCCUCCCAAGCCAUGUCCUAACGCAUUCGUCUAGAGUUGGUGGGCUCAAGGGUGGCUCACUUCGGCUGGCGUGGGCGGGCUGCCCCGGCAAGGGUCUUGCCGGGGCUGCUGAGGCUGCCCCGGCAAGGGUCCUUGCCGGGGGAACCUGCUACGCCUAUUUGAUCUUUGUGGCCUUGGUCCUUAUUGUUGCUUCGAUUGUCCUUGUGGCUCCGGCUUUCCUCCGGCUUCCCUUUCCUGCCAUGUUAUGUGUGGCUGUGGCGGGAGGCUCUGACUGCCCGUGCACAAGUAAAGGGGUCAAAAGUGUUGGGUUUCAUAGUAAUUUCAAAAAAAUACCUACGCACACGCAAGAUCAUGUUGAUGGCAUAGCAACGAGAGGGGAGAGUGUAUGUCCACGUACCCUUGUAGACCGUAUGCGGAAGCGUUAUGACAAUGCGGUUGAUGUAGUCGUACGUCUUCACGAUCCGACCUAUCCAAGCACCGCACAUACGGAGCCUCCGAGUUCAGCACACGUUCAGCUCGAUGACGAUCUCCGGCUUCCGAUCCAGCCGAGCUCCGGAGAUGAGUUUCGUCAGCACGACGACGUGGUGACGAUGUUGAUGUUCUACCGGCAUAGGGCUUCACCUAAGCUUCGCGACGAUAUGACCGAGGUGGAAUAUGGUGGAAGGGGGCACCGCACACGGCUAAGGAACGAUCCGUAGAUCAACUUGUGUGUAUAUGGGGUGCCCCCUGCCCCCGUAUAUAAAGGAGGGAGGGGGGAGGCCGGCCGGCCCCUUUGGGCGCGCCAAGGGAGGAGGAGUCCUCCUCCUAGUAGGAGUAGGACUCCUCCUUUCCUACUCCUACUAGGAGGGGGAAGGAAGGGGGAGAGGNNNNNNNNNNNNNNNNNNNNNNNNNNNNNNNNNNNNNNNNNNNNNNNNNNNNNNNNNNNNNNNNNNNNNNNNNNNNNNNNNNNNNNNNNNNNNNNNNNNNNNNNNNNNNNNNNNNNNNNNNNNNNNNNNNNNNNNNNNNNNNNNNNNNNNNNNNNNNNNNNNNNNNNNNNNNNNNNNNNNNNNNNNNNNNNNNNNNNNNNNNNNNNNNNNNNNNNNNNNNNNNNNNNNNNNNNNNNNNNNNNNNNNNNNNNNNNNNNNNNNNNNNNNNNNNNNNNNNNNNNNNNNNNNNNNNNNNNNNNNNNNNNNNNNNNNNNNNNNNNNNNNNNNNNNNNNNNNNNNNNNNNNNNNNNNNNNNNNNNNNAUCACAUCCGGGACUCCGAACAAACUUCAGUACAUCAAAACUUAUAAACUCAUAAUAAAACUGUCAUCGUAACGUUAAGCGUGCGGACCCUACGGGUUCGAGAACUAUGUAGACAUGACCUAGAACCAUUCUCGGUCAAUAACCAAUAGCGGGACCUGGAUGCCCAUAUUGGUUCCUACAUAUUCUACGAAGAUCUUUAUCGGUCAAACCGCAUAACAACAUACGUUGUUCCCUUUGUCAUCGGUAUGUUACUUGCCCGAGAUUUGAUCGUCGGUAUCCAAUACCUAGUUCAAUCUCGUUACCGGUAAAUCUCUUUACUCGUUCUGUAAUACGUCAUCUCAUAACUAACUUAUUAGUUAUAAUGCUUGCAAGGCUUAAGUGAUGAGUAUUACCGAGAGGGCCCAGAGAUACCUCUCCGACAAUCGGAGUGACAAAACCUAAUCUCGAAAUACGCCAACUCAACAUGUACCUUCGGAGACACCUGUAGUACUCCUUUAUAAUCACCCAGUUAUGUUGUGACGUUUGGUAGUACCCAAAGUGUUCCUCUGGUAAACGGGAGUUGCAUAAUUCUCAUAGUUACAGGAACAUGUAUAAGUCAUGAAGAAAGCAAUAGCAGAAUACUAAACGAUCAAGUGCUAAGCUAACGGGAUGGGUCAUGUCAAUCACAUUAUUCUCCUAAUGAUGUGAUCUCAUUAAUCAAAUGACAAUACAUGUCUAUGGUUAGGAAACAUAACCAUCUUUGAUUAAUGAGCUAGUCAAGUAGAGGCAUACUAGUGACUAUAUGUUUGUCUAUGUAUUCACACAUGUAUCAUGUUUCCGGUUGAUACAAUUCUAGCAUGAAUAAUAAACAUUUAUCAUGAUAUAAGGAAAUAAAUAAUAACUUUAUUAUUGCCUCUAGGGCAUAUUUCCUUCAGUCUCCCACUUGCACUAGAUUCAAUAAUCUAGAUUACAUAGUAAUGAUUCUAACACCCAUGGAGUCUUGGUGCUGAUCAUGUUUUGCUCGUGAGAGAGGCUUAGUCAACGGGUCUGCAACAUUCAGAUCCGUCUGUAUUUUGCAAAUCUCUAUGUCUCCCACUUGGACUUGGUCCCGAAUGGAAUUUAAGCGUCUUUUGAUGUGCUUGGUCCUCUUGUGAAAUCUGGAUUCCUUUGCCAAGGCAAUUGCACCAGUAUUGUCACAGAAGAUCUUCAUUGGUCCCGAUGCACUAGGUAUGACACCUAGAUCGGAAAUGAACCCCUUCAUCCAGACUCCUUCAUUUGCUGCUUCAGAAGCAGCUAUGUACUCUGCUUCACAUUUAGAUCCCGCCACGACGCUUUGUUUAGAACUGCACCAACUUACAGCUCCACCGUUUAAUAAAAACAUGUAUCCAGUUUGCGAUUUAGAAUCGUCCGGAUCAGUGUCAAAGCUUGCAUCGAUGUAACCAUUUACGACUAGCUCUUUGUCACCUCCAUAUACGAGAAACAUAUCCUUAGUCCUUUUCAGGUAUUUCAGGAUGUUCUUGACCGCUGUCCAGUGAUCCACUCCUGGAUUACUUUGGUACCUUCCUGCCAAGCUUAUUGCUAAGCAUACGUCAGGUCUGGUACACAGCAUUGCAUACAUGAUAGAGCCUAUGGCUGAAGCAUAGGGAACAUCUUUCAUUUUCUCUCUAUCUUCUGCUGUGGUCGGGCAUUGAGUUUGACUCAACUUCACACCUUGUAGCACGGGCGAGAACCCUUUCUUUGCCUGAUCCAUCUUGAACUUUUUCAAAAUUUUGUCAAGGUAUGUGCUUUGUGAAAGUCCUAUUAAGCGUCUUGAUCUAUCUCUAUAGAUCUUGAUGCCCAAUAUGUAAGCAGCUUCACCGAGGUCUUUCAUUGAAAAACUUUUAUUCAAGUAUCCCUUUAUGCUAUCCAGAAAUUCUAUAUCAUUUCCAAUUAAUAAUAUGUCAUCUACAUAUAAUAUCAGAAAUGCUACAGAGCUCCCACUCACUUUCUUGUAAAUACAGGCUUCUCCAAAAGUCUGUAUAAAACCAUAUGCUUUGAUCACACUAUCAAAACGUUUAUUCCAACUCCGAGAUGCUUGCACCAGUCCAUAAAUGGAUCGCUGGAGCUUGCAUACUUUGUUAGCACCUUUUGGAUCAACAAAACCUUCUGGCUGCAUCAUAUACAACUCUUCUUCUAGAAUUCCAUUCAAGAAUGCAGUUUUGACAUCCAUUUGCCAAAUUUCAUAAUCAUGAAAUGCAGCAAUAGCUAACAUGAUUCGGACAGACUUAAGCAUCGCUACGGGUGAGAAAGUCUCAUCGUAGUCAACCCCUUGAACUUGUCGAAAACCUUUCGCAACAAGUCAAGCUUUAUAGACAGUUACAUUACCAUCAGCGUCAGUCUUCUUCUUAAAGAUCCAUUUAUUCUCAAUGGCUUGCCGAUCAUCGGGCAAGUCAACCAAAGUCCAUACUUUGUUUUCAUACAUGGAUCCCAUCUCAGAUUUCAUGGCCUCUAGCCAUUUUGCAGAAUCUGGGCUCAUCAUCGCUUCCUCAUAGUUCGUAGGUUCAUCAUGGUCAAGUAACAUGACUUCCAAAAUAGGAUUACCGUACCACUCUGGUGCGGAUCUUACUCUGGUAGACCUACGAGGUUCUGUAGAAACUUGAUCUGAAGUUUCAUGAUCAAUAUCAUCAGCUUCCUCACUGAUUGGUGUAGUUGUCACAGGAACCGGUUCUUGUGAUGAACUACUUUCCAAUAAGGGAGUAGAUACAGUUAUCUUGUCAAGUUCUACUUUCCUCCCACUCACUUCUUUCGAGAGAAACUCCUUCUCUAGAAAGGAUCCGAAUUUAGCAACGAAAAUCUUGCCCUCAGAUCUGUGAUAGAAGGUGUACCCAAUAGUCUCCUUUGGGUAUCCUAUGAAGACACAUUUCUCCGAUUUGGGUUUGAGCUUAUCUGGUUGAAGUUUCUUCACAUAAGCAUCACAGCCCCAAACUUUAAGAAACGACAACUUUGGUUUCUUGCCAAACCACAGUUCAUAAGGCGUCGUCUCAACGGAUUUUGAUGGUGCCCUAUUUAACGUGAAUGCGGCCGUCUCUAAAGCAUAACCCCAAAACGAUAGCGGUAAAUCAAUAAGAGACAUCAUAGAUCGUACCAUAUCUAGUAAAGUGCGAUUACGACGUUCGGACACACCAUUAUGUUGUGGUGUUCCGGGUGGCGUGAGUUGCGAAACUAUUCCGCAUUGUUUCAAGUGUAGACCAAACUCGUAACUCAAAUAUUCUCCUCCACGAUCAGAUCGUAGAAACUUUAUUUUCUUGUUACGAUGAUUUUCCACUUCACUCUGAAAUUCUUUGAACUUUUCAAAUGUUUCAGACUUGUGUUUCAUUAAGUAGAUAUACCCAUAUCUGCUUAAAUCAUCUGUGAAGGUGAGAAAAUAACGAUAUCCACCACGAGCCUCAACAUUCAUUGGACCACAUACAUCUGUAUGUAUGAUCUCCAACAAAUCUGUUGCUCUCUCCAUAGUACCGGAGAACGGCGUUUUAGUCAUCUUGCCCAUAAGGCACGGUUCGCAAGUACCAGGUGAUUCAUAAUCAAGUGAUUCCAAAAGCCCAUCAGUAUGGAGUUUCUUCAUGCAUUUUACACCGAUAUGACCUAAACGGCAGUGCCACAAAUAAGUUGCACUAUCAUUAUCAACUCUGCAUCUUUUGAUUUCAACACUAUGAAUAUGUGUAUCACUACUAUCGAGAUUCAAUAAAAAGAGACCACUCUUCAAGGGUGCAUGACCAUAAAAGAUAUUACUCAUAUAAAUAGAACAACCAUUAUUCUCUAAUUUAAAUGAAUAACCGUCUCGCAUCAAACAAGAUCCAGAUAUAAUGUUCAUGCUCAACGCUGGCACCAAAUAACAAUUAUUUAGGUCUAAAACUAAUCCUGAUGGUAGAUGUAGAGGUAGCGUGCCGACUGCGAUCACAUCGACUUUGGAACCAUUUCCCACGCGCAUCGUCACCUCGUCCUUAGCCAAUCUUCGCUUAAUCCGUAGUCCCUGUUUCGAGUUGCAAAUAUUAGCAACAGAACCAGUAUCAAAUACCCAGGUGCUACUGCGAGCAUUAGUAAGGUACACAUCAAUAACAUGUAUAUCACAUAUACCUUUGUUCACUUUGCCAUCCUUCUUAUCCGCCAAAUACUUGGGGCAGUUCCGCUUCCAGUGUCCAGUCUGCUUGCAAUAGAAGCACUCAGUUUCAGGCUUAGGUCCAGACUUGGAUUUCUUCUCUUGAGCAGCAACUUUCUUGCUGUUCUUUUUGAAGUUCCCCUUCUUCUUUCCUUUGCCCUUUUUCUUGAAACUGGUGGUCUUGUUAACCAUCAACACUUGAUGCUCCUUUUUGAUUUCUACCUCCGCAGCUUUUAGCAUUGCGAAGAGGUCGGGAAUAGUCUUGUUCAUCCCUUGCAUAUUAUAGUUCAUCACAAAGCUCUUGUAGCUUGGUGGCAUUGAUUGAAGAAUUCUGUCAAUGACACUAUCAUCAGGAAGAUUAACUCCCAGUUGAAUCAAGUGAUUAUUAUACCUAGACAUUUUGAGUAUAUGUUCACUGACAGAACUAUUAUCCUCCAUCUUGCAGCUAUAGAACUUAUUGGAGACUUCAUAUCUCUCAAUCCGGGCAUUUCCUUGAAAUAUUAACUUCAACUCCUAAAACAUCUCAUAUGCUCCAUGACGUUCAAAACGUCGUUGAAGGCCCGGUUCUAAGCCGUAAAGCAUGGCACACUGAACUAUAGAGUAGUCAUCAGCUUUGCUCUGCCAGACAUUCUUAACGUCGUCAGUUGCAUCAGCAGCAGGCCUGGCACCCAGCGGUGCUUCCAGGACGUAAUUUUUCUAUGCAGCAAUGAGGAUAAUCCUCAGGUUACGGACCUAGUCCGUGUAAUUGCUACCAUCAUCUUUCAACUUUGCUUUCUCAAGGAACGCAUUAAAAUUCAACGGAACAACAGCACGAGCCAUCUAUCUACAAACAAACAUAGACAAGCAAGAUACUAUCAGGUACUAAGUUCAUGAUAAAUUUAAGUUCAAUUAAUCAUAUUACUUAAGAACUCCCACUUAGACAGACAUCUCUCUAGUCAUCUAAGUGAUUACGUGAUCCAAAUCAACCAAACCAUGUCCGAUCAUCACGUGAGAUGGAGUAGUUUCAAUGGUGAACAUCGCUAUGUUGAUCAUAUCUACUAUAUGAUUCACGCUCGACCUUUCGGUCUCCGUGUUCCGAGGCCAUAUCUGUAUAUGCUAGGCUCGUCAAGUAUAACCCGAGUAUUCCACGUGUGCAACUGUUUUGCACCCGUUGUAUUUGAACGUAGAGCCUAUCACACCCGAUCAUCACGUGGUGUCUCAGCACGAAGAACUUUCGCAAUGGUGCAUACUCAGGGAGAACACUUCUUGAUAAUUAGUGAGAGAUCAUCAUAAAAUGCUACCGUCAAUCAAAGCAAGAUAAGAUGCAUAAAGGAUAAACAUCACAUGCAAUCAAUAUAAGUGAUAUGAUAUGGCCAUCAUCAUCUUGUGCUUGUGAUCUCCAUCUUCGAAGCACCGUCAUGAUCACCAUCGUCACCGGCGCGGCACCUUGAUCUCCAUCGAAGCAUCGUUGUCGUCUAUGCCAUCUAUUUCUUCUACGACUAUCGCUACCGCUUAGUGAUAAAGUAAAGCAAUUACAGGGCGUUUGCAUUUCAUACAAUAAAGCGACAACCAUAUGGCUCCUGCCAGUUGCCGAUAACUUUGGUUACAAAACAUGAUCAUCUCAUACAAUAAAAUAUAGCAUCACGUCUUGGCCAUAUCACAUCACAGCAUGCCCUGCAAAGACAAGUUAGACGUCCUCUACUUUGUUGUUGCAAAUUUUACGCGGCUGCUACGGGCUUAGCAAGAACCGUUCUUACCUACGCAUCAAAAACCACAAUGAUAGUUUGUCAAGUUGGUGCUGUUUUAACCUUUGCAAGGACCGGGCGUAGCCACACUCGAUUCAGCUAAAGUAAGAGAGACAGACACCUGCCAGUCACCUUUAAGCACGAGUGCUUGCAACGGUGAAACUAAUCUCGCGUAAGCGUACGCGUAAUGUCGGUCCGGGCCGCUUCAUCUCACAAUACCGCCGAACCAAAGUAUGACAUGCUGGUAAGAAGUAUGACUUGUAUCGCCCACAACUCACUUGUGUACUACUCGUGCAUAUAACAUCAACGCAUAAAACCUAGGCUCGGAUGCCACUGUUGGGUUUCGUAGUAAUUUCAAAAAAAAUCCUACGCACACGCAAGAUCAUGUUGAUGGCAUAGCAACGAGAGGGGAGAGUGUAUGUCCACGUACCCUUGUAGACCGUAUGCGGAAGCGUUAUGACAACGCGGUUGAUGUAGUCGUACGUCUUCAUGAUCCGACUGAUCCAAGCACCGAACGUACGGAGCCUCUGAGUUCAGCACACGUUCAGCUCGAUGACGAUCUCCGGCCUCCGAUCCAGCCAAGCUCCGGAGAUGAGUUUCGUCAGCACGACGGAGUGGUGACGAUGUUGAUGUUCUACCGGCGCAGGGCUUCACCUAAGCUUCGCGACGAUAUGAUCGAGGUGGAAUAUGGUGGAAGAGGGCACCGCACACGGCUAAGGAACGAUCCGUAGAUCAACUUGUGUGUCUAUGGGGUGCCCCCUGCCCGCGUAUAUAAAGGAGGGAGGGGGGAGGCCGGCCGGCCCCUUUGGGCGCGCCAAGGGAGGAGGAGUCCUCCUCCUAGUAGGAGCAGGACUCCUCCUUUCCUACUCCUACUAGGAGGGGGAAGGAAGGGGGAGAGGGGGAAGGAAAGGGGGGGCGCCGCCCCCCCCCCCUCCUCCUAGUCCAAUUCGGACCAGAGGGGGGAGGGGGCGCGCAGCCCAUGCUGGCUGCCCCUCUCUCCUUUCCCCUAAUGCCCAUAGGCCCAAUACUCUCCCGGGGGGUUCCGGUAACCCCCCGGCACUCCGGUUUUCUCCGAAAUCACCCGAAACCUUUCCGGUGCCCGAAUAUAGUCGUCCAAUAUAUCAAUCUUUAUGUCUCGACCAUUUCGAGACUCCUCGUCAUGUCUGUGAUCACAUCCGGGACUCCGAACAAACUUCGGUACAUCAAAACUUAUAAACUCAUAAUAAAACUAUCAUCGUAACGUUAAGCAUGCGGACCCUACGGGUUCGAGAACUAUGUAGACAUGACCUAGAACCAUUCUCGGUCAAUAACCAAUAGCGGGACCGGGAUGCCCAUAUUGGUUCCUACAUAUUCUACGAAGAUCUUUAUCGGUUAAACCGCGUAACAACAUACGUUGUUCCCUUUGUCAUCGGUAUGUUACUUGCCCGAGAUUUGAUCAUCGGUAUCCAAUACCUAGUUCAAUCUCGUUACCGGUAAGUCUCUUUACUCGUUCUGUAAUAUGUCAUCUCAUAACUAACUUAUUAGUUAUAAUGCUUGCAAGGCUUAAGUGAUAAGUAUUACCGAGAGGGCCCAGAGAUACCUCUCCGACAAUCGGAGUGACAAAACCUAAUCUCAAAAUACGCCAACUCAACAUGUACCUUCGGAGACACCUGUAGUACUCCUUUAUAAUCACCCAGUUACGUUGUGAUGUUUGGUAGUACCCAAAGUGUUCCUCUGGUAAACGGGAGUUGCAUAAUUCUCAUAGUUAUAGGAACAUGUAUAAGUCAUGAAGAAAGCAAUAGCAGAAUACUAAAUGAUCAAGUGCUAAGCUAACGGGAUGGGUCAUGUCAAACACAUUAUUCUCCUAAUGAUGUGAUCUCAUUAAUCAAAUGACAAUACAUGUCUAUGGUUAGGAAACAUAACCAUCUUUAAUUAAUGAGCUAGUCAAGUAGAGGCAUACUAGUGACUAUAUGUUUGUCUAUGUAUUCACACAUGUAUCAUGUUUCCGGUUGAUACAAUUCUAGCAUGAAUAAUAAACAUUUAUCAUGAUAUAAGGAAAUAAAUAAUAACUUUAUUAUUGCCUCUAGGGCAUAUUACCUUCAAAAAGCAGAACCCCUAUUUUUGUACACCGACAUUAUUCCUCCACCUGACAGCCGGGACCCACCAGACGGGCCACCAUAUUUCGCGAAAAAGUGUUUCCCCCUGACUGCUGGGACCCACCAGCUACAUCUUCGCACGCAAGGAAGUGCGUCCGGGCAAAAAAACGAUUCGCCCCCCUGACUGCUCGGACCCACUAGCUAUAUCUUUGCACACAAGGAAGUGCCUGACAGUCCGGACCCACCUGGUCGAAGCGUACGUAGCGUUGUCAUUCUGUUCGCGAACGUGUACGUACAUACUGGUCGAUGUAGAGGUGCGCACGUGUCGUAGUAGAGGCACGCACGUAGCAUGUACACGUACGUACAGCGGCCAGUGUGCAAGAAAGAAAAUACGGCCACGUACGUACAUACGGGCAAGGUCUCGAACGCCUACUCGCGCAUACGUACGGCCAGGGCUCGUGUACAUGGCUGGGUCGGAACGGAGAAACUGCAUCAUUGUCGUGUUCAUGGGGAGCCAACCGGCUGAGUCGGAACGGAAUGUGUCGUCGUGUUCAUCGGGAGGGCAUGGACGGAAUAGCCGAUGGAAACGAGGCCUGGCGUACCGCAGAACAGAGGAAACGGCCUUGUGUUCAAACAGUCACGUUCAAAACGGGAUCCUGUUCAUCGCGAGGGGUCUGGCGUACCGCAAAACGGAGGAAACGGACCUCCUACGGUCAAAACGGGGGUCCUGUUGAUCGGGAGGGGUGUGGCGUACCGCAAAAUAGAGGAAAUGGACUUGUGUUGGAGCGCUACGAUCGAAACGGGGGUCCUGUUCAUCGGGAGGGGUGUGGCGUACCGCAAAACAGGACUCCACGAGAUACAGUUCAUCUCCACCGUCGACCCCCUCCAGCCUCCAUGGGCUACUAUUCAUCCAUCGUCGACCUCCUCGAGCCUCUACCUGCGACUGUUCAUCCACGGGCUCCUGUUCAUCCAUCCUCCACCGCACGCUACUCCACUGGCUACUAUUCAACUAGCCCUCUCCACGGGCUCAUGUUCAACCACCCCUCGACGGGCUACUGUUCAUCCAGCCCUCCACCGUCUACUGUUCAUCCUGCCCUCCAUGGGGUGGUCCUGUACAUCCUGCCCUCCAUGGGGUCCUGUUCAUCCAGCCCCAACCGGAUCGAUCGAUCGAAGUCUUGUUCAUCUAGGGGCAACACCACGGGGUCCUGUUCAUCCACCCCCACCGGGAACUGUUCAUCCAAACACCCCAGCAAUGCUCACUAUUCAUCUAAAGGCAGCACCGAUCGGCUUCAGUUAGCAGCAGUAGCGAAGGAAUCGCUCGAUCGGGUUCAGUUAACAGCCAUCGAUCGAUCGCUCGGGUUCAGUAACGCAUAGCCUGUAAUGCAAUCGCUUGGGUUCAGUUAGAGCCCAACGCCUCGCACCCACGCGUGUGCGUGUACGAGAGAAACGCGCAUCGCUCGGCCCCGACCACCCACCAUAAUUGGGAACACCCCGAUAUUUUCCUCACCCUCGCUUCUACCACGAUUUUUUCCGUCAUGGACGGCCCAAAUAAUGUCAUGCAGCUGCGUCUCCGGCCCGCCCAGGACGAAAAUCCCAUUUUUUGUCAUCAUUUUUUGUCAUAGAAGUAGGACCCCACCACAUCUAUGAUGAUACCGGGUUUUGUCAUAAUUAUCGUCAUAGAAGUGUCAUAAGUAUGACACAAAAAAAAUUCAUUCGGCCGAAAAUUUCACAGAUGUGUCUUUUUUUUGUAGCGAUGAGGAAUCGCAUCCGACAUAAUUAUUCAUCAUUGAUCCAUUGCCUACGAGCUUUUCACAUACUGAUCUUUGGUUAGUUACUUUUCCGUUGCCACUGUUACAAUUACUACAAAACUGCUACCGUUACUUUUGCCACCAUUACCGUUACUUCCAUGCUACUAUGCUACAGAUAUUAAGUUUUCCAGGUGUGGUUGAAUUGACAACUCAACUACUAAUACUUGAGAAUAUUCUUUGGCUCUCUUUGUGUCGUCAAUAAAUUUGGGUUGAAUACUCUACCCUCGAAAACUGUUGCGAUCCCCUAUACUUGUGGGUUAUCAAGACUAUUUUCUGGCGCCGUUGCCGGGGAGCAUAGCUCUAUUCUUUGAGUCACUUGGGAUUUAUAUCUGUUGAUCACUAUGGGGAACUUGAAAGACGAAAAAACCAAGAUUUAUCCCUCAACUACGAGGGGAGGUAAAAAUCUGCCAUCUAGCUCUGCACUUGAUGCACCUUCUGUUAUGAGUAAACUUGCGACACCUACUCCUGCUAUUGAUUCUGAUAUGUCGCAUGUUAUUGAUGAUGUCACUUCUUCUAUGCAUGAUACUUAUGAUGAAACUACUUCUAUGCUUGAUAAUACUGUGCCGUUAGGUGAAUUUCUUAAUGAACAACUUGCUAGGAUAUGAGAGAAUGAAAUUAUUGAAAUUGAUAAUAUUGAUGAAAGUGAUGAUGAAGAUUCUCCCCCUAGAUUUGAAUUGCCUAAUGUACCUGAGGGUUAUGUUAUGGAUGAAGAAACUGCUCAAGACUUUUUUGCUUGCAAAGAUAGAUAUGAUCUUAAGAAAUUGUUAGCUAAACUGAAAGAAAAGACUUUGAAUGGUAGAAUGAAAUAUGACCCUGCUUUUGUUACUUCACAUAUAUGUAUUUCUGAUAAGGAUUAUGAUUUCUCUGUCGAUCUUGAGUUAAUUACUUUGGUUGAAUCUGGUCCUUUUUAUGGCUAUGAAUCUGAAACUGUUGUGGCACAUAUUACUAAAUUAAAUGAUAUAGCCACCCUAUUCACUCAUGAGGAAAAAAUUCGUAACUACUAUAUCAUUAAGUUAUUUCCAUUCUCAUUAAAGGGUGAUGCUAAAACAUGGUUUAAUUCUCUUACUCCUGCUUGUGUGCAUAGUCCCCAGGAUAUGAUUUAUUACUUCUCUGCUAAAUACUUUCCCACUCAUAAGAAACAAGUUGUGCUGGUUGUGUUUUCAGGAAAAGAACUGUUGAUCAAGCUGAAUUGCUAUUGAAUAAUAUGUUGAAUAAUGAUAAUAAUUGGACACUUCCUGAACCAAUUCCUAAGCCAACUCCCAAGAAAAGGGGUAUUCUAUUUCUCAGUCAUAAAGAUAUGCAAGAGGCAAAGAAAUCUAUGAAAGAAAAGGGUAUUAAAGUUGAAGAUGUUAAGAAUUUACCACCUAUUGAUAACCCGACACAGGUAGUAAUGGUAAUUCUCUCUAUAGAUUUGAUGAAGGUGAUAUUCGUCGUUAUAAGUCUGCUAGUCAAUGCCUAGAUGGGUUUGAUAAUUCUUUUGUUAAACAUGAAAACUUCAAUGCUUAUGUUGGUAGACAAUUGAAACGAAAUGCUUAUAUGAUUGAACACUUGAGUGAUUAUAUGUCUAGAGUUAAAGGUGUACUUAAACUUAUUAGUAAACAUGCUUCUAUGGUUACCACUCAAGUAGAACAAGUGCUUAAAGCUCAAAAUGAUUUGCUCAAUGAAUUAAAUAAUAAGAAAAAUGAUAAUGAUGUUAGAGUUGUGACUAGAGGGGUGGAAUGACUCAGGAACCUUUGUAUCCCGAGGGCCACCCUAAGAGAAUUGAGCAAGAUUUUUAGAGAACUAAUGUUGAUGCACCUAGUCCUUCUAAAAAGAAGAAAAAGAAAAAUGAUAGGACUUUGCAUGCUUCUGGUGAACCUGUUGUUGACACACCUGAGAAUCCCAAUGAUAUUUCUAUUUCUGAUGCUAAAACACAAUCUGGUAAUGAACAUGAACCUAGUGAUAAUGUUAAUGAUGAUGUUCAUAUUGAUGCUCUACCUAGCAAUAACAAUGAUAUAGAGAUUGAACCUGCUAGUGAUCUUGAUAACCCACAAUCAAAGAAUCAACGUUAUGAUAAGAGAGACUCCAUUGCUAGGAAGCACGGUAAAGAAUGGUGAGGAUUUUCCUCCUAAACCAUCCAAGGAAAAGGAUGGUGAGGAUUUUGAGCGCUUUGCUCAAAUGAUUAGACCUAUCUUCUUCCGUAUGCGUUUGACUGAUAUGCUUAAAAUGAAUCCUUAUGCUAAGUACAUGAAAGAUAUUGUUACAAAUAAAAGAAAGAUACCGGAAGCUGAAAUUUCCACCAUGCUUGCUAAUUAUACUUUUAAGGGUGGAAUACCAAAGAAACUAGGAGAUCCAGGAGUACCAACUAUACCAUGCUCCAUUAAAAGAAACUAUCUUAAAACUGCUUUAUGUGAUCUUGGAGCCGGUGUUAGUGUUAUGCCUCUCUCUUUAUAUCGUAAACUUGAUUUGAAUAAGUUGAAACCUACUGAAAUAUCUCUGCAAAUGGCCGAUAAAUCAACUGCUAUACCUGUCGCUAUUUGUGAGGAUGUGCCUGUUGUGGUUGCAAAUGUUACUAUUUUAACGGACUUUGUUAUUCUUGAUAUUCCCGAGGACGCUAGUAUGUCGAUUAUCCUUGGUAGACCCUUUUUGAAUACUAUAGGGGUUGUUAUUGAUUGCAACAAAGGCAAUGUCACUUUUCAUGUUAAUGGUAAUGAGCAUACGGUACACUUUCCGAGGAAACAACCUCAAUCCAUAGUAUCAAUUCUAUUGGAAAAACUUCAACGAUUACUAUUGGAGGUUUUGAAUUUCCUCUUCCUACUGCCAAGAAGAAAUAUGAUAUUCUUAUUAUUGGGGACGUGCAUAUCCCCGUUGAGGUAACUUAGUGUUAUUCGAAAAUUCUCCAGUUUCAUGCGAUUCGGAAAGAGUUUGUUAACAAGACUUGAUCAACCUUGUUAGUGGAUUCCUUUUAAUGAGCAUGAGAUGGAUGAAGUUAGAAAGCACAACUCUCUGUACCCUCCUGUUACUUUCUGUUAUUUAGAUUAAAUAAAGCAAAAAUAAUAUUUUCUGUCGGUUUUCUGAAUUAUCCUUGCAAUAAAAAAAUACCUCGAAAAAAAGUUUGUUCUGAAAAUGAAAUAUGAUUUUUUGUAGAAUAUUUAAGAAUAUCUAGCACUGAGAACACACCAGGGGGAGCCACCACCUAGCCACGAGGGUCCAGGGCGCGCCCACCCCCUGGGGCGCGCUCCCCUGCCUCGUGGACCCCACGUGCCCCCUUCCACUUAUUCCAGCACCCACUCACUUCGUCUUCCUCCAGAAAAAAUCCUCCCAUAGCUCAAACCCGUGUUCUAGCUCAUGUUGCUGCCAUUUUCGAUCUCCUUGCUCAAAGCUCCAUUCAGAAAACUGUUUGGGGAGAUUGUUCUUCUGUAUGUGACUCCUCCAAUGGUCCAAUUAGUUUUUGUUCUAGUGCUUUAUUUAUUGCAAAUUUUUGCUGCUUAGGUGACCCUUUUCUUGAGCUUGCAUGUCAAAUUUAUAUGGUCCCAAGUAGUUCUAAUACAUGAUAUAGUCUCUAUGCACUUGUGGGAGUAGUUGCUAUUAAUCUUGUUGAGUUUGUACUGGUGCAUGUCGGUCCGAAACAAAUGGUUUAAAACCCCUUUCCGUGACGGCAUUUGGAUGCGUCGCCAAGUGAGUGUGUGCGAUAGGGUCUCCUUCCCACACGACCCAGACAUCGUCGGGGCUAGGCCCUCCUAGGACACAGGCUGGGGCCAUGUGCAAUCGGGCGAGGCAUCGAAACCCAAUCAUUUCCGUAGGUAUGUACAUCCCACAUGGUGAAUCCCAAAAAUCAUUUCCGUAGGUAUGUACAUCCCACACGGUGAAUCCCAGAAAUCAUUUCCGUAGGUAUUUACAUCCCACAUGGUGAAUCCCAGAAAAACAUUUCCGUUCAUAUGUAUAUCACACAAAGUCAAUCCAGGGAAAACGUUUUUGUUCGGAUGUACAUCCCACACGGUUUUAUGUAUACGCUCGUAUGUGAAAGGUGUAACUAUCACACAAGCUCUGCCUUGGUUAGCUGUUUGCUUUCAUUAACUACAUCACACACGAUUUGAUGUAGAAAACUAUGUGGCAUUGGGCUAUCCAUCGCAAGCGCUUUUACUGCUGGAACCGUUUGCAAAGCUCCAUGACCGUCUGUUCUAUUUCUAUUUUUGCCUAUAAUUUAUUAUUCUAAUUGGAAAUUUUGAAAUACGAAACGUGCAAUUCAAAUUCUCAGCACAAUGGUUCAACAACGAAUCCAUAAAUAAAAUUGCCAGUACAAUAUGUUCAGUAAUUACAGGAUUAGGCAACAAUUAACUAUGAUGAACCGCAGUAUUUAAAGGCGGUAAAGGUGAAGAGACAAGUGUGAAUCAUUUUGACUAUCGACGGUGUUGAAGAAGAGGAAUGCCCAUAAUGUGCCUUCCUGCAUGCCAUAGGCACGAACCACUUUUGUCCAACCCCUUGUGACAAUCGCCCGCCCAUCCUUCACCGCCUUCAGGAAGACUUCUAGAGCAUUAUCAUGGUAGCAUGAAUUAUAUACUUUAACCUUAGUUGACUCCACUCCGGUCAUGUAGUUUGCAAGGUAAUCAUCAGUAAAUAGCUUUGGAACCCACUGAAAAGAGAAAAAUAUCAGAUACUGAGGUCUAAUAGAGUAACUUGUUGUGGGCAGGGGGGAAAGGCAACACAUUACUUACCAUCCUAAAGUUCACUGCUGUCUUCGACAAAGUGUAAAUAAAGAGCUUCAUUCCAAUCACCCAUUUCUUUCGCCUAACAAUCUUUCUUAGUUUCCUCACUUGACGCUUGUUCAUGAAUAUCUCAUUGCCCCAUACGCAAAAGGGAUCGAAGCGUGGAUCAGUACCCCUCAUAUAUGUAACUACAAGCAACCAGUAAAUGUUAGAAGCUAAACUGAGAUUGCACAAAUGAUGUAAAAUACAACUACCUAUGUUCCUAAGUACAAGUAUUUUUUUUUUGAGAUUUCAAUAUGAACUACAUAUAGAUGUAUAUAGAAUUAUAGAUAUAGUUUAGAUUAGAAUCUAGAUUCACCAAUUUUGCUCCUUAUGUAGUCUAUAUUGGAAUCUCUAAAAAUACUUAUAUUUAUGAAUAGAUGGUGUAUAAGACAUGGGAUGCAGCUAACCUCGACGGCAAACAACAGCAUCGCCCAUUGUAGCCAUGUGUAAGUACAUGGAAAGCCAAUGUUAACUACAAUAGGGUUAACAUCCACCAAAAAUAGCAAAUGGUAAUAAAACGGCAGCAUCUGUAGUGAUAUCUUCAUUUCGAAAGAGUAGCACAGUAGCAAAGGGACGGAUUAAAAAAUGGAUACAACUGUUAAUUGCAACAGGCUUAACAACAUCCUAAUUCAUGUUUUGUAAGUUUGUAGCCAGUGAAAUGCAACUCUUUAAAAAUGGAUACAACUGUUAAUUGCAACAGGCUUAAUGGCCAUUGAAACCGGUACUGAUAAAAAUGCAAUUGGCAGAGUUAAACAUCACAGGGUAGGUGCUUCCAGAGCAGAUAAUGGCCCAGUUGUCUAUAAAAAGGUAAGGAAAAUAGCUCAAACGUGUUAGGCAUGUUUACUACAACAUGUUUAAUACAUCGACAGUACAAAACAUAGCCAUUAAUUGCAACUAGUACUGGUAAGAUUGAACUGGUGGGUACAUACUUGGUAAGUCCUGAGAAGUAGUUGCUGGGGCACUUCAUCUUGGCCAGAGCCCGCCCAAAGUCAGCGGUGGCGGAGGCGAGCUGUUCCUCCAGGUCGAAGCAUGGAUCAGUUCCACUGACAUGUGUACCUACAGGCAACCAGUAAAUGGUAGAAGUUAAACUGCAAUUGCACAAAUGAUGUGAAAUAUUGUAAGACAUGGGAUGGAGCUAACCUUGAUGACAAACAACGGCAUCAGCCGUUAUGGCCCUGCGUAAGUACAUGGACAAGCAUGUUAAGUACAACAGGGUUAGCAUCCACCAAAAAUAGCAAAUGGCAUAGUUAAACAUCACAAGUCGUGUUUUGUAAGUUUGUAGCCAUUGAAAUGCAACUGUCUAAAAAUGGAUUCAACUGUUAACUGCAACAGGCUUAAUAGACAUUGAAACCGGUACUGAUAAAAAUGCAAUUGGCAUAGUUAAACAUCACAAGGCAGGUGCUGCUAGAGCAGAGAAUGGCCCAGAUGUCUAUAAAAAGGUAGGGAUAGUAGCAAAAACGUGUUAGGCAUGUUUACUAGAACAUGCUUAAUACAACGACCGUAUAGAACAUAGCCAUUAAUUGCAACUGGUAUUGGUAAGAUUGAACUGGUGAGUACAUACUUGGUAAGUCCUGAGAGGUAGUUGCUGGGGCACUUCAUCUUGGCCAGAGCUUGCCCAAAGUCAGUGACGGCGGAGGCGAGCUGUUCCUCCGGGUCAAAGCGUGGAUCAGUGCCACUGACAUGUGUACCUACAGGCAACCAGUAAAUGGGUAGAAGUUAAACUGCAAUUGCACAAAUUAUGUGAAAUAUUGUAAGACAUGGGAUGCAGCUCACCUCAACGGCAAACAAAAGCAUCGGCCGUUAUGACCCUGCGUAAGUACAUGGAUAGGCAUGUUAAGUGCAAAAGGGUUAGCAUCCACUAAAAAUAGCAAAUGGGCAGCAUCUCUAGUGAUAUCCUGAGUCAUGUAUUGUAAGUUUGUUGCUGGUAUUGGUGAAAUUGAGCUGGACACGAUAAUAUUUGAACAUCACACAGUGUGUAGUACUAAAAUAAACAAGGCACGAACAUGCUUAAUAAAUCAACCGUACAAAUCAUAGCCAUUGCAAGUUGUAUUGGUAAGAUUUAGCUGGUCAGAUCUUUACCUGUUAAGUCCUGGGGGGUUGUCGCUGGGGGACUUCAUCUGGGCCAGAGCCUGCAGCAUGUCGUCGAUGGUGGCGGAGGCGAGGUGUUCCUCCGGGUCAACACGCACAUCGGCCAUAGCGCCAUGGACCGCCAUCAGCUCCUGGCGGGGGGGAUUUGGAGGCAUGAGGAUGUUUCGCAGGUGCAAUUUAAGCAAUCAGGCCAGGGAUGUGAUAGAGAUCGGUGGGUUAAAUAAUUGGAUCCGAGCAGAACGUAGAUGUGGUUGAAGCUGUGGUUGCGGCGGCGGUUUGAAAUGCUGGUAGGGGGAGGCGCGAGGGAGGGGGGGUACUGAGGGGAAAGGGAUGUGGUUGGAGGAAUAAAUUCUGAAAUUGCGCGCCUAAUGAAAAUCUGGGUGCGAAAUUUGAAACUUGGGCGGGGGAAACACACAACGCUGAUGAAGCACGUAAAAUACUCGUGUGCGAGAAAAAAGAAAGUUGGCAGAUCCCGUCUCCAAAAAAAUGUACACGUGUACUUGGUUUUUUUCGGUCAAUGGUACGCCUGGUUUAUUAGGAAUUUCGCACAGGUAACUGACUUGUGGGUCAUUAACGCAAAAAACACAGAUGUGUACGGCAUAGAAACCGUGUGUUUUGUGAUCUUCUAAUGAUAAACGCAAAAAAACACACACAUGCACACAUGCUAAUCAAUGCUCAAAGCCCUCAAAGGAUACUCUUACCGACAUUAUACGUUAAUACUACAAACUUAAAGUACUACUGGUAAUUUGCUCUAAUACUUCAAACUUAAACUACUUCUCACAUGCUGCCAUCAGGGCAUGCUGGCCAGACGCCGGCGUUCUCCUUCCCGGCCUUGUAGGCGGCAGCCCACCAUGCUUCGAUCUUCGCCAAGCUCUCCUCACCACGGUGUGCAGCCUCUUUUUUCUUGCAGUGACGGGACUCUCUUUCCUUGACUGCUUUCUGCCUUUUCUGCUCCUUCUGUGCGGCUUUGGCCGCCUCUAGAUCCACCACCCAUUCGGCCAUGGCAGCCUCAAAGUCCACCCAUGUAACUGUCUGGCCGCCGACGGUGAUGAACUCGACGCGUCGAGAUGCCAUCGCUUCCUUACCAUGUGCGCGGUCGCGGGCGGCGAGGAACGCGGCGCGGCGGGAUGCCAUCGCUUCCUUACCAGUUACUGUGCGUCGCAGUGCGAUGGACGAUGCCUGGAGAGAGCUCUGGGACGGAGGGGUCGGGCAGCCGUACAGUGUGGUGGUAUUCAAGAGCUCAACCACAAACGACAACAGAAAUUUGGCUUCCCUUACAAUUUUGCUCGUUCAUUAUCGCACACGGUUCAUCUCCGUCGCUUCCGGAAACAGUGUGCGCUGAGUCUAUUAUGUGUUGCGUUAUGAUUGGCCAGAACCCCGGCCACGCAGAUCGCGCGUGUGCACCGUUGGAUGCGCCGUGAUCGAACGACAAUCCACGUCCCUCACAUCACACCCGUGCACUUGUAGCUGGAUUGGAUUUAUGUGCGCUAAAUGCCUAGAAAAUGCACAUAAUCCCCUAAAUAUGGUAAAUGAGCCCAAAAAAUGCCAAAUUUGAACACGGAGAUUUGCAGCAUGUAUGUUCAUCGUAGAAAAAAACUCCAGGGCAAAGAACGAAGAAAAUUUGGUUUCCCCUUCAAUCUUGAGGAUUUCCCUUUCGAAAGCAUGGAACUUCCUCGGUGAUGGUUUGAUUUAUGAAGGGCGUGCAUGACAACAUAAGCCAAACCUUCUGAAAUUUUUACCAAGGCAUGGUGAGGUCAUACCAUGGCACCAUGCCAGGCGUCCAGCAUUUAUUUCAUUUUUUAUAGUUGAAAACCCGACAAACAGACAUUUGUGGUUGACUAUUGCCACACAUUUCAUCAAAAUAUCUGUCCAUUCCUUGUAAAAGGCACGAGAAUGUACUAAAUGGCACGAGCAUGGUUUUCUAGGCCAUUCUCAUGGACCCUUUCAUGCAUCAAUUGUUUGAACUUGAAUUAUGCGCAUUAAUGCCUAGGAAAUGCACAUAAUCCCCUAAAUAUGGCAAAUGAACCCGGAAAAGUGCCAAAUUUGAACACGGUGAUUUGCAGGUUGUAUGUUCAUCGUAGAAAAAAUUCGUGGACAAAGGACAUAGGAAAUUUGGACCCCCCUUCAAUCUUGGUGAUUUCCCCUUGAAACCAUGAAACUUCCUCAGUGAUGGUUCAAUUUAUGAAAGGCGCGCAUCACGACAUAAGGAAAACAUUCUCCAAUUUUUACCAGGGGCAUGGCGAGGCCAUACCAUGGCACCACACCAGGCGUCAUGUUUUCCAACCAUGUGUUUCAUUUUUUGUGUAGCAUGAGCAUGGUUUUCCAGACCGUUCUUGUGCACCUUUCAUGCACCGAUUGUUCGAAUUUGAAUUAUGUGCAUAAUUAAAACCUAGAAAAUGCACACAAUCCCCUAAAUAUGGUAAAUGAGUUCGAAAAAAUGUCAAAUUUGAACACGUUUCAUUUGAGGCGGUAUGUUGAUUGUUGGAAACAAAACUGAAAGGCAAACUAGGACGGAAAUUUGGAUUCCCCUUUAAUCUUGGUGAUUUCCCUCUCGAAAGCAUUGAACUUCCUCGGUGAUGGUUCGAUUUAUGAAGGGCGUGCAUGGCGACAUAUAUCAGACCUUCUCAGCUUUUAACUAGGGCAUGGUGAGGCCAUACCAUGGCACCAUGCCAGCCGUCAUGUUUUUCAAGCACAAAUUUCAUUAUUCUAUAGUUGAUAACCCAGUAAAUGACGCGUUUGUGGUUGACUCCAUUGAAAUCUCUGCCUAUUCCUUGUAAAAGGCUUGAAAAAUUACUAAAUACCACAAGUAUGGUUUUUCCAGACCGUUCUUGUGCACCCUUUCAUGCAUUAAUUGUUUGAAUUUGAAUUACGUGCAUUAAUGCCUACAAAAUGCACAUAAUCCCCUAAAAAUUGUAAAUGAACCAGGAAAAGUGUCAAAUUUGAACACAGUGAUCAACAGGGUUUAUGUUCAUCGUAGAAAAAAACUCAUGGAUGAAAGACAAAGGAAAUUUGGAUUCCCAUUCAAUCUCGGUGAUUUACUAUCGCACAUGGUUCAUCUUCGUUGCCUCUGUGAACUGUGUGUGUUCACUCACACAUGCAAAAGAAAAAGAAAACCCUCGCCCACUUCAUCCCCACACUCACUCGCUGCGGACUCCUCCGCGACUCUGCACCCUAAGCUCGACAGCUAUUGGCGGCGGCUGUAGGUCGCGCUCCAAACGGCACCGGAUUUUGCCUCCACCGCUUUUCGCCGCCUAUUUGCACCGACAUUCUAGACUCUGGUCGACUGGGGUUUUCUGCAGGAUUGGGCCGGGGAUUUUUCUCAUGGAGAAGGUAAUCAACUUAAUUAGUGAAAUAUUCACUCAUCUCUUAUCGCAGUCCGUCCGUCGCUGUUAAUCAACCGGCAGAAAUCGCCGUGGAAUCAUUUUUGUUCUAGCUGAUUCAUGGGUGUUCAUUCAUGUGUGCACAGUGCGAGCACGAAUCGGGCAACUGUGGUUGUGGCUAGUCGGAAACGAAGUUCUAUCACCAUUCCGGAUGACUUCAGGGAACGCUCGGUAUGUUCAAUCUCAACCUACCACGGUCGGCAUGGCCUAAAUUUGUGAACAUAUACCGUCUGUUUCUACAUUAUCUAUAUAUUUGCAUCAAAUCUUUGUUAUAUUAUCUAUUUUUAAUUCUAUAUUUUUGUACUUUGCUUGCAUCUAUAUAUGGAUAUGUUCUAUCAGUUACUCCCAUAUUUGCAUCUUGCUCGGUUAUUUCAAUAUAUCUAAUUUACAAUCUUAAUUUUCAUUUCAAACAGUACAUCCCUUGCUUUGCAAGAACAGGAGUAGAAGGAAAUCUUGGGCUUUACUUUGCUGAUGACUCCCAGGAUGUCAUAUUGACAAUGCAACAUGGGUUUACAAUGACGGUUCACGUAAUACUUGAUAAAGAUGGUCACUCCUAUUUUAAUGCGGACCUUUGGAGAAAAAUGUCUAAGUGUUAUGAACUGAAAGUUGGCAAUAAAAUUCUAGUGCGUGCACCACAACCUGGUCUAAUUAACAUGGAUGUUUACUUCCCCAACGUCGUCAGCCGAUCAAAGUCUGAUUGAGUUUAGUGUCCUUUCAACUUUCUCCAUGCUGUCAUAUUACUAUUUAAGCAAUCAAUUGAUCACUAUUUAAGCAACCAAUUGUGAUAUCAUAUUCUGACUCUGUUCGUAGGCAGUAACAAAUUCUGUUUACCAAUUUAUGUGCAUUAUAUAUUCUUCUGCCAUGUUCUGAAUAAAUAAUACCUUUCCACCUUUUAAGCAGGAUAUGUUGGAUGCAUAGUGAACAAUCUGUAUGUUACUAAGUGUACCAAAUUUCACUGGAAGGACUUGAAGCAUGUCAUAAACUUUAUUGAUAAUCUGACAGAGAUAGCAUAGCGUAUGAACGCUAGAUUUUGUAUGGGAUUAAUUAGACCUAUGGUGUACACACUGAACAAGACCAACUGUGUGCACAAAGCGCUGGUAAAAAGUCUGAUUUUAAUGUUGAUGCUCAUAAACUAUAUAUAUCUUCAAUGAUAUGUUACAAUUCUUUUUUAUUCUACAUGUCAACAGAAAUUGCCCCUGUAGCCGUUCCUGGAUCGAUUUCCUGGCGUGGUCGAAUUACACUUGUGCCUGCUAAUAACGCCAAACUGAUUGCAAGGUACUGCAUUUACCGCAAAAAUGGAACCAUUCAAAUUAACAAGUUCUCGCUUCUCGUGGCAAUGCAUCCAUAUUGGAAAAUUGGAGACACUGUUCUACUCCUGCUCUACCAAGGCACAGGAGGGCUCUUCCUUUUCAUUGACGAGAUGCCGAGUCGCCGUGAUCAAGCUGCUUCCUGUGGAUAGUUGUGGUUGUUGUCCCUCAGCCUCUUAAAAUGUGCAAGCUGUUACUAUAUAUGUUAAGUAUGUAGAUAUGGACCAUAUAGUUGUUGGCCCUUAGCCUCUUAAAAUGUGAUAGUUGUUACUAUGUUAAGUAUGUAGAUAUGGACCAUAUGGUUGUCAAAACCGUGUUACGAAGAUCCUCCUUUUGUCGGAUAGAGUAACCACUAUAUAUAUGUUACUCAAAUGUUGUUACCCAAGUUCAUAAAUUUUCAUGGAAAGUUAGUAUCGUACACAGUUCAUUGAGUUUAAGCGUGUGCCCGAUGUCCAGAAGGCAUUUGCAUAUUAAUUGUCCAUAUUGCAAAUUCACACACAUGUUCACAUAAGGAAACUUAUCUGUAACAUACUAAUCAUCGCACAUGAGUACUCGCAGACGCAUCGUGUGUGAUACUCCUAUCCACCGCAAGCAACUAGUUUGCAUUUUUCAAAGUUUUUGUACACACAGAAUCACACACGAAGUAACUAUAUUGACCAUCUGUGUCGUAAUUUCUCAUUGCAAACAGUUCAUCCGAGUCGGCUGUUUGCCACGUAUCACACACAUCUUGUUUACAUGACUCAUUUGUGUUCUUUUGGAUCAUCGCAAACAGUUCAUCCAUGUGAACUGUAUGCUGCAUAUCACACACAUCUUGUUAAGGUGAACCGUUUCAGUUGUGUUCCCUAAUCAAAAACAGUUCAUCCGAGUUAAUCGUAUGACGUAUAUCGCACACACAUUGAUAUGGUUGCCCGUUUCUGUUGUUCUACCUCAUCGCAAAUAGUUCGAAUGGAUUAACCGUGUGUUCUACAUCGCACACGCAACUAAAACCUGAACCGUGUUUGAUGCAUACAUCAUCACAAACGUUUUGCACCUUUUUUGACAGUUUUUUCACACCAUCGUUUGCGAUUAUUGCAUCGCACACAGUUUCGGCAAAGGGUCUCUGAUCGUAGUGUCGCGUUAGCAGUCUCCUGCAGUAGUGUUGGUUCACUUUUAUUUCGAGUCACUAAAAAUUUCAGAAAUUUUUAGAGGGAGAAAAUGUUGAAGAGAUUAUUGAGGGGCUCCUCAAGCCGGAGUUCGAAGGGAAAGGAAAAAGAGAAUGAAAAACCCAAGUACAACCUUCCUCGCACCGCGGAAGUUCGGUCGUCUAAAUGGCCUUGUGAUGCAUUCCUGAAGGCCGCCGAAAUUUAUGAUGAUUUUUAUUACUUGGUUGAGAAUGCAGGCCUCACCGACUUCCUCCACGACCAGCUCGAACAGUAUCUCCUACUCACUAUUAUUUUUGUGCAAAAUUUUCAUUUCCAUGCUAGGAGAUCACCACCUUUGAUAGAUUUUUAUUUAUAUGAUGAGCUUAAGGAGAUGUCACUCUAUGAUUUUUGUGCGGUUUGUAAGUUGCCUUUUCAGGGCAGCAUUGAGGAACCACAUCCUAGUGAUGUGGCAGAAUUUAUUGAUGAAAUUGUUGCAGGGGAAAAGAGAAAAGUGUCAGAUGCAAGAACUACUAGUAUACAUUUUCCUAUUCUACGUUACUAUGCAAUACUAGUAGAUGUUUAAUUGGUCGCAGGAAUAGUGGGGGCCUCAGUGCUCCUGACCUUGCCAUUUUGCGCCAUGCUUUACUCCAUGACAGAACUUUUAGUUUAGGCACUAUGGUUGCUAAACGGUUGAGUCUAAACCAUACAAAGGGCCCCAUUUUUGGAGGUAUCUUUGCUUCGUGUCUUGCUAAAUAUUUUGAGAUACCUAUUAGACACUAUGAGAAAGAAGAAAAGGUGUUGCCCCCUAUUUUCUUCUAUAAAAGUAUGGUAGCACAUGAUUUUAUUUGUGAUGAUAAGGAAAAUAGACUCAUUUAUAACCUAGUAUUUAGUGAAGACACUUGUCAGAUUAUUACCCUGCCUGCACCUUCUUUGUUUAACAUUCAUUUAGGCACAUACAUCAUCCUGCCCGAUGACAUUUAUGCAUAUUGGGAGCGAACACGAUCCCCAGAGCCUGAGCCUGAGCCAUCUCCUGAUCCAUAUCAGGAGUCUAUUUAUCAGUGGGAUCCGGAGGAGAUCGCUGCACCCAGAGGACACUCCUCCGUACACCGAAGAGAGUAGCUUUGAUCCGUGGGCAUAGACCAACUUAGGCGAAAAGCCUAAGCUUGGGGGAGUAUGUAUUUCUCACCGAUGUUACAUUCAUGUUCAUGCACUCAUACCAGUUGUCGGUGCUCAUACUUUUUCAUUAUACUAUCCAUGCUAGUUUAUUUUCUUUUCUAGCCUUCUUCUUGUGUGUGUUUGAAAAACCUUAAGAAAAACAAAAAAAAUAGUUGUAGAUUUUAGCUAGUUUACUUUCCAUGUAUGUAGUAGUUAUAAUUAAAAGAAAACCCAAAAAGAUUUCUCGUUCUUAUUUUGCUUGUUGGUAGCUUUCCCGUGUAAAUAGUUUUGUUAUAUUUCUUUUCUUUGGGGGUCGAGAGGAGAAGACCAUGAUGAAAAUGUUGAAGUGGCUCUUAUAUGCAUUAUUGUUGAUUUAACAUAAAGCCCAUAUUACCUUGUCUUCUCCCUUGUAUUAAAUGCUUGCAGAUUCCAGCUUAGUCCAAUUGCACGUGCACUACUAUUAUUAUCCACACCGUUCGGUCGUGCAAGUGAAAGGCAAUAAUGCCGAUAUAUGAUGGACUGAUUGAGAUGAGAGAAGCUGGUAUGAACUCGACCUAUCUUGUUUUUGUAAAUAUGAUUAGUUCAUUGUUCCUGAUUCAGGCUAUUAUGAAUGAAAUAUGUUUGCAAUGAUAAUUAGAGAUUAUAGUUGCUCAUGCCAUGCUUAAUUAGCUAGGAGUUUAUAAUGGUUUACCUUGCGUGCCAACAUGCUAUUAAAAUGGUUGUGAUGUGGUAUGAUAGGGUGGUAUCCUCCUUUGAACGAUUCGAGUGGCUUGACUUGGCACAUGUUCACGCAUGUAGCUGAAACAAAUCAACAUAGCCUCCACGAUAUUUAUGUCCAUGGUGAAUUAUAUCCUACUCAUGCUAGCACUCAGUGUUGAUUAAUUUUAAUGCAUGUUCAUGACUGUUGUCGCUCUCUAGUUGGUCACCUCCCAGUCUUUUUCUAGCCUUCACUUGUACUAAGCGGGAAUAUUGCUUGUGCAUCCACUUCCAUAAACCCUAAAGUUAUUCCAUAUGAGUCCACCAUGCCUUCCUAUAUGCGGUAUUUACCUACCGUUCCAAGUAAAUUUGUAUGUGCCAAACUCUAAACCUUCAAAUGAAAUCUGUUCUGUAUGCUCGAAUAGCUCAUGUAUCAACUAGGGUUGUCUAUAUAUUCCAUGCUAGGUGGGUUAUUCUCACGAGGAGUGGACUCCGUUCCUCACUCACGAGAAAAUGGCCGGUAACCGGGAUGCCCAAUCCCAUGCUCAAAUCAAAAUAAUUGCAAACAAAACUCCCCCGGGACUGUUGUUAGUUGGAGGCACUCAUUGUUUUGGGCAAGCCAUGGAUUGAUGCUUGUUGGUGGUGGGGGAGUAUAAAUUUUACCAUUUUGUUUGGGAACCGCCUAUAAUGUGUGUAGCAUGGAAGAUAUCGAGAUCUCUCAGUUGUUAUGUUGACAAUGAAAGUAUGCCACUCAAAAUAUUAUUUAUCUCUGUUUCAAAAAUCGAGCUCCGGCACCUUUACAAAUCCCUGCUUCCCUCUGCAAAGGGCCUAUCUAUUUACUUUUAUGUUGAGUCAUCACCCUCUUAUUAAAAAGCACCAGUUGGAGAGCACCAAUGUCAUUUGCAUGCAUUACUAUUAGUUUACAUUGAGUAUGACUAUGACUGGAUCUCUUUUACCAUGAAUUACAAUGUUUAGUCAAUCCUUGAUCUUCACAGGUGCUCUGCAUUUAUGUUUUGCGGUCUCAGACAGGGCUAGUGAGAUACCAUCUUGUUAUAUCAUAUUAUGAUUGUCUUGAGAAAGUGUUGUCAUCCGAGAUUUAUUAUUAUUGCUCGCUAGUUGAUUAUGCCAUUAAUAUGAGUAAACAUGAGACCUAAGUGUUAUUGUGAAUAUGGUUAGUUCAUAAUCUUUGCUGAAAACUUGAAUGCUGGCUUUACAUAUUUGCAACAACAAUUGCAAACAAAGUUUGUAAAAAAAAUUCUUUAUCACUUUCAGUUUGUCAACUGAAUUGCUUGAGGACAAGCAAAGGAUUAAGCUUGGGGGAUUUGAUACGUCUCCAUCGUAUCUACUUUUCCAAACACUUUUGCACUUGUUUUGGACUCUAACUUGCAUGAUUUGAAUGGAACUAACCCGGACUGACGCUGUUUUCAGCAGAAUUGCCAUGGUGUUUUUUUGUGCAGAAAUAAAAGUUCUCGGAAUGACCUGAAACUUCACGGAGAAUAAUUUUGGAAUAAAUAAAAAAUACUGGCGAAAGAAUCAACACCAGGGGGCCCACACCCUGUCCAUGAGGGUGGAGGGCGCGCCACCCCCUGGGGCGCGCCCCUGCCUCGUGGGCCCCCUGAGGCUCCACCGACGUCAACUCCAACUCUAUAUAUUCACGUUCGGGGAGAAAAAAAUUAGAUAGAAGGACUCAUCACGUUUUACGAUAUGGAGCCACCUCCAAGCCCUAAUCUCUCUCGGGAGGGCUGAUCUGGAGUCCAUUCGGGGCUCCGGAGAGGGGAAUCCAUCGCUGUCAUCAUCAUCAACCUUCCUCCAUAACCAAUUUCAUGAUGCUCACCGCCGUGCGUGAGUAAUUCCAUCGUAGGCUUGCUGGACGGUGAUGGGUUGGAUGAGAUUCACCAUGUAAUCGAGUUAGUUUUGUUAGGGUUUGAUCCCUAGUAUCCAUUACGUUCUAAGAUUGAUGUUGCUAUGACUUUGCUAUGCUUAAUGCUUGUCACUACGGCCCGAGUGCCAUGAUUUCAGAUCUGAACCUAUUAUGUUUUCAUGAAUAUAUGUGAGUUCUUGAUCCUAUCUUGCAAGUCAAUAGUUACCUACUAUGUGUUAUGAUCUGGUAACCCCAAAGUGACAAUAACCGGGACCACUCCUGGUGACGACCGUAGUUUGAGGAGUUCAUGUAUUCACUAAGUGUUAAUGCUUUGGUCCGGUACUCUAUUAAAAGGAGGCCUUAAUAUCCUUUAGUUUCCAAUAGGACCCCGCUGCCACGCGAGGGUAGUACAAAAGAUGCCGUGCAAGUUCUUUUCCAUAAGCACGUAUGACUAUAUUCGGAAUACAUGCCUACAUUACAUUGAUGAACUGGAGCAAGUUCUGUGUCACCCUAUGUUAUAACUGUUGCAUGAGGAAUCACAUCCGACAUAAUUAUCCAUCAUUGAUUCAUUGCCUAUGAGCUUUUCACAUAUUGAUCUUUGCUUAGUUACUUUUCCGUUGCCACUGUUACAAUUACUACAAAACUGCUACUGUUACUUUUGCCACCGUUACUGUUACUUCCAUACUACUUUGCUACUAAAUACUUUGCUGUAGAUAUUAAGUUUUCCAGGUGUGGUUGAAUUGACAAUUCAACUGCUAAUACUUGAGAAUAUUCUUUGGCUCCCCUUGUGUCGAAUCAAUAAAUUUGGGUUGAAUACUCUACCCUCGAAAACUAUUGUGAUCCCCUAUACUUGUGGGUUAUCAGCCUCCAUCUUCCAGAACGGCCUCCUCGUACGCCAGCAGGAAGGCCGAUGGAUUCGCCGCGCCAUCAUAGCGAGGCGGCAUUUCCGGCCUGAACUUGCGUGGCCACUGCGCUUGCCGCAAGGCGGGGGUGAGGGCCCUGAGUCCCAUGGAGCCAUCGCGGGCGUCCGUUGGUCCAGUCAGAGGAGCGGUGCCGGCCAUGGGGGCCGGGCGGAGAGGUGAAGCUUCGGCGCGCCCCUACCUAGCAUGCCAAAUGUCAGAUUCUGGUUUCCGGCAAACCCUUGUGGUUCAAACUCUGGGGUGCGCACGAAGGACUCUCUCCCCCUAGCUCACCCGCACAGCAAUCUCAAGGCCUAGCUCGUCGAACCCAAGGAACAAGAGACAAGAGACGCGAGAGUUUAUACUGGUUCGGGCCACCAUUGUGGUGUAAUACCCUACUCCAGUGUGGUGUGGUCGAUUACCUUGUAGGCUGAGGAUGAACAGGUACAAGGGAUGAACAGCCUCCUAAGGAGAGGUGUUCUCGAGCUCGGUGAGCUGAUGCGUACGAGGGUGGUCUCGAUGAUCGUCCCCUUCUAUGGUGAUGGCUAGUCCUAUUUAUAGAGGCCCUGGUCCUCUUCCCAAAUGUUAGGUGGGAAGGGAUCCUACAACGGCCAAUUUUGAAGGGAGACAACUAGUACAAGCUAUCCUGACAAAAGGUGGUCUUCGCCUGCUAAAGGCUCCGGUGGUGAUGCAGGUGUGGGCUCCGCGAUGACCUCCGUCCUGCCGUCCUGCUGGUCUUGGUCUUGUUGCACCGAUAUGGAAACCUUUGCCUGAUGCCAUGGGACUCCUCACCUACGCUUGCCUCUUUAGCACCAAAGAGGAAACUGGUACACUGCACCCGCUGGCGCCCGCCUGGCCUUGGUCGUCACGGCUCACGUCACGUGAACCUCGCGAGGUGCCCCUUGCAUAGAUAUCUCCGCUCCUCAGGAGCUAGCCUGGUGAGACCGUCCCUAGGGAGGUCUUGGCGUCGUCCGCCUCACGAGGGUCUUGAGCAGUUGUUGUUGAAGCUGGGCCAUACCGGGCGGUUGGUAGAGCCACGUCGUGGGCCGCAGGCCGGCAAGUCAGGGUACCCCCGUUCCCUGGACGCCAAUAGGCCGGUCCUUGUUGAAGUUAAAACAGCGAACUUGAUAAAUCACUGUUGUAGUUUUGAUGCGUAGGUAAGAAUGGUUCUUGCUAGAAGCCCGUAGCAGCCAUGUAAAACUUGCAACAACAAAGUAGAGGACGUCCAACUUGUUUUUGCAGGGCAUGUUAUGAUGUGAUAUGGUCAAGACAUGAUGUGAUAAACGUUAUUGUAUGAGAUGAUCAUGUUUUGUAAGAUAUCUGACAACCGGCAGGAGCCUUAUGGUUGUCUCUUUAUUGUAUGAAAUGCAAAUGCCAUGUAAUUGCUUUACAAUAUCACUAUGUGUUAGCGAUAGUUGUAGAAGCAAUAGUUGGCGAGACGACCAUGACGCUAUGAUGGAGAUCAAGGUUUCGGGCCGGUGAGGAUGGAGAUCAUGACGAUUCUUUGGAGAUGGAGAUCAAAAGCACAAGAUGAUGAUGGCCAUAUCAUGUCACAUAUUUUGAUUGCAUGUGAUUUUUAUCUUUUAUGCAUCUUAUUUUGCUUAGUACGGCGGUAGCAUUGUAAGAUGAUCCCUUAACUAAAAUUUCAAGGUAUAAGUGUUCUCCCUGAGUAUGCACCAUUGCGACAGUUCAUCGUGUUGAGACACCAUGUGAUGAUCAGGUGUGAUAGACUCUACGUUCACAUACAAUGGGUGCAAGACAGUUUUGCACAUGCGGAAUAGUCGGGUUAAACUUGACGAGCCUUGCAUGUACAGACAUGGCCUCAGAACACUUGAGACCAAAAGGUCGAACGCGAAUCAUAUAGUAGAUAUGAUCAACAUAGAGAUGUUCACCAUUCAUGACUACUCCAUCUCACGUGAUGAUCGGACAUGGUUUAGUUGAUUUGGAUCACGUAUCAUUUAGAUGACUUGAGGGAUGUCUAUCUAAGUGAGUAAUUUGAUUAAUUGAACUUAAUUUAUCAUGAACUUAGUCCUGAUAGUUUUUGCAUAUCAAUGUUGUAGAUCAAUGGCCCAUGCUACAAUUCCCUUGAAUUUUAAUGUGUUCCUAGAGAAAGCUAAGCUGAAGGAUUACGGUAGCAACUACACGGACUGGGUCUGUAACUUGAGGAUUAUCAUUAUUUCUGCACAGAAAAAUUAUGUCCUUGAUGCACCGCUAGGUAUGCCACCCCCUCCAGCAAGUGCGGACGUUGUGAACGCCUGGCAGUCGCGUGUUGAUGACUACUCGAUAGUUCAGUGCGCCAUGCUUUACGGCUUAGAAUCGGGACUUCAAAGACGUUUUGAACAUCAUGGACCAUAUGAGAUGUUCCACGAGUUGAAGUUAAUAUUUCAAGCAAAUGCCCGAGUUGAGAGAUAUGAACUCUUCAACAAGUUCUAUAGCUGCAAGAUGGAGGAGAACAGUUCUGUCAGUGAACACAUACUCAGAAUGUCUGGAUAUCAUAAUCACUUGACUCAACUGGGAGUUAAUCUUCCAGAUGAUAGUGUAAUUGACAGAGUUAUAUAAUCACGGCCACCAAGCUACAAAGGCUUCAUGAUGAACUAUAAUAUGCAAGGGAUGGAUAAGACAAUUCCCGAGCUCUUCGCAAUGUUCAAAGCUGCGGAGGUAGAAUUCAAGAAGGAGCAUCAAGUGUUGAUGGUUAACAAGACCACUAGUUUCAAGAAAAAGGGCAAGGGAAAGAAGGGUAACUUCAAGAAGAAUGGCAAGCAAGUUGCCACUCCCGAAAACAAACCCAAAGCUGUACCCAAGCCUGAAACUGAGUGCUUCUACUUCAUGGCUCCCUCACCAACGUCUUACUUUGAUCCGGCGGUAUUGUUAGAUGAAGCGGCCCAGACCGACAUUACAUGACCGCGUUCAUGAGACUGGUUCUACCGACGUGCUUUGCACACAGGUGGCUGGCGGGUGUCUAUUUCUCCAACUUCAGUUGAAUCGAGUUUGACUACGGUCGGUCCUUGUUGAAGGUUAAAACAGCACACUUGACGAAAAAUCGUUGUGGUUUUGAUGCAUAGGUAAGAACGGUUCUUGCUAGAAGCCCGUAGCAGCCACGUAAAACUUGCAACAACAAAGUAGAGGACGUCUAACUUGUUUUUGUAGGGCAUGUUGUGAUAUGAUAUGGUCAAGACGUGAUGAGAUAUAAAUUGUUGUAUGAGAUGAUCAUGUUUUGUAUAAGUUAUCGGCAACUGGUAGGAGCCUUAUGGUUGUCGCUUUAUUGUAUGAAAUGCAAUCACCAUGUAAUUGCUUUACUUUAUCACUAAGCGGUAGCGAUAGUCAUGGAAGCAAUAGUUGGCGAAACGACAACGGCGCUGCGAUGGAGAUCAAGGUGUCAAGCCGGUGAUGAUGGAGAUCAUGACGGUGCUUUGGAGAUGGAGAUCAAAGGCACAAGAUGAUGAUGGCCAUAUCAUGUCACAUAUUUUGAUUGCAUGUGAUGUUUAUCCUUUAUGCAUCUUAUUUUGCUUAGUACGGCGGCAGCACUAUAAGAUGAUCCCUCACUAAAUUUCAAGGUAUAAGUGUUCUCCCUGAGUAUGCACCGUUGCUACAGUUCAUCAUGCCGAGACACCACGUGAUGAUCGGGUGUAGCUCUAUGUUCACAUACGACGGGUGUAAGCUAGUCUUGCACGUGUAGAAUACUCGAGUGAGCCUAGCAUAUGCAGAUAUGGCCUCGGAACACAGAGACCGAAAGGUCGAACGUGAAUCAUAUAGUAGAUAUGAUCAACAUAGAGAUGUUCACCAUUGAAAACUACACCAUCUCACAUGAUGAUCGGACAUGGUUUAGUUGAUAUGGAUCACAUGAUCAUUUAGAUGACUCGAGGGAUGUCUAUCUAAGUGGGAGUUCUUUAGUAAUUUGAUUAAUUGAAAUUUAAUUUAUCAUGAACUCAGUACAUGAUAGUUUUUUGCAUAUCUAUGUUGUUGUAGAUCAAUGGCCCGUGCUACCGUUCCCUUGAAUUUUAAUGCGUUCCUAGAGAAAGCUAAGUUGAAAGAUGAUGGUAGCAACUACACGGUCUGGGUCCGUAACUUGAGGAUUAUCCUCAUUGCUGCAGAGAAGAAUUACGUCCAAGAAGCACCGCUAGGUGCAAGACCCGCUCGAGGAGCAACUCCAGACGUUAUGAACGUCUAGUAGAGCAAAGCUGAUGACUACUCGAUAGUUCAGUGUGCCAUGCUUUACGACUUAGAAUCGGGACUUCAAAGACGUUUUGAACGUCAUGGAGCAUAUGAGAUGUUCCAGGAGUUGAAGUUAAUAUUUCAAGCAAAUGCCCGAAUUGAGAGAUAUGAAGUCUCCAGUAAGUUCUAUAGCUGCAAGAUGGAGGAGAACAGUUCUGUCAGUGAACACAUACUCAGAAUGUCUAGGUACCACAACCACUUGACUCAGCUGGGAGUUAAUCUUCCUGAUGAUAGUGUCAUUGAUAGAGUUCUUCAAUCACUGCCACCAAGCUAUAAAAGCUUCAUGAUGAACUAUAAUAUGCAAGGGAUGGAUAAGAAAAUUCCCGAGCUCUUCGCCAUGCUAAAGGCUGCAAAGGUAGAAAUCAAGAAGGAGCAUCAAGUGUUGAUGGUUAACAAGACCACUAGUUUCAAGAAAAAGGGCAAAGGGAAGAAGGGGAACUUCAAGAAGAACAGCAAGCAAGUUGCUGCUCCCGGGAAGAAGCCCAAGUCUGGACCUAAGCCUGAAAUUGAGUGCUUCUACUGCAAAGGGACUGGUCACUGGAAGCGGAACUGCCCUAAGUAUUUGGCUGAUAAGAAGGAUGGCAAAGUAAAAGGUAUAUUUGACAUACAUGUUAUUGAUGUGUACCUUACUAAUGCUCGUAGUAGCACCUGGGUAUUUGAUACUGGUUCUAUUGCUCAUAUUUGCAACUCGAAACAAGGGCUACAGAUUAAACAAAGACUGGCUAAGGACGAGGUGACGAUGCGCAUGGGAAAUUGUUCCAAAGUUGAUGCGAUCGCCGUCGGCAUGCUACCUCUACAUCUACCUUCAGGAUUAGUUUUAGACCUGAAUAAUUCUUAUUAGGUGCCAGCGUUGAGCAUGAACAUUAUAUCUGGAUCUUGUUUGAUGCGAGACGGUUAUUCAUUUAAAUCAUAGAAUAAUGGUUGUUCUAUUUAUAUGAGUAAUAUCUUUUAUGGUCAUGCACCCUUGAAGAGUUGUCUAUUUUUGUUGAAUCUCAAUUGUAGUGAUACACAUAUUCAUAAUAUCAAAGCCAAAAGAUGCAAAGUUAAUAAUGAUAGUGCAACUUAUUUGUGGCACCGACGUUUAGGUCAUAUUGGUGUAAAGCGCAUGAAGAAACUCCAUGUUGAUGGGCUUUUGGAAUCACUUGAUGCUUUCAAAGCAUGCCUCACGGGCAAGAUGACUAAGACUCCGUUCUCUGAACAAUGGAGCGAGCAACUGACUUACUGGAAAUAAUACAUACUAAUGUAUGCGGUCCAAUGAGUGUUGAGGCUCGCGGCGGGUAUUGUUAUUUUCUGACCUUCACAUAUGAUUUGAGCAAAUAUGGGUAUAUCUACUUGAUGAAACAUAAGUCUGAAACAUUUGAAAAGUUCAAAGAAUUUCAGAGUGAAGUGGAAAAUCAUCGUAACAAGAAAAUAAAGUUUCUACAAUCUGAUCGUGGAGGUGAAUAUUUGAGUUAUGAGUUUGGUCUUCAUUUGAAACAAUGUGCAAUAGUUUCACAACUCACGCCACCUGGAACACAACAGCGUAAUGGUGUGUCCAAACGUCGUAACCGUACUUUAUUAGAUAUGGUGCGAUCUAUGAUGUCUCUUACCUAUUUGCCACUAUCAUUUUGGGGUAAUGCUUUAGAGACGGUUGCAUUCACGUUAAAUAGGGCAGCAUCUAAAUCCGUUAAGAUGACACCAUAUGAACUAUGGUCUGGCAAGAAACCUAGGCUGUCGUUUCUUAAAGUUUGGGGUUGCGAUGCUUAUGUGAAAAAACUUCAACUUGAUAAGCUCGAACCCAAAUCAGAGAAAUGUGUCUUCAUAGGAUACCCAAAGGAGACUACUGGGUACACCUUCUAUCACAGAUCCGAAGGCAAGAUAUUCGUUGCUAAGAAUGGAUCCAUUCUAGAGAAGGAGUUUCUCUCAAAAGAAGUGAGUGGGAGGAGAGUAGAACUUGAUGAGGUAAUUGUACCUUCUCCCGAAUUAGAAAGUAGUUCAUCACAGAAAUCAGUUCCAGUGAUGCCUACACCAAUUAGUGAGGAAGUUAAUGAUGAUGAUCAUGAAACUUCAGAUCAAGUUGCUACCGAACCUCGUAGAUCAACCAGAGUACGUUCCGCACCAGAGUGGUACGGAAAUCCUGUUCUGGAAGUCCUGUUACUAGACCAUGAUGAACCUACAAACUAUGAGGAAGCGAUGAUGAGCCUAGAUUCCGCGAAAUGGCUUGAGGUCAUGAAAUCUGAGAUGGGAUCCAUGUAUGAGAACAAAGUGUGGACUUUGGUUGACUUGCACGAUGAUCGGCAAGCCAUAGAGAAUAAAUGGAUCUUCAAGAAGAAGACUCACGUUGACGGUAAUGUUACUGUCUACAAAGCUCGACUUGUUGCGAAAGAUUUUUGACAAGUUCAAGGAGUUGACUAUGAUGAGACCUUCUCACCCGUAGCGAUGCUUAAGUCUGUUUGAAUCAUGGUAGCAAUUGCCGCAUUUUAUGAUUAUGAAAUUUGGCAAAUGGAUGUCAAAACUACAUUCCUUAAUGGAUAUCUUCAAGAAGAGUUGAUGCAAAUAGAAGGUUUUGUCAAUCCUAAAGGUCCUAACAAAGUGUGCAAGCUCCAGCGAUCCAUUUAUGGACUGGUGCAAGCAUCUCGGAGUUGGAAUAUACGCUUUGAUAGUCUGAUCAAAGCAUAUGGUUUUAUACAGACUUUUGGAGAAGCCUGUAUUUACAAGAAAGUGAGUGGGAGCUCCGUAGCAUUUCCAAUAUCAUAUGUAGAUGACAUAUUGUUGAUUGGAAAUGAUACAGAAUUUCUGGAUAGCAUAAAAGGAUAUUUGAAUAAGAAUUUUUCAAUGAAAGACCUCAGUGAAGAUGCUUAUAUAUUGGGCAUCAAGAUCUAUAGAGAUAGAUCGAGACGCUUAAUUGGACUUUCACAAAGCACAUACAUUGAUAAAGUUUUCAAGAAUUUCAAAAUGGAUCAGUCAAAGAAAGGGUUCUUGCCUGUGUUACAAGGUGUGAAAUUGAGUCAGACUCAAUGCCCGACCACUGCAGAAGAUAGAGAGAAAAUGGAAGUCAUUCUCUAUGCCUCAGCCAUAGGUUCUAUCAUGUAUGCAAUGUUGUGUACCAUACGUGAUGUGUGCCUUGCUAUAAGUUUAGCAGGGAGGUACCAAAGUAAUCCAGGAGUGGAUCACUGGACAAUGGUCAAGAACAUGCUGAAAUACCUGAAAAGGACUAACGAUAUGUUUCUCGUUUAUGGAGGUGACAGAGGGCUCAUGGUAAAUGGUUACAUUUAUGUAAGCUUUGACACUGAUACGAAUGACUCUAAGUCAUAAACUGGAUACAUAUUUAUAUUGAAUGGUGGAGCUGUCAGUUGGUGAAGUUCCAAGCAGUGUUGUGGCGGGAUCUACGUGUGAAGCAGAGUACAUAGCUGCUUCGGAAGCAGCAAAUGAAGGAUCUGGAAGAAGGAGUUCAUAUCCGAUCUAGGUAUAAUACCUAGUGCAUCGGGUCCAAUGAAAAUCUUUUGUGACAAUACUGGAGCAAUUGCCUUGGCGAAGGAAUCCAGAUUUCACAAGAGAACCAAAAACAUCAAGAGACGCUUCAAAUCCAUCCGCGAUCAAGUCAAGGAGGGAUACAUAGAGAUUUGCAAAAUACAUACAGAUCUGAAUAUUGCAGACCGGUUGACUAAGCCUCUUCCACGAGCAAAACAUGAUCAGCACCAAGACUCCAUGGGUGUUAGAAUCCUUACUAUGUAAUCUAGAUUAUUGACUCUAGUGCAAGUGGAAGACUGAAGGAAAUAUGCCCUAGAGGCAAUAAUAAAGUUGUUAUUUAUAUUUCCUUAUAUCAUGAUAAAUGUUUAUUAUUCAUGCUAGAAUUGUAUUAACCGGAAACUUAGUACAUGUGUGAAUACAUAGACAAAACAAAGUGUCCCUAGUAUGCCUCUACUUGACUAGCUCGUUAAUCAAAGAUGGUUAAGUUUCCUGACCAUAGACAUGUGUUGUCAUUUAAUGAACGGGAUCACAUCAUUAGAGAAUGAUGUGAUGGACAAGACCCAUUCGUUAGCUUAGCAUAAUGAUCGUGUAGUUUUAUUGCUACUGCUUUCAUCAUGACUUAUACGUGUUCCUUUGACUAUGAGAUUAUGCAACUCCCGAAUACCGGAGGAAUACCUUGUGUGCUAUCAAAUGUCACAAUGUAACUGGGUGAUUAUAAAGAUGCUCUACAGGUGUCUCCGAAGGUGUUUGUUGGGUUGUCAUAGAUCAAGAUUAGGAUUUGGCACUCCGUGUAUCGAAGAGGUAUCUCUGGGCCCUCUCGAUAAUGCUCAUCACUAUAAGCCUUGCAAGCAAUGUGACUAAUGAGUUAGUUGCGGGAUGAUGCAUUAUGGAACGAGUAAAGAGACUUGCCGGUAAAGAUAUUGAACUAGGUAUGAUGAUACCGACGAUCGAUUCUCGGGCAAGUAACAUACCGAUGACAAAGGGAAUGACGUAUGUUGUUAUGCGCUUUGACCGAUAAAGAUCUUCGCAGAAUAUGUAGGAGCCAACAGGAGCAUCCAGGUUCCGCUAUUGGUUAUUGACCGAAGAGGUGUCUCGGUCAUGUCUACAUAGUUCUCGAACCCGUAGGGUCCGCACGCUUAACGUUCGAUGACGAUUUGUAUUAUGAGUUAUGUGUUUUGGUGACCGAAGUUUGUUCGGAGUCCCGGAUGAGAUCACAGACAUGACGAGGAGUCUCGAAAUGGUUGAGAGGUAAAGAUUCAUAUAUUCAAAAGUUAUAUACGGACACUGGAAUGGUUCCGAAGAAGAACGGGGAUUUUUCGGAGUACCAGGAGGUUACCGGAACCCCCCCCGGAAAGUUAAUGGGCUUCAUGGGCCAUAGUGGAGAGGAGGAGGCAGCCACAGGAGGUGGCACACCCCCCAAGCCCAAUCCGAAUCGCCCCCCUUUCCUUCUCCCUCUCCACCUCUUUCCCCUCUCCCCCUCAGUUGGAAGGAAGGAGGGGGGGGGCAAAUCCUACUUUGACUGGGAGUCCAAGUAGGACUCCCCCCUUGGCGCGCCCCUCCUUGGCCGCUGGCCUCCUCCUCCCCCCUUUAUAUACGGGAGCGGGGGGCACACCAAGUUUUGUCUUAGCUGUGUGCGGUACCCCCUUCCACAGUUUACUCCUCCAGUCAUAGAGUCGUAGUGCUUAGGUGAAGCCUUGCGCAGAUCACAUCACCAACAUCGCCACCACGCCGUCGUGCUGACGGAACUCUCACUCGACCCUCUACUGGAUCAAGAGCUCGAGGGACAUCAUCGAGCUGAACGUGUGCUGAACACGGAGGUGCCGUACGUUCGGUACUUGGAUCGGUUGGAUCGUGAAGACGUUCGACUACAUCAACCGCGUUAACUAAAGGCUUCCGCUUUCGGUCUACGAGGGUACGUGGACACACUCUCCCCUCUCGUUACUAUGCAUCUCCUAGAUAGAUCUUGCAUGAUCGUAGGUUUUUUUUUUGAAAUUGCAUGGUACGUUCCCCAACAUUAUACAUACUUUCGGAGAAGCCUGUAUUUACAAGAAAGUGAGUGGGAGCUCCGUAGCAUUUCUAAUAUUAUAUGUAGAUGACAUAUUGUUGAUUGGGAAUGAUACAAAAAAUUUGGAUAGCAUGAAAGGAUAUUUGAAUUAGAAUUUUUCAAUGAAAGACCUCGGUGAAGCUACUUAUAUAUUGGGCAUCAAGAUCUAUAGAGAUAGAUCAAGAAGCUUAAUAGGACUUUCGCAAAGCACAUACCUUGAUAAAGUUUUGAAGAAGUUCAAAAUGGAUCAGUCAAAGAAAGGGUUCUUGCCUGUUUUACAAGGUGUGAAAUUGAGUCAGACUCAAUGCCCGACCACUGCAGAAGAUAGAGAGAAAAUGAAACUCAUUCCCUAUGCCUCAGCCAUAGGUUCUAUCAUGUAUGCAAUGUUGUGUACCAGACGUGAUGUGUGCCUUGCUAUAAGUUUAGCAGGGAGGUACCAAAGUAAUCCAGGAGUGGAUCACUGGACAGCGGUCAAGAGCAUCCUGAAGUACCUGAAAAGGACUAAGGGUAUGUUUCUCGUUCAUGGAGGUGACAAAGAGCUCGUCGUAAAUGGUUACGUCGAUGCUAGCUUUGAUAGAGAUCCGGAUGACUCUAAGUCACAAACAUGAUACGUAUCUAUAUUGAAUGGUGGAGCUGUCAGUUGGUGCAGUUCCAAGCAAAGCGUCGUGGCGGGAUCCACGUGUGAAGCGGAGUACAUAGCUACUUCGGAAGCAGCAAAUGAAGGAGUCUGGAUGAAGGAGUUCAUAUCCGACCUAGGUGUGAUACCUAGUGCAUCAGGUCCAAUGAAAAUCUUCUGUGACAAUACUGGAGCAAUUGCCUUAGCGAAGGAAUCCAGAUUUCACAAAAGAACCAAACACAUCAAGAUACACUUCAACUCCAUCUGUGAUCAAGUCAAGGAGGGAGACAUAGAAAUUAGCAAAUACAUACAGAUCUGAAUGUAGCAGACCCGUUGACUAAGCCUCUUCCACGAGCAAAACAUUAUCAGCACCAAGACUCGAUGGGUGUUAGAAUCAUUAUAAUGUAAUCUAGAUUAUUGACUCUAGUGCAAGUGGGAGAUUGAAGGAAAUAUGCCCUAGAGGCAAUAAUAAAGUUUUUAUUUUAUAUUUCCUUAUUCAUGAUAAAUGUUUAUUAUUCAUGCUACAUUGUAUUGAUCGGAAACCUUAAUACAUGUGUGAAUACAUAGACAAACACGGUGUCCCUAGCGAGCCUCUACUUGACUAACUCGUUGAUCAAAGAUGGUUAAGGUUUCCUAACCAUGGACAUGAGUUGUCAUUUGAUAACGGGAUCACAUCAUUAGGAGAAUGAUGUGAUGGACAUGACCCAUCUGUUAGCUUAGCAUAUUGAUCGUUCAGUUUUAUUGCUAUUGCUUUCUUCAUGUCAAAUACAUAUUCCUUCGACUAUGAGAUUAUCCAACUCCCGGACGCCGGAGGAAUACGUUGUGUGUUAUCAAACGUCACAAUGUAACUGGGUGAUUAUAAAGAUGCUCUAUUGGUAUCUCUGGAGGUGUUUGUUGGGUUGGCAUAGAUCGAGAUUAGGAUUUGUCACUCCGAGUAUCGGAGAGGUAUCUCUGGGCCCUCUCGGUAAUGCACAUCAUAAGAAGCCUUGCAAGCAAAGUGACUAAUGAGUUAGUUACAAGAUGAUGUAUUACGGAACGAGUAAAGAGACUUGCCGGUAACGAGAUUGAACUAGGUAUGUGGAUAUCGACAAUCGAAUCUCGGGCAAGUAACAUACCGAUGACAAAGGGAAUAACGUAUGUUGUCAUAACGGUUCGACCAAUGAAGAUCUUCAUAGAAUAUGUAGGAGCCAAUAUGAGCAUCCAGGUUCCGCUAUUGGUUAUUGACCAGAGAGGUGUCUCGGUCAUGUCUACAUAGUUCUUAAACCCAUAGGGUCCGCACGCUUAACGUUCAAUGAUGAUUUAGUAUUAUAUGAGUUAUGUGAUUUGGUGAACGAAUGUUGUUCGGAGUCCUGGAUGAGAUCACAGACAUUACAAGGAGUCUCCAAAUGGUCGAGAGGUAAAGAUUGAUAUAUAGGAUGAUAGUAUUCGGACACCGGAAGUAUUCCGGAGUAUAUCGGGUAUUUAUCGGAGUACCGAGGGGUGGGGGUUACUGGAACCCCCGGGGGAAAUAAUGGGCCAUAUGGGCCAUGAGAGGGGAGCCCACCAGCCCACCAGGGGUGGCGCCCCCCUAUGGCAGGGGGCGAUUGGGAGAAGGAAGAGGGGGUUCGGCCCCCCUUUCCUUCCUCCCUUCCCUCUUCCCUUUUCCUCUCUCAGUAAAAUAGGGAAGGGGGCGCCACUUGGGAAACCCCAAGUAGGAUUAGUAUCCUACUUGGGGCGCCCCAUGGCUGCCUCUCCUCCCCUUCCACCUAUAUAUAUGUGGGGAGGGGGCGCCUAUAACACACAACAUCAAUUGUUAGCCGUGUGCGGCACCCCCCUCCACAGUUUACACCUCCAGUCAUUGUUUUUGCGGUGCUUAGGUGAAGCCCUGUGAGAAUCACUUCACCAUCACCGUCACCACGCCGUCAUGCUGACGGAACUCAUCUACUACCUCGACACCUGGCUGGAUCAAGAAGGUAAGGGACGUUGAUACAUCUCCAACGUAUCUAUAAUUUUUUAUUGUUUCAUGCUAUUAUAUUAUCUGUUUUGGAUGUUUAAUGGGCUUUAAUAUGCUCUUUUAUAUUAUUUUUGGGACUAACCUAUUAACUGGAGGCCCAAUGCCAGUUUCUGUUUUUUUGCCUAUUUUAGAGUUUUGCAGAAAAGGAAUACCAAACGGAAUGAAACCUUCGCGAUGAUCUUUCUUGGACCGAAAGCAAGCCAGAAGACUUGGAGUUGAAGUCUGGAACUCCGCGAGGCAGCCACGAGGCAAGAGGGCGCGCCCAGGGGGUAGGCGCGCCCCCACCCUCAUGGGCCCCAUGGAGCUCCACCGACAUACUUCUUUCUCCUAUAUAUACCCUUAUACCCUAAAAACAUCAGGGAGAGCCACGAAACCACUUUUCCACCGCCACAACUUUCUGUACCUGUGAGAUCCCAUCUUGAGGCCUUUUCCAGCGAUCUGCCGGAGGGGGAAUCGAUCACGGAGGGCUUCUACAUCAACACCAUAGCCUCUCCGAUGAAGCGUGAGUAGUUUACCACAGACCUUCGGUUCCAUAGUUAUUAGCUAGAUGGCUUCUUCUCUCUCUCUUUGAUUCUCAAUACAAAGUUCUCCUUGACGUUCUUGGAGAUCUAUUCGAUGUAAUACUCUUUUGCGGUGUGUUUGCCGAGAUCCGAUGAAUUAUGUAUUUAUGAUCAAGUUUAUCUAUGAAUAUUAUUUGGUUCUUCUCUGAAUUCUUAUAUGCAUGAUUUGAUAUCUUUGCAAGUCUCUUCGAAUUAUCGGUUUAGUUUGGCCUACUAGAUUGAUCUUUCUUGCAAUGGGAGAAGUGCUUAGCUUUGGGUUCAAUCUUGUGGUGUUCUUUCCCAGUGACAGUAGGGGCAACAAGGCACGUAUUGUAUUGUUGCCAUCGAGGAUAAAAAGAUGGGGUUUAUAUCAUAUUGCUUGAGUUUAUCCCUCUACAUCAUGUCAUCUUGCUUAAUGCGUUACUCUGUUCUUAUGAACUUGAUACUCUAGAUGCAUGCUGGAUAGCGGUCGAUGUGUGGAGUAAUAGUAGUAGAUGCAUAAUCGUUUCGGUCUACUUGACACGGAUGUGAUGCCUAUAUUCAUGAUCAUUGCCUAGAUAUUCUCAUAACUAUGCGCUUUUCUAUCAAUUGCUCGGCAGUAAUUUGUUCACCCACCGUAAUACAUGCUAUCUUGAGAGAAGCCACUAGUGAAACCUAUGGCCCCCGGGUCUAUUUUACAUCAUAUUAGUUUCCCAUCAACUUACCAAUUUCUGUCGCCGUUUAUUUUGCAAUCUUUACUUUCCAAUCUAUACAACAAAAAUGCCAAAAAUAUUUACUUCACUAUCUUUAUUAGAUCUUACUUUUGCGAGUGGCCGUGAAGGGAUUGACAACCCCUUUAUUGCGUUGGUUGCAAGGUUCUUGAUUGUUUGUGUAGGUACUAGGUGACUUGUGUGUUGUCUCCUACUGGAUUGAUACAUUGGUUCUCAAAACUGAGGGAAAUACUUACGCUACUUUGCUGCAUCACCCUUCCCUCUUCAAGGAAAAACCAAUGCAUGCUCAAGAGGUAGCAGACGUCCCCGAGCUGAACGUGUGCAGAACUCGAAGGUGUCGUACGUUCGGUGCUUGAUCGGUUGGAGUUAGAAGAAGUUCGACUACAUCAACCGCGUUGUCAAACGCUUCCGCUUUCGGUCUACGAGGGUACGUAGACACACUCUUCCCCCUCAUUGCUAUGCAUCUCCUAGAUAGAUCUUGCGUGAGCGUAGGAUUUUUUUUGAAAUUGCAUGCUACGUUUCCCAACAUCUUUUGAUCAAUGAGCUACUCCAGUAGAGGCUACCAGGGACUUGGUAUUUGCUUAUGUAUUCACACAUGUAUUUAAGUUUUCAAUCAAUACAAUUCUAGCAUGAAUAAUAAAUCUUUAUCAUGAUUAAGAAAAUAUAAUAAUAACCACUUUAUUAUUGUCUCUAGGGUAUAUUUCCAACACUCCAAAGUACUUAUCAAUGAAAAACAACUUGCAAAUUAGAGUGCCAGACCACCAAGGACAAUAGCAACACACCUUCAAAUCAAAGUUACUAGAAUGCAUCGUUCACACACGAGCAUAUUUGACAUGAACAAGUAAAGGAAAAUAGAAAUAUAGAGAUGAAUAAUUUAGUUGAAAGUAAAAUUCAGAGUAUUUACUAGGAAAAUGAAUCACCGUGCUGAAGAUUUGUAGGUUCGCACAACAUCGCAAAACCGGUCAGGGAGGAGCCAAGGAGUUGGCGACCGGGUCACCGCCGACGAGGGGGAGGAAUACACGAGAUGAUCCUGGAGAGAGAGAGAGAGAGAGAGAUAAAGAGAGAGAAGGCGACCAACCGACCGUUGUCGGAGAUCCAUAUUAGACGAACUCCGAACUGAUCUGCCUCAGACAGCGCCUCCAGCGACACAACAUCCAAGAGCCAUCAGAGAGAUGGUACAACAACUCCACCCUACAUACUCGCCUAACUUGGAGAAGGGAUCUGGGCCGCAACCGCCGCUGCUAUUGGGGGAGAUUUUGUGUGCUGCCGUUGCGUAGGUGAUUUGGACUUGGAACGACGAGGACAUCAGAACCAAAUUAGCUUCUAGGGAGGGUCCUUUUUACAAAUUGUGCGCACAAAUUGCUCCACUCCUAUCUGGGCCACCAAUCUCACAUAUGAUGGUCCUGAUCCAUUUUUCUAUUUUUCUAUCACAAGCCCACAUUCUAUUGUAGUUGUCCCCCAUUCUUUCCCUAAAAAAGGGAAAACCCCUCUUAUCCAUUGCAUAUUGCUCCCAAAAGAGAACAUCAAUCCAAAUUUUAAUAUGCUCACAAAUGAUUUCAAAUUUUUUGCCUAGUAAAAUGAAUUACUUUCUUUACAACUUGUCAAGCUAUUGACCCUGUACACGUUAGUGCAGAUACUAAGUUUUUUAGUGAAUUGUCCUAAACUUCAAGACCCUAAGAUUAUCCAAUCAUCCUCAACCUCCCAGAUUGGUUCUCCAAAGUACUUCAAUGAAAGAAAAGUUGCAAACUAGAGUACCAAACCACCAAGGACAAUAGAAACACACCUUCAAAUCAAAGUUACUAAAAUGCAUCUUUCACACACGAGCAUAUUUGACAUGAACAAUUAAAGGAAAAUAUAACUACAAAGAUGAAUAAUUUACUUGAAAGUAAAACUCGAAGUAUUUUACGAGGAGAAUGAAUCACCGUGUCGAAGAUUUGUAGGUUCGCACGACGUCACGUAACCGGUCGGGGAGGAGCCAAGGAGCUGGCGUUGCCGCCGACGAGGGGGGAGGGGGGAAGAUACACGAGUUGAUCCUGGAGCUUGAGAGAGAGAAGGCAACCAACCGACCGCUAUCGGAGAUUCAGAUCAGACAAACUCCGAUCUGAUUUGCCUCAAACAUCGCCUCCAGCGACACAACAACCAAGAGCGUAGGUGAUUUAGACUUGGAACGACGAGGACAGCGGGACCAAAUUAGCUUGUGGGGAGGGUCCUUUCUACAAAUUGUGUGCACAAAUUGCUCCACUACAAUCUGGGCCAUCAAUCUCGCGUCUGAUGGUACAGAUCGAUUUUUCUAUCACAAGCCCACGUUCUAUUGUAGUUGUCCUCCCUUCUUUUCUUUCCGUAAAAAGAAGAAGAAAGAAAACCCCUCUUGUCCACUGCAUAUUGCUCCUAAAGGAGGACCCCCAAACCCUAGCUUUAUCAAGGAUCCCGUCCCAAGCGGCGGCGGCGCAUAGAGAUGAAGCGCAAGAACAAGGAGCAGAGGAGGGCAGAUGGAAUCACCGAUAGAGGCAGUGAUUCGCUGGAGACCAUGCGGCCGAACAAGAAGCAGAGGUUGGGCGGUGGCAGCGGUAGCGAUGAGGAGACCUCGCCCUACCUGGUGGUAGGUCAUGGGAGCGUGAGCCCUGCCUUCUCCGUGUUCAAGGUGGAACCCUACACCGACGGCGGCGGCGACACCCCGGUGAGCAUCCCGCGCCGCCUCGCCCGCCUCAAAUGCAAACACAACAUGUCUUUCGUCCCUUUGAGAUUGAAGGACCGCCGGUGGAUCGUCGGCGUCGGCGGCAGCUCAACCGAGAACUACUACGGCCCGGGGACCAUCAUUUUCGACACCGAGAAGCAGUUGGUGAUCCGGGGACCGGAACCUAAGUCGAUCAAGAGCCACCCGAUCCUGCUACCCAUCGACCAGAAGAUCUACGCCCUUUCCCGAAGCCCCUCAGUGAAGGGACCGCUCGAUUACUUGCCCUGGUUCGAGGUCCUCGAUCUCUCCCAGGCACAGGAAGUUGACGGCUGUCUAACCAACUGCAAGUGGAGCUCCCUGCAGCGGCCGCCCUUCUUUCCCUGGGAGCUCACCCCACGGCAGUACUUAUGUCCACCGAGGGUUGCCGUCGAGUCAUACGUCGCCGUGGGCUCCCACAUACUGGUUUCUGUGACCGGACGGGUGGGCACGUACGCUUUUGACACGAAGGGCUCGAAGAAGUGGGUGACGGUGGAUGACGAGAACAACCUGCCGUUCAGCGAUGGUGCCAUCCCGCACGGAGGUGGGCUCUUCCUCGGCUUAUCAAGCACCACAAAGGCCAUCACUGGAUACAAGAUUAAUAUCGGCACUAGGUCACUCUCUGUUGUUGAGAUUCCUGUGGUGUCCGACUUGGAAGAUGAAGAGCUGGUCGGUCGCUCACACAAUUUUCUUUCCCUGGGGAUUGAUAGUGGCUUCUGCUUGGUGACCUGUUGGAGUGUUGACGAAUCGCCGUAUCCCCCGUAUCACCGGGCGCACAUCAGGGUGAGGACGUACAGAACAGAUGAUUUUGUGGAGUCGGAGGGAAAAUGCUUAGUCGUCUCCAAG
rnacentral:lncRNA from 1 species